UAGCAAAAGCACAGAGAUUACAGAGCCAGGGGCAAAGCUAGAUGGAGCUAAGCGGUGUGGUGACUACACCGGACGCUUAGCUUGUUGCAGAUCUGCGACGAGCUAGCACUUAUUUCUUGUUCUUGCCUUCAUCCGCAACAUUUCUGCUGUGGUACCAGCGCAGGACAUGCUGGACGCCGAGGUACGUAUCAACAUUCCUCUUCCUCGUCUUAAUACCUGUUCACUAUGUUUAACUUUGCCGAUACUAAGGAAAACGUUUAGCAACAGUGAUACAUAUACAUCUACUCUUUUUGAUGUAUCAGCACUUCACAAAUCUCAUAGACUACAGUCUAAAUAUGGAAGUUACGAGGUGGGGACGCAUUAGAUUGCCAACCGUUGAAAACCAAAGCAAUCCAACAUCAAAGCCUGAAUCCACAUAACUGAAGCCUACAAAUUGGUCCACAAGAACAAUAUGAAUUGAAACAAACGUAGGAGCAAAUAAAUAAAGAAAAAAAUCCUCAGUUUUUCAUCUAAUUGUAGAUGAAACAAACUUCGAAAAACAAUCCCACACACACUAUGGGGGUGUUUGGGACUGCUCUGCUCCAUGUUUUUUAGCUCCGCUCCACGUUUUUUAGCCAAACAGUUUCAGCUCCACGCACUCAGCUCGUGAAAAAAUAGUGGAGUUGUGAGAGCACCUAAAGAGGUACUUCAUGAACUCUAAUUUUUUUGGAGCUACUCCAUAGUGGAGUUUGUAGAGCAAAGUUCGUGGAGCAGUGCCAAACACCCCCUAUAUCACCCAGAAAUCAAUCAAACUCACAGAUCAGCUCCACAAUCUGUACCAAGAGCUUCACAAAUAGUCAAACCAAAAGAGGUGUGAAUCACCGGAAGAGGUGAUCGAGGAGCCAGGGCAAACAUCAGAAAAUAUUCCAGAACUGUUGGACAGUCUGCUCUGCAGUCUGCGGACUGAAUAAUCCAUAUAAUUUGGAUCGCAAGUGUGAUCCAGGCCUUGUUUUGUUCACAAAAAUUUUCAAGAUUCCCUGUUACAUCGAAUCUUUGGUCGCAUGCAUGGAGCAUUAAAUAUAGACGAAAAUAAAAACUAACUGCACAGUUUACCUGUAAUUUGUGAGAUGAAUCUUUUGAGCCUAGCUACUCCGUGAUUGAACAAUGUUUGUCAAAUAAAAACGAAAUGCUACAGUAGCCAAAAAGAACAAAUUUUGCGAAUUAAACAAGGCCCCAAUCACACAAUGAUUCUAGAAAUAUGGUUUUCAUGUAUCCCAUCAAAUCAUUUGAGUAGAUACUACUGGUACUAAAUCCUUUGAAGCGAAUCCAUCUUCUUUCCAAACUGACAUAUGUAUGCUCCUAAUAUAACCUGCCCGUGCCAUUUAUGUUGUUUUUGCAGCUCCCUAGGGUGUGACAUUGCCAUCUAUGUAGAGCAGGUUGACAUUGCCAAAUAUGGGUGUCGAGGUUCGUAGUUGUGCUAUGAUCUGUACUUGUAGUAAAGUAGAAAUUUAUUAGUCUUAGUUUCCAUUAUUGAUUGCAGGUUGAAGCGACCACGGUCCAAGGGGCGGUACGGGAGAUAAUCUGUUACUUAGAGGAUACAGGACAUCCAAAUCAGGUCAUCUACUUUGAUGGAUGGCAUGGACUUGGUGCAUCUGCAGUCCUUGCAUCUAUAGCUGAAGAACCUCCGCUGUCUUUAAGAAGCAGAUUCGAUCUGAUUAUCCACAUUGACUGUUUUAAAUGGAAAAAUCGCAGACAACUCCAGAGGACAAUUGCACAGAAACUAAAUCUUCCGCAGCAAGUGAUGUCCAUCUUUGAAAGACAGGAUGAGGAUGAUGAUUUUGGUGGGGUGGAUGAAGGCUCUCGGGGUGAGAUAAGAGAAGUCAGGAGAGAGAUCCACCGAGCCCUUCAGGGGAAGUCAUAUUUUGUGGUCUUCCAUAACAGGACCGACACAAUGGUUGACUUUUAUGAUUUUGGCAUUCCUCCAGCUCCUGCUGAGUAUCCCUGGUCAAACAUUGUUGGGACAGUCUUGUGGACCUUCCGUGGAAGGCUCCGGAGCAUCACCUCAUCAAUGGAACAAGAGGCCACCCCUUAUCGUUAUGUCUAUGAGAAAAUAGAGAGACAGUUUAGGUAUCUUUAUUCAAGCAAGUACAGCAAUAGCAUCCUGCUUGACGAAGCUGCAGAAAUAAUUGGAUACACAAAGAACAAGGUAGACUUCGCCACCUCAGAAAUACUGCAUGUUUUUGGUAUCUUUUGUCCCUUUGUUCAUGGUUACUUCAUAGACUUUAACUGGGCUACUCAUGCCUCGAACUAUUGGGUUUGCGACGGGAUUAUACAAAGACAACAGCAAGUUGAAGCAUGGAACAUUGCUACUGCUCUCCGUGAAGAGAUACGCCUGGAGGACUACUCAUGGUAUGAUUUCCAGCGGCUGGUCACACUUCAUCCCCGUUGGAAGGUCCUCAGCAGCCCAAGCGCAUACACAGACUACUUGGAUCAGACAACAACAUCAUUCUUUUGUUCAGACAGAAGAGGAGAUGAGCAUCAGAGGGCAUCUUUGCCCGAUAAAAUGUUCCAAAGAGCCGACAACCUCCACGUGUUGAAACUCUGCCACUGCACCUUUAACUUUUCUUUGCCUCCUUUUCUUUGUUGCAAAAACCUCAGGUUCCUUGGAUUAGAUAGCUGCAAGGAUCAACCACAAAGAGUAGAAGAAAUCAAUCAACAAGAAGAUGAAGAAGAGCAUGACUAUUGUAGACAGACAACAGAAUUCUUUCAAAGCCUAUGGGUGCUCGACAUAUCUUGUACCGAUUGGGAACUGAGUUUAUCCCCAAAUACCCAAGAGAAAACAGCAACAAGCAUCAGGGAGAUCAAUAUAAAGAGAGGAAGAAUCUGGCACAAAAGCCAUGCAUGGACAUGGAGACAUCUACACAACAUUCACAAGCUGAGAGUCAUUGAGCCUACGUGCCCUUGGGAGACAGGCAACAUGGAUGAAUUAUCAGAUAUGGUGAAGCUGGAGCUCCUAGACUUGACAGGGAAUAGCACAAUACAAGUUUUGCCGAGCUUGUCAGGAGCAAUUGGGCUCAAGACACUGGUUCUAGAUGGUUGCGUUGGGAUGGAACAUGUUGGCCCCCAAUCAUUUCCUCCAUGUCUUGAAACAUUUAGCUUUGAUGCAGGGGAAGGACAGGGCCACGACAAGGAAGCUAAAAUCUCCCGUAUCUCCAUGGCUGGUUGUGUAAGACUGGUAAAAUUCAGAUUGGGUGGAUAUCUCCCAAACCUUGAGGAGCUGGACCUCUCUAGCACAUCGCUGAAAGCACUGGACCUCAAAGAUGAGUUGGUGCAGGCCCCAUGUCUACAACAGGUCAUUCUGUUGGGAUGCCAGCAGCUCCGGGCAGUUCUUUGGCCCAAAAGGGAGCAGCCAAACUCAGAAUCCUAAGCAUUUCUACUGGGAACAUUAGGCUCAUUCAGUCAUUAUUGGUGCUAGGGGAUCCAAAGAUUAAUGUUCGUCUCCGCUUAUCUCAUCCUAGAAAAGACAACGAUGGUAGGGAGACAAUGGCUCCACAUGGCACUGGACUAUUGUCUGAGUUUCCUCAGCACAAGUCACCAGUUUUAAGGACUCACCACCACACCUACAGUGAUAUCAACUUUGACAUUGACUAUGAAGGAAGCAGAGCAAUCCAGUUUGAGCCAGUGGACCUCCAUUUAGAGAUUGGCGAAGGAAUAAGCAACAUUAAUGUGGUCACCGAACAAGGAAUUAGAUCCAUAAUCCGUUUCAUGAACAGGGUCAAGCCACUGCUCCUGCAGGAUAACUCUUCCAUCACCACUGUAAUCCCCCAAGGAAUGAUUUCCAUAACAGAGGAGCUUGAGCAGAUAAAUUGGUCUAGUUUGAAAUGGUGCCACGUUGAGAGAUGCCCCAAAUUGGAUUCUGCGUUCACCACAAACUAUGAUACUGUACUGUCUGCUUUGAGGAACUAGAAACCUUUUCAGGGGCUGAUCUCUUGAUGACCCGUUGUAUUUGGAGCAAAGGAAGGGCAGUCAGUAUCGAGGAUGAUAAAGCAUUUGCCAAACUGCGGGCUAUAAAUCUUCGUACAUGUCCUAGGCUCACAUUUGUUCUCCCAUUGUCAUGGUUCUAUAGCUUGUCCAGCCUGGAGACCCUCUGCAUUGUCCUCUGUGGUGAUCUCAGACAGGUCUUCCCGGUGGAGGCAACAUUUCUGAAUGAAUUAUUUGCUCUCUGUCAUCUUGGAGGAGUAUUAGAAUUCCCAAAGUUGAAGAACAUCCGCCUACACAAUCUCCCCAAGCUACAUCAGAUAUGUGAGGCCAAGAUGUACACCCCAAAACAUGAGACCAUCUGGGUGAGGGGAUGCUGGAGCCUCAAGUGCCUGCCGGCCACCCUCCGACCACCGCAACAGCCGACCAGUCGUGGACUGUGAGAAGGACUGGUGGAACAAGCUGGUGUGGGAUGGAAAGAAGGCCCACCACCACCCCUCCCUCUUCCGGCCACACCACUCCAAGUACUACAAGAAGACCCUGCUCAGAAGCUCAGUUCUCCGGUGAGCCAACCUGAUGAUGUGGACUAGCAGCUCCACUCAAUCCACGUCUAGGUACAGAAGAAUAAUAACUAACUAGUUUCAUCUCACAUCCUUUUUCUCUGCUCUUCAUGCAAAUAUCUUUCUGUUUGCAGCAACAAACACAAAGCAUCAAUGCUUAGCAAGCUAUAGUUAUUAGUCUCUCCUAGCAGGACUUCUUCAUUACUAAUUUUUUUUCCCUGUAAACCACUUAUAUUAUUAAGUAUUAACUCUCCAGGUUUAAUUUGCAGGUGCGUUUGUGAAGAAGGUUUAAUUUGCAGGUGGAUACAUGACUGUGAUAUCUCAGCUGCUUCCUAUGCAUGCUUCCGUUGGAUUCCUUUACCAAGUCUUCUAUUUGUUUUCUCCAUAAUAAAUAGGUGUUUGAUGCUGGUUGCAUUGCAUCCACCGAGUUGCAUUGGGUGUGCUUGCUACUAAAUUAGUUUGUGUGUGAAACACCACUUAUUUGCUUGGUAUUGUCUGUGUAUUUUGUGUGUAUGCUUGAAAUAAGUGGGUGCCAUUUUCCUUGAUGCAUCUGUACCAUAGUCAGACCAUGACCCUCAUGGUGUACUGUGUGUGUAAGCUGCAAAUUAAAGACUUGAUAAUUUGCAUGCGUGAUGGAUGACUCAGCAGCAUGCUACUGCUGCUAAUAUAUUUCAAAUGGUUUGGUGUGACCUAGACGAUCUAAGUGUUACCGAUUUCACUGCGGUGGUAUGAACGCAUGAGGGAGACCAGGUUUAUACUCUGGUGCAUGUAGUUGUUGUCAAAGGUGCAUGUAGUUGUUUUCAAAAUUUCUUUGGAGUCAAUGAGAAUCGUCAAAACACCCAAAUGACCAUAGGUUACACAGGGCCUGUUAGAGGGCAACGUUCCGAGAGUUUUAGCCAAUACCCAACCUCUCAUAAGAUCCGAUUACUAAGGGUACUGAACUGACAAGAAAACCACCACUGGUGCUGAAGUGACACACCAUCGUCCCUCAGGAGUGCAGACUACCAUGAAGAUUAUGGUUAGUCAUCAAAUCCACCUUAGACAUUUUGUGUUCAUGUUAACUAGAUUAGAGAUCCUAUGGCUUAAUCUCAAUUUUUCUCUAACAUUGUGGCAUCAAGAGCCAUCUAACCUAGUUUAUGCCUAGGAUUAAGUUAACUGGAGGUUGGUUUAAUCUAAUUAGUGCCCUAAUUACUUACUGUUAGCCCCAAUUAGCCAUGUUGAUCAUGUUUUGGCCCUGAACUAAUCAUGCCUAAGUAUUGUCCUUACUGUUCUUCAGAUCAGCUCAAUUUCUUGCAUGUUUAAGGCCUAGGUUUAGUUAAUCAUCAGGGAUUAAUCAUGGACUAAUGCAAAUGUGUCAUAUAACGUGUCCAGUCAAACCUCGGAUUAUGUUAACCGUGGCCAAAUUUCACGUGCAUCAAGGGCCUAGGGUUCGUAUCAACAACAGAAAAGAGUGGAAUCGUUGCGAACUCAAGUCAAAAUACCCAAAAUUUCCAAAAACCUAGAUCUAUUUCGCCCAAAAUUUCUACCCCAAAUUCAGAAAGAAAGCCCUAAUUGAUGAACUUGGGUAUUACAUACCUCGGCCCGCUGCGUAUCAGCGCAUUGCGGCCGCCGUUGCGCGCCAGGGCGCCACCGCAGCUGCCGCCGCGGAUCAGGGCACUGCCGUCUUCUUGGGCGCUGGCUGGGGGUGCUCGACAGAGCCGCACGAAACCGUGGCCGCGCGCGUGCACCGGCGAGAGGCCCCGUGCCGGCGCCGUCUCUUGCACGCGCUGCUGCCCUGACCUCAUGUUUCUGGUGGCCACGUCUGUGAAAAUCGGGAAGGCUUGGACCGCAGGAGCGUUUUUUUGGCGGGCCCUCCUUCUCACCUAAAAAUUUUUCAUCCAUCCCAACGAAUCACAUAUACAUGAAACAUUAAAUGUAGAUAAAAAAUAAACUAAUUACACAGUUUGGUUGAAAUCACGAGAUGAAUUUUUUAAACCUAUUUACUCUAUGAUUAGCCUUAAGUGCUACAGUAACCUACAUGUGCUAAUGACAGAUUAAUUAUGCUUAAUAGAUUUAUCUUGCAGUUUCCUGACCAGCUGUGUAAUUUAUUUUUUUAUUAGUUUCUAAAAACCCCUUCCGACAUCCUUCCGACAUAUCCGAUGUGACACCUAAAAAAUUUUUAUCUACAAUCUAAACAGACCUAGCUCCUGGUUUUGUUCCACGCUUGGGCGUCCACGGUUGUCAGUUUGACAUCAGACCGACGACUGAGAUCGUUCCAUGCAUCAUAGAGUCUAAAAUUAUUUAUUACCUCAAACAAUAUAAAUUUAGAGUGUAAAUAAGAUCAGUUUCAAUGCGUAGUUUCAUGCUAUAGUUAUCAAGACUAUAAACUAGGUAAUCGAGCCACAUGAGUUUCAUGGGGAGGAAACUUCUCUCUCAUCUGAUGAAACUCCUUCAUUUAUCGACCCUGCCAAGUCAGCAAUUUUGCUUAUGUGGCACCCUAUUUAAUGUGCAUGACACUCUCAUGAAACAUGCAUUGAGACUGGCCUAAGACUUGGAGUCUUAUUUUUUCUACAUCUUUUUUUAAUAAAUAUGUUGUCAUAUCAGCAAAAUACUAUAAAUAAUAUAUAAUUAAUUGUUUUGGACUUUAUGAUAGAGUCUUGCAUUGUGUGCCCUUAGAGCACUCCUAAUGCAGAAACUGUUGUGGUUUCUAUAGAUAUUAAUUGUAGUGUCACAUAAGCAUUUUGCUUAUGUGGCAAGAGAGCUAUUGAAGAGAGAGAGUAAAAAUCAUAUAAACUGGGUCUAAGUUAGAAACCAUGUCUACACAAAAUCCAAGACAUGAAGUGAUACGAUUAGCUAAGAAUGGAGAGAGAAUGGAUGUGAUUGGAUAAAAAAUAUUCUAUAGAAAUUAUCCAUUGGGAUCAUAGUUUCUAUAAAUAAUGUCUAUAAAAAUCAUAAAACAGUAAGUGUACAUAAUGAUUAUUUCUGCUGCUAAGUUAGGAUUACAUUUCUAGUUUGAAUGGAACCAAAGGAAAAUUCUAAUUAGAAACUUCAUUGUUGCUUAUGUAUAUAUUUUACUCUCUAAUUUUCUCUAACAAUCCGCCCCUUUAUAUUUAGUAUCUAUUACUCAAGUUAUCGUUUGAGUUUUGCUUAAAUUAAUCUGACAUUGAAUAGUUUUGCAGUAUAUCGGUUUGAACCCCAAUUUGUGAGCAAAAUCAUACAUCAACAAUAUUUUCAUAUUGCAUCUAUCGGGUUCUUACUUGUGUUUCUUCAAUUCACAUGCAAGACUUCGUGGUGAGGUCAGCCGGGCAUUCCAUGGUUGGUAGCCAAAGGGAUGUGGUGUUAUUAUUGCAAGGUUCAAGUCUUUGUGAUAGAAAGUCGGACCGAUGUGUCAAACAUCCACCAAUCUGUUAGUUACUUUAAUUUGAUGGAAAAUCAGGCACUCCUGUUCCUAUCAGUCAGUUACAUGCAUUUAUCCGAUGAACAUUUCUUUUGUUUUAGUUAACAUCUGAAUGUGCAAGACAUUUCUUAACUUUAGUGUAGUACGUGUAUAAAUGAUUGGUGGUAGUACCACUGCUAUUUUCUUUUUCUUUUUACUUCGAUGACUGACCACAUUUGGAAAGUGAUGCAGUAAUUUAUUUUGAAACAAUGGUAUAAGUGUGGUUGCGUGGACAAUGCAUUCUAGGAUAAUUUAGACAUGUAGCUAGGUAUGUUGACACAAAUCUGUUCGCACACCCAAAUGGCUAACACAACUGGAGGACUGAUUCACGACAAAGCAGGGGAAAUUGGCUUUAUCCUAUUUUUGUAACUAGCUUAGUUAAUUUUGGUAGAUCAGCUGCGAUGAAAACUUGUUAAAGCCUAAAUAACAUACCAUUUGAUAUGAUUUAGGAAUAGUAGUGGUUGAAGGUUCCUUCGAGUGCAUUGGUUUUUACAUUUAAACAUGGUUGAGAGAUCAUGGCAUGCUACUGUGGAGGGGGCCAUCAAGCAAGGGCCUGUGCAAAAGUGACAUGACUCAAUCUUGCCAUUAACAAAAGAGACAUGACUUGCUAGUACAUUUUAUUUCCUAGGAUUGCCACUAUUCAAUUACAGGCAUGUCAAAACAUUUCAAGUAGAUAAUACUGCAGAUAAACACAUGCACAACUUAGUUGAAAUGGAUUUUUUUCUUGAAACUAUACGGUGGUGCAUACAGGUUUUGUAAGUUGAAUGGAUCGUUACAACAUCAGUCGGAACAAAAAGAACAUGUAAAUAACAAAUUAGUUUAGAAAGUAAAUUAUACUAAACUCCUAGGGCUGACAAUUUUUUUGACGUGCGCCCUAGACUUUUUCAGUUCCAUUGGAUGGUUUUCUCAAAGGCGUGUUGGCUAUGUUUAGUCAAAGAUUUUCUUUCUUUCCAGUUUCUGUGUACACGGUUCUAAUUUGCUACAACCGAACUUUAUGCCCGUUUUGAACUCUGUAAUAAUUGGUCUGAUUCUAUCUUUGGAUAGAUGAAGCCGGAUAAUAUAUCCUUUAUCUAAAAAAAACUAAACUCCUAGGGAUGCUCUUACAUCCUUCCAUAUAUUCUUUCUACCUUGUAUAUUUGUAUCAAGAAUUCUUUCUUAUUUUUUAUUUCUUUUUACACCUUUCCACCUCCACAUUUAUAUAUUCUUUCUCUCUUGUAUUUGUGCAUUAGGAAUUCUUUCUUAUUAUUUAUUUUAUUUUGCACUCUUCCACCUCUAGGCUUGUUAGGAAGUGUCAAGAGAAUGCAUGACGCGGCAUAGCAUCACACCAAACAAUUAUCAUACAAAAAAGGUCUUAUUUUCUUUCUUUUUAGACUGUCUCCCACAAUCGUCACCCAAAAUACAAGACUAAAAGGUAGCGCUACAGGUAAAAGGUUCCAUACCUAUUUUUAGUCUUCUCCAACAAUAAAACCUAAAAGACAACACUCUCUGUAAAUGGAUCUCGAGGAGAGAGGAUACCUAAAUUUGGGUUGCUUCUCCCGAUACCCAAAAUAGAUCUUCUGAGGGUACUUUGUUGGAGAUGGAGACCCAUUUUAGAUUUGGAUUUCUAAAUAGGUCUCCCAUUGGAGACGGUCUUAGUUGUAGGAGAUAGGAGAGUAGGAGAUUACGCACAAAUAAGGCUACAAAGAUAGCACUAAAGGAAUCAAGUAUCAUCGCUGGUAGUCUUUUUCUCAUACCCUAUCUACUCUAAGAUGGAUACUGACAGUUUUUUUGUUGUAUAUUAACUCACAAUAUAUAGUCUCCUCUACAGGUUAGUGACUGUGUUUUCUUUAAUGAAGUUAAAUAUUGAAGAUUAGUUGCUAUAAGGCCCUGUUUAGAUUGGAGAUGAAAAUUUUUUGGGUGUCACAUCGGAUGUGUCGGAAGGGGUUUUUAGAAACUAAUAAAAAAACAAAUUACAUAGCUCGUCAGGAAACUGCAAGACAAAUCUAUUAGGCAUAAUUAAUCUGUCAUUAGCACAUGUGGGUUACUGUAGCACUUAAGGGUAAUCAUAAAGUAAUUAGGCUUAAAAGAUUCGUCUCGCGAUUUUCAACCAAACUGUGUAAUUAGUUUAUUUUUUAUAUAUAUUUAAUGUUCCAUGUAUGUGUCUAAAGAUUCGAUGGGAUGGAUAAAAAAAUUUUGGGUGGAAAACUAAUCAGGGCUCAAGAUGGUCUAGCUAUGGCUAUGUUAGUUUGACCUCUUGCGAUGCUUGACAAGCAUGUUGUAUGUUUGUCUAAACUCCUCUGCUUAAUACAAUAAUACAUAAAUCUUUUGUGUACUCAAAAAAAAAGAUUGAAGAUUAGAGUGGUACUUAUAUUUAGUUCAUUCAACGUGGACUACUGAUGCAACCAUUUUAAUGUAUAAUGUAAUUUUCAUGUAAGCAUAUUUAAAUCAAUAGUAAUCAUAGUACAAAUAUAUCCACCAUGGUCCACCAUUCAAUUCAAGUUCAUAUAGUUUUUUUUGUCUUUAGUUACACCCAUAUGGGAAAUAUUUAUAUGUUCUCUGCUUAUAUCGCAUAUAUACUUAUAUUUAUUUAUACACCAUCAUGAUUCCUUACAUCCUAUUUCUCAUAACUCAAAUAAAAAAUACUUCUACAUAUUUCGCGGCACCGCGCAGGGAAUUCACCUAGUAUCAAUAACGUUAUUACCUUACUUUCUCUUUAAGUUUUUUGAGAUUUAAAUUUAAACUAUUUGAUUGAUCUCAAGAAUGGAUGAUCAAGGGGAGUAUUGAGAAGCAAAUUAACCAGUAGGACUCCCAUAUACACUCCAUGGAGUAGUGACUAGAAUUAGUAUUAAUCACUGAUUUUUUUAGAUAAAGGAAACAACCAAUUUUGGCCAAAAGCAACCGGACGGUUUUAAUGGGCUGUUCUAAAAAAAUGCUGGCCAAUAAUCAAGGAUGAUGUAAUGAACACGAUAGACGUGUUCUGGGCCCUAGACAGCAGAAGCCUAUAUCAUCUCAAUGGUGCUUAUAUGGUUCUUGUUGGUAUAAAUUAACUGCACUCUAUUUAAAUAGAUUGAAGUAGGAUUAUCCGUAAGCGCACAGAUAUCAUACCAGUGUCAUAUUUCACCUGGAGGUUUUAAAUAUCGUAUCCACUGGGAAUAGUUGUGAUGAUGACAUAGUAUAUAGACUUAACCCCACAAUUAGGCUAGAUCAUAUCAAAAAAAAGGAAAUAGCUAAUGCACUCUGGUUCUGACUCAGUAAACUUUGUAUAAUAUCGUCUUAUCGGGCAAGUAACCUAAUAGGUGAAGAAACAGAGUAAUCUCCUACGGCACUUCUGGGGGCGCCUAUCAAUACUAUCAACGGGAAGUGGACUACAGAGGAAUCAACACAGCUGUCACCUACGUGAACUACCACUGUCCGCCUGAUCAGGGGACAUUCACAAGUAAACCUAGCCUAGGCACCACGCCUACACUACGAAAUACUACUUCAAACAAGUUACGACCAAGAUCAAAGCACUCAAUAUGAGUUGUGAACCAAAGAACAAAUAAGAACAAGUUGCUUACUUAAAUUAGAAGGGUAAGUACAAAAGUACCUCAGAACGCAGCUCCGGGCGAGGGAACUGGAUCUAGAUGAAUACAGCCACAAAGAAGCACCGAUAGGCUGGAACUCCUCUAGAAUCUCUACUCCUCUACUCAAUCACUCUAAUCUCUAAACAAGACUAGAUCUAGAAGAACUAGUCUCUCCUAAUUGCUACAUCUAGAUGAAUUAGAUCUAGAUGAACUAGAACUAGAUCAACUAGAGGGACCCUAACCCUAAUUAUGUGGAGAAUAUGAAGCGCCGGGGUGUAGAAUGCCUCUAGGGAGGGGGCCUGCCCCUCUAUUUAUAGCCCGGUGGGAUCGACAUGCGCUGUAGGAUCAAACCGACUUAACAAAGGGCCGAGAUGCAUCAAAGGAGGCGGUGGAGGAAGCUUCCGAAAGGGGGGAUCCAGAAACCCUAGGGGCGUCGGCCGGCGCCAGGGUGGGGCCGGUCGGCCCCACCUUGCCUCCUCUGCAGGUCUCAUUCCUUCGGGUGUCUUCUAGAGCCUUCCUGACCCCGUUGGCGGUGUUGUUGCGUCGCGGUUAUGUUUCGUGUUUAUUUUGCACUUGAAUCCCUCUUUUCAGCUCUCUGUGAAAUAAACCCUGGAAAACACAGAAUAUGCAAAACUCAUGGAAAUUGUCAGUUUAAACCCUAUACUAGUGUGUAUUCAUUUCUCCUUUGGGUUUAAAGUUCUAAUAAAAGUUGACGUUAUCGACCGUCAACAAUUCCCCCAAGCUUACCUUUUGCCAGUCCCUUCGCAAACAACCCAAGCCUAAUUAAUAAACUUGGAUCAAGAGUUGCUACAAUACUUUCAUUUCUUUUAAGUACACUUGCUUUUGAACAUAAAUUGUCCUCUGGUCUAACUUUCAAACAUACCUAUUUUACCUUUAACCAUGGAGCUUAGCUUUUGCAUAAGUCUUAGGUAAUCGAAAGAUAGAACAAUCAAGUCAAGCACUAUGUCUCAAAUUCUUCACAGUACCAAUAUUCCGGAGUUUUGCAAGUUUUUGAAAUAAAGCUCACAGCAUGAUUGUAUGACACCCUCAAGUCUCUUAUUAUGUAGUAUUUAUGGAUCUCGCUGAGGCAUUAAUGAGGUUAUACCUUCCUACAACUAAGGAUAUAUAUAGUGGAGCUUAUAGGAGUGGCAAUAACAAGGAUGAGCAUACUUGCAUUUCAUAUAAUGUGAAGUCAAACAAUGGAUCCACAGAGAAUCAAGGCAUACAAUUGAAUCAAGAUGUGCAUGUGUAUGGAAUAUGGUGGAUAGGUGCAUAUAUGGUAUUUAGUGGCUAAUCCUAAUUCUACUUUUGCUCUUUGAAAAUUACUCCCUCCUUAAUGCUUUUCGUAGGAAAACAUGGGCUAUCUUUAUUCUCUCUUUCUCUUCUUUUUCACUAUGGGAGGCGGGCAUCGAUGUACCCAUUGUUUUACUUGUUGGGACACUUGUCCUUCUUUUACUCUCACUUUUCUCCUCUUCUCUUUUUUCAAUACUUUUGCAUAACCACAUGCAUCCUUUGAAUAUAAAUAUUUGGAGAGAUAAUGAUAAGAACUUAGAGCAAUUAAACGGGGGGCUGUCUUAUAUGGUAUAUUUUUGGGUGUUUACUCCAAUGUAGGAGAAAACAUUUUUUUAAGGUGGAUCUGGAUGAAAGUGGAAAUGACUAUGCUUACAUCCCAGAGUAGGAGUAAUGCAUAUGUGGGUGGAGUGCGUAAGUGAUCUUGAUUUUAAAAGCAUGACAAGACUCUCAUAAGAUAUACAAUAAAGGUUGACUAAACUCAAUGCAAAGCAAGCAUCAUGAAUGUGCAAAGGUUUUCCUAACUCUAAAUGUAUCAUAUAUGGCUUUGGUAGGAAUUUUAUCAUACAAUAGCUCAUCAUGUAAGAUUUUGGGUUUUUGAAAAUAAAUCUCCAGAACUUAGUAAUGCUAGGAGUAAGAUAAAUAGCAGCUUGAUCCUUCAUGUAUAAUAUCAAUUACCUAGACUUAGCUUAAACAUAUGCCUCCACAAAUUUUAGGUUCAGAGUAAAUUCUUAAAGUGGUUGUUGACACUUGUUAACUUAUAAAGUUUAUUAGCAUUUAUUUCUCCACCAGAAAUGAAUAUCCACUAGAAUUGGUUUAUCACUCACAAUUUCCACGAGUUGUAUAUAUUUAGUGUUUUCUAGGGAUUAUUUCAGAAAGUGCUGAAAAGAUGGAUUUAAGUGCUAAUCGGUCACAAAACUUAGCCGCGACGAAAGGAUGACACUGGAGGAUUCAGGAACACUCUAGAAGACACCCGACGUGAGGGGGGAGCCAGUCGGCCACACCCGACGCGAGGGGGGAGCCAGCCGCCACCAGGUGGGGCCGGCCGACCCCACCCUAGCGCCGGUCGGCCCCCUAGGAUUAGGGUUUGCUCUCCCCUUCUGGAAGCUUCCUCCACUGCCUCUAAGGAGCCAUCUCGACCGCUUGUUAAGUCAGUUUGAUCCAACAGCGCACGUUCACCCCACCAGGCUAUAAAUAGCAGGCAAGACCCCCUGGAGGAGGCCAGAUCAAGAGAUGAAGAGCCAGAGCAUUAGAUAGAGAUCCACUAGAUCUAGGCUAGCAAUCAAGAUAGAGAUUAGAGAGAUAGAGUAGAGGCGUAGAGAUUCAGAGGAGUCCUGUCCUGUCGGAGCUUCCUCAGGAGUUGUAUUCUCCGGGAUUCGGCUCCCUCGCCCGGAACCGCGUUCUGAGGUACUUUUGUACUUACCCUUCUGAUUCAAGUAAGAAAGUUGUUUGUAUUCGUUCUUUGGUUUGCAACUCAUGUUAUAUUGAGUACUACAAUUUGGGUAGCUCCUAGGUCAGAAUAGUGAUUCGUUGUACUCAAUGGUGACGCAAGACACAGACAAGGAUUUUAUCCAGGUUCGGCCGCCAUGUGGGCGUAAUACCUACGUCCUGCGUCUGAUUGUAUUGAUCUGGGAUGUAUUGAAUUAUGUUGAGUUGUCUAAGGGGGGUCCCUUGCCUCUCUUUAUAUAGUCCAGAGGGCUGGGUUAUAGAUCUGGAAAACUAUUCCUAGUCGGUUACAAUUGCCAUAGAUGAUACGAUAUCAAUUCCUAUUCUAACCGACUAGAAUCUUGCUUGAUCUCCACGUCUUGUUUCCUUGCGCAAAACUUCAAGCAGUUGGAUCAAGCCCCGAACUAUCUCGUGAUGGGCCAAAUAUCCUGGCCCAAGCCCAGCUGUAAGGGUAUAGGGGUUUAUACCCCCAUAGCUAGUCCCCGAGCUCCAUGUAUUAUGGUGUAACACGCCGUCUUGAGCUUCUUCGACCAGUGAGGCUCGUCAUCUUUGACCAGCAAGAGAGUCACUCAAACAGUUGCAAUGGUGUUUUAACCAACUCAAAAGAUAGUCAAUCAACAUGUCAUCGAAGAAGCAGGUUGUUUGAAUAAUGCAUGGUGCUCUUAACCAAAAAAGAUUUCUUUUCUAGUGAAGUAUGCCCACUUUACUUUUCUUAAAAGUAAAGGUCUUGAAAAAGCAAGUAAAUUCACCGCAAGGUGAAGUGUGCCCACUUAGUCCCCGAGCCUAGUAGUAGGUGACGUAGGCACGUGGUGCCAGGGUCUAAAAAGAAAAAACUUAAUAGAAACUCUAAUGCUGAGAUGCAUUGCUAGAUGCAUCGUACCGAUGUAGUCCCCGAGCUUGUUGGAAGGCGAAAUACGACCCUUGUUGCAAGGUCUAAAAAAUUAAUAACACCCCUCAAUUGUAUGCAAAGUGGAUUCAUAUGUAAUCGAUAGUCAGUAUAAUCAUCAGAUUCAUAAACAGACUGUUCGACCAGUCCCUGAGCAUACCAUGCUUAGUGGUCGGUUCAGUCCCCAACUCAAUUGGGUAGACUGGUCGACCAGUCCCCGAGCAUGCCGUGCUCGAUGGUCGGUAUAGUCCCUAGCUCAAUUGGAUAGACUGGUCGACCAGUCCCUCAGCAUGCCGUGCUCGGUGGUCGGUACAGUCCCCAGCUCAAUUGGAUACACUGGUCGACCAGUCCCUGAGCAUGUCGUGCUCGGUGGUCGGUAUAGUCCCCAGCUUCUUGGAUGAAUCCAAACAAACUUCUUAUCCUCAAUAAAUCAUUUAUUUAAAUUUGGAAAAUAUCAUAUCCCUUCAUUAAUUGGUGACAUGACGAGGCGUCCGGCUGUCUUGUCAGUCUGGCGCGUGAUAAGGGAUGCCCUCUGACAGCACAGCCGUUCAUCACGCGGACCGAGAAAGGAAAACCAUUAAUCAUUAAAAAAUCUGCCAAAUUUACUGCAACAAAGAUUGAAAACCAAAACGCCGUUUCUGCCGCAAAAACCACGCAUUUCCCGAGGAGUCGGGAAGUGGAGGAGGUGGUGUUGCUGUUAUAAAGAGCCAAAAGGUGCAAUGCUAAAACUAUACCCAGCAGUUGCACACUAGCCUCCUACCUUCGUCUUCCUCGCUGCCUCCAAAUUCACCAAAUCUAGUUCAAGCUUCCUUGCACAAAAAUGGCCAAGAGCGACUCUAAGAAGAGGGCCGAGAUGAUGGCGAAAGAAUGGAAGAAAUCCCAGUGCACCACCAGGUCCCUCAACGACCUCGUCGAGAUGGGGUUGCUGCAUAACCAAGAGCUUGGCGGCAGGAGGGAGAAAGCUACCCAGAUCCCCAAGCCGGUGAGAUCGUAGUUUUUGAAGAUUUCUUUAAGAGGGGCUUUGGGGUGCCGGUUCAUCCCUUUCUUUAGGGUUUGCUUCUCUACUAUGAGAUCGGGAUUUGCAAUCUGCACCCAAAUUCGAUUCUUCUUAUGGCGACCUUCAUUCACCUUUGCGAGACGUUUGUGCGGAUUGAGCCACACUUUGAUUUGUUCUGAUACUUGUUUUGCUUGAGGAAGAAAGGGGCGGUUGGAGGCUCCAAGAUUGCAGGUAGAGUAUACCUCAAUCUUCGUGAUGGAAUGAAGAACCGCUACCUCAGUUGCCCUUGGAAUACAUAUCUGACUAAAUGGUAUAAGAGAUGGUUUUACAUUAGGGAGGAACCGGGCAGCACCACAUUCUGUGACAUUGGCUAUGUUCCAGAGAAGAGGGUUAGCUAGACAGAUCGACCAGAGUACACUGGCCAAGUGGAGGAGCUAAUGAACCUGAUCGACUCGUCGCGCUUGGAUGGGCCUAGUGUGGUCGGCAACUUCCUCAGCCGACGAGUCAUGCCGUGCCAGAGGAGGGUGCACUCAGCGUAUGAGUACCAGGGAGGCCAGGACUCGACCAGAAUGCACCGGGACAACCUAGAGAAACUAGAGAUCCAGCGAAGGAUCAACGAGCUGUUCAACUUGGCUGACAGCAACUUCGUGCAAAGCAACGACCGUAUGCACGCGUAUAAGCUAGGUCGACCAGCUCUCAAGGUAAACAAUGACUUCAAUCAAUUUGCAGUUUUGUAAACUAUCAUUCGCUACCACUGAUAUCUUAUCACCUUUAUCUUGCAGAUCGGAGACAUUGACCGAGCGUCAGUGUAUAUAUAACUGGCACCUGGUAUGGAACACCCGGAGCGAGUAGACCCGCCGAUGGACAACGCUGCUCGGUGUUACCAGUACACUAGCAGUGACGAAGACGAUGGCAGACCGGUGCCAACGGUUGACGGUUCUUAAAUAUCAAAUUUAAUUAUAAAAUAAACAAAGAAAAGGAUCCAAAUGAAAUCAACAUCCAGACUUAGGGUUUUAUCUAACAGAAUUUCACGAGUUUUGGUGUUUGUCUAUUUCUGCAGGGGGUUAUCAGGAAAUACAGAAGAAAGGCCCACACGUCGGGAUUACAUAGAGAUAUCAAUGUGCCACACAAUUAUCUUACAUCUAGAAGACUCCAGAAGCCACGGGAAGGAAGCGGAGGCCGAACGGGGCUAGGCACUGGGCGCCCAACCAGUUGACCUGGGCGCCCGCCCCCUAUUGGACUCCAAUCAGGACUCUCUUUCGGGAAAGAUCUCCACCGACCUAAAGGAUCAAGGAUAACCGUUCAAUCAAUGUCGGUUUGAUCCAACGGCCCAUAUUCACUUGAAGGGACUAUAAAACCAGACCCUCUGGCCCUUGGAGGAGAGAGCCUCUCAACCCUAAUUCAUUAUUCUCAAGGGAGAAGAAGCCUCAGAUCAAGAUUAGAGCCACCACAUCAGUUAGACAUCUAGAUUAGCAUAGCUACAUAGGAUUAGAACUAGAAGGAGUCAAUCUUCGAUUGGUUUCUGGAUAUGUCAGGAGGAUUCUUGGUAAUUCUCUAAUUGUUCUUCUAAUUGUUCUUCUAAUCAUCUUUGUUCUUCAAUAUUAUGAAUAGACUUUGUUCUACUUCAAUAUAUUGCUUAUGACUUUGCUCUACUUGUUUAUAUUCAAGAUUAUAUUGUUCUUAGUUUAUCAUGGUUAUAUACUUGACUUAGUUAGAUUGGAUCUAUAUACAUGCUUAGGAUCGUAUAGCAUUUAUCCAUUGGAUCCAUGGGUAAAUGAUAGAUAUUGUGUAGGCGUGGUGCUUAUACCGUAUUUAUCUGCGAUUGUACCCAAUAUGCCAGAUCGUGGGGUAGUUCGUGAUAGUGAUAGCUUCAUUGAUUCUUAUAUAGUCCCCCUCUCAUGUAUUGGGCUGGUAGAGCAACAUUAUUACAGGGGAGUGAUUGCUAUGUUUCUCAUAUUCCUUGAUAAUCUCACUAUGCAUGGGCGUAGUCUUGUCUCGCAAUGAUUGCUAAGUAUGCUUGCACUAACUAUGAUAAUGCUAGACUAUAUAGUUGAGAAUAACUUAGGAAAUAUUCUUGUAGUUCGUUCUAAUACCAUGCUAAUGACUUUCUAGAAUAUCUAAUUGAGGUGCUUAUCAUAUUUAUUAUGUGGCUAAGUUAUGCUGAUCAGAUUAAUUAUCUUGGUCACUAUUUAUUACUUCAUAUAUCUUUUAUGUGACACUUAUCCCUAUAUGAAAGAGUUAGAUAAAUGUUCUCAAUUAUACAUGCAAUGAUAGAUACUCAAUGUUAUAUUCCAUUCUAUAAUCAACAUUGAUGAGUACUAAUCCCUUCCCAGUGGUAAAAAUAUAAAUAACGAUACCUGGAGUACUUCCUGGUUAAAAUGCUACAUCGGUAUUAAUCUGUGCGCUUGCAGAUCCCAUUCAUUAUUUAUUUAGAAGAGCAAUUGCAUAUUUCAAUACCGUGUCUCUCAUAUCAUGGUGGAGAUGACAACUUGGGUUAAGUGGUAUGAGGGAUAGGUUUGGCAUUUUUGGCACCGUUAUCAGAAUUAGAAAACUAAGUCUACUUUUGGUAGUGAUGUUAAGAAUACCCAACAAGCAUUUUUGGCGCCAUUGCCGGGGAAGGUUGAUUACUAAUCAGGAAGGGAUAUAGGAUUUUGAGUUAUCAUUCGCAUCACUAAUAUGAUUGAGCUUAUCAUUUCUCUCAUACAGUUUUACCCCGAUAUUUUCUAUUUUAUUUUAUGCAGGGGAAUGUAUGAAUAGAAGACAUCUUCUAGGAAAUUUUGUUGACAAUCCCGAAGCCUUAUUCAGGAAAACAAGAGCCAAGCUCAAGAUGAGAUCAUCAACACUUCAGCAAGAAGCUUCAUCCAAUCGAGAAGAUCACCGGAACUUGUCUUCAGAGUUCGAAGCCAUGGUGAAAAAAUCAAUCCGCGAGUUCUUAGCUCCCACUACGGACAACAUCUGCACUAGACCUGAUGCAGAGAUCGAUGGCAACUUUGAGCUCAAGCCUGGACUUAUCAACAUGGUGCAAUCCAACCAGUUCUGGGGGAAGACACACGAAGAUGCUAGUGCUGAUCUCCAACACUUCCUGCAGAUUUGCAGCACAUUCACCAUAUCAGGAGUUUCCACAGACGCUAUACUACUUCGCCUCUUCCCAUUCUCACUGUUAGGGAGAGCGAAGCAGUGGUUCUACACUACAAAGGAGAAGAAUACUAUGUGGGCACUCUGCUCAACAAACUUCCUGUCUAAGUUCUUUCCCAUGGGCAAGACCAUAAGUUUUCCAAAAGGAAUAUUGAAGAACCUUUGUGUCCGAGUUGGUACCUUGUAUGCCCCAGCAGACUUCGUGGUGAUAGAGACCGGUAAUGAUGAGAGGGCGCCCAUUAUCUUAGGGAGGCCAUUCUUGAACACCUCGGGAGCUGUCAUCUACGCUAGUGCUGCCAAGAUCAGUUUCUACAUCAAAGGGAGGAAGGAGACAUUUUCCUUCAAGAACAAGACUACACAAAUCCCAGAUCAAUCCCGACAUGAACCAAGCAGAGGACCAACAGGAGGAACAGGAACAAGAAAGUGUGGACCGAGUAAGCUAAGAUGGUCACUGCAGUUCAUGGAGGUCAAGAUCAUCAACUUAAGUCACCAUUUUUGACCAAGAAGGACGAACCAGGAAUGCCAAGCAUCUAUUGCUUCAUAAAUAGAUACAACUUCUACAAGACGACUUGCGACACCGGAUCGGGCGUCAACAUAAUGGCCGCAGUCACCUAUCGGCUCUUGUUCGGAACCAUGCCCCUAAAACCAACAUACAUUCAGCUCCAGAUGGCAGAUCAGACAUUUCGAGAAGUUAAAGGAAUAGUAACUGAUGUCCCUGUCAAAAUAGACGAUCAUUUUGUCUAGACAGACUUUCAGGUUAUUGACAUGGGAGAAGACGAGUACGAUCCACCCAUCAUCAUUGGAAGACCGUUCCUUAGCACCGUUAAAGCAAUUAUCUACAUUGGAACCAGAGAAGUCCAUAUGCACUUCCCCUCAGAGAAGGUACGCCGCUAUUUUACUGACCCUAACUAUAUCGUUGAAGAAUCUAAGCAGGUUAGAAAACGACGCAAUCGCAACCAGAGGAGGGAAAUCAUCAAGGACGGAUGGGCAGACUAUGAAGGAGAAGUUGUAAGGUCAGAAGACGUACAGUUUAAACAGAACUAUCCAGAGGAGACCAUAGCACCGAGUUAGGUGUGGAAAGAGAAGAUAACUGUACAUGAAGAAGAGGCGCCGCCGGAAGCACCGACUACGCCACCCAACGAAUCCCAGGACAACUAGAAAGCGGAGAGUCCCGUUCGGAGGACUUAAAAACACCGAACGCCUUGCCAAGAGGUAAACUUGGUAGUUAUCCUUUCCCUUUCAAUUAUUUAAAAUAGUUUGCUUAGUUAAUCUUGUUCAUACUAUCUUAAAAAGAAAAUAAAAAUGUUAAAAAACAGUAAGCCCCAUGUGAGUAUACGAGUGGCAUAAAACCCGUAAGUACAUUCACUGUGGUGGCAUAAAAAUAAAAUAAAUAUUUCUUUUCUGCUUUAUAAAACGAAAAUAUAAAAAUAGGGAGUAAUAUUUAUUGAGGAGUCUCAACACGAUAAAGGCUAGAUAUUUAUGCUAACACUUAAUCAGUUCCACAAAGCUUUGUUGUCUAUUUGAGCUCCACAGAAUUCAAGAAUCAAGAAGACUAGCAGACGGAGGACAUUCUAAUCGCUGUCAGGAUGCUGCCGACUUUCAAAUACACCUCUGCCACCUGCUAGCUACAUCAGAAGAAAUUACGUCAAAAUCCAGGUUGGGAGAGAGCACCCCCAUUUAUCCCGAUAAGUAUUUCUAUCUAUCUAUCUUUAUACUUAUAUUAUAUUAAAAUAUAAAUAUACAUAAUUAUGGAAAACCAAAUAAAGAUUUUAUGCUUAUAUAUAUAUCUUUUGCUUAGUAUGUUUAAUAAAUAAAUAAAGUGGCUAUGCUAAUCUGAAUCUUAAUAAUAAAACUCUAGCAUGGAUGUGAUGAAUAGUUGCUCUGCCUAAUUUUCAAAUUAGAGUUCUCUCUUAAGUUUAGACAUAACUGUUAUAAUUUAAAGCUUGCUCUAAACCUAAACUUGUGGGAAGAAAACUUGAUCUGAAGUCUAAGUUGUUAAAGGAUAUGAUAUGGGAAGGUUGAGCUACUGUUUAUCUGUUCCUAGAGAUGCUAGAAUUCUGGAGAAUUUUAUCUUUGAAAAUCUUUAAAAUAUUGCAUGAUGAGUUCCUAUAUGAUGAGAGUUUAAAUUCCUACCACAACCAUAUAUACAUGCUUGCUAGACUUUGAGCUACAUAUUUACUUUUUACUGCUUAUGAGCAUUGAGUGUGGUCAAGCUGUGUAGACCCUUAGGAGCUUGUCAUGUGGUUAAAAUCAAGAUUCACUUGCACGUUCACUCACACAUGCUACUUCUACUUAGGAAGUACCAUCCACAUAUAUCCACCCAUUUCCAUCUCCAGAACCACCUAAAAACAUUAUUCUCCUAAUCCGGGAGAGAAUAGUCAAAAAUAUUUCUGUUUUUCCCCUGUGAAAUAAAUGCUCAAGCUAUCUUGUUACUACCACUUGCUAUAUUAUCUCAAGAGAUGAGUGCUCUAAAAAAAAGAAAAAAAAGAAAUACGAGGAAAUAAAAAGGAGCAAGUGCCCGGAACCUCGAGAGAAAAGAAAAAGUGGGACGAGAGGUAAAAAUGGACAAGUGUCCGACAGUAGAAUUAGGGGUACAAGAUACCCACCUGAGAGAAAAGAAAAAGAAGAGCAUCUCAUUCUCCUCACAAAGUUUCAAAAAGCAAGGAAGGUAUGUAUCCCCUCAAAGAGCAAAAGUAGAAUUAGACUUUCACCAUUGUUAUCACCAUCAUCACCAUACACCAUUCAUUCGCCACACAUGCACAUCUUGAUUUGACUUAUUGAUUUGUUUCUUUGGAUNNNNNNNNNNNNNNNNNNNNNNNNNNNNNNNNNNNNNNNNNNNNNNNNNNNNNNNNNNNNNNNNNNNNNNNNNNNNNNNNNNNNNNNNNNNNNNNNNNNNAAUAUGCCAGAUCGUGGGGUAGUUCGUGAUAGUGAUAGCUUCAUUGAUUCUUAUAUAGUCCCCCUCUCAUGUAUUGGGCUGGUAGAGCAACAUUAUUACAGGGGAGUGAUUGCUAUGUUUCUCAUAUUCCUUGAUAAUCUCACUAUGCAUGGGCGUAGUCUUGUCUCGCAAUGAUUGCUAAGUAUGCUUGCACUAACUAUGAUAAUGCUAGACUAUAUAGUUGAGAAUAACUUAGGAAAUAUUCUUGUAGUUCGUUCUAAUACCAUGCUAAUGACUUUCUAGAAUAUCUAAUUGAGGUGCUUAUCAUAUUUAUUAUGUGGCUAAGUUAUGCUGAUCAGAUUAAUUAUCUUGGUCACUAUUUAUUACUUCAUAUAUCUUUUAUGUGACACUUAUCCCUAUAUGAAAGAGUUAGAUAAAUGUUCUCAAUUAUACAUGCAAUGAUAGAUACUCAAUGUUAUAUUCCAUUCUAUAAUCAACAUUGAUGAGUACUAAUCCCUUCCCAGUGGUAAAAAUAUAAAUAACGAUACCUGGAGUACUUCCUGGUUAAAAUGCUACAUCGGUAUUAAUCUGUGCGCUUGCAGAUCCCAUUCAUUAUUUAUUUAGAAGAGCAAUUGCAUAUUUCAAUACCGUGUCUCUCAUAUCAUGGUGGAGAUGACAACUUGGGUUAAGUGGUAUGAGGGAUAGGUUUGGCAUUUUUGGCACCGUUAUCAGAAUUAGAAAACUAAGUCUACUUUUGGUAGUGAUGUUAAGAAUACCCAACAAGCAUUUUUGGCGCCAUUGCCGGGGAAGGUUGAUUACUAAUCAGGAAGGGAUAUAGGAUUUUGAGUUAUCAUUCGCAUCACUAAUAUGAUUGAGCUUAUCAUUUCUCUCAUACAGUUUUACCCCGAUAUUUUCUAUUUUAUUUUAUGCAGGGGAAUGUAUGAAUAGAAGACAUCUUCUAGGAAAUUUUGUUGACAAUCCCGAAGCCUUAUUCAGGAAAACAAGAGCCAAGCUCAAGAUGAGAUCAUCAACACUUCAGCAAGAAGCUUCAUCCAAUCGAGAAGAUCACCGGAACUUGUCUUAAGAGUUCGAAGCUAUGGCGAACAAAUCGAUCCGCGAGUUCUCAGCUCCCACUACAGCAUACAUCCGCACUGGACCUCCUGCAGAGAUCGACGGCAACUUUGAGCUCAAGCCUGGACUUAUCAACAUGAUGGAAUCCAACCACUUCUCUGGGAAGGCACACGAAGAUGCUAGUGCUAAUCUCCAACAUUUCCUAGAGAUUUGCAGCACAUCUACCACAUCAGGAGUCCCCAAAGAUGCUAUACUACUUCGCCUCUUCCCAUUCUCACUAUUGGGGAGAGCGAAGCAGCGGUGUUAUGCUACAAAGGAGAAGAAUACUACGUGGGCACUCUGCUCCACGAACUUUCUGGCGAAGUUCUUUCCCAUGGGCGAGACGAAUCCUCUCCGUGGGGGAAUUACAACUUGUCAGCAACAACAUGAUGAAUCUGUUCNNNNNNNNNNNNNNNNNNNNNNNNNNNNNNNNNNNNNNNNNNNNNNNNNNNNNNNNNNNNNNNNNNNNNNNNNNNNNNNNNNNNNNNNNNNNNNNNNNNNUUGGCCGCCGGAAGGUGGUAAGUCGGGGAUGUUGGGAGUUUGUUGAUGGUUCUUAAGUAUCUAAUUUAAUUAUCAAAUAAACAAAGAAAAGGAUCCAAAUGAAAUCAGCAUCCAGACUUAGGGUUUUAUCUGACAGAAUUCCACGAGUUUUGGUGUUUGUCUAUUUCUGCAGGAGGUUAUCAGGAAAUACAGAAGAAAGGCCCACACGUCGGGAUUACAUAGAGAUAUCAACGUGCCGCGCAAUUAUCUUACAUCUAGAAGACUCCAGAAGCCACGGGAAGGAAGCGGAGGCCGAACGGGGCUAGGCACUGGGCGCCCGCCUAGUUGACCUGGGCACCCGCCCCCUGUUGGACUCCAAUCAGGACUCUCUUUCGGGAAAGAUCUCCACCGACCUAAAGGAUCAAGGAUAACCGUUCAAUAAAUGUCGGUUUGAUCCAACGACCCAUAUUCACUUGCAGGGACUAUAAAACCAGACCCCUUGGCCCCUGGAGGAGAGAGCCUCUCAACCCUAAUUCAUUAUUCUCAAGGGAGAAGAAGCCUCUGAUCAAGAUUAGAGCCACCACAUCAAUUAGACAUAUAGAUUAGCAUAGCUACAUAGGAUUAGAACUAGAAGGAGUCAAUCUUCGAUUGGUUUCCGGAUCUGUCAGGAGGAUUCUUGAUAAUUCUCUAAUUAUUCUUCUAAUUGUUCUUCUAAUCAUCUUUGUUCUUCAAUAUUAUGAAUAUGACUUUGUUCUACUUCAAUAUAUUGCUUAUGACUUUGCUCUACUUAUUUAUAUUCAAGAUUAUAUUGUUCUUAGUUUAUCAUGGUUAUAUACUUGGCUUAGUUAGAUUGGAUCUAUAUACAUGAUUAGGAUCGUAUAGCGUUUAUCCAUUGGAUCCAUGGGUGAAUGAUAGAUAUUGUGUAGGCAUGGUGCUUAUACCGUAUUUAUCUGCAAUUGUACCCAAUAUGCCAGAUCGUGGGUGUCACACCCCAAAAUUCCUACUUUGGAAUGUGACUUCGAAAACACUAAAAACAAAGACAAAGAUUUUAUGAUUUUAUAAAAUAUUCAAACCUUAGUUAUGUUGUCAGUAUUUUAGGUAGUGGAAAAAUGUGGAUUUCUAAAACUUUUGCAAUUCAACAUAGUGGAGUGUUGCACUCAUGCUGUUGCACAAUGUUUAUGCUUGAAAAAUGAAUUUAUUUGUUUCCAAAAUACGCCUAGUCUUUGAUCCCAUCUUCAUCUCCCUAAAAUACCAAAUCGGUAUUCAAAACUCCUAUCAAGUCUUUUGCUGACAUCCUACAAAAAUCUAGCAUGUCUUGUUCUCUUUCUCUUUCUCUUUCCUUUCCUUUCUUUCUUGAGCUCUCAAUCAUUUUGGUGUCCACAAAUUAUUCUUGCCAAUCUUUUGUUGUCUCUCAAUCAUUCAUAUAAAUGAAGCUUAAAUUUUCUUGCUCUUUCAUGUGAAAACAGCAUCCCUCUCCUUAUGCUACAACCCCUACUUUUUUCCGUUCAACCAAAAAUAACAGUUACACAUAAUGCCCAUUCACAAAUUUUCUUGACACUUUUUCUUUUAAUCACCUCCCCUUAAUUUCUCCAUUUUAUUUUUGAGCAGCAACUAAAUUAUUGCAGAGCAUGGCUGGACUCCACAUUCUUUUACUGCUCUCAUGCAAGAACAGAUAAAUCAUUUCUUUUCUUUCUCUUAAAUUUCCUAGACCCACUUUACAUUUCCAUUUAUUUUUCCUCAUGCAGCCAUUCAUUCUCAGGCUGCACCCCCACGGCUUGCUCCUUCUCCUCUCAUGCAAAACAAAAACUACAACAAAUACUUUGUCCUUUAAUUUCCAAGGCAAUACCUCUCUUUAAUCCUCUCUUUUGCCAACCCUUACUCCAUUGCAUGCACAUAUGCAACAUAGAUACACCUAUCUUCUCUCCUCUUUCCCUCCAUCACACACAACAAAUGAACAUCAAUUCCUUGUUUGUCAUCCUUUCUCUUGCUGCUGCCCCACGCCAGCCCCUCUCUUCAUGCAAAAAUAUGUGCAUCUAUCCAUUUCUCUCAUCCCAUCUCAUUUAUGUGUGCUUCUUUAAUCCAUUCUUUCAAAUGCAAUGCAUGGACAUUACAGCCAUCCACAUUUUCUCUUCUCUUCUAUGCAACCAUGCAUUCUCACUCUCUCUCCCACGUACGUGCACCCAACUAUUUUGGUGCCACAUCCUCUUUCUAUUUAGUCUCUUGCAAAAACACUAGUACCACAUAAUUCAUUCUCCCUUAAUUUUUCCUUGAUGACACAUCUUUAUAAUUCUCUCUUAAUACCAUCUUUUCACUCCCCAGUUUUCUCCAUCUCGUGAAAUACAGCAGCAGCCCCACUAUUCUCCAUACCGACCACCUUAUCCCUCUCUCAUGCAAAAAUAAUUGCAAUACAUAAUACUCCUCCUUAAUCACAUACUUCUCUGGUCUCCUCUUCAUUUGCAUGCACAAGACAGUAAUUAUAUUUCUUCCUUUUUCUCGUCAUGCAAAAUCAGAUGGCGUCUCCUCUCUACCUCAUCUAAAAAAAACAGCAUCCAAUGCUUACUCUCUAAAUUCCUUGGUCACACCUAUUUUUGACUCUCUAAUGGCUACUCCUUCACUCCAUUCUAAUCAAUUGCAUGCACAUAUAAGUCUCUUUUCCUAAGGCCAUAUAUUCCUUUUCUCACAUGCAGCCAUUGCAGCAAAUAUUCAUCAAUCAACUCCCUUUACAAACCCCUUUUUUAUUUACCCCUCUCUAACUGCACAAGUGAAAUGCUAAUGAAAUAGUCAUGCAUCUUUAUCCACUCUCUCCAUGCAGAACACAUGACGCCUCCUCCCAUCCCAUCAUGCAAAGAAAACAAAUAAAUAGCAACAUCACUAUCCUUAAUAAUCCCUCUCUUAUUUCUACAACUUACUCCAUUUCUUGAAUGGCAUGCAUACAUGCAGAUAAUUUAUCUCCUCCAUUCUUUUCUCACACAUAACCAUCAGUUGCAUGCCUCUCUUUAAUCUUAUUUUAAUAUAACCUUUUACUCCAUCAAAUAUUUAGUCCUCAUUGACAUGCAAUGGCAGCCGGAUUACUCACCUCCCUUCUCUAGUUACGCCUCUCCUCUCUCUCCCUCAAAUAAAAUAACAGCAAGCCACAAUGUAUCGCUUGACUACUAUCUUUACAUGCAAAUCUUUAUUUUCUCCUCACUAAUGCCUAUAUGCAUUCUCUUCCUCACUGAUUUGACCAGCUCUCCUCCAUAUUAUGGCGCCUUCUCUCUUGUUCUCUCAUGCAAAAAUAUCACAUUUGUUCUCCCCUUAAUCUCCCUUAAUUUCUAUUUUACUCCGUGUGCAUGCAACAGGCAGCCAUAUCUUCUCUCUUCCUUCCCCCACACUGCCAAGAACGCCUCUCCCUUCUUCCCAUGCAGAAUUAUGUGCACACAUUCAUUCUUCCAUUGACUCACCUCUCUCAUUUCUAUUCCAUUACUCAACCUUCAAUUGCAUGCACCCAUGCAACAAAUGGCAGCUAUAUUUCUUUCCUUCUCUCCCUCUCACGCAAGCAUCAGAAGGGGCAUUCUAUCUCCUUCCUUCCUCCACCAGCAGGGGGCCUCCUCCUCUUCUCCUCUCACCCUCACACCACCACUAGAGAAGAAGCACACCAUCCUCUCCAUUUCCUUCCCCAUGGCUGCUCCCACCACAUUUCCUCCCUGUCCCUCUUUUGUUCCUGUACUUAAGCACCAGACAAGGAGCAUCCUCAUCUCCUCCCCUUUCCUCCAUCACCUGGACGCCCCUCCUCUUCCAAUUCCUUCCUCUCCACCAAAACAAGAAGACUUUGCUGCAAAGAACCAGUUUUCUGCAGCAAUCCUAAUCCUGAGCACCGGAGUCAUCGUUUGGAGGAAGCAAUCGUCACUACUGUUUCAGUAUAGUGCAUGGUGAGGUCGCCCCUCUCUCUCCCAUCUCUGAUCAUGCUGCCUGUAACCCUCUCAUCCAUCUCCAUGAUCCCUGGUUUGCUGCAGAUUCUCUCCAAGACCGAAUCAUCGUUGUCAUCUCUGUGAACGUGCUGGUGGCAUCGAUCCUAGUGGCCAUGUUGAUGCUACCGUUGGCCCUUGCCAAACAGUAAGGUCAUCCCUCUGAUUUCCCUCUCUAGUAUUGUUGUUCGUACCUCUCUCAUAUGUCUCCUUGAUUUGUAAUGAGGCAUGGAUGAUCCCCAACGUGCAUUCGGUACUGUUCUGUUGAUCACCAGCAACUACAUCUUUUCGAUGCUAGCUGCUGCCAACCACAUCAUCAGUUGUUAAAAUUCCUUGAUGUAAGAACCUUGUAAUAUCCUCCAUGAUGUUUUCAUGUUCCUGUAGCAAACCAUGUACUCAUAUUUAUUUUGAUCGAAUUUCUGCAAAGUUUUCCCCGCAAUCGUGUUGCUGUCCUUUUCGGACAGCGGUGCUAUUGUCAGCCAGUCUUCAUGUUCUCCAAUGAUCCAACAAGCUCUAUGAUGAAUCCUUUGACUAUAACAUCAUUUAUAUAUUUACACACAUCCCUGCAAAAUUUCAUAGCAAGAGACUUCAAGAAGAAAGAUAUAAUCGUCUUUUGAGUGCUUGCUGUCCCUGCUAUUUCAGCAGUGUUGCGCCUCUGUUUGGUAGUGAUGUUCCACAUAAUACAUUAGAAAAAUCAUCAAACCAUUCAUACAGCAUGUGUGUCCUAUCCUUGCACAUGCCUCUGCAAAGUUUCAUGGCUAUAGGAUCAAAUGUGGAAGAGAUAUGAUCCUAUCUUUUCCGCACUGUCCCUGCUGCCCCGCAGCAGAGUUCCAGCUGGUUGGCAUGCAUAUUCCUAAUGCUCCAUCACUCCAGUGACUGUGUACUUCAACCACAAUGUGUCUUAUAUUGUUGCACAUGCCUCUGAGAAAUUCCGUGGCCAUAGGAUUCAUGGUAAAAGAGAAAUGUUUCUAUCUUGUGCUUGCUGUCCCCGCAGCCCCGCAGCAGAGUUCCUGCUAAUUGGCGAGUGCGUUGCCGAAAAUCCACUACUCCGUUUGUCAAAUCCUAUUACCCACCUGUGUAUAAUAAACUUACACAUGCCUCUGCAAGUUGGUUUGUCCAUAGGUGCCACGAUUGUCGUGAUAUAGUGGUCACAGUAACUGCUACAGCUGUUGUCCAGUAGACAGCAGUGCAAGUCCUUUUGCAGUCAUGUUUCCCGGUCCUCCAAUACUUGGAAUAACUUGUUCUUUUGCCAAAAUAUACUCCAUACAGUCCACAACAAACCCACAAAAAUGAUCUCAAUUUGGUGCUGCUAAGACCAUGUUCUUUGUAAUCAUAACCACCACUGUCUGCCACUGGGUUUUCUCAACCGGUGCGCAAAUCGUCAUCAUCGUGCUUCCCUUUUAUGUAACAUUUCAUCGGUGCAGCCACUAGUCAUAAUAUGUUCCAUGUAUCCUCUUCACAAAUUUAUAGUCAUCAACAAAUUAUCUAUAGAUCCUUGUGCUCCAUAAACCUUCCAGCCACAUUCAUCAUGUUUAUUCCAUUCCUAUCAUUUAUCGAACCUUCCAACUUCUACUUUUGAACAUUCAUGUCUUUUAAACCAUAGCUCUGUUUAGUUGUUUAUGUGCUCAAACAUUCAUAGUUGCAAGCCCUACAUGUUUAAAACCUUUGUGUCUUGUUUUAUAAUGCUUGAUGUAUUGUUUUUAGGUUUCUUUUAUGGUGCUUGUACCGGUUGAUUGCUAUCGUUAGAAGAGGAGCUCUACAAGGGAUAAUCAAGAAGUUGGAUAGCAAGAAUUUGGAAGGCAAGUGUAACAUGAGUUCCCUUGUUACCUAAUAACUAUUUAAUCACCUCUUCAUGUGCAUGUGUCUAAUAUGAUAAACCCCUAAGGACUUUACCUAGAACUUUUGUUAUCCUGAAUCCCUUGUUACCUUGGGUUUUGCAUAUGGGUAGUUUUGCUUAGUCUGCAAUCACCAAACUAUAUAAUGUUAAUCUUGACUAAUGGAUUAUGUAAUCAAUGAUAAAAUGAUGCUUUUUAGCAAUAUGGAUAGAAGGGGGCUAGAGCAUUGGGCCUUUUUGGGUGCUCUAGUCUGCCCUCCGUAAGGACUGAAUCUUAAAGCGGCCACCCAGGAUUUACCGUACAGCCAUGAGAGCUACAUGGCUCUAGCUUUAGCUCAGUAAACUGAACUUCUCUAACUUGUUAGUGGUUACCAAAAGGUGCAAGAGGGGGGUGCCUCGUGGUGUAUAGUUGUUUUCCUACCUUGGUGUGUACAGUGCCGCGACCACAUGUGCCUCUUGGAGGAGGACACCUAUGCACACUUGCCAUUGAAACCUCGCGGCUACUAACUUGUUAGGGGUACUUUUGAAAGGCUUCAUAGUGAACCCUGCUGACUUACCUUGGAAGUGGGUCAAGAGGCUGAUCAUCUUGGGCAUAUGGGUAACACGACUCAUGGUGAAAGUGUACAAGCUCUGCAGAGUGUUUUAAAACUGAUAUAUCAGCCGUGCUCACGGACACGAGCGGCCUGGAUCCUUUUCGAGAUAGAUGGUUCUAUGGAUGGUUUGGGUGAUGAAUAAUGUUGAUGUUAAUUAUACUUCUCACCUUGGGAGCUUAAGCAUAACCUAGCAACAUAGGUCUAAUAAUAAAAUAUGACCAACUAAAAAUGCUCAGCGCAGUCAAACCAAGUCAAGCCUUUUGAGCCUUGCAUCCCCUCAUGUUAUACUUGUUGAGUAUGGUGCGCUCACACUUGCUUUACAUUCAACAAUCAAAAAUCCCGGAUGGGUACCAGAUGGUGAUACAAAGGUGGAGUUUCCUGAGAUGUUCCAGGAGUACUAAGCGAGUGUACCCCCAGUCAACCGUCCCUGUGGAAAAUGGAGACCCAAAGUGAAGAUUAGGAUUAGUUUUCGCUAUGCUUUGUAAUAGAUGUAAGUCAUGUUGUAACUAUGUUCCGAUAUAUAAUAAAGCAUUGUUCUUGAUAUUCUCCAUAUUUGUCGUUAUAUGUGUCAUGUGGACAUCCUGGGUACACAUAUAGUUAGCGCUUGGUCUUCUUUGGAAAACCGGGUGCGACAGUGGGGUAGUUCGUGAUAGUGAUAGCUUCAUUGAUUCUUAUAUAGUCCCCCUCUCGUGUAUUGGGCUGGCAGAGCAACACUAUUACAGGGGAGUGAUUGCUAUGUUUCUCAUAUUCCUUGAUAAUUUCACUAUGCAUGGGCGUAGUCUUGUCUCGCAAUGAUUGCUAAGUAUGCUUGCACUAACUAUGAUAAUGCUAGACUAUAUAGUUGAGAAUAACUUAGGAAAUAUUCUUGUAGUUCGUUCUAAUACCAUGCUAAUGACUUUCUAGAAUAUCUAAUUGAAGUGCUUAUCAUAUUUAUUAUGUGGCUAAGUUAUACUAAUCAGAUUAAUUAUCUUGUCACUAUUCAUUACUUUAUAUAUCCUUUAUGUGACACUUACCCCUGUAUGAAAGAGUUAGAUAAAUGUUCUCAAUUAUACAUGCAAUGAUAGAUACUCAAUCUCAUAUUCCAUUCUAUAAUCAAUACUGAUGAUUGUUAAUCCCUUCCUAGUGGUAAAAAUAUAAAUAACGAUACCUGGAAUACUUUUCGGUUAAAAUGCUACAUCGGUAUUAAUCUGUGCGCUUGCAGAUCUCAUUUAUUAUUUAUUUAGAAGAGCAAUUGCAUAUUUCACCGCGUCUCUCAUGUCAUGCUGGGGAUGACAACUUGGCUUAAGUGGUAUGAUGGAUAGGUUUGGCAUUUUUGGCACCGUUAUCAGAAUUCCAAAACUAAGUCUACUUUUGGUAGUGAUGUUAAGAAUACCCAACACCAACCACCAAAGAUAGGGUCACCGGUAAAAGGCCAAUGGCCAGAGAGCUGACCCGAGCAGGAGCGGUGCCAGCAGAAAUGGCUCUAGGGCCUUUAACAGGCCAAGGCUCGGCCUCGGGAAACCAAGCGCCAAAACGCCGCCGACUCCUCCGAGUUGUGGACGACGACGAUGAAGAAGAAGAGGCGGGCCUGACCUUAGUCUACAAGCCGCGCACCCACCCGGAUGUGGCCCCAGGAGAGGGUGGUCGGACCGCCAGAGAUCCGCCCACCGCCCACGCCUUUGCCGAGCAGGCGCGCCCAAGCAAGGCCGAAGCAGCAGCGGCAGCUGGCCGUGCCAGGCGGAGGGUCUUCACGGCGUCGCACAGGAGCUCCAACCUGUAAGUAAAAAAACAACCACGUUUUUCAUGAAGUUGGUGUUGACGGUCCUUAAGUACUAAAAUUAAUAAUCAAAUAAACAUGGAAAGGAUCAAUAUGCACCAAACAUCUAGAAUUAGCUGUUUUUCACUCCUAUGAGCUCCACUUAAACAUUCCAUUAGCUAUAGGUAAGUGACAUUUUUGGUAAGGAUCCACAAAUACCAUAUAUAGAGAGACUUGAGAGAAUCAUUGCUGGGAACUCUGAGUUUUAUUUUGAAAACUUAUGAAAAACUAUGGAACAAAGGUGAAGUAUAGACAGGAGGAAUAGUGCUUGACUUAAUUAUUUUGUCUUUCAAUUACUUAAGACUUAAGUGCAGGUACUAAGUUCUAUAACACUUCACUCUAAUCUGGAAGAAUUUUGUAAAAGCAUGUGUGCCUGUCAGGAAAGAAAACAUCGAAGCAGCUCCUGAUCAAAGUGUAAGCUUGUGGGAGUUUGUUGACGGUCCUUAAGUACUAAAAUUAACAAUCAAAUCAACAUGGAAAAGGAUCAAUAUGCACCAAACAUCUAGAAUUAUGGUUUUAUCUGACAGAAUUCCACAAGCUUUGGUGUUUAUCUAUUUCUGCAGGGGGUUAUCAGAGAAUAUGGAGAGAAGGCCCACAUGUCAUGUUUACAACGAGAUAAUUACGUGCCGCGCAAUUUUCCUCAAUCUAGAAGAGUCCAGAAGCCACGGGAACGAACGAGAACACGAUCGGGCUCGGGGGCAGGGCGCCCGCCCACCCCCCUUGGGCGCCCGCCCUGGCCAGGAGUUGGAUCAGGACUCUCUUUCGAGACUACACUCCACCGACCUAAAGGAUCAAUCUAAACCACACAAUCAAUGUCGGUUUGAUCCAACGGCCCAAAUUCACUUGAAAGGACUAUAAAACCAAGGCCUCUCCACCCCUGGAGGAGAGAGGAGAAGAGAAGAAAUCAUUAUUCAGAGGUAGCCAUCAAAGUUAGGGUUUAGAGCUUCUCUCCCACAGAGAAUUAGAAUUAGCUACUCCCUAAUCCUUCAAGUUUAGAGGAUUGAUUAGAUAGCAAUUAGAGAAGUAGAGCACUACGCUCUGGAUUCGGAUCUUCGGUAAUAAAGAUUGGUAUUGUUCAUAUCUUUCUCUAAUUCUUUGUUCUAAUUGCAUUAUGUCUCUAAUUAUUAUGUUCUUAGUUUGCUCUAGUUCUAUAUUUGAUAUAGUUAUGAUUGAUAAUGAGUUUAUGUAUAAGUUUGCAAAGCGCUUAGCUCUUGACGCGAGAGAGUUAGGUGAUAGAUCACAUGUGAGCGUGGUGCUUAGAUGUUAUUUAUCUGCAAAUGUAUCCUAUUGGCCGGGUUGUGUGGUAGUUCGCGAUAGUGACAGCUUCGUUGAUUCUUAUAUAGUCCACCCUCCGUUGAUAGGACAGGCAGAACUGGUAUUGUGGAGUAAGUCUUGUGAUGCUCUGAUUUACUUUAGCAAUGUUCCUUAUACAUGAAUGAAGAGUCUUUUAUGCUAUAUAUGAUCUUGUAGAUAACUAGAGUAGAUUAUGACUUAGUAGAUAGUAGAUAACUUAGAAUCCAUUCUCUAGCUAAUCCGACAUCACCCACAUAUAUGAGAAGUAGUCUAUUUUCUAAUCGCUGUGUUAUUUACCCAUGAACUUAUAAUUCAUUAUCAUUAUCUUUAUGGUUUACCCCCUGCCAAAGUAAGUUACUGUGUGACGAGUUUCUCAUUAGUAAUCAUGUUCUUGCAAGUUUAUCUCUAGUCUAUGCCUUGAUAGAUUUUGUCCUUAUUUUAAUUUCAUCCCUUUUGUUCUCUUAAGCAAAAUUAUAAAUAACGAUACCUGGAAUACUUAUCCUGGUGAAAUGCUACAAUGAGGUGUUUUAUCUGUGCGCUUGCGGAUAGAAUAGAUUAUUUUCUAAAGAGCCUUUACAUUUAUAAAUACCUUUGUACACUCUGGCACCAUGCUGGGGAUGACAACCUAGUAUCUAAGUGGUGUUAGCUAGUGUCAACAAGCAUUUCUGGCGCUGUUGCCGGGGAGCAAAAGGGUAAUACAUAGGAACGGUAAGGUAAGUUAGGAAAUCAGUCAAGGUUAUUGACAUAAAAUAUUAGACUAGACUAUAGAGAAAUAAUUGCAUAAAACAGCUACUAAGUGAGAAAUCAUAACAAGGCACCUCUGCUUUGGCAGGUUCACCCUGUUGUUUUUCUAUGUUUAUAUUUUUAUAGAGGGUAUAUCAGGAUUGACUUUGGGUACAUUCAACUCUUCAUCAUCAGAAGCAAAGCAAUCAAGAGAAGAAGAAGCUAGCUACCAAUUGCUAAAGCUAUGGCACAGAAGACCUUGCAAGAAUUCUCUGCUCCAAGUCUUGAGAACAUUCCAACUGGUCCAAGAUUUGGAGUAGAAGAAGGAGUACCCGAGUUUGAGCUCAAGUCAAGCCUCAUCAAUUUGGUGCAAGCUACACAAUUCAAUGGAAAGGCACAUGAAGAUGCUAGUGCACACUUGCAGAAUUUCUUAGAGAUUGGAAGCACAAUCCACAUCAACGGAGUUGACAAAGACGUCAUACUGCUUCGCCUUUUUCCAUUCUCACUAGAAGGAAAAGCGAGGAAGUGGUUCUACACUCAUCAAGAUAACAUCAACAACUGGACGAACUUGUCAGAUGCCUUUCUAUCAAAGUUUUUCCCUAUAGGCAAAACAACUGCCUUAAGAGGAAAUAUUGUCAGUUUCCAACAACAGAAGACAGAAGCCAUUUCAGAAGCAUGGGAGCGUUUUCAAGGAUACAUAUCAGAUUGUCCUCACCAUGGAAUGACCACACGGUUACUUAUGUAGACCUUCUACCAUGGAUUAACCCAGAAGGCUCGUGAGUGGCUAGAUGCAUCUGCUAAAGGAUCAUUCUUGGAGCUUACAACUGGAAAAGCAGAGAUACUUUUGGAUAAGAUAGCAGAAAACCAAAGCUGGUUCCAAGAUGAAGCCCAACAAUGUCACCAAACUGAAGAAAUGCCAGAAGAAGUAAAAACAUUAUCAACCAGGAUGGAAAAUUUGCUCCAUUGGAUUGACCAGAGGGCCAAGUUCAAAGAAGAUCAAAGGGCCAUUGAGACAGCAUACAAAUAUCAACCAACCUCGAGUCAACCCAUUAGCAAAGGUAUGAAUUCAGGUAAUACUUUCAAGCAACUUUCAUUAAAAGAGAUAAUUGCUCAACAAACCAAAACUAAUGAUGAAGUUAAACAAAGGCUAGAUAUAAAUGAAUCAUCUCUAAAAGAUAUACACAAUAAAAUGGAUUUUCUAUUAACUGCCUUUGAUGAGCAAAACACUCUUAAUAAAAGGGUAGAGCUUAAAUUAAUAAAGCUAGCUGCUACACUGCCUAUUGCUACUAACAUUGAGCAGGUAAAGAAUAUAACUACUAGAGGAGGCAAAGCCACUAGAGAUCCCCCAUACCCAAAAGAGAAACAAAGAACAUCAGCACCAGUGCAACCAGCAGUGAUAGAAGAAGAAAGCCCAGUUGAAGCAGGAGAUCUGCUACAACCACCAAGAACUGGAGAAAUGAGGAAAGAUUUUUACGACACCAACUAUUUGUCAUUUCCCAGAAGAAACAGAGGACUGCAGUCGGAUGAGCAGUUUGGUAAGUUUGUAGAGGUCAUUCAGAAAUUAUAUGUCAACAUACCUCUGCUCGAUGCCAUAUAGGUACCUACAUAUGCAAAGUACAUCAGAGAUAUUCUUAACAAGAAGAGACCACUGCCCACCACUGAGGUUAUCAAGCUAACAGAAGAAUGUAGUGCAGCCAUCCUCAAUAUACCACCAAGGAAGAAGGAAGAUCCCGGAUGUCCCACUAUUGAUUGCUCGAUCGGAAACCAACACUUCAACAAUGCACUUUGUGAUCUCGGAGCAAGUGUCAGUGUGAUGCCAGCAUCAGUCUACAAAAAGCUUGAGCAUGCGACCCUAGAACCAACAUCAAUGUGCGUACAGCUAGCGGAUCAAUCGGUUCGACACCCGUUGGGCAUCGCCGAAAAUAUUCCAGUCAAGAUCAGAGAUUUCCUUGUGCCAGUAGACUUCAUAGUACUGGACAUGAGUCCUGACUCAAAAGUGUCCAUCAUCCUUGGAAGGCCAUUUCUGAGCACUGCCAAUGCCCACAUUGAUGUCGGGAAAGGAGAAAUCAAGUUCAACAUAAACGGAAAGGAAGAACACUUCACAUUCAAACCCAGACCAGAGAGAGACUCUACAGUGAAGGAAGUUCAUGAAGAACCACUGGAGACACCAUCUCCGGAGGAAGGUAACUCAGAAGAUUAAAAGAUUUGGAGGUCCAGCUUGGGGGACCUAAAAAUCCCAAACCCUCAUCGGAAGGUAAAUCGGUAUUUAUCCGCAUUAUUAAUUUUCUCAUAUUUAAAUUCUUGCAUAACUAAUUCUUGCAAUAGUCAUAGCAUUAUUAUAAUAAUCAAAAUCCCCAUAUAAAUAAUAUUCAUGGUGUGUAACAACCCAUAUUUAUUAAUUAUUGUGGAGGCAUAAAAAUAUUUUCCAUUAUCAUUUUAAUUAAGUUUGAAUUCUCAUAGAUUUUCCUGCAUUAUAUUUAAUUAUAGCAAGCUUCUAGAAGCAUGACCCACUCUCCUUGGGUCCCACAUGUCAUACACCACACCUCACAUACAUCCCAUCACAUUAUUUCAUCCACCAACAUAUCUCCACUAACCAGCACUUUUCCACCGGCCAACCACCACCCAUGAUACAUUAUCUUGCGUGAGAAUUAACCAGAGAAGGGAGUGGAGAAAGGGCAGCUAGAAUGGGCACCAAAGGUGGGCGCCCGCCCACCUACCAAGGGCGCCCGCCCUGCCCCCUCUUCCUCCUAUAAAUAGCCACCUUCUACCUCCAUCUUCUUCACACAAGCAUUCCAGAAAACCACAAAAGUUUCAGUUUCCAGAGAAGGAGCUCUUACAGUGAAGUGAGAAGAGAGUAGAGAGGAAGAGAAGAGUGGGAAAGAAGUUGGUAGUUUUUGAGUGAGAGAGUGAUUUUCACCUAGUAAGUAGUGAUCCCGCUGUCCAAAGCGGAAGUAAAAGUUGUUUAGGGGGAGGUUCUGCCAAAAUACAAACUUGAAAACUAACCCCUGGACUACUGACAUUCCAGACAACUGACCACUAACAUUUUCUCUCACAUUUUCCACUAGUUGUGUUUUUGCCAAAUUUUGUUUACAGGAUGUUUAAGAAGGUGAAGAACGCAGGGAAGGCUCUCAAGAACAUUGGUACAAGGAGUUCAUCCCGACACUCCUCACACCCAUCAGAGAUGAGCGUCGACCCAACGCCUACACAAGCUCCGUCAUCUUCAUCUAAUCAGCAAGUCAAGGUCCUUCUCAAGAUAGGAGACCUUGGACUAAAGACCCGAAGAGAGAAACAAGUAUAUCAGCAAUUGAAGAACAAAGAUUUCAUUCACACCCCUACUCUUGAUCCAAUCUUACUACAAGAAACAGGUAUGGACACUGAAUUCGACUUAAUUUUCCAGAUGAUAGGUUGGACAAAUUUUUGGAAUAUAACUGAGCUGGGUUCUCAUCUUCUCACCCUCGAAUUUCUUUGCACCUUACAAUAUUAUGAGGGGGGAAUUGUUUUUCGGAUGUUCAAACAGGAUAUUAUGUUGUCUUGGAGAGGACUAAGCGACCAUCUUGGUUUCUCUUCAAGAUGCAUCCUGAACAUUGACUCCGACCUACCUAACUUUGAGAGACACCAGUUUUAGAGAGAAAUAUCUAGAAAUAAUUUUUAUAGUCAAGCCCGAACCAGUGAUAUGGAACACCCCACUCUUAGGAUGUUCCACAAAUGGCUUGGGUACAAUCUUUUCUAUCAUGAUGAUAUUAGGAAAGUAAGAGUAGGAGAUUUGUAACUUUUAUAUGCUGCUAUUAAUAAAGUACCAACUUCACCUGUUACACUUUUAGUUUCUCAUUGGCUUAGUGUACCUAGUCUUCAGGGACCAGUAGGAUCUACUUCACUUAUCACUCGUCUAGCCUCUAACCUUCAUUUACUAGAAAACUCGUCGUUGGAAUUCAUAGAUGAGUUAAGAAUUUAUCAUGGCUAUGACACAUUUAGACAGGCUCGGAUGUUAAAGAAAGAGGGGAAUGUAAUGUAUAUGCUAUAUGAUGAUAAAGGCAAGAUUCGGUUACCUAACCCGAACCUUGGCCUCUACGUUGUUCAAAAUUUUUUGAUUGAGAUUGCAGCAACACCAGUGAACCAGAGAGCUCCACAGCGAGUGGCAUCUGAAAGGAUAACCACCCAUCGAGAACGCACCUGGUAUGGAGCUGAUCCCGGACCAGAAGAAGCAGCGCACCUGCAUUAUAGCGACUACAACCCCCGAGUCCUUCGAGACCCGUGGGUUCGACAUGCGCAACCACAAGAGCCAACAGAGGAGAUAUGGCCGGAGAGCCAAGAUCACCAGUGGACAAACCCGCCUUUUCAUACAGGCAGGUACUCCACUGAUCCAUAUGGACCUUCAGGAUCCAGACCUCCGCCUCAAUUUGAUGCAGGACGAUACUCCAACGCCUCCUACGCUUUCACGAAUGACUACUAUCAAGAGGCCGGUGCUUUCUUCACCCGUACCGACAACACCCUCCUCGACAUCCAGAACACGCAAGCAGAACAUAGACGACUCCUGGAAGAGCAACAAAAAUGGAACCAGGACCAUGCCGCUGCAGUACAAGAACUGAGACAAGAUACAAUAACAAUGAACGACAACAUCACAACCAUGAUGCGGUUCUGGAAUAUCGGGUAAGACCGACAGCAACAUCCAGCUUGGGGGAGUUCCUCCCCAAUUUAUCAAGUAAGUUUUUAUUUGCUUUUCUUAUUUAUUCUUUUCUAUUUUAGUAUUUUAUCUUAAAAGGAAAAACUUAGAAAACCCAAUAAAUACUUUCUUGCUUUAAUUUACUGCAUUUUAUAAACAUGAAAACAAAAUAAAAAGAGUGCGUAGAUAAGUGUGCUUUAUUUAUCUGCUAAGUUUAAUCUCUAGAAAAAUAAAAAGACCAAAAAGAUGCAUGAUGGAAAUGAUGAACAGUUGCUCUGUUUGCGUACUUUCAAGUACCUAGCUUUUAUAUUAGAGUUCUUCCAGGAAUUACUAAAAACUGAAAUUAUUAUUUAUGGGAAACAUAAAACUAAAGUCUAGGUAGGAGAAAGACAUAAUAUAAAGUUUGAGCUGCUGUUUAUCUUGUUCCUACUACACUAAGUUCUGGAGAUUUAUUUUGAAAACUUACAAAUCACAUGAUGAGUUCCUAGCAUAACAAACUACCUACCACAGCCAUACUUCCUAUAAUAUCUUUUACUUAUAUUUACAUUGAGUUUGAUUGAGCUGUGUAGACCCUUAGGAGCUUUUCAUGUGGUUAAAUUAAGAUAUUCACUUGCACACAUCUACUACACCAUCCACCACCAUUCAUUAAAAUUGCUAAAAAAAUAUUAUUAUCACUCACUGUCCCAAAUAUUGUUAUUCUCUCUCUCUAAAAAGAUUCAAUGCAGAAGAGGCAUGGGUUAUACAAAAAUAUGCAAGGAAAUAAAAAGGGGCAAGUGCCUGGAACCUCGGAAAAGAAAGAAAAAGAGUGAGACGAGAGGUAAAAAUGGACAAGUGUCCGGAGUAGAAUUAGGGGUACAAAGAUGCCCACUUGAGCGAAAAAAAUGGACAAGUGUCCGACAGUAGAAUUAUGGGUAUUUACUACCCACCUAAAAAAAAGAAGAAAAAGAGAUAGCCCAUGUUCUCCCAAAGCAAUGAUCAAAGAAGAGGAGAGAUAGCAAUAUGAGGAGCAAUAAGAAGUAAGCUUUAUCAUUACUUAUAUUUUCACUAUCACUAUCAUUUACUCCACCACACAUGCACAUCUUGAUUUAAUUAUAUGCUGAGUUCCUUUGGAUCCAUGGCUCGAUUAGACAACAUAUGUAUGAGCUGUUUUUCACUCCUAUGAGCUCCACUUAAACAUUCCAUUAGCUAUAGGUAAGUGACAUUUUUGGUAAGGAUCCACAAAUACCAUAUAUAGAGAGACUUGAGAGAAUCAUUGCUGGGAACUCUGAGUUUUAUUUUGAAAACUUAUGAAAAACUAUGGAACAAAGGUGAAGUAUAGACAGGAGGAAUAGUGCUUGACUUAAUUAUUUUGUCUUUCAAUUACUUAAGACUUAAGUGCAGGUACUAAGUUCUAUAACACUUCACUCUAAUCUGGAAGAAUUUUGUAAAAGCAUGUGUGCCUGUCAGGAAAGAAAACAUCGAAGCAGCUCCUGAUCAAAGUGUAAGCUUGUGGGAGUUUGUUGACGGUCCUUAAGUACUAAAAUUAACAAUCAAAUCAACAUGGAAAAGGAUCAAUAUGCACCAAACAUCUAGAAUUAUGGUUUUAUCUGACAGAAUUCCACAAGCUUUGGUGUUUAUCUAUUUCUGCAGGGGGUUAUCAGAGAAUAUGGAGAGAAGGCCCACAUGUCAUGUUUACAACGAGAUAAUUACGUGCCGCGCAAUUUUCCUCAAUCUAGAAGAGUCCAGAAGCCACGGGAACGAACGAGAACACGAUCGGGCUCGGGGGCAGGGCGCCCGCCCACCCCCCUUGGGCGCCCGCCCUGGCCAGGAGUUGGAUCAGGACUCUCUUUCGAGACUACACUCCACCGACCUAAAGGAUCAAUCUAAACCACACAAUCAAUGUCGGUUUGAUCCAACGGCCCAAAUUCACUUGAAAGGACUAUAAAACCAAGGCCUCUCCACCCCUGGAGGAGAGAGGAGAAGAGAAGAAAUCAUUAUUCAGAGGUAGCCAUCAAAGUUAGGGUUUAGAGCUUCUCUCCCACAGAGAAUUAGAAUUAUCUACUCCCUAAUCCUUCAAGUUUAGAGGAUUGAUUAGAUAGCAAUUAGAGAAGUAGAGCACUACGCUCUAGAUUUGGAUCUUCGGUAAUAAAGAUUGGUAUUGUUCAUAUCUUUCUCUAAUUCUUUGUUCUAAUUGCAUUAUGUUUCUAAUUAUUAUGUUCUUAGUUUGCUCUAGUUCUAUAUUUGAUAUAGUUAUGAUUGAUAAUGAGUUUAUGUAUAAGUUUGCAAAGCGCUUAGCUCUUGACGCGAGGGAGUUAGGUGAUAGAUCACAUGUGAGCGUGGUGCUUAGAUGUUAUUUAUCUGCAAAUGUAUCCUAUUGGCCGGGUUGUGUGGUAGUUCGCGAUAGUGACAGCUUCGUUGAUUCUUAUAUAGUCCACCCUCCGUUGAUAGGACAGGCAGAACUGGUAUUGUGGAGUAAGUCUUGCGAUGCUCUGAUUUACUUUAGCAAUGUUCCUUAUACAUGAAUGAAGACUCUUUUAUGCUAUAUAUGAUCUUGUAGAUAACUAGAGUAGAUUAUGACUUAGUAGAUAGUAGAUAACUUAGAAUCCAUUCUCUAGCUAAUCCGACAUCACCUACAUAUAUGAGGAGUAGUCUAUUUUCUAAUCGCUGUGUUAUUUACCCAUGAACUUAUAAUUCAUUAUCAUUAUCUUUAUGGUUUACACCCUGCCAAAGUAAGUGACUGUGUGAUGAGUUUCUCAUUAGUAAUCAUGUUCUUGCAAGUUUAUCUCUAGUCUAUGCCUUGUUAGAUUUUGUCCUUAUUUUAAUUUCAUCACUUUUGUUCUCUUAAGCAAAAUUUUAAAUAACGAUACCUGGAAUACUUAUCCUGGUGAAAUGCUACAAUGAGGUGUUUUAUCUGUGCGCUUGCGGAUAGAAUAGAUUAUUUUCUAAAGAGCCUUUACAUUUAUAAAUACCUUUGUACACUCUGGCACCAUGCUGGGGAUGACAACCUAGUAUCUAAGUGGUGUUAGCUAGUGUCAACAGUUGGAAUUCCAAUACAUUACACUUUGAUGGAAUUUUGUAGCGCCGCCUCAAAUGUUGACCCUAGCACCGUGUUGGGCUCGGGGCCAACUAAGCAGACCACCGUAGGGCAGACCACCAUGGGGCAAGCUGCCAUAGAGCAGCCUACGGCUCAGCCCGCGGUCGCCCUGAUGACGAAAGAAAUCAUCGGGUACCCGACCCAAGAAAGGGCUGAUGCAGACGCCCCGUCCAGGGAUGAGGGCGCUGCGGCCACUCCCCCACCGAGCAGUGGGUUGGGAGAGGAGAUCAGAGCUUCAUCCCCUGCUCGGGUGGAGGAGCCGCCUGUCGAGGCUGCAGCGCUGGAGGGUACUCCCGACCUUGGUAAGGGGCCAAUGAUGUCCUCGACCAUGGUGGGGAGAAGCGCAGAGGGCGAGGGGACCCAGGCGGUAUCCGACGAUGAGGUGGCAGAGAUCUAGGGGCACCCCCACGUCGGACACCAGCAUAUCUAUGUCUGGCGCCAGUGUGGAGACCACUGGGCUAGCCACGAAGAAAUCGCUGAGGGUGAAAAGGCGGAGAGGGUGGAAUGGGCUGCCAAAUGGCUUGUCAACGAGGUUAAGGUAAGCGACCUCGCAUUUUUAGAAGAUAUGCAAGUCUAUCAUGGACACAUUUAUAUGUGUUUGAAAUCCACAGGACGUGAUGAAAAUGACAAAGUAUCGUAAAAGAUGCUUUGACCAGAUUGAAGGGGUUGUGGCCGAAAAUAAGUCCGUGACAUCGGAGGUGGACCGCCUUCGAUUAGAGGCCGAGAAGGAGGCCAAGGAUAGGGCUGCUCAGGAGGAGUGGAUGCUGGACCUGACUCGGCGGUUAGCCGACAAAGACCGCAAGAAAAAGAGUAAGGCUGGUUAUUGGCGCCAGUUGUGGUGCACAGUGUGUUCUGUUCUUGUGACAUGACAGUUACUGCUACAGGUCUGGAGGAGGAAAUAGAGUGCCUCUAGAAGGAGAGGGACCAGCUCGACCAGGAACGCGCUCGCAUGCUGGAGAACGAGCGGAAGGUCGGAGAGGAGCUGAAGACGAGAAAUCGGGAGCUGACUGGUAAGAUUAGUUUUGACGCGGCAAGUGUAAAUUCUUUUAUUUUUGUAGCUUGUUAUUGACUGCCCCCCUUUUUAAACCUUGUCGUAGCGCUGAAGGCCAACACGAAGAAGCAUCUCGAGGACCUCGUCAAGGAUCGGGACUCGUGGAAGGGCAAUUUUUUUCAGAUCUGGAAGGGAGUGGCCCCCAGUGCUAGAUCUGAUCAGUCCGGAGCUCUGCGAAGACCAGCCCCGCGCGCAGAGGCAAACUCCAGUUGAGAAAGCGCAGCAUGCAUGGGGUUGGCUUCAAUAGUUCGUCAAGGACGCAGGGGAGUACGUCGGAGCCCAUGUCCUGAGUAUGGUACAUGCUCACUACCCCCUGAUUGAUCUGUCUCGCCUGGAAGGAGGGUACCCCAAGGAGGUUGGCCCAAAGGAGGCGGAUGACCUUCGUGUCACUCUGCUCAACUUGUCAUCAACGGUGAUCGGCGAUGUCAACUUGUGUGGGAUGCCUACUCCCCCUAAUCAACUGGGUUCAGAGAGAUUGACCAGGGAGUGGUCGGAGACGUCUGCUGUGGGGGAUGGGCGAUCAGCACCUAUGGUCUCGACCAGCCAGGCACCGGUGGCCCCGACCUCUUUGUUGACGGUCCUUAAUUACCAAAUAUAAUCAUCAAAUAAAUAAAGAAAAGGAUCCAAAUGCAGCCAACACCCAGACUUAGGGUUUUAUCUGACAGAAUUUUACGAGUUUCAGUGUUUGUCUAUUUCUGUAGGGGGUUAUCAGGAAAUAUGGAGGAAAGGCCCACAAGUCGGGUUUGCAAAGAGAUAUUAACGUGUGCGCCAAUUUUCUAUCAUCUAGAAGAGUUUAGAAGCCACGAGAACAAACGGGAGGCCGAGCAGGCCAGGGGACAGGGCGCCCACCCUCCCCCCUAGGCGCCCGCCCUGCUCUGGCAGCCAAUCAGGCUCCGCCUUGCGGAUUAUGCUCCAUCAACCUAAAGGAUUAAGGAAAACCGUGCGAUUAAGGUCAGUUUGAUCCGACGGCCCACGUUCAUUUGAGGGGGCUAUAUAAGCAGGGCCCCUGGCCCCUAGAGAAGACACCUCUGAAUCCCUAUUCAUUAUUCAUAGACAGAGCAAAAGCUAGGGUUUAGAGAUGAGAGUUCUCCUCUCUUCUCUAAACUAUAGUAGAUCUAGAUAAUAGCGAGAUGAAGAGCGAUGGAGGAUUGGAGGAGAGGUCGGCCUGUCGGUUCUUCCUCCUAUUGUACUUCGCCAUGAUCAAGCUCUAAUCAAGCUUGCUCAUGGGAUGACUCUGGUAAUCUACUUCUUAUUUCAUUAUGCAAUUACUAUCCAUGUAUGUUCUAUUUCACAACUCUUUUGAGUACUUUAAUCUAUAGGACGCUAUAGGUGAGAGUUGUAGUAUAGGUGUAAGCGUGGUGCUUAGACCUCGAUUACUUGUGCAUAUCCCCUGUUAGCCGGAUCGCGUGGUAGGCCGCGUAGGUGACAGCUACAUAGUCCUCUAUAGUCCACCUCCCAUUAGUAGGACUGGUAGGAGUACUCGACCUUAGGUAUAAGCAUCCUCUAUGUUGUUUUAUACUUAUGGUACGCCACAGACAGACAUAUCCCUUUGAAGUAGAGAAACCCUAGUUAUCCUCUCUAUUCUCCUAUUAUCGCCCAUAUAUUAGAUUGCUCUACUCUAUAUUCCCCCAUUGUUAUCUUACCUUUAAUAUUGUUCUUAUUCAAUUCUACCAUCUUUCCUAUUUACACUUAUCUAUCUAUCUUGGUUAAGUUAGAGCGCAGUUGGUUCUUCUAUUUCCCUGUGGAUACGAUAAAACCUUUAACCGGGUAAAAGCUACAACAGUAUCCGUGCGCUUGUGGAUUUAUCUAUGUGCGUAUAAAUACCAUAGUACACUCUAAUGCCAUGUUGGGGAUGACAACCUAGUAUUCAAGUGGUGCUAGCAAGUGUCAACACUCUUCAACGGCACCGGAGGCCCGUACCAGUGAGCAGCCCGAGCAGCAGGCCCCGGUUUAGUUUGUAGGUUUAGACUAGGAACAGCCUCGAGGGGCUUUUAUUGUAAACUUUGCUUGGAAAGUUUGUAAUAAAUUCUAGAUUUGUAAACCAUGGUUUUGAGCGCUGUAAAUAAUUUAUGAGAGUGAUGUAUCACUAAAAUGUAGAUUGUCGAGUACCCUUGUUUGAUUUUGUUGUGUGGUGUGUCGAGUACAAACAAUAUCAUUCUUGUCGAAUAGUCUGCAUAUAAAGAGCUAUGGAGCAAAAACCAAAACUUGUUAUUAUUCAUGAGGAAAAAGAUACAAGUAAGAUGGACUUCUUCGAGGGGUAAAACCGCCGUAGUUUAUCUAUGUGCCAGGAGUUGGGCAAAUUUGUUCCGUCUGGGUAAGCCAGUCUGUAAGAGGUGGGACGCGUGACCUCCGCGACCAUGAAAGGUUCCUCCCAGGGCGUGGAUAGCUUGUGCAUUCCUUCCUGGCUUGUUUUCCGUUUGAGCACCAGAUCGCCGACCAUGAAGGAGCGCUCUUUGACGUUCUUAUUGUAAUAUGAUCGCAUAACUUCGAGAUAAUUUGCUGUUUGGAGGCAAGAAUCUAACUGUUUUUUCUCUGUGCAAUUGAUUUCAAGUUCUCUAGCGUGGUCUACUGAAGACUGGUCGAAAUGCUCGACUCUUGGAGAUCCGAACACUAUAUCGGAGGGGAGUACCACCUCAGCCCUGUAUACCAUGAAAUAGGGGGAUACACCAGUGUUCCGACUAGGCUGUGUUCGGAGGCCCCAGACCAUGGUUGGCAAUUCAUUCAUCCACCUUCCUGGUGCUUUGUAAUUUUCCUUGUACGGCCUCUUUUUCAAGGCAUCUACAAUCAUGCCUUUGGCUCGCUCGACUUGUCCGUUGGCUCGAAGAUGAGCUACCGGCACAUACUUUAUGACUAUGCCUCUAUUAUCGCACAAGUCCCAGAAUGUAGUGCCAGUGAACUGAGUACCUAAAUCGGUGAUUAUGCUGUUAGGAACCUCGAAUCGGUGUAUGAUUUGAUUGAGGAAUUCUACAGCUUUUUCUGAAGAUGCUUUAACCAAUGGCUUGUACUCGAUCCACUUGGAGAACUUGUCGACCCGUACGAAUACAAACUUUAAAUUGCUGGGAGCAGGUUUGAAUGGCCCAAUCAUGUCUAGGCCCUAGUAGGUGAAUGGCCAUGAUGAUGGUAUCGUUUGGAUUUCGUGAGCUGGUAUGUGAGUCCUCUUGGCGAAGAACUGACAAGCCUCACAUUGUCGGACCAGCUUCUCGAUGUCGCCACAGCAGACGGCCAGUAAAAUCCUGCUCGGAAAGCCUUUUCGACCAGUGUUCAAGAGGCUACAUGGUUACCACAGGAUCCAGCGUGUAUGUCUUCCAGGAGCUUGGUGCCAUCGUCUUGGGUGAUGCACUUCAUCAAGACUUCCGUAUUGGCGCUCUUGUGCAUGAGUUGACCAUUGACCAGGGCAUAAUUUCUAGAUCGCCAGAUGAGGCGUUCGUUCUCUAUCUUGUCUUGAAGGCCGGUACCGUAUAGGAGAUACUUGAUGAAAGGCAUGCGCCAGUCAUCGCUGCUGGUUGUCGGCGUGACGUCCUAGACGAGCAGUGCCUCGCUGUUUGGCUUAUCGACCAGGUCGCCUCCAAUUCUUGGUUUGUCAAUGUCUUGGACAAAAAUGCCUUGCGGAAUCUGGGCCCGGGGAUGAUCCUAUCUUAGACAGUGCAUCUGCUGCUUGAUUCUUGUCCCAGACUAUGUGUAUGUACUCUAUUCCAUAAAAAUAUCAAAUAAACAAGAGAAAGGACCAAUAUGCAAACAACACCUAGAAUUAGGGUUUGAUCUGACAGAAUUCCACGAGUUUUGUUGUUUAUCUGUUUCUGCAGGGGGUUAUCAGGAAAUAAGGAAGAAAGGCCCACAUGUCGGGAUUACAUAGAGAUAUCAACGCACCGCGCGAUUUUCUACCAUCUAGAAGACUCCAGAAGCCACGGGAACAAAACAGAGGCCGAAAGGGGCCAGGCCCAGGGCGCUGACCCUGGUGACCUGGGCGCCCGCCCCCUGUUGGAUGCCAAGCAGGACUCUCUUUGCACGGGAUGUUCCACCGACCUAUUGGAUCAAGAAAAACAUAGUACCACCUCGCCUACCGACCCAAAAAUGCAUAGAGGAGGAGGACUAUAUAAGGAGACCCCCCUGGCCCCUGGAGAAGACAAGAAAUUAUCAUAGAGAUUGAGGGGUGCCCUCGAAGGAAAACCUCUUCUCUAAUUAAUAUUGCUUUUUAGGCUUAGCAACCAAUGUAAAGUAGAAAUAGAUCUUCUAGUUUCUACUAGAUUGAGAGAGAUAGAGUGGAGGUGUAGAUUGGAGGAAGCCCGGCCUGUCGGUGUCUACUCCAAGCUUGUACCUGCGGGAUCAAGUUCUCCUAACCCGAAGCUUGCUCCUAGGAUUCUUCAGUAUUUCGACUUCUAAAUUCUAGUAAGUUCUUGUUUUAUUGUUCUUCUAGUUUGUGAGUUUACUUCUCUUCGCGUAGAUUUUAGAGUAAUCACUACUGGCGUAAACGUGGUGUUUAGGCUGGGGUACUCAUAGAUAUUCCCUGACUAGCUAGACCGUGGUAGUAGUGAGGAACGUGACAAUUCCGAGUUACUUUUGCAGACCAUAUCUCGUUAGCAGGAAGGAUAGGGUUUAUAGGUGCGGGUUGAACAUCCUUUGUGGUGUCAAGAUUCCGUUAGCCUCCCCAAUAGAACAAUAGAUCAUCCUUACCAAGGUUAGAAGGAGACUAAGGUUGCAUUCUUCUCUAUUUAUCACUCACAUCGAGAGACAUUCUUUGUUGCCUAAAGGUUUAGUAGUAAUAGACCGGUUAGUCAGAUGCACUCUUUCUCCUAGUGGUAAAAAAAUAAAUACGAUACUCUGGAUAACCUCCCGGGUGAAGUGCUCACCGAUAUCCGUGCGCUUGCGGAUCAAUUCCUUAUUGCGUUCCCAAAUAUCAACAAGCAUUUCUGGCGCCGUUGCCGGGGAGAAAGACGGUUUGCUGAGAUAACCUUGAGUCUUACUACUAGCUUGUAUCUAUACUUUUAUCUUUUCUUAUCUUUUAUAUUCUUUAUUUAUUUUCUUUACUCUUACCUUAUGGAAAACCAAAAUUCUAAAUCGAUCCAUGAAUCUGCAAUCCCUUCAGUAACUGACCUUUUACCAUGGGAAUCAUCACAGCCUAUCCAAACAUCCCAGUAUAAGUUAAGUUCUAGGUUGAUUGCCAUGAUUCAAAACCUAUCUUUUUCGGGAAAGGAAGACGAAAACCCUUACCUUCAUAUUAGAGAUUUUGAGCAAACAUGUGAUUGUCUUCGUAUUGAAGGCAUUUCUGAUAAAACUUUAAGUUGGAAGCUUUUUCCUUUUUCUUUAAGGGGAGAAGCUAGACAAUGGUACAGUCAAAAGGUAAGUCAACAACAAGGUGAAUUGGGAGUUUUACGAGCCAACUUUUGUCUAGAUUUCUAUUCCCUUGAUAGUAUAGCCAACCUUAGACUCGAAGUCCUAUCUUUUAAACAAAAAGAUAAUGAAACUUUGGGAAAAUCCUGGAAACGUUUUUCUGAUCUUUUAGAAUCUGGUCCAAACCUUAAUCUUGAAGACCCUGUUCUUUUAUUUCACUUUUUUCGAGGUCUUUAGAAAAAUCACAAACAAAUGCUACACACAAUGUCUAGAGGUUCUUUCUUUCGCAUCCCUACUGAUGAAGCUAGAGUGAUCCUAGAUAGAAUCCUAGAAGCUGAGAUGGAUAAUACCCUUCAUGAUGAAACCUACGAAGCCGAAGUAGACACUUUGCCAAAUUCUUCAUCUACUUUAGCUAUCCCAAGUUCUGAGCCACAAGAGGAAGAAAUUCCACCACCGGACUUCAUGCUGGAUAUAGAAUCUGAUCUUUUUGCCGAUUAUGGAAAUAUUUCAAACUACCAUUCUAUUGAUAAACCCCAAAACGACCAGUUUAGCAUUUAUUUGCCAAGUGAACAUCAAUUGAGAGAGCAUAUCUAAGUAAUGAGUAGCGAAUGGUUGGAGGAAUCAGAGCUUUCCUCUGAUGUGAUCCGUUUGGACACACCCUCUAUAACUAUACGCUGUGCUUAUAAUGCUGAUCGAUUUAAUGCUCUUUAUAAUCCUAUUGUGGGGAUCAACAUCAUGUCUGAAUCUUUUGCACUUAAACUAUUUAAAAAUCUUGUCUUAACCCCCACAACGAAGGUCAUAAAGGAAUCUUCGGGACGAUUAGUCCCCAGUCUUGGAAUUAUUAAUGUCCUACCUCUUACGGUAGAAGGCUCCAUGGUUCAUUUGAACUUCUAUAUCUUUGAUACAUGGGACUUCGACCUGUUGAUAGGACAACCUUUUAGAAGACUCCUUUAUGAAGGUCAUACUGGAAAGCUACACAUUUCUUUUGGAAAAACCUUUAAAUUCCCAAUAACAAUUUCACACUCCUUAAACAAUAAGGCCGAAUCAUAUCUUUUGUCUGAUCCUAUGGAGGAGGUAAAGGCUGCAUCUCUAGAGCUUUUAGAAGAAUCAGACUUAGAAGACGAAACUCCUUUCUUCACAGAAGAAGAAGCCGAACCUUCUGAACCUGAACCCUUAGAUGAGUUUGUAGAAACACCUAGACCCCCAUAGAGCUUAAAACUUUACCACCCGGUCUUAUCAAUGCUUUCCUAAACAGUAAUCCAGAGUUUUCUGUGAUCAUUAGCGAUAAACUCACUCAGGAGCAAACUCUACGAUUAAUGACCAUUCUUGAGAAACAUCACUCAGUGUUCGGCUACUCACUCCAAGAUCUUACAGGAAUCAGUCCUAUGACUUGUACCCAUCGUAUUCCAACAGAUCCUUCUGUUUCACCCUCUCGAGAACCCCAACGUAGACUUAAUAACACUAUGAGAGAGGUAGUUAAAAAGGAAGUUAUAAAGUUGCUGCAUGCAGGGAUUAUAUAUCCUGUGCCGCACAGUGAGUGGGUAAGCCCGGUACAAGUUGUGCCUAAAAAGGGAGGCAUGACUGUUAUUAUGAAUGAAAAGAACGAGCUAAUUCCACAACGCACCGUCACAGGAUGGCGGAUGUGCAUAGACUAUAGAAAACUAAACAAAGCCACGAGAAAGGAUCACUUUCCUUUACCUUUUAUAGAUGAGAUGCUAGAGCGAUUAGCAAACCAUUCGUUCUUCUGUUUCUUAGAUGGAUAUUCAGGGUAUCAUCAGAUCCCGAUCCAUCCUGAUGAUCAAAGCAAAACCACUUUUACAUGCCCAUAUGGAACUUAUGCUUAUCGUAGAAUGUCUUUUGGGUUAUGUAAUGCACCAGCUUCUUUUCAAAGAUGCAUGAUGUCUAUAUUUUCUGAUAUGAUUGAAGAGAUUAUGGAAGUUUUCAUGGAUGAUUUCUCUGUUUAUGGAAAAACUUUUGAUAGUUGUCUUGAAAACUUAGACAAGGUUUUGCAAAGAUGUGAAGAAAAGCACUUAAUUCUUAAUUGGGAAAAAUGUCAUUUUAUGGUUAGGGAAGGAAUAGUGCUGGGACACCUAGUGUCUAAAAGAGGAAUUGAGGUAGACAAAGCUAAAAUUGAAGUAAUUGAACAACUACCUCCACCUGUGAACAUAAAAGGAAUUCGAAGCUUUCUUGGCCAUGCUGGUUUUUAUCGUAGAUUCAUAAAAGAUUUUUCAUUCAUUGCUAGACCACUUACUCUUUUGCUAGCCAAGGAUGCUCCUUUCGAAUUUGAUGAUGCAUGUCUAACAUCUUUCAAUUUAUUAAAGAAAGCACUCAUCUCUGCACCAAUCAUUCAACCCCCUGAUUGGUCGUUGCCUUUUGAAAUUAUGUGUGAUGCUAGUGAUUAUGUUGUGGGGGCAGUAUUGGGACAAACUAAAAAUAAGAAGCAUCAUGCAAUUGCUUAUGCCAGUAAAACUUUGACAGGAGCUCAACUUAACUAUGCAACCACUGAAAAAGAGCUUCUGGCUGUUGUCUUUGCCAUUGAUAAAUUUAGAUCUUAUUUAGUUGGAGCUAAAAUAAUUGUUUACACUGAUCAUGCUGCACUAAAAUAUUUGCUCACUAAAAAAGAUGCUAAACCUCGCCUGAUUAGAUGGAUCUUAUUACUCCAAGAAUUUGACUUAGAAAUAAAAGAUAAAAAGGGAGUAGAAAAUUCUGUUGCUGAUCACUGGUCUAGAUGUAUUUUAAGAGUCCACAGGAAACCCCCAUCAAUGAUUCACUCCGGGACGACAUGCUCUACGGGAUUAACAGGUCUGACCCCUGGUAUGCAGAUAUUGUUAAUUUUAUGGUUUCAGGGUAUGUACCACCAGGAGCAAACAAGAAGAAGCUUAUUCAAGAAAGUCGUUCACAUAUUUGGGAUGAGCCAUACCUCUUCCGAGUAUGUUGUGAUGGCUUACUUAGGAGAUGUGUGACCACAGAAGAAGGAUGGAAGAUCAUUGACAGAUGUCAUUCAUCACCAUAUGGAGGUCACUAUGGAGCAUCCCGUACACAUUCAAAGAUCUAGCAGUGUGGAUUCUACUGGCCUACAAUGUAUGAAGACGCGAAGCAAUAUAUCAGAAGAUGUGGGCCAUGUCAAAGGCACGGAAACAUAAAUACAAGGGAUGCAAUGCCAUUCACCAACAACCUUCAGAUUGAGCUCUUUGAUGUCUGGGGAAUAGACUACAUGGGUCCAUUUCCUCCAUCAAAGAAGUGUGAGUACAUCUUGGUGGCAGUUGACUAUGUCUCCAAGUGGGUAGAGGCAUUACCCUACAAGCAUGCCGACAACGUCAGUUCAAAGAGGAUGUUUGAAGAAAUUAUAUUUCCAAGAUUUGGAGUCCCCAGAGUAGUGAUAAGUGAUGGAGGAGCACACUUCAUCGAGAAACGCUUCAAGCAAUAUCUAUCAAAACAUGGAAUCCAUCACAACGUUGCUACCCCCUAUCAUCCUCAGACAAGUGGCCAAGCAGAGACUUCCAACAAACAAAUUAAGAAUAUUCUUCAGAAGACAGUAAAUGAAAUGGGAACGGCGUGGAAAGACAAGUUACCCGAUGCACUCUGGGCAUACCGUACAGCAUACAAGACCCCAAUCGGAAUGUCUCCAUACCAAUUGGUGUACGGGAAGACUUGCCAUCUACCUGUUGAACUAGAGUUCAAAGCACACUGGGCCAUAAAGAGAUGGAAUAUAGACCUAGAUGUUGCUGGAGAUUAUAGAAGAAUGCAACUAUCAGAAUUGGAAGAAUGGCGAGAGAAAGCAUAUCACAAUUCAAAUAUCUACAAAGAAAGAGUCAAAAGGUGGCAUGACAAGAGAAUCAAGAAGAAGGAGUUCACACCAGGAGAUAAGGUAUUACUUUUUAAUUCUGGGGUGAAGCUUUUCAGGUAUGGAAAACUCCGGAGCAAAUGGGAAGGACCAUUCAAGGUAAUUAAUUCAUCAUCCCACGGAGCUAUCACACUUCAAAAUGACGAAGGUACGUUAUUCAAGGUGAAUGGUCAACGUCUUAAAUUAUUUUUAGAGCCUAAUAAAGAAUUAUAAGAAAUAGACGUAGUCCAUUUUUACCUUCCCAUGGAGAAUUAGAGCCUGACCUUUUUAAUCUGAUGUUUUUGGGUCAUAUAUAUAUAUAUUCUAAAUAAUUUUGCAUCUAGAAACGCGCUCGAAAAAGCGGGCCCACAGAGGGGCCAGAGAGAGGGCGGGCGCCCAGAUCAGGUGGGCGGGCGCCCAGCUCCUGUUCCCCCUCGGUCCCGAUUUUCUCUGUUAUGGAAAAUGCACUUAUGGUAAUCUGAAUAAUCCCUCGGAUGGAAAGUUUCGCACGCACAUCGGUGGGAGCAACCCGAACAACCCAUAGAGGCACUUUUUGACCCCUAUAUAAACAGACCCCUGACCUCAGUUUUCAAACACCAAGCCACCAAGCCUUCUCUCCUUCAAUUAGAGCUUGAUUAGUUCCUUGCUGCUCCAAUGGCCGAGAAGUACCACGAUGAUUGGGAAGUCGUCCCCUUCAACCUCAACAUGGAGCCUGUGGAAGAUCCCGAUGCCCGUGCUCUCGUCCCAGCCAACACAGAGCGACAGCUAGAAGCCAUGCCAUUACGCCAACGCAGCUCCGCCCAAUCUUACCAUGCUCAACCAGUUCUCACCGCACCACCAGAACCCCUACUCCUCAAAGGAUCAUCAUCCAAGACGAAGACCACCAUCAAGGUGCCAAUCGGCACAAGGAUCCUUCCACCUAGACCCAAUGAGAGGGUCGUUGGAGUCAAGACCAACUGGAGCGGCGAGAUCAGCAGUAUUCGCUACACUACAGAGGAGGAAAGGCCUUACUUUGAAGGGAUUAGAGCAACCAAAGUCCGUUUCGUCCCUCCAAAGGCAGCCCCAAAGCACACUCUUAAUGCUUUUGAGACACCUCCCAAGCCUCGCAAGACUAUAAUGGAUAUUGAUGAGGACGUUCGCAGACUAGACAGAGUUAUCAUAGACCUCCAGUCCUCGAUUAAUUCCCUCACUAGGCAGCUCUCUAACCACAACACCGUUAUACUAGGCCUUAGGCAGGAUCUUGCUAGUGCCAACAAGAAGAUUAAGGAAUUAGAGCGCCGCUAAGUUAUCUAGAUUAGACCUUGAGGCAAUGCAUCUUAGUUAUUUAUCUUUAAAUUCGGUUUAGGUUUACUAUUAUCAUCAGUUUGCUAUCAGUUUGCUACUAGUCUUUUGUAAUAAAUGCCUCAAGAUUAAUAAAGAGUAUUAUUAUUAUUAUUAUUAUUAUUAUUAUUAUUAUUAUUAUUAUUAUUAUUAUUAUUAUUAUUAUUAUUAUUAUUAUUAUUAUUAUUAUUAUUAUUAUUAUUAUGUCUUGUGUGUCUCUACUUUAUUUUUGUGCAAGAAAGCAGAAAACAAGUAUGGGGGAGAUCCCUCAACAUGCCAAACACACUCCGACCACACCACUCCACGAUUCAGGUACACACUCUGCACACUUUACUUUACACAUACAUAUAUUUUGGAUUAUGCAGAAUAUUAUUUCCGACAUGAUAAAUUAAAAAGAUUAAAAUAUUUCUAAUCAUGAUUAAUCUCAAUCUGUGAUAUUUCCUGAAAACUUGCAAUUAUUAUAAAAUAAUUUUAAAACCCUGUGUUACUUAAGUCAAUAUGGAAUAUGUGAUGGUAGAGCAUGAGUUUCUUAUUCUUGAUAUCAUUGUUACUUGGAGAAUUUAUUUCACAAUAUUCAAAACUCUAGCUACCAUCCUCAGUGUUUUAUAUGCCUGAUAAAACUGAAAAUAUUAAUUAUGAUUAUAAAAGCUAUCUACUCUGUAUUGAGUUUGUUCAAAAUGAGUUAGACUCUUGUUGAGAGAUUUAUCAUGCUCCUAAGAUCAAGACAUUUAUUCAGAAAGAUUCACUCUUCCGAAGUAUUAUUGCAUUAGAGGCAUGGGCUAUGCAAAAAUAGAGAUAUUUCGAGAAAAUGAAAAGGAGCAAGUGCUCGACAACCUCGCAAAAAAUGGACAAGUGCCCGGCAGUAGAAUUAGGGGUACCUCGGUAUCCACUUAAAAAAAAGAGAGAAAAAUGAUAGCCCAUGGUCCCUCUAAUAAGCAAUAUGCCAGCAAUAGUUGACAAAGAUUUUAAUUCCCAAAGUCUUUGAUCUAAGAGUAUGACAUUUCCCUCCUCGGAUCCCGUUUUGAUCAGGCAAUAAAUGCAAAGUAAGUAUGCUUAAGAAUUUUUGCAAAUUAAAACAACCUCAGUGAGAUAUAUAAAAGAUAAUGAGUGAUCUGAGAAGAACCUAUGAGGAUAAAAAGGUAUGCUAACUUUCUUUCAAAAAUAUACAAAAACUCCAAGUGACAGGAUUGAGAAGAAAGGAUCUUUACUCUUAACCAUAAACUUCCUUGACUAUGGUACACAGUGGAAUUUUUAACACCCUGCAAAUAUAAAGAAUGCUUUAAAAUGUUUUACCCCAGAUAUUGUUCUUAACCAUCCUUUUCUCGAGGACGAGUAAAAGCCUAAGUAUGGGGGUAUUUGUUGACGGUUCUUAAGUAUUAAUUUUAAUUAUCAAAUAAACAAGAGAAAGGACCAAUAUGCAAACAACACCUAGAAUUAGGGUUUGAUCUGACAGAAUUCCACGAGUUUUAUUGUUUAUCUAUUUCUGUAGGGCGUUAUGAGGAAAUAAGGAAGAAAGGCCCACAUGUCGGGAUUACAUAGAGAUAUCAACGCACCGCGCGAUUUUCUUCCAUCUAGAAGACUCCAGAAGCCACGGGAAGAGAACAGAGGCCGAAAGGGGCCAGGCCCAGGGCGCCCGCCCCCUGUUGGAUGCCAAGCAGGACUCUCUUUGCACGGGAUGUUCCACCGACCUAUUGGAUCAAGGAAAACAUAGUACCACCUCGCCUACCGACCCAAAAACGCAUAGAGGAGGAGGACUAUAUAAGGAGACCCCCCUGGCACCUGGAGAAGACAAGAAAUUAUCAUAGAGAUUGAGGGGUGCCCUCGAAGGAAAACCUCUUCUCUAAUUAAUAUUUCUUUUUAGGCUUAGCAACCAAUGUAAAGUAGAAAUAGAUCUUAUAGUUUCUACUAGAUUGAGAGAGAUAGAGUCGAGGUGUAGAUUGGAGGAAGCCCGGCCUGUCGGUGUCUACUCCAAGCUUGUACCUGCGGGAUCAAGUUCUCCUAACCCGAAGCUUGCUCCUAGGAUUCUUCAGUAUUUCGACUUCUAAAUUCUAGUAAGUUCUUGUUUUAUUGUUCUUCUGGUUUGUGAGUUUACUUUAAUCUCUUCGCGUAGAGUUUAGAGUAAUCAUUACUGGCGUAAACGUGGUGUUUAGGCUGGGGUACUCAUAGAUAUUCCCUGACUAGCUGGACCGUGGUAGUAGUGAGGAACGUGACAAUUCUGAGUUACCUUUGCAGACCAUAUCUCGUCAGCAGGAAGGAUAGGGUUUAUAGGUGCGGGUUGAACAUCCUUUGUGGUGUCUAGAGACUGUUAGCCUCCCCAAUAGAACAGUAGAUCAUCCUUACCAAGGUUAGAAGGAGACUAAGGUUGCAGUCUUCUCUAUUUAUCACUCACAUCGAGAGACAUUCUUUGUUGCCUAAAGGGUUAGUAGUAAUAGACCGGUUAGUCAGAUGCACUCUUUCUCCUAGGGGUAAAAAAAUAAAUACGAUACUCUGGAUAACCUCCCGGGUGAAGUGCUCACCGAUAUCCGUGCGCUUGCGCAUCCAUUUCUUAUUACGUUCCCAAAUAUCAACACGGAUCUCCUUGCAAUACAGAUCCAUUUUCUCAUGAGUCGUCUCCCACUCCUUAUUUAGCUGGUUAAUGACCAGGGCGGAGUCGCCGUGGACGUAGAGGCGCUUGACUCCUAAUUCCAUGGCCAGUCGUAUGCCAUGUAAGCACGCUUCAUACUCGGCCACAUUGUUAGAUGCGGGGAAAAGGAUUCUAAGGACGUAAUGUAGUUUGUCCUUGUUUGGUGGAACGAAAAGGAUCCCAGCGCCAGCAUCAUUGAUAUUUAAGGACCCGUCAAAAAACAUUAACCAGUGGUCGAAGAUAUUUGGAGCAGGCGGUGCAUUGAGGUCUGUCCAUUCUGCAAUGAAAUCGGCCAGGGCUUGAGACUUAACAGUCGUACGACUCUGGAAAUCCAUCGAAAAGGGGCAUAGCUCCAUGGCCCAUUUUACAAUUCUGCCAUUGGUGUCCUUAUUACGCAGGAUAUCCCCUAACGGAAAGCUUGUAGUUACUAUGAUGCGAUGGUCGUCGAAAUAAUGCUUCAACUUCCUGUAAGUGGUUAGAAUAGCGUAGAUUAACUUUUGUAUCUAGGGGUACCUGGUCUUGGACUCAUUUAGAACUUUGCUUAUGAAGUAUACUGGUCGCUGGACUUUGUAGACGUGGCCCAGUUUGUCUCGUUCCACUACAAGCACCGUAGAAAUGACUCGAUCAGUUGCUGCAAUGUAGAGUGUUGGGCAUUCUUAACGUCACUACCAAAAGUAGACUUAGUUCUCUAGUUUCGAUAACGGCGCCAAAAAUGCCAAACCUAUCCCUCAUGCCACUUAAGCCAAGUUGUCAUCCCCAGCAUGACAUGAAAGACGCGGUAUUGAAAUAUGCAAUUGCUGUUCUGAAUAAAUAAAAAAUGGGAUCUGCAAGCGCACAGAUUAAUACCGAUGUAGCAUUUGGGGAAGUAUUUCAGGUAUCGUUAUUUAUAUUUUUAUGACUAGGAAGGGAUUAGUAAUCAUCAAUGUUGAUUAUAGAAUGGAAUAUAAGAUUGAGUAUCUAUCAUUGCAUGUAUAGUUGAGAACAUUUAUCUACUCUUUCAUACAGAGAUAAGUGUCACAUAAAAGAUAUAUGAAGUAAUGAAUAGUGACAAAGAUAAUUAAUUUGAUCAGCAUAACUUAGCCACAUAUAAAUAUGAUAAGCACCUCAAUUAGAUAUUCUAGCAAGUCAUUAGCAUGGUAUUAGAACGAACUACAAGAAUAUUUCCUAAGUUAUUCUCAACUAUAUAGUCUUGCAUUAUCAUAGUUAGUGCAAGCAUACUUAGCAAUCAUUGUAAGACAAGAUUACGCCCAUGCAUAGUGAUAUUAGCAAGGAAUAUGAGAAACAUAGCAAUCACUCCUCUGUAAUAAUGUUGCUCUGCCAGCCCAAUACACGAGAGGGGGACUAUAUAAGAAUCAAUGAAGCUGUCACUAUCACGAACUACCCCGCGAUCUGGCAUAUUGGGUACAAUCGCAGAUAAAUAUGAUAUAAGCACCACGCCUACACAAUAUCUAUCAUUUACCCAUAGAUCCGAUGGAUAAACGCUAUACGAUCCUAAGCAUGUAUAUAAUUCCAAUCUAACUAAGCCAAGUAUAUAACCACGAUAAACUAAGAACAAUAUAAUCAUGAAUAUAAACAAGUAGUGCAAAGUCAUUAGCAAUAUAUUGAAGUAGAACAAACUCAUAUUCAUAAUAUUGAAGAACAAAGAUGAACAAUUAGAAUAACAAUUAGAGAAUUACCAAGAAUCCUCUUGACAGAUCCGGAAACCAAUCGAAGAUUGACUCCUUCUAGUUCUAAUCCUAUGUAGCUAUGCUAAUCUAGAUGUCUAAUUGAUGUGGUGGCUCUAGGCUUGAUCAGAUGCUUCUUCUCCCUUGAGGAAUAAUGAAUUAGGGUUGAGAGGCUCUCUCCUCCAGGGGCCAGGGGGUCUGGUUUUAUAGUCCCUUCAAGUGAAUAUGGGCCGUUGGAUCAAACCAACAUUGAUUGAACGGUUAUCCUUGAUCCUUUAGGUCGGUGGAGAUUGAUCCCGAAAGAGAGUUCUGAUUGGACUCUGUAAGGGGGCGGGCGCCCUGGUCUCCUGGGCGGGGGCCUAGGGCCUGGCUCCGUUCGGCCUCUGCUUCCUUCCCGUGGCUUCUGGAGUCUUCUAGAUGUAAGAUAAUUGCGCGGCACGUUGAUAUCUCUAUGUAAUCCCGACGUGUGGGCCUUUCUUCCGUAUUUCCUGAUAACCCCCUGCAGAAAUAGACAAACACCAAAACUCAUGGAAUUCUGUCAGAUAAAACCCUAAGUUUGGAUGUUGAUUUCAUUUGGAUCCUUUUCUUUGUUUAUUUGAUAAUUAAAUUUGAUACUUAAGGACCGUCAACAAACUCCUCCAAGCUUACCUCUUGCUCGUCCGUGAGCAAGGAUAAUCUCAGCGAUGGAUCAGAAGUUGUUGUAAUGCCUUUUAAAAUUGACGGUACACAUUGUUUUAAAUGAGGUCUCAUCUCUGAGUUAGAGUAAACUGUCAAGACUUAAAACUUACUUACUUUACCUUCUACCAUGGGACUUGUAACCAUCACUUCCGUCUUGAGUAGUUAAAAGAUAGAACAGUCUAGUCAAGUUCCAUGUCUCUUAUUCUUGAUCAACUAUAGCUCUGGAGUUUUUGCAGAUUUUCAAAUUAAACUCAGAGAUUCCUUGUAUGAUUCUCUUAUAUCUCUCUAUUGUGGUAUUUUUGGAUCCUUACCAAGGCAGUGAUGGUAUAUGUCUUCUCUCAAAAUAUGUGGUCUUUGUGGUAUAAGGCAUAGUGACAUUGCCUUCUCUCUUAUCCUACUCUAAUAAGGCUUUAAUAUCUGGAGCUCAUAGGUGGGAGAUAAAAUAUACAUACUCACAAGACAUUUAUUGCAUAGUCAAACCAUGGAUCCAAAGAAACAAAUCAAUAAGUCAAAUCAAGAUGUGCAUGUGUGGCGAAUAAAUGGUGUAUGGUGAUAAUGGUGAUAACAAUGGUGAAAGUCUAAUUCUACUUUUGCUCUUUGAGGGGAUACAUACCUUCUUUGCUUUUUGAAACUUUGUGAGGAGAAUAAGAUGCUCUUCCUUUUAUUUUCUCUCAGGUGGGUAUCUUGUACCCCUAAUUCUACUGUCGGACACUUGUCCAUUUUUACCUCUCGUCUCACUUUUUCUUUUCUUUCGAGGUUCCGGGCACUUGCCCCUUUUUAUUUUCUCGUAUUUUUAUUUUUUUCUUCUUUUCUUUUUUUAGAGCACUCAUCUCUUGAGAUAAUAUAGCAACUUAGUAACAAGAUAACUUGAGCAUUUAUUUCACAGAAAUAUUUUUGGCCAUUCUCUCCCGGAUUAUGAGUAGAAUAUUUUUGGGUGGUUCUGGAGAUGGAAAUGGGUGGAUAUAUGUGGAUGGUACUUCCGGAGUAUGUAACACCCUAAAAAUUCCCUUGUUUUAAAUAGUUGAAUUUGAUUUAUUGUGUCAAUUUUGUGAGCAUCAAAAUAUAAGAAAAAAAACUAAUAAUAAUAAUUUUAGAGAAAUUAAAAUUUAAUAUAAGUUUAGAAACAUAUUGAUGCAUUCAUGCUGCAACAUUUAUUUAUGUGAUGUGUGGAAUUUGUAAAGAGUUUUGAAUUCAAUUUUCAUUUGAAAAAUGAGUUUGAAAAAUUGUUUUGGAAAAAGAAAAAUGGAAUUCCUUUUCUUCCCCUCUCUCCUUCUCUCGGCCUGCUAGGCCCAAAUCUCCCCCGCGCCCCCUCUCCCUUCCUAGGCCGAGGCCCAGCUGGCCAAGUCCCUCUCCCUCUCCCUCCCGCCGACAGAUGGGGCCCAUCUGUCAGCUCCAUCAUCUCCAACCGCCAGCCCCAACUCCCUCUCUCCCGAUUCUGCUCAACCUCAAGCCGAGCCGCCCCCCCCCCGCUCCCACGAUCUCCUUUCCCCCGCUCCUUGUCAUUUGGAGUCGCGCACGCGCCCGAGCCCCCUUCCCCUUCCCCAUUUGCUCUCCCCACAUCCUUGCCCUCGUUCUUGAACGCGCAGCGAGCUCGCCAAAAACCGCCGCGACCUCCGCACGUCGUCCCAUCGAAUCAAACCAUUUACGCUCCAAUUCUUCGCGCUGGUGAGCUCUACUCCUUCCCCGCAUUCUUCUCAAUUAAAUUUCAUGCGAUUUGGUGCCUCCUAGCGUCCUAGCCAUGAGCUCCGAGGAGCCGGUCAUGGCGCCGCCGCGGUCCGCACUGCGCGGACGUUUCUCUGGCCGCGCAAAGGCUAGGAUUGGAUUCGCCGCGACCUCCUCUCUCUCCCGGUGUAUUUGCUUCGCGAAACCGAGCUCCGUAACGUUCUGUAGGUUUUCUCCGGCGAGCUUGGGCCGGCCGGCCAUGGAGCGCCGCCGUCUCCUCUUCCCCCUCCGACCGGCAUCUCCUGUCCCCCCCCGAUCUAAUCUUGAGCGUCCGUUUUCAAUCCGAUGGCCAGGAGCGCUCCAUACCCCUUCGGGUGGAUAUUUUGCUAAAGAGUCCUUUCGAAUUUAGGAAAUAAAACCCGCAGUCCAUGGCGCUUUGCAGGAAAUACGCUUUGCUUUUGGAGAAGCGUAAAGUCUCGGUUUGAAUCAGAAUACGUUUUCAGUAUUUACAGUUUUGCCACUGAGUUUGUUUAGCUCAUAAAAUAUUCAUUUUAACUCUGAUUUGACACGUUCAAAUUGCGUUAGGUUCGUCUUUGAGAGCUCUACAUGUUAGUAACCUUUUUUCACCAAUUUGAAACAUUUUAAUUUCGUGAUCCUAUUUAAUUAAUUACUUUUCUAAAGAAAAUCUUAGAAAAUUCGUAUCUUCUCCGUUUUAGCUCCGAUUCGAUUCGAUCCGUUCAAGUUGCGUUAGUUUUAUAAUUUCAUAAGCUUCGUGUUACUACCUUUGAUGUCUAGGUUCACCACUGUUAGGUUUCCUAGAUAAAUACAAGUCCGUAGAUAGCCUUUGUAGUCCCGUUUAAUGCGUAGAUUUCGCGUCGUAACUCCGUUUUGCGUGAAUUUUGCGUUGACGUGAUCGUAGCAGCGUGUAGAUGAUUUUGGAAAACUUUUAUUUACAUUUAUUUACUGCUGGUGUACUGUUCUAAUUGUAAUCUUGUUUGCCUCGUGUAUGUCUGUCCCCGAUUGCUUGUGUGUUGAUGAUCGAUGAUCGAGUCUAGUCGGUGAGCAUUACUUCGGUGAUCAAGAUCAGAGCCUUGGAAGCAAGUAAGAUCAGCAGGACCAUCAGGAGCAAUUGUAUCAAGGCAAGUAUAACAUUUGGGUUUUAAUUCUGUGACCAUAAUCUUGUGACUAGAUUGAUAUAAAGCAACAAAUGAUAAUAAAGACUUGUUAACAACUUGAGGAUUUAUUCGUAAGUGAUAACCGGGAUGACAGUGCAACCAUGAGGGCUAUAAUGGCUCUGGCUUUAGUCAAGUAUGAGUAACUUUUCUAGCUUGUUAGAGGUUACCCGUGUGGCGCAAAUGGGGGAUAGCAGACCGGAUUCCCUGCGAGUGGUAGAAUCACACGGACUGACUACCGAAACCAAGCGGCCCUAACUUGUUAGACGAACCUUUAAAAGACUUCAUAGUGAUCCCUGCCGACCUACCUUGGUAGUGGGUUACGAGGCUGAUCACCUCAGGCGAAAGGGUAAAUCAUGACUCAUGGGUAAAGAUGUACAACCUCUGCAGAGUGUUAAAAACUGGUAUACUAGCCGUGCUCACGGUCACGAGCGGCCUUGGGAACUCUUACAUUAAGGGUGAUGAAUCUUGUGUUAAGAAACACAUUGAUUACUAUUUCAUGCUCUAUAUUAUUUAUGUCACAUUGAUCAUGAGAUUGUGGGAUCUAUACAAUCUAGUUGUUAUACUUGCGGAGUUCGUCUUGAACUCACUCUUGCUAUCUCCCCCACACCUCAGGAGAAGUUUUGGGCUUGUGAUCAACCAGUCAGUUGGAUCCUGUAGAUUGAGGUUAACACACGAAGUUUGGAGUUCUCUUCCAUGUCUGCUGCCCAAGGUUGUUUCUAAUUUAUUUUCUACGCUAUAUAAUUUAUGCAUUGUCCUUUGAUAUUACCCCUUAUUUGUAGCUAUAUGUGAGGCUUGUCUUCUAAAACUCACAUAUGGUGCAUAUCUGAUUUUGUUCUUAAAAUCGGGUGUUACAAAGUGGUAUCAAAGCAAUGCUGACUGUAGGACGCAAGCCUAGCUAGAACCGGACGUUUUAGGAUGCUUCUAUCUCUACUUACUUCUUGCUUUCACCUUAACCUUGCUAAAAAUUUGUUGACACCAUUUUUGGGCACGUGUCCAGGAUGGCAGGACAGGGUGGCAGUACGAUGCGGGUUACUGGUAAGGAUGGUUGCCGAUGAGGGAAAGGUUGAAUGUGACUAAGUCCUCAGACAGUAAUAUGGUGCCGAUGACCAAGUAAAAGGGUCUGCCGAUGACUAUGGCAAGGGGAUUGCCGAUGAUGCGAAGGAGGAGUCCGGAAGCUGCCAGUUGUCAUGUGGAGGAAUUUCGGUUUGUCACGAAGGAUGGUUUUAUUAUUUCCUUAUGUUAUUCGUAUCGUUUUGUAUACGGGCUCCGUGUAAUUUGGAAUUCGAAUUCUAAUCGUGUCUGGUCGUAGCUCUUUGAGCAGGGUAUAAAUAUAAGCCCUAAGACCUUGUAAUCAGAAUAUCUAUCAAUCAAUCAAACACACGUUUUUUACUCAUAUUCCAGCAUUUACUUUUCGACGACUUCGUCAUACGUUUUCUUUUUGUUACGAGUUCUUAGGAAUUCGUCGACUCAAGCUCGGCGUAUCCUCAAGUUCCGCGUGAGUACCUCUUAGCCGUGACAUCCGGGCGUAUCGCUGUUGUCAGGACUAAAGUAUUCAAGUUAUCACCUUUGCCGAUAGUAAGGUCAAAUCGGCUGGCACGCCUUAACGUUUGGAUCGGGUAUUAGCCCUUUGUGUUUGCAGACUAGUUUUUGCAUCAACACAUCUUCUGGCACGCCCAGUGGGACCGAUUCAAGAUCAAGAUCAACAUGUCGAUCUCUGACCUCGAUCAAGACAACGUCAUCCCCGUGACGGAAGCUAACCUCAAGGAUGAGCAGAAGCAAGCUAUUGCCCAAGCCAUGGAAGAGUUCAAGCAGCAGUGCCUGAAGUCUUUCAGCAUAAACAGGAGCGGCGAAGUGGUCCAGAAAGAUGCACUGCCGGCACCACGGCAGGUCACCUUUGACGCUAAUCCUGGCAAGCUACAAGACAUGGUUGACAAUGCCAUCAAUCGAGCGCUGAUCAACCAAGCUGGUGUACUGUCUAAUACGGUUUUCAACGCCGUGGCAAGAACCUUCAAGGAAGGACAAAUCCCGCCGGAUUAUGUGGGCCCUUCCCAUCAUGAACCCACGGCACCAGAGGUCACGGCUCCAUCGGCUGCCUUGACGAGUGCAAGUGCACAGUCUGCCGUCCCUCCAAGUACAUUGGGGACUACUGGUGCACUAUCUAUGCCGAUGGCAACCAACCCACAAAUUUCAGUUGGGCAGCAUAAACUGACAACAGAUAUGUUGGCAUCGGCAAUGUCGGGGUUAACUCUUCCUCCCAACUGGUGGGGUUAUGGUAUGCCUCCAGAGUUGACUCCAGGAACAUCACAGAUAACUGACAUGAGGGGCAAAACUCCUAUAACAUCGGCACCUUCCAAUGUGCCGGUGAACCAGAGUCCUCGGUAUACCACAACUACUACCGCAAGGCCUCACACUGGAAAUCCUCAAGAUCUAAUGUUCCAGAUGCCCAACGCAUCGGCAGAGUCAAUGCUGAUGCAACAGAGGCCUAUGGCCCAGUCGGGGUAUGUCAAUUCAACGACGAUACCCAAUUACCAAUCAUCGGCAGCACCUAUGCCGAUGAACGCUAAUAAUGGAUGGCUUGGACAGCAAGCCUUUCCACAGUCGCCCCAGCAGGGUUAUCAGACUACGGGGUUCCAGCAAGGGCAGGUUUAUCCUGGGUUCCAAGGUCAGGGAAUGUCCAACCAGCCAAUAAAUUUUGGACAGCAACUCGGAGGACAGCCAAUCGGUGGACAGCAGUUUGGUAGUCCGCAGAUUGGAGGACAGGUGACCAAUACGAUGUUCCAUACAGGUCACGUCCCGAACAGACACGUGGAGGUUCGCCACCAAAUGCCAGAUCCGCAGCCGCCUCAUCGGCAAGAUGCCGAUGCGUAUUGGGCCGAUAAGAUUGCCGAAGUAAUGAGGGAACAAUUUGGGAUAAAACCCAAAGUCAACACUUAUUCUUAUCGGACACCGUAUCCUCCAGCGUAUGAUUUGAUCCCGCUUCCACAUCGGUACAAAGUACCGGAUUUUACAAAGUUUUCCGGACAGGACGACACGUCAACCAUGGAGCAUGUCAACAGGUUCAUUAUUCAAUGUGGAGAGGCUGGUAACAGGGACGAAUUGAGGGUUCGCCUAUUUUCAUCAUCAUUGUCUGGAUCGGCCUUUACUUGGUUCAUAUCAUUGCCUCCCAAUUCAGUAAUUACUUGGGCCGAUCUAGAGAAGCAAUUCCACAGAUACUUCUUCUCGGGGGUUCAUGAGAAGAAGAUCACCGACUUGGUCAAGUUGAGGCAACGUAAUGAUGAGUCGGUUGAAGGAUUUGUGCAGAGGAUACGAGAGGUCAAAAAUAAAUGCUAUAGCCUGGUUCUGGAUGAUCGGCAGCUAGCCGAUUUGGCUUUCCAGGGUUUGUUGCCACACAUCAGGGAUAAGUAUGCUUCUCAGGAGUUUGAAAGUUUAAGUCACUUGGUGCAGAGAAUAUCUGAUCAAGACAUCAAGCCUUUCGAGCCUAAGAGGGCAUGGAAUAAGAAAGUCUCAUUUGUUGAUGAAGCAACAAGCUCAGAUUCCGAUGAAGAACCAGUAAUCGGUUUGGCAGAAUGGGUAAAAAACAAGAAGCCGAUGUCUUGUCCUUUUGGGCAGAAGGAACCAGAGAAGUUUGCAUUUGACACCGCCAAGGCCGAUAGGAUAUUUGACUUUCUACUUCAGGAAGGUCAAAUCAAAUUGUCACCUAACCACGUGAUCCCGUCGGCAGAAGAGUUGAAGAGGAUGAGGUAUUGCAAGUGGCAUAAUGCAACUUCACAUGAUACCAAUGAGUGCAAAGUAUUUAGACAACAGCUGCAAUCGGCCAUAGAGUCAGGGAGAAUCAAGUUUGAUAGUUCCAAAGCCCAGAAGCCGAUGAAGAUAGACCAACAUCCUUUCCCGACGAACAUGUUGGAUGCUAAGGGGAAGGCUAAGGUCUUAACGUCGGAGACAGCUGAGAAGAGUGCAUCGGUAGAUCCUCAGCAUCAAGUUACUACCGCCGAUGCAAGAAGUAAGGGCUUGGUCCAGGAAGGAGCUAGCUCAGGAAGAAUUCCUCGAUCUGGUAUUGUCAUAACUCAUAGAAGGCCUCGAGAGAGAUGGCAACAACGGGAAGAUCGGUACCGGCGCCAGCAGGAAGAUUAUCAACGGGAAGAAGAGAGACGCCGACAGGAGUGGAAUCGGCACAGGGAUCAUUGGAAUUGCCCAUUCUUCAUCCAUUGUUGGGAGGAAAAUAUCAAGCUUCCUACUGUCAGAGACUGCCCUGAAUGCAACGGUUAUGAUCGGUACGACAGGAACGAUCGGCGUUAUCAUGAUGAUGAACGACGAUUUAAUGGGCCGAUCAGAGGAAGGGCGUCAGUUCAUGAUCGGCUGGGGGGCAGGCUUAGCGUUCACGAUCGGCUCGGUGACCGUGUCCAGUAUUUUCCCAGGAACCAAGAGGAGCUUGAAAGAAUGGCUGAUGCGCGGGUUCCCGAUGAAUUCAUAUUUUGCAGGGAUACUAACACGCAUCGCAUAGAGUCAAGAGAGAACCAACGCCCGAUGGCAAGACAAAGGCCACUUCCUCCAUGGUGCCCUCAAGGAUUAACCAAGACACAGAAAAGGAGAUUGCAACGUGAAAGGCAGGAAGAGCUAAAUAAAGGAGAGAACUCUGGGAGUCGGCAGCCGUCAGACGCUAAGAAAGAAGGUCCAUCGGCAGGCGUCAACAUGGUAUUCAUGUUGCCAAUGGAGUUUCUUGCACCGGCCAGUGACGAUGAGUUGGGAUUUUCUGAUCAGAUAGCUCAGUUGGCUCUGGAUCCAAUGACGGCUAUCUUUGAGAAACCUGCCGAUAACGAGAGGCAGCAUCUUAAAGCUUUGUUCCUCAAAGGAAGGGUUGAUGGGCAGCCAAUGACUAAGAUCCUAGUUGAUGGUGGGGCUGCUAUUAAUAUUAUGCCAUAUGCAGUAUAUCGGAAGCUUGGGAAAGGGGAUCAAGAUUUGACCAAGACCGAUAUGAUGCUCAAAGACUUCGAGGGAAACGUGUCUCCGGUCAAGGGGGCGAUAUGUGCGGAGUUGACCAUCGGCAGCAAAACCUUGCCGACAACCUUUUUCGUGAUCAGCGGAAAAGGUGCCUACAAUUUAUUAUUGGGGAGAGAUUGGAUUCAUGCCAAUUGUUGUGUCCCAUCUACAAUGCAUCAGUGCUUGGUUCAGUGGGUAGGUGACAAGAUUGAGAUCGUACCAGGGGAUUCUUCUUAUGUUAUCGCAUCGGCAGAAGCGGAUACUUAUGAAAAGACUAGGUGCAUUUCAGGAGAAGUUUGGGAGAAAGAUUUUCUCAAAGUUGCCGAUUAUGAGAUUCCACCGAUCCAAGCAGUCGGUUCUGACGAUGGUUUUUAAUGGAUAGAUUCGCCGAUGAUGGAAAAUUAGGCCAGGGAUUCACAUCGGCCGAUGAUUUGGUAGAAGUAGAUAUAGGUAGUGGUGAUAGGCCUAGGCCUACUUUUAUUAGCGCUAAACUAGAUCCUGAGUGUAAACAGCAGUUAACUAGUUUGUUAAAGGAAUAUAAAGAUUGCUUUGCUUGGGAUUAUACAGAGAUGCCUGGUUUAGACCGAUCAAUUGUUGAACAUCGGUUACCCAUUAAGUCUGGAUUUCGGCCACAUCAGCAACCAGCCCGCCGAUGUAAUCCUAACAUUCUACCUGAUAUUAAGGCCGAAAUCACUAAACUUAUUGAAGCUAAGUUUAUUCGGCAGUGUCGGUAUGCUGAAUGGAUUUCCAAUGUCGUCCCGGUUUACAAGAAGAACGGGAAGCUUCGGGUGUGCAUUGAUUUCAGGAAUCUCAAUAAAGCUACGCCGAUGGAUGGAUAUCCAAUGCCUGUCGCCGAUCUACUGGUUGAUGCUGCGGCUGGCCAUCGGGUCAUCAGCUUCAUGGAUGGUAAUGCGGGUUACAAUCAAAUAUUCAUGGCAGAAGAGGAUAUUCCAAAAACCGCAUUCAGGUGUCCUGGUCAUGUUGGACUAUUUGAAUGGAUAGUCAUGACUUUUGGGUUAAGGAAUGCCGGUGCUACUUAUCAAAGGGCUAUGAAUUUUAUAUUUCAUGAGUUCAUCGGCAAGAUCGUAGAAAUUUAUAUUGAUGAUGUGGUGGUCAAGUCUGGAGAUUUCUCAAAGCAUCUUGCCGAUUUACGAAGAGUGUUGGAGUGCACAAGGAAGCAUGGAUUGAAGAUGAAUCCCAACAAGUGUGCAUUUGGUGUAUCGGCAGGGCAGUUUCUUGGUUUCAUGGUACAUCAGAGGGGUAUUGAAAUUAGUCGAAGAUCUAUUGAUGCUAUCAAUAAAAUAGUGGCCCCUACCAAUAAAACCGAGCUCCAAUCUUUGAUCGGCAAAGUGAAUUUUAUCAGAAGAUUUAUAUCAAAUUUAUCUGGGAGAAUUCGUGCUUUCAGUCCUCUUCUUAAAUUGAAAGCCGAUCAGGAGUUUGUUUGGGGAAAAGAACAGCAGUUGGCUCUAGAUGAAAUCAAAAGGUAUCUAGUAAACCCUCCAGUUUUAGUUCCACCUCAACAAGGGAAACCCUUCAAAUUAUAUUUAUCUACCGAUGGAUCGGUUAUCGGUUCAGCUUUAGUUCAAGAAUUUGAAGGGAAAGAGAGGGUAAUUUAUUAUUUGAGUAGGAGGUUAAUUGAUGCUGAAACCAGGUAUUCGGCCAUUGAGAAGCUGUGCUUAUGCUUAUAUUUUUCAUGUAUCAAGCUAAGACAUUACCUGUUGUCGGCCGAAUGUGCUGUUGCUUGCAAAGAUGACGUGGUCCGAUACAUGCUAUCUAUGCCGAUUAUGAGUGGUAGGAUCGGUAAAUGGAUUUUGGCGCUGUCGGAGUUCGAUUUGCGUUACGAAUCGGCUAAGGCGGUCAAAGGGCAGGUUAUGGCUGACUUUGUGACUCAGCAUUGCGGUCUAGUGGAAACCUUGGAAAUUGCACCCUGGACGCUCUUCUUUGAUGGAUCUACCUGUGACCGGGGAGCAGGAAUCGGCAUUGUAUUAGUUUCUCCCAAGGGGAGGAAGUAUGAAUUUUCCUUGCCGAUUGUUGCUACAUCAACAAAUAAUCAGGCUGAGUAUCAAGCUCUGAUCAGGGGAUUGGAGUUGUUAAGAGAAGUUCGUGCUGAUGCUGUUGAAGUAUUCGGAGAUUCUAUGUUGGUUAUAAAUCAAUUGACCGGAAGCUAUGAAUGCCGGAGUGAAGUUCUCAUAACCUAUUUCGAGAGAAGUAUACAACUGUUAAAGGAAUUCAAGAACUUCCGAUUGGAGCAUAUUCCCCGAUUGCAUAAUGAAGACGCUAAUCGGUUAGCCCAGCAUGCCUCGGGAUAUCAGCCAAUGAUUAAUGCGACAUCGGUAGUCAGUGCCGGUGAUUGGAGGGAAGAAAUUAUUGAUUAUCUAAAAGAUCCAUCCAAAAAGGUUGAAAGACGGGUUCGAUUUCAAGCAACCAAGUAUGUGCUCCUUGAAAAUGAAUUGUAUUAUCGAACUAUCGACGGAAUUCUUCUCCGAUGCUUGGGUGAUGAUGAAGCCAGAAGUUUGAUGGGAGAAAUCCAUGAAGGAGUGUGUGGAGCGCAUCAGUCAGCUUUUAAGAUGAAGUGGAUGAUUCGAAGGAAUGGAUAUUUUUGGCCAACCAUACUUGAAGAUUGUUUUAAAUAUUUCAAGGGAUGUCAAGGUUGUCAAAAGUUCGGUAAUAUCCAGAGAGCACCCGCAUCGGCUAUGAAUCCUAUAAUAAAACCUUGGCCGUUCCGGGGGUGGGCCAUCGAUCUGAUCGGCCAGAUUUAUCCACCAUCUAGCAAAGGGCAUAAAUUUAUUCUAGUUGCCACUGACUAUUUCACCAAGUGGGUCGAAGGUAUUCCUUUGAAGAAAGUCACAUCGGCCAAUAUGAUUGAUUUUGUGAAGGAGCAUAUUAUUUACCGAUUUGGGAUUCCCCAAACGAUUACUGCCGAUCAGGGCACCAUGUUCACGUCGGGGGAGUUCGAUGAAUUCGCAAUCGGUAUGGGAAUUAAAGUGUUGAAUUCUUCUCCUUACUAUGCUCAAGCCAAUGGGCAGGCCGAAGCGUCUAACAAGGGAAUUAUCAAGCUUAUUAAACGAAAGAUUGAAGAAAAUCCUAGGCGGUGGCAUACAUUGUUGAAUGAAGCACUGUGGUCUUAUCGGAUGGCUUGUCAUGGAUCAACCAAGGUGUCACCUUAUCAAUUGGUGUAUGGACAUGAUGCAGUUUUGCCUUGGGAGAUUAAGGCUGGAUCUAGGCGAUUAUCUUUUCAAAAUCAAUUGGCUGCCGAUGAUUAUGCCACUUUAAUGACCGAUGAGUUAGAUGAUUUAGCAGGGCAUCGGUUAAAGGCUUUAAUGAGUAUAGAAGAAAAUAAGAAGAGAGUUGCCAGAUGGUAUGAUAAAAAAGUGAAGGCUAAGGAGUUUGCCGAUGAGGAUUUGGUAUGGAAGUUGAUUUUGCCAGUCGGGACUAAAAGUUCAAAGUUUGGGAAGUGGUCUCCUAAUUGGGAAGGUCCUUAUCGGAUAAAACGCUCAGCUCCUGGUAAUGCCUAUAUUCUAGAAACUCUCGAAGGAGUUGAAUUUCCCAGAGCGUUAAAUGGCAAAUAUUUGAAGAAGUACUACCCCAGCAUAUGGAUCGAUGCAUAAAAGGUUAAGUGCCGAUAACACUCCUAUCGGCUGAAUUUAAAUGUUCAAGGGCAGACUUAAUGUUUCAAAAGAUGCCGAUAACAGUCUUAUCGGCUAGACUAAAAACUAAAAGCGGAGAAACAAAGGUGUGUCGCCGAUGAAAGCUUCAGAUGUUCAGCAGCGCUUGGAUUGCGGAUAUGGCGCGCAGCCGAAUCUGGUUGGCUGUCUCUAUCUCCUUGAUAUCGUCAUCGGCAGAACCUUCAAUCGGCUUCAGCUUCCUCUUCAGUUGCAGCGCUUUACGACCAUGGACGUUUCGUUCCUGUUCAAGAUGCUUGAUGGUCUCCGGCAGUUGACUAUCUUCUUGCUGGGCUUGGGACAGGGCGUCUUCUACUUGCUUGAGUUCAGCCAGCAGAGCUUCUCUUUUUGCCGAUAGAUCAGACAUUUUCUGCUUCAGUGCAUCACCUGAGGACUUUAAGAUGCCGAUGUUCUUAUGUUUCUCAUCGGCUAAGAGUUUUUCUUUCAUCAUCUCCUCAGAGAGUUGGAUUUGAGCAGCUCUGUCGGCAAGGCGUCGAGUAGCUCUCUGGUACUGUAGCUGGCGGCUUUCUAGAUGUGCAGCGUGGAAGAGUGCUUCUUCGGCAUCGGCAGGAAUUUGGCCUCUAAGAGUCUUGAACAGGGCCUUGGCUGGGUCAGAAUCGUCGACCAGUUGAGUUGUGUCUUGAUGAAGUAUGGCCGAUAGCUCCUCCAGCCUAGCUCUGGUUUCUGCCGAUACAAUUCCAACUGCCCGAGAGGAGCUUGCUUCCUCGCCUUCUUCUUCGAAGAUAUCAAUAGCAAAGGAGAACAAGCUGUCGGGAGAAUCUUGUUCCUGAAAAUGAAAAUAAAAUAGGUCAAUUUUAUGGUCAAAACUUCGGCAGAUGAUACCGAUGGAAAAGUGGAUGACUUACUUGCUUCAAGGCGAUUUCCUACCUUUGACUCAGAGAGGCCGAUGGAGCUGCAGGUUGAUCGGCAAAUGUUGCCGAUAGAACGAUAUCGCCUGAAAGAAGACAGGAAGGAUUAUAAGAAUAAAUGAAAAUAAGUUUAUCGGUAGGAAUAUUGUUGGGAUAUGUUACCCGGAAGAGGAACAACAGUUGUUUGAAUUGAGGAAACCGCCGAUGAUAUAACUGGACCUGCCGGGCCAGUUGUUUGUUCACCUACGUCAGCUGACGUACCUGCCGUUUGAGGUUCUUCUUGCUGAGGUUCUUCCAUCUGUGGUGCUUCCUGUAUUGAUUGAGGAGAUGGUGCUUGCUGUGCCUGGACUUCUGGAGGAGAAGGGGAAGAUUCCACCGGGAUUGGAGACACCGGAGGAGGAGGAGGAGUUGCCACUUUCUGACGCUUUGUUCCAGUCUUAGCACCUUGGACGCCUUUCCUCUUUGGCUGGCUAGACUGGGGGGGAUCGGCACCUUGGCGUUUGGCUUUUGCCGAUGCACCAGUUUGCUGCAACAACGAUAAAGAGUUUAUGAGCACAGAUAACCGAUAUAAAGAUAGUCAGCAUAAAUAAAAAAGGGUUUUAACAGAUUGCCUUGAAAGCUUGCGCCAGAGUGGAAGCAGUUACCGUUGGUGAUGUCUGAGUUUUCCUGGUGGUAACUUUCUUGAGACGCGCACCCCGGUGCACGAUGGAAGCCAGAGUGUGAGCAUUGUGGCCGAUUGAGGAGAUCGGGCAUGAUGGGAUUAAGUCGAUCGGCUUGCCACUCCUGCUAACCGAUGGGGGGGUGUUGUCAAUCUGCAAAAAGAAUACAGGGGUAAGUUACCGAUGGGAAUAGUAUUGGAAAAUGAGACAUCGGUUUAAAAUACUUACAGUGUCGUCAGGGACUUCGUAUUCGGGGUCGAUCAUGCCGCGGUAUGAGAGGGCCGAUCUGCAGAAUAGAUUCUCCUUCCAUUCUGCCCACCAUAGCUUGUAUGCUUGAGUGAUAAAGGCAGCUGGAACCCAUUCUGACAGAUCUACAUCUGUAUCGGCAUUUGGUGGUAGCUGGGCUACUCGAGUCCACUCGAGGAGGUUAGCGAUGGGUUCUCUGGGCUUUAUUACAUCGGCAUAAGGAAGUGCGAUCGGCAAUUGGCCGAAAGCUAGCUGGCGAGCUAAUGCCGAUGGAUUAUAAAAUUCAUAGGUUUGGGGAGAGGUUUUCGUGCUGCCGAAGAAGUUCACUGGUAUGGCUCUGGGAGUCACGAUUGCCAUCAUCACCUCAUUGUCCCUAUCAAGAGCUUCGUCGAACGGAUUGAAGGUCAGAGGGAGCAUGCUAUCUGGGUCGUCAUAAGCCAGCCAUGGUCGUUCAUCUCUGGCCAAACCCUCAUACAGCGUUUCGAAGAAUCGGCCAAUCUGAUCCGGAGUGUUCCCUGAACCGGGUAAAACUAUAACAGCUUCGCCAAAGUUCAGGGGGGCACGUGUUGCCGAUUCCUCUUCACCCAACACAUGGUUCUCGGCUAUAUCUCUUGGGAAGUGCUGAGAGAACAAGUUGAGAUCGAGGCGCUUGUGCAGGUGCAGAUUGAGCCACAUAUUAAUAAACCACCAAGGACCUCCCAAGUUGCCGAUAGGUUGGCCGAGCAGGAGUUUCUGGACUACCUGAUGAAGAAGGUGAUAAACAGCGCCGAGCAAAUAACGGCCGAGAGGAAAUUGACCACCGCUAGCCAGUCUUUCUGCUGCCGAUAGAUAGACAGAAGUCGGUCCUGCCGAUCGACCACAGAAUACAAACUUGUCUAGCCACAUGUUCAGAAAAGUGGUUUGUUCCUUUAUGGUGACAGGCCCUCUCCCGCGGUACUUCUGGAUGUACCCUGACCAGCCGCCGAUAGCGCGAGUCUCCACUUUGGCACUGGGGGCGGUAUCAAAAAAGUGGGUGCUAUCGGCAGAAGAUAUGUCUAACCCAGUAAGCAUGGCUACAUCGGCAAGGGUAGGAGAAGCAGGGCCGUGGCCAAAGACAAAAGCGUUGAGAGUGUCUGACCAAAAGUAAGAUGCGGCUAUCAGCAAUGACUCGUUCCUGUGCAUAUCGGCAAUGGACAGCCUAAUGCAUUGAGCUAAUUUCCUCUCACCCCAUUGAACUUCAUAAGAGUUGCUGACCCUCAAGAACCAGUCUUUCCACCCUACAGUAGGGCUAGGCCAAGAGCGAAAGGUGUCCUUCCAUAGAUCUAGAGCAAAGUUUUCAGCUCUAAAGGGAAUCCUGUUGGUUUCUGCGUUGAUAAGGUCGGUUGGAUCUGGAUCCCCUAGAGGGCCGAGGCAUUGAAGAUGUGGUUGAUCGGUAGGAAUGACAAUUUUGUUGGAUAACUCCUGGUGUUUUGGGGAAUAAAGAUACAAAGAAAAAGGAGAAGGAAAAUAUUCGGUAAGGUAAAUCGCAGAUGAACAGGAAUGCAGGAAAAAGGUACAGCAGAUGAGAUGGAAGUCUGACCUCAGGGACGACGAAGCCAACGGCCAUCUUGUCGUGAAGGGGACGCUGGAAGACGCCGGAGUUGAUGAAGAAGAAUGCUUGUCGGAGAUCUUGAGGAUUGAGAAUGGCGCCGCCGCUGGAAAAGUGAAGUUGGAUGGCAGAAUGAUGUAAUGGGGGAGGAGUACCCAAGAAGGAACUAUUUAUAGGGCAAGAUGGACAAGGGCAAAUCUGACUUAUUUCUUUGCCGCAUCCGAGAAACCCGAGGGUACUCAAGUGGAUAUGGUAACUGUUCGCACGAUAAUCCAGGGAUUGUGCAGGUGAUUUGACAGGAAGCGGUCAUUAUCUAAAGAUAUUUUACUGUGCGCGAUCUCCUGGUCGGUCCAUCGGUGAUAUUCUAUAACGGUCGUCCUGCCGAUGGGCGGAUAGAGGGGAAGUAACCGUUUUUGCGAAUAUCCUGGGCAGAGUAUCGGCAGAUCUUUGUAACGGUAUUGUUGCCGAUGUACGACUAAGAGAGAUGCCCGUUUGGGAAGUUGUGGAUUUCGAGGGAUCUGCGGAGGAUUAGGAUCAGAGUUGCCCAAAUUGAGGUUGUCGGUUACCAGAUUAGGAGCAUUAAUUGCGGAGAAGACAUCAUUACUGCAGAGAAUUUCGGAGCAUUAAUAGUUUUAUACUCCGAAACUGGGGGGCAUGUGUUGACACCAUUUUUGGGCACGUGUCCAGGAUGGCAGGACAGGGUGGCAGUACGAUGCGGGUUACUGGUAAGGAUGGUUGCCGAUGAGGGAAAGGUUGAAUGUGACUAAGUCCUCAGACAGUAAUAUGGUGCCGAUGACAAAGUAAAAGGGUCUGCCGAUGACUAUGGCAAGGGGAUUGCCGAUGAUGCGAAGGAGGAGUCCGGAAGCUGCCAGUUGUCAUGUGGAGGAAUUUCGGUUUGUCACGAAGGAUGGUUUUAUUAUUUCCUUAUGUUAUUCGUAUCGUUUUGUAUACGGGCUCCGUGUAAUUUGGAAUUCGAAUUCUAAUCGUGUCUGGUCGUAGCUCUUUGAGCAGGGUAUAAAUAUAAGCCCUAAGACCUUGUAAUCAGAAUAUCUAUCAAUCAAUCAAACACACGUUUUUUACUCAUAUUCCAGCAUUUACUUUUCGACGACUUCGUCAUACGUUUUCUUUUUGUUACGAGUUCUUAGGAAUUCGUCGACUCAAGCUCGGCGUAUCCUCAAGUUCCGCGUGAGUACCUCUUAGCCGUGACAUCCGGGCGUAUCGCUGUUGUCAGGACUAAAGUAUUAGAGUUAUCACCUUUGCCGAUAGUAAGGUCAAAUCGGCUGGCACGCCUUAACGUUUGGAUCGGGUAUUAGCCCUUUGUGUUUGCAGACUAGUUUUUGCAUCAACAAAAUUAUGCUUACCUCUGCCCUAUUCUAUUAUAAAAACUUUGUCUCUAUUCUAAAUGCAUCCACCUUGUCUAUUUAGAUGGCUCAUAACGAGGAGACCUUUGGCAUGAAUGAACAAAAGGACUCAGAGAUGCCACCCGUAAAAGCAUUCGACAAGGAGAAGCUUCUAGCCAUGCAACAACAAGUAGUGGAAGGAAUGACUCUGAUUGGGAACUCUCAAAAGCGCAGUUCAGGACUAGUUAAGAGACAAGUAGCAGAAGCCUGGAAAAAUCUAAGAAGCCAUGGAGGUGUUGGUAGUAGUACAUCGGGAUAUCAGGAUCAAUGCCAUUCCUGUAGGCAUUAUGGUCUUCCUUGUCUUCGGAAUAGGUCAUCUAAAAAGUAAGUUAAGGUAAAACUAAAUUGUGUGACUAAUGAGGAUAAGAAGAGGAAGGAAAAAUCACUAGAGCCAGCAUUGGGAAGUGAACAACAUUCAAAUCCUAAGUUGUCCUAUUUAGCUUUGAACUCUGGCCAUGAAAAUUCAAACAUUGGAGAUGAAGAAACUUCUCAAGUUAACCCCACUGCUUAUGAGGUAUGCAUAGAUGGAUGGACCAUCACUUAUAAAGAGUUUCAACCUCGAAGGAUCAACCAAGUUAGGAAGAAAGCUAGCCAGCCAGAGACAAACCUUCAGAGUCAGCGAGCUGAUAACACACCGGGCAACACCUCAGUGGAAAAUGAUAUCACGAAUGAUCCAACUAAGAAAAAGUGUUAACACUGCCGACAGGAAGGACACUAAGUAAACUCUUGUCCACAGAGGAAUCAAUAGAUGCAUCAUGAAAGAAGCCACACUGAGUUUAAGAUAUAGGAGUUUGUGCCCUUGUGUAAUAAAAACACUAGCAGCGAAAGUCGAGUUUGUGUGCCUUGUGAACCUUUACUGCUUGGUUGAAUUGUCUUUAUGUUUAUGAUUGAUUUGGAUCUUUGUAAUGAGUGUAAUGAUCUCGUGAGUUUCUUCACAAUUUCAUUCAGUUUACAUGUCUAAGGCAUAAGGAUUAAUGACAUAAAUAGUUGGGUGUUGGUUUUUCUCUUGUUACCUUCUCCUGCCUUUCAAGAGUAUCUCAUCUUUAUCAGUUUAUGUCUCUGUUCUUGGAUGACUAAAAAUCAUGAGAAAAUUCUGGAUGAUAGUAGACUUCAAUAUCUUUCUCUGACCACAAGAAUCGCCCCCAUAGCUAUUAUGGUUUGGAAGUUACCAAAAAUCACAAGACGAUACAGAUGUGCUGCCAAGAAUCUAGACCAGUUUGGGUUGCCUGCUGUUUUGGACAAAUAUAACUAUAGAAUUUGGAAAAGUGAUCUAUAGAAAGGUUGUAGCAAAUUCUCUAAGCUUUCUAACGGUAUAAGCUAUAACCCUAUUGGAUUAACAGAACAAGAGUUAUGUCCAUUUUACUGAGCUGGUGAUUUUUCAUAUCGCGAGGAAAAUCAGGAUAUUUGUUUCUUCCUAGCACAUAAGUUCCUUGGGAUGUCAAAAGGGUCUCAAUGCAAGAUAACUUGUUAAGAAAAAGUGCAAGCUACCUUCCUUGUGCCUCCUAGUCGACCUUUCUUAAGGGGGUAGUACCUUGAUAUCACGGGUUGAUGCAUUUUUCAACUUAUCUUGAAGAGAGAGUUCUUUUGAGAUAUUCUAUGAUUAUGAUCAUCUCUCCUUCUCGUGUCAUUGACGUUGGUCACUUGAUGACAGGGAGUGUAUCCCAUGGAUCAGGAGCCCUAUAUGAUGCCUCUUACUGAUACGUGGGAAGAGAAUGAUGAUCCUACCUUUGAUGGAUGUUAUGAGUAUGAUGAAACUGAGUACUAUCAAAAUAAUGAUACUGAAGAGCAAGUUGUAAGUGAAUCAAAUCAGAAUCCACAACGGCGAAAGAGAAAAAGGAAAAGUCGUAAGAAGUUUGCUCAUGGAAGUAAGGUGCAACGAGACUAUAUCAAUGGAAGACUGAGCAAUGUGGAUAGACAUAACAUUCAUGGAGCUACCAAAGUGGUUGGUGGCUAUAUUCAAGUAGACUCAGUGCAAGUUUUUGCUCUGUUUGACCCGAGUGCUUCACAUUCUUUCAUUUCUGUCGACCUCGUAAAGACAAUCGAGAGGGUAAAGUGCCCAACGAAGAAGCCUUUACUAGUUCAAACUUCAGUGGGAGAAAUACAAGCAGAUCAGGUGUGCUCAAAUAUCAAUUUGGUCAUAAACAAGGAGAACUUCAGUGUAAACCUCAUUGUGCUAGAGUCACUUGGUAUUCCCUUGGUCCAUGGUAAUGGAUGGUUGUGUGCACACAAAGGAGUGAUCUUUGGUACCCAGUACAAAAUGCUCUUAACAGCACCGUCAGGAAAAAGAAUUGAGUAUCAUGGUGGUCCACUGCUACCUGAGGAGGCAAAUGCAUAUUAAGUUUCCAUGUCUCUUGGAGUUGUAAGCUAAAAGAAAUUAGUAGUCAAGAUGGACUUUGGCCAACUAUGAAUAAUAGUUAUUCAAUGGAAAUGUCGUUCACGAGAUGUGACCUUGAGGUAUAAGUGUUUACAUUUGGUAUGCAAGUUCUGAAGUUGAAAGGGUUAUCAAGAUAUUUUUCUGUUUCUCUCAAAGGAUCUGAGCCUCGUCCGAAUCUCGAGGACGAGAUUCAUUUUAAGGGAGGUAGAAUUGUAACACCCUAAAAAUUUCCUUGUUUUAAAUAGUUGAAUUUGAUUUAUUGUGUCAAUUUUGUGAGCAUCAAAAUAUAAGAAAAAAAACUAAUAAUAAUAAUUUUAGAGAAAUUAAAAUUUAAUAUAAGUUUAGAAACAUAUUGAUGCAUUCAUGCUGCAACAUUUAUUUAUGUGAUGUGUGGAAUUUGUAAAGAGUUUUGAAUUCAAUUUUCAUUUGAAAAAUGAGUUUGAAAAUUUGUUUUGGAAAAAGAAAAAUGGAAUUCCUUUUCUUCCCCUCUCUCCUUCUCUCGGCCUGCUAGGCCCAAAUCUCCCCGGCGCCCCCUCUCCCUUCCUGGGCCGAGGCCCAGCUGGCCAACUCCCUCUCCCUCUCCCUCCCGCCGACAGAUGGGGCCCAUCUGUCAGCUCCAUCAUCUCCAACCGCCAGCCCCAACUCCCUCUCUCCCGAUUCUGCUCAACCUCAAGCCGAGCCACCCCCCCCCCCCGCUCCCACGAUCUCCUUUCUCCCACUACUUGUCAUUUGGAGUCGCGCGCGCGCCCGAGCCCCCUUCCCCUUCCCCAUUUGCUCUCCCCCAUCCUUGCCCUCGUUCUUGAACGCGCAGCGAGCUCGCCGAAAACCGCCGCGACCUCCGCACGUCGUCCCAUCGAAUCAAGCCAUUUACGCUCCAAUUCUUCGCGCUGGUGAGCUCUACUCCUUCCCCGCGUUCUUCUCAAUCAAAUUUCAUGCGAUUUGGUGCCUCCUAGCGUCCUAGCCAUGAGCUCCGAGGAGCCGGCCAUGGCGCCGCCGCGGUCCGCACUGCGCGGACGUUUCUCUGGCCGCGCAAAGGCUAGGAUUGGAUUCGCCGUGACCUCCUCUCUCUCCCGGUGUAUUUGCUUCGUGAAACCGAGCUCCGUAGCGUUCUGUAGGUUUUCUCCGGCGAGCUCGCGCCGGCCGGCCAUGGAGCGCCGCCGUCUCCUAUUCCCCCUCCAGCCGGCAUCUCCUGUCCCCCCCGAUCUAAUCGUGAGCGUCCGUUUUCAAUCCGAUGGCCAGGAGCGCUCCAUACCCCUUCGGGUGGAUAUUUUGCUAAAGAGUCCUUUCGAAUUUAGGAAAUAAAACCCGCAGUCCAUGGCGCUUUGCAGGAAAUACGCUUUGCUUUUGGAGAAGCCUAAAGUCUCGGUUUGAAUCAGAAUACGUUUUCAGUAUUUACAGUUUUGCCACUAAGUUUGUUUAGCUCAUAAAAUAUUCAUUUUAACUCCGAUUUGACCCGUUCAAAUUGCGUUAGGUUCGUCUUUGCGAGCUCUACAUGUUAGCAACCUUGUUUCACCAAUUUGAAACAUUUUAAUUUCGUGAUCCUAUUUAAUUAAUUACUUUUCUAAAGAAAAUCUUAGAAAAUUCGUAUCUUCUCCGUUUUAGCUCCGAUUCGAUCCGUUCAAGUUGCGUUAGUUUCAUAAUUUCAUAAGCUUCGCGUUGGUACCUUUGUUGUCUAGGUUCACCACUGUUAGGUUUCCUAGAUAAAUACAAGUCCGUAGAUAGCCUUUGUAGUCCCGUUUAAUGCGUAGAUUUCGCGUCGUAACUCCGUUUUGCGUGAAUUUUGCGUUGACGUGAUCGUAGCAGCGUGUAGAUGAUUUUGGAAAACUUUUAUUUACAUUUAUUUACUGCUGGUGUACUGUUCUAAUUGUAAUCUUGUUUGCUUCGUGUAUGUCUGUCCCCGAUUGCUUGUGUGUUGAUGAUCGAUGAUCGAGUCUAGUCGGUGAGCAUUACUUCGGUGAUCAAGAUCAGAGCCUUGGAAGCAAGUAAGAUCAGCAGGACCAUCAGGAGCAAUUGGAUCAAGGAAAGUAUAACAUUUGGGUUUUACUUCUAUGACCAUGAUCUUGUGACUAGAUUGAUAUAAAGCAACAAAUGAUAAUAAUGACUUGUUAACAACUUGAGGAUUUAUUCGUAAGUGAUAACCGGGAUGACAGUGCAACCAUGAGGGCUAUAAUGGCUCUGGCGAAUAACCGGGAUGACAGUGCAACCAUGAGGGCUAUAAUGGCUCUGGCUUUAGUCAAGUAUGAGUAACUUUUCUAGCUUGUUAGAGGUUACCCGUGUGGCGCAAAUGGGGGAUAGCAGACCGUGGAUUCCAUGCGAGUGGUAGAAUCACACGGACUGACUACCGAAUCCAAGCGGCCCUAACUUGUUAGAUGAACCUUUGAAAGACUUCAUAGUGAUCCCUGCCGACCUACCUUGGUAGUGGGUUACGAGGCUGAUCACCUCAGGUGAAAGGGUAAAUCAUGACUCAUGGGUAAAGAUGUACAACCUCUGCAAAGUGUUAAAAACUGGUAUACUAGCCGUGCUCACGGUCACGAGCGGCCUUGGGAACUCUUACAUUAAGGGUGAUGAAUCUUGUGUUAAGAAACUCAUUGAUUAUUGUUUAAUGCUCUAUAUUAUUUAUGUCACAUUGAUCAUGAGAUUCUGGGAUCUAUACAAUCUAGUUGUUAUACUUGCGGAGUUCGUCUUGAACUCACUCUUCCUAUCUCCCCCACACCUCAGGAGAAGUUUUGGGCUUGUGAUGAACCAGUCAGUUGGAUCCUGUAGAGUGAGGUUAACACCCGAAGUUUGGAGUUCUCUUCCAUGUCUGCUGCCCAAGGUUGUUUCUAAUUUAUUAUCUACGCUAUAUAAUUUAUGCAUUGUCCUUUGAUAUUACCCCUUAUUUGUAGCUAUAUGUGAGGCUUAUCUUCUAAAACUCACAUAUGGUGCAUAUCUGAUUUUGUUCUUAAAAUCGGGUGUUACAGAGUAGAAGUAACAUGUGUGAGUGAGCGUGCAAGUGAAAUCUUGAUUUAACCACAUGACAAACUCCUAAGGGUCUACACAGCUUGACCACACUCAAUGCUCAUAAGCAGUAAAUAGUAAAUGUGUGGCUCAAAGUCUGGCAAGCAUGUAUAUAUGGCUGUGGUAGGAAUUUAAACUCUCAUCAUACAGAAACUCAUCAUGCAAUAUUCUAAAGAUUUUCAAAGAUAAAAUUCUCCAGAAUUCCAGCAUCUCUAGGAACAGAUAAACAGCAGCUCAACCUUCCCAUAUCAUAUCCGUUAACAACUUAGACUUCAGAUCAAGUUUUCUUCCCACAAGUUUAGGUUUAGAGCAAACUUUAAAUUAUAACAGUUAUGUCUAAACUUGAGAGAACUUCAAAUUUGAAAAUUAGGCAGAGCAACAAUUCAUCAUAUCCAUGCUAGAGUUUUAUUAUUAAGAUUCAGUUUAGCAUAGCCACUUUAUUUAUUUAUUAAACACACUAAGCAAAAGAAACAUAUAUAUAUAAGCACAAAAUCUUUAUUUGGUUUUUUUCAUAGUUAUGUAUAUUUUAAUAUAAUAUAAGUAUAAAGAUAGAUAGAUAGAAAUACUUAUCGGGAUAAAUGGGGAUGCUCUCCCCCAAGCUGAAUUUUGACGUAAUUUCUUCUGAUGUAGCUAGCAGGUGGCAGGGGUGUAUUUGAAAGUCGGCAGUACCCUGACAGUGAUUAGAAUGUCCUCUGUCUGCUAGUCUUCUUGAUUCUUAAAUUAUGUGGAGCUCAAAUAGACAACAAAGCUUUGUGGAACUGAUUAAGUGUUAGCAUAAAUAUCUAGCCUUUAUCAUGUUGAGCCUCCUCAAUAAAUGUUACUCCCUAUUUUUAUAUUUUCAUUUUAUAGAGCAGAAAAAAAUAUUUAUUUUAUUUUUAUGCCACCACAGUGAAUGUACUUAUGAGUUUUAUGCCACUCGUAUACUCACAUGGGGCUUACUGUUUUUCAUAUUUUUAUUUUCUUUUUAGGAUAAUAUGAACAUAAUUUACUAAGUAAACUAUUUGAAAUGAUUGAAAAGAAAAUGAUAACUACCAAGUUUACCUCUUGGCAAGGCGUUUGGUGUUUUUAAGUCCUCCGAACGGGACUCUCCGUAUUCUCAGUUGUCCUGGGGUUCAUUGGGUGGCGUAGUCGGUGCUUCUGGCGGCGCCUCUUCUUCAUGUAUAGUUAUCUUCUCUUUCCACACCUGACUCGGUGCUACGGUCUCCUCUGGAUAAUUCUGUUUAAACUGUAUGUCUUCAGACCUUACCACUUCUCCUUCAUAGUCUGCCCAUCCGUCCUUGAUGAUCUGCCUCCUCUAGUUGCGGUUGCGUUGUUUUCUGACCUGCUUAGAGUCUUCAAUGAUAUAGUUAGAGUCAGUAAAAUAGUGGCGUACCUUCUCUGAGGGGAAGUGCAUAUGGACUUCUCCGGUUCCAAUGUAGAUGAUUGCUUUAACGGUGCUGAGGAACGGUCUUACAAGGAUGAUGGGUGGAUCGUACUCGUCUUCUCCCAUGUCAAUAACCUGAAAGUCUGUGUAGACAAAAUGAUCGUCUAUUUUGACAGGGACAUCAGUUACUAUUCCUUUAACUUCUCGAAACGUCUGAUCUGCCAUCUGGAGCUGAAUGUAUGUUGGUUUUAGGGGCAUGGUUCCGAACAAGAGCCAAUAGGUGACUGCGACCAUUAUGUUGAUGCCCGAUCCGGUGUUGCAAGUCGUCUUGUAGAAGUUGUAUCCAUUUAUGGAGCAAUAGAUGCUUGGCAUUCCUAGGUCAUCCUUCUUGGUCAGAAAUGGUGACUUAAGUUGAUGAUCUUGGCCUCCAUGAACUGCAGUGACCAUCUUAGCUGACUCGGUCCACACUUGCUUGUUCCUGUUCCUCCUGUUGGUCCUCUUCCUUGGUUCAUGUCUGGAUUGCUCUGGGAUUUGUGUAGUCUUGUUUUUGAAGGAAAACGUCUCCUUCUUCCCUUUAAUGUAGAAACUGAUCUUGGCAGCACUAGCGUAGAUGACAGCUCCCGAGGUGUUCAAGAAUGGCUUCCCUAAGGUGAUGGGUGCCCUCUCAUCAUUACCGGUCUCUAUCACCAUGAAGUCUGCUGGGGCGUACAAGGUACCAACUCAGACACAAAGGUUCUUCAAUAUUCCUGUUGGGAAACUUAUCGUCUGAUCUGCAAACUGCAAACACAUGGUUGUUUCUGAUAAAGGAUAUGUAAAGAAUUUUUCAUAAAGUACCUUGGGCAUAAUGUUGACACUAGAGCCAAAGUCGCAGAGUGCUUCUGGGAAGUCCACCAUGCCGAUGGAGAUCGGGAUGACAGGGCGUCCUGGAUCGCCUCUCUUGAUCGGCAGAAGGUCAGUAGUAACUUCAGUGACGGGGUUACUCCAGUAGUUACCUUCAUCAUACAUGUCUACAAGAUUUGCAGAUUCUAAUCCUUCCGGUUGUGAUGGUAUACCGGGGUUAGUAGCAGGAACAACAGCAGCUAUUUGAUUUAACUGAGAUUCAAUCAUUUUAUUAAAGCUAAUUUGAUUCUUGAGGGCAGUAGAGAAAUUAUCUAUAUUUUCUAGCAUUUUAACAUUAGAUGCCAAUUUCUUAGAUAGGUUAUCCAUUAGCUUUCCUUGAUUAGACACUAACUCUCUCAAAGGUGGAAAAUUAUUAUUAUUGUAAGAAUUAUUACCUUGAUAAUUACCUGAGUAGUUAGGCCUCUGUUGAUUCCAACCUUGAUUUUGUUGAGGACGGUUGUAGUAGUAGUUGUUGUUGAUGUAGUUCACAUCCUCAAGUAUCUCAGGGCAGUGAUUGCCUGAGUGUCUAGUAUCUCCACACUCCUCACAAGUCAUGUGAGAGUCGUAGAUGUGCAUAACAUCUUUCUUAUCUCCAGCUCUAUCAUCGAGCUUCUUCAUGAGCAGGUCUAGCUUUGCAAACAGCAUGUCUACCUCCUUGAGCUGAUGCAUACCUCCACCUUUCUUGCGUGUCUAGGUCCUUUCUUCAUUCCAGCUUUGAUUGGACACCAUCUUCUCCACAAGAGCUGUGGCUUGUGAUAUGGUGAGUGAUAGGAAUGCUCCUCCAGCUGCAGCAUCCAUGGUUUCUCGGGCACUGUUGCCGAGCCCGUGAUAAAAUGUCUGCAUCAGUAGCCAACUCUCCAUUCCAUGAUGGGGACAUUCUAGGAUGUAGUCUUGGAAGCGCUCCCAUGCUUCCGGAACAGAUUCAUCAUGUUGUUGCUGAAAACUUGUAAUCUUCCCACGUAGAGCAUUGGUCUUGCCCAUGGGAAAGAACUUAGCUAGAAAGUUUGUGGAGCAGAGUGCUCACGUAGUAUUCUUCUCCUUUGUAGCGUAGAACCACUACUUCGCUCUCCCCAACAAUGAGAAUGGGAAGAGGCGAAGUAGUAUAGCAUCUCUGGGGACUCCUGAUAUGGUGAAUGUGCUGCAAAUCUCCAGGAAGUGUUGGAGAUGAGCACUAGCAUCUUCGUGUGCCUUCCCACAGAACUGGUUGGAUUGCACCAUGUUGAUAAGUCCAGGCUUGAGCUCAAAGUUGACAUCGAUCUCUGCAGCCGGUCCAGUGCGGAUGUUGUCCGUAGUGGGAGCUGAGAACUCGCGGAUCGAUUUGUUCGCCAUGGCUUCGAAUUCUGAAGACAAGUUCCGGUGAUCUUCUUGAUUGGAUGCAGCUUCUUGCUGAAGUGUUGAUGAUCUUUUCUUGAGCUUGGCUCUUGUUUUUCUGAAUAACACUUCGAGAUUGUCAACAAAAUUUCCUGGAAGAUGUCUUCUAUUCAUACAUUACCCUGCAUAAGAUAAAACAGAAAAAUAUCAGAGUAAAACUGUAUGAGAGAAUUGAUAAGCUCAAUCAUAUUAGUGACGCGAAUGAUAACUCAAAAUCUUAUAUUCAUUCCUGAUUAGUAAUCAACCUUCCCCGGCAACGGCGCCAAAAAUGCUUGUUGGGCAUUCUUAACGUCACUACCAAAAGUAGACUUAGUUCUCUAAUUCUGAUAACGGCACCAAAAAUGCCAAACCUAUCCCUCAUGCCACUUAAGCCAAGUUGUCAUCCCUAGCAUGACAUGAAAGACACGGUAUUGAAAUAUGCAAUUGCUUUUCUAAAUAAAUAAUAAAUGGGAUCUGCAAGCGCACAGAUUAAUACCGAUGUAGCAUUUUAACCAGGAAGUACUCCAGGUAUCGUUAUUUAUAUUUUUACCACUGGAAGGGAUUAGUAAUCAUCAAUGUUGAUUAUAGAAUGGAAUAUAAGAUUGAGUAUCUAUCAUUGCAUGUAUAAUUGAGAACAUUUAUCUAACUCUUUCAUAUAGGGAUAAGUGUCACAUAAAAGAUAUAUGAAGUAAUGAAUAGUGACAUAAUUAAUCUGAUCAGCAUAACUUAGCCACAUAUAAAUAUGAUAAGCACCUCAAUUAGAUAUUCUAGCAAGUCAUUAGCAUGGUAUUAGAACGAACUACAAGAAUAUUUCCUAAGUUAUUCUCAACUAUAUAGUCUUGCAUUAUCAUAGUUAGUGCAAGCAUACUUAGCAAUCAUUGUAAGACAAGAUUACGCCCAUGCAUAGUGAUAUUGGCAAGGAAUAUGAGAAACAUAGCAAUCACUCCUCUGUAAUAAUGUUGCUCUGCCUGCCCAAUACACGAGAGGGGAACUAUAUAAGAAUCAAUGAAGCUUUCACUAUCACGAACUACCCCGCGAUCUGUGGGUACAAUCGCAGAUAAAUUCGGUAUAAGCACCACGCCUACACAAUAUCUAUCAUUUACCCAUGGAUCCGAUGGAUAAACGCUAUACGAUCCUAAGCAUGUAUAUAAUUCUAAUCUAACUAAGCCAAGUAUAUAACCAUGAUAAACUAAGAACAAUAUAAUCUUGAAUAUAAACAAGUAGAGCAAAGUCAUAAGCAAUAUAUUGAAGUAGAACAAAGUCAUAUUCAUAAUAUUGAAGAACAAAGAUGAACAAUUAGAAGAACAAUUAGAGAAUUACCAAGAAUCCUCUUGACAGAUCUGGAAACCAAUCAAAGAUUGACUCCUUCUAGUUCCAAUCCUAUGUAGCUAUGCUAAUCUAGAUGUCUAAUUGAUGUGGUGGCUCUAGGCUUUAUCAGAGGCUUCUUCUCCCUUGAAUGAAUUAGGGUUGAGAGGCUCUCUCCUCCAGGGGCCAGGGGGUCUGGUUUUAUAGUCCCUUCAAGUGAAUAUGGGCCGUUGGAUCAAACCGACAUUGAUUGAACGGUUAUCCUUGAUCCUUUAGGUCAGUGGAGAUUAGUCCAGAAAGAGAGUCCUGAUCCAACUCAGAGAGGGGGCGGGCGCCCUGGUCAACUGGGCGGGCGCCCAGUGCCUGGCCCCUUUCGGCCUCCGCUUCCUUCCCGUGGCUUCUGGAGUCUUCUAGAUGUAAGAUAGUUGUAUGGCACGUUGAUAUCUCUAUGUAAUCCCGACGUGUGGGCCUUUCUUCCGUAUUUCCUGAUAACCCCCUGCAGAAAUAGACAAACACCAAAACUCGUGGAAUUCUGUCAGAUAAAACCCUAAGUCUAGAUGUUGAUUUCAUUUGGAUCCUUUUCUUUGUUUAUUUGAUAAUUAAAUUUGAUACUUAAGGACCGUCAACAGAUGUAACUACUGGAGUAACCCCAUUGUGGAAGUAAUUACUAACCUUCUGCCGGUCAAGAGAGGCGAUCCAGGACGCCCCGUCAUCCCGCUCUCCAUCGGCAUGGUGGACUUCCUAGAAGCACUCUGUAACUUUGGCUCCAGCGUCAACACUCGCCGCUGCUCCGCCCUCGCCACCUUUCUUCCCUCGGAGUCGCGUUAAGGUCUGCUUAGGUCUCGGUGUCGGUUCACACCAUGUCAUUUUGGCUUUGGUACCACCGUCGUGCGGGAACGCGGACGCCGCACCGCCGUGCUCACCGCCGACGAGCACUUCACACGUGAGCAGGCUCACCGGAGCCAUUAGGGUUAGGCGUCUCUACCUAGAAAGCUCCGCGCUACCUCGCUGGUGCUUAAGCCGCCCUUCCCCGACGCUCUACGGAUCGGAGACGGCCGGCGUAAGCCGGGGUAGCUCCGCCGUGCCGCCAUGGCCGACGGCGACCCCUCUCCAUCGUGGUAACCCUAGUGUGGCCUACCUCCUUCGAUGCGGAAUCACUCCAGGAGCACGUUGCUGCCCUUGGAUCCACCGGAGAAGUUCACCGUCAGCGAGCAUUCGCCGGCGAAGGUGUCCCCUGUUCUCUAGGUCGCUGACGCGCGGGUCCCGCUGUCAGUGACUCAACGGUCUCCUCCUCUCUUUUAUUCAAAUCUAGAUUUUUGGCAUUCUUGCAAAAUUCAUAUCUUCAGUUUCUGAGAUCCAAAAAUUGUGAAUCAAAUUUUGUGAUAUUCCUUGAGAUGGCUAGUUUGUAAUAAAAACAUAAAAUGUACCAUGUUUUCUGGGAAAAAUAAUUGUUAUGAUUUAAUCUUGUUAAUUAUGUGUAAAUCCAUAUCUUUUGUUAUACUGCUCCUUUUGCUAUGAAAUUUUUAUGCUAUGCUCUGAGUGGUAUGGGAAUGCUAUGAUAAAUAUUUCAGGAUUUUUGGAGUAAUGUAUCUGUGAUAUGAAAUUUAUGUUGAUUCUAUGGCUUGUUUUCUUACUUAAAUCUUAAUAAAUAUUUGGUGCUUAUGCUGGUGCUCUACUCUGGUGUCAAACUUGUUUAUCGUAAUAGUAACAUGUAAAUAAUCUGAAAUCUGUUGUUUGACACUAUCUAAGCUAUGUUUCUUAAUUUAUGAAAUAAGCACCUUGUCACAUGUUAAAUACUUAUCUUGAAUUUGGCAUGUGCAAUUGUUCUGAAACUUUUAUGGUAAUGUCUUGAUGCCAUUCUGAUGCUUCUGUAAUUUUUGUAGAUUUUUUUGAGUACUCUUUCUGGUAUCUUGUAAUUAUGCCCAUUUAUGGAAUUAAAUUAAUAAGUGCCAUGAUAUUAAAAGAUUAGGGGUUAACAUAUAAUGUUCUGGUAACCUUAUGGUGUGUUUGUGCUUAUAGGUCAUAUGGUUGACACUAAUUAUGUUUUGGCUAUGUCAUCAAAUAAUUAAUUAAAGGGUUAAAAGCUGUUCUGGACAGCAAGGGAGUAAUCCAACCUUCGCCUAAUGAUAACUUGGUUUUCUGGUAGACUUGUCUAAAUCAAAGUUGUUGAAAACUUUAUGAACUAUCUGUGGUUUAAAUUUGGGAUCAUUUGGUCAAGUAGUUUUGAAGUUAUGGCUUUUCCAAGUUGGAUUCCAGAAAAUAGGUGCUCUCUGUUUUUCUGGGACAGAACCUGGAACUUUGUUUAAUUGACUUGUUUAACUUAUGAAUCUUGCUGUGGUGUCUAAACAUGAUUUGUAGGAAAUUUGAUAAGCUUUCCAGAAUGUCCCCAUGCUUGUUUGUUGGAUCUGUAUAGCGCUAGUUAUGAUCUAUUUACUGAGCUGUCCUGUUAUGUGAUACUGGCUGUUUUGAGUUGACUUGGUAAGUUUUGCUAAGUUAGUUAGUCAACUUCUGUGAACUUGUGAUGAAAGUUACUCCGUAAAUGAGUGUCCAGUGAAGUUCUAAUUAUGUUAUCAAGCAUUCAUCCUCAAUUAGGAUGCACACAUUCUUAUUCGCCAUGCAUGCAAUAGGUGCACCGGAAACGACAGCUGCGUUCGAGCUUCAAGUGAACCCCGAGGGCCAGGAGUUCAACCCGGAGGUGGAGGUCUAGCAAGCCGGACACGAGGAGCCCGAAGAGGAGGUCGAGUGCCCUAAUUACGAGCCUGCAUCAUUCGUGAAAGGCAAGCCCCGGAGCAUCUUAAGUCUCCGACUUUAAUUUCGAAAGCUUACUUGAUUAUGUUAUAUCUAUUGAUGCAUUACGUAUAUGAGUUGUGAUGAAACCUUUGCUGCAUUUUACUCAUUCCUUAUCCAGAUAUCUUACCACUACCUGAUUAUAGAGUUAGGAUCGAGUAGCAGCUUAGUCAUGCUUUAAUCGGUAGAAGUCGGGUGAUAUCCUGUCACCUGCGCGAGAUAGGGUUGUGUCGGAUCACGAUUGUCUAUAUGUGCUAUCGUGGAAGGAACCAGAUUAAAAGGACUUAAGCCGGGCGGAGUUUUGCAAGGUUGUAGUAACUCCGUCUGUGGCAGCUAAGGACCGAUCGUUGUACGUCCUCUUGUCAUGUUGAACGCAUGCCUAACACUUAGUUGGCCGGAUAACUCGUUCUGACCACGAAGCCUAGUAGUAUGACUCAGGCCGGAAGACCGACAAGUAUAAAGUGCGCACUAUAGGAGGAAGUGCGGUGUGUGGGGGACCAUUGACGUAAGUCCAAAGGCAGGUGAGUUAAAAGUCCUGACCUCCCUGGCAGAGUGGUAGCCCUGGGAGUGGGGCGCUGAUCGGAGCCGCGAUUCCUGAGUCGUACCAAAGGUGACCCGCUGGCUCUCCGACGGGGGAUGCUUGGGUGAGUGCUAGGAAUAACCCUCCAGCUGGAUAGGAAUCGAUUCGAAUCGCCGUCUCUCCCGUAUACUGAGAACUUGACAGAGCAGCGGCAAACGUAGCAUUCACUAAAGAACAAUGGUUCGUGUUAAUGACGAUAGCAAGGAAGAGCAUAUGAUGAACUUGAUAUGGUUAUUAUUGUUUGUAUUAAUCAAAGUGAAGUGCUUUAGUACAGGUGCUAAUCUCGUGGUAGGCUAAUAAUGCCUAAUAUGAUGCUUUUGCAAUAAGUGUAGUCUCUACUUAAGCUUUUGGCAAAAUGAUGAGUCAAGCUAGCUACACUUUAUACUUAGCCUUGCAUGAUUCUUGGUGUCUUUUAUGUUUUACUAGACGGGUAAGUCUAGCUGAGUACAUUCUCGUACUCAGGGUUUAUUCCCACCUGUUGCAGAUGAUAUCUUUUAUGAUGGCUUCUGCAAGACCUGUCUUCAUCCUGCUGGGGAUGAGGACUAAACUGUCGGACACGGUUCUCUAACUACUUCAUAUCUGUUGCUUUUGGUGGAUGGUGUGAGACCCUGGCAGAAUCAAGAACUUAUGAAUUGAACCUUGGAAUGGGUGUUGUAAACUAUUUUGCUUCCGCUACUACUACAAACUUGUGUUGUAAUAACUAAGACACUCCGAUGUGGUGCCGCUUCGACGGCAAUGAAUGACUAUGUAACAUUCGCUGUGUUAUGUUGAACUAUUACGAUCUUGUUUUGUUGCAAGUUGGUUUGAAGUCCUUCGUGAUUUCAGUUGACUCCCAGGAUUAUAUGGGCUCAAGUUUGGAAACUUGAUUACUAGUUGAUCGUUUUUGCACUUGAACUCUUAUAAUUUGGUCGGUUCUGUGACAAUAAUCAUCAGGUAUAAUAAUUAAGAAUAAUUAUCAGAGCAUCUACUAGUCAUAACAAUAGUUAGCCAAUGGAUAAACUAGGGAUUGGAUCUAAGGUAAUUCUAUAUCUACGCCAAUGAAUAACUCUAAUUAGUGCAAUUACAUCUAGAAAUCAUCGUUAAGUCAACCCUAUAUCAUAAUUGCAUGUAAAGACGCAUCAACUAAUGAGGGUUUUAAGACACAAGGGUCACCUCCUUCACGACUGCGCCCAUGUUUGCCCUACGUAUGGGGGUGGACUAUAGAGGAACCGAUGCAGCUGUCACCUACAUGGACUCCCACACGACCGGACACGUUAAGGUGCACUCGUAGACAAACAAGAUAUUUAGACACCACGUCUAUAUAUUGUCUAUCAUCUAUCCAACGAUCGAUUAGGUAAACGCUAUACGAGCAAUUACAUGAAUUCAAUAAGAUCAAACCAAUUAUCCUAGACAUAUAAUCAAAGUAGAUAAUGACUAAUGCAAUUAAGAACAUAUGAAUCUAUUUAGAAUAAAGUCACCGUAAUAUACAAUUAAAUACUAUAAAGUGACAACUAGAUCUAUUACCAAACUCUUGCGCUCCAGACCAACGCCAGGGGCUCCAAACCCCAAUGAAGAACUAGAUCUCCUCUACUUCUAAUCUAACUAACUAGAACUAUGAACUAGAAGGCUCUUGAUGAACUUGAAGGCGCUUGAUGCUUGAUGGCUUGAGGCCUUGAUGAAUAAUGAAGUGGCUCUCUCCAGGGGGGUCUACCCAUGUAUUUAUAGUCCGGUCGGAUGCGCGUGCGCCGUAGGAUCAAACUGACUUAACCAAGGGCCGAGAUGGCUCCUCAAAGGCGGUGGAGGAAGCUUCCAGAAGAGGGGGCCGAAACCCUAAGGGGGCGCCGGCCGGUGCUAGGGUGGGGCCGGCUGGCCCCACCUAGCGACCGCUAGGCCCCACCUAGCGGCCGCCAGGCCCCCCGUUGUGUCGGGUGCCUUCUCGAUCCUUCCUAAAUCUUCUCGCAAUGUUUCCAGGCGAAUAAGUUUUUGUGUUUAUUUUGCACUAGAGUCCCUCUUUUUCAGCUUUCUUGAAAUUCACCCUAGAAGAUACAGAAUAUACAAAACUCAUGGAAAUUGUUAGUUUAAACCUAUACUAGUGUGUAUUCAUGUUCUCCUUCAGGUUUAAAGUUAUAAUAAAAGUUGACGUUAUCGACCAUCAACACUAGCCUUUUAUAUUCGAAUGAGGUUGAUUGAUAAGAGAUGGAUUUUAUGAAAUGGUUGCAAAUAACUGGCAAUCUCCAUGCUCUAGGAUAACCUCAUUGGAACACUUACAGGGCAAGAUCUGAAGGCUCAGACAAUAUCUAAGAGGCUAGGCAAAACACAGUGGGGUCUUACAGAAAAGAAAAAAGACUCUAUUAGCUCUUUUAGAAAAUCUUGAUAAGAAAGCUGAGCUCACUCAACUAAUUGAUUAAGAAAUUAAUCUCAAAUACUAUUUAAAAGAGAGGCUAGUUACCCUUCUGAGAGAAGAGGAACUAAAAUUGUAUGAGCGUGCCAAAGUUAAAACACUGCUGGAGGGUGAUGCUAACACUCGAUUUUUCCAUCUUGUGGCCAAUGGGAAACACUGUAAACAAUAUAUCUAUAAACUUGAGAAUGAUCAAGGUACUAUAGUUGGAGACGAGUGUCUCAAAGCCAUAUUACAAAUUAUUAUAAGGACUUGUUUGGGCAACCUGAACAUUCUGAUAUCACACUAGUGGAGGAUCACAUGUUAGAUAUUCCACAAGUAUCCCUGAAAGAAAAUGAUAUUCUAAUUAGCCCGUUCACCGAAUCUGAGGUGAGGGAUGCAGUUUUCCAUAUGGAGCAUAAUAAAGCUCCGGGCCCAAAUGGAUUCCCUGCAGAAUUCUAUCAGGUGUUCUGAGGAAUUAGCAAGGAGGACCUUCUUCGCCUCUUUGCAGACCUCCAUAGGAAAGCUCUAGAUCUCUACAGCUUCAAUUUUGGAAUCAUUACUCUAAUCCUAAAAAUACAUAAUGCUACCAAAAUUCUACAAUAUAGACCAAUCUGUGUCCUCAAUAUGAGCUUCAAAAUUGUCACCAAAGUGGGCACAAAUAGGAUGAAUUUGGUGGCCAAAAUAAUAGUUAGCCCAACGCAGACUGCCUUCAUGCCGGGCAGGAACAUCAUGGAAGGAGUAGUAAUUUUACGUGAAACUAUCCAUGAAUUACAUACUAAAAAAAGAUACGGGGUCAUUAUCAAAAUUGACUUCGAAAAGGCAUAUGAUAAAGUAAAGUGUCCUUUCUUAUAGCAAACCUUACGUGUGAAAGGUUUUUCCCCCAUGUGGUGUAGGUGGGUUCAGAGCAUGGUCACUGGUGGAAGUGUGGGAAUCAAAGUCGAUGAUGAUAUUGGUCCAUACUUCCAAACCAAACGCGGCCUCAGACAGGGAGAUCCUAUGUCUCCAAUCUUAUUUAACAUCAUCGCUGAUAUGCUAGCUCUUCUUAUUAAUAGAGCAAAAGCCGAUGGUCAGAUAAGAGGGGUAGUCCCCCACCUUAUAGAUGAUGGUCUUUUUGUUCUACAUAUGCAGAUGACACCAUUAUCUUUAUGGACCAUGACCCAGAACAAGCAAAAAAUUUGAAACUUUUGCUAUAUGCUUUUGAGCAACUAUCUGGGCUUAAGAUCAAUUUCCAUAAGAGUGAAAUUUUCUGUUAUAGACAGUGUUGACACCGUUUUUUGGCACAUGUGAAAAUGGUAAGAGUGGACUAAUCGAUAGAAGGAAGAAUAUUGUAUUACGCUGGUAAAAGGAUGCCGAUGAAGGUCAGCCUAUGAGGACUGUUGCUGAUGAGUGGUGGCGACCGAUGGAAAGGUUGUUGUUUGACUUAGACUCAGAGGCGUUGCCGACAAGAUCGGAAAUGUCAUUGCUGAUGAAGGAAGGACCAAAGACUACUGCUGAUGAAGCUAUGAUGGGAAGCAUGCCGAUGGAGCGAAAGCUGAUGAAAGUUUCAUCAUAAUUAAGGUGGACGAAGGAGUAGAUAGGUGUCAUUUUCCUUUUCUGUAUUUGUUAGAGUAUGACUCAUGUAAGAGUCAUGUUUUUCCUUAGAUACGGACUCGGUGUUCUAGUCGUGUCUGGUUAUAUUUCUUCGUAUUAGGGUAUAAAUAUGGACCGAGGAACAAUGUGAAAGAUAUAUCAAUCAAUAUCAAACCAAUUUUACUCCUAUUUGCAUCUACUUACUUUUUGACGACUUCGUCAAUUUGCAUAUUUUCUUUUUACAAAUUCUCAUCUAUUCGACGAGCUUGAAAGGUCCUAAUAUGGCUAGAGGCGGGUGAAUGGCCUAUUUAAAAAAUUCUAUAAACUCACUAGAGCAAGAGGUUAGUAAAUAACAAAGCAAAGCUUUUUGCUCUAGCUCUAAAGGGGUGUUUGCAAGCCACCUAUCCAACAAUUCUAGUUGAUAUAAUCUCUGGGCACACAAGAGCUAUGUCACUACUUACACUAGAGAGCUACCUAAAGUUUCUAUACAAGUAAGUAAGCUACUCUAGUUUGUGGGAAUGUAAAAGAGAUGGUUUGAUCUUUAUACCACCGCGUAGAGGGGAUGAACCAAUCAAUAAUAUGAAGUCCAAUCACCGGGAGAAAUCCCAUGAACAAUCACAAUGGAGACACACAAUUUUCUCCCGAGGUUCACGUGCUUGCCGACACGCUACGUCCCUGUUGUGUCGACCAACACUUGGUGGUUCGGUGGCUAAGUGGUGUAGCACGAACCUCGUCCUCACUAGGACACCACAAGAACCUACCCACAAGUGAGGUAGCUCAAUGUCACGAGCAAUCCACUAAUGUUGCCUUAGGCUCUCCGCCGAGGUAGGCACAAACCUCUCACAAUCACCGGGAGAUGGCCACGAACAAUCACCAACUCGUGCCAAAACUCCUCCGCAGCUCCAAGCCGUCUAGGUGGGGCAACCACCAAGAGUAACAAGCAAACCCGCUGCUCAACGAUCACUAGUGCCACUAGAUGCUCAAACUCUAAGCAAAUGCAACUAGGAUCUCUCCCAAUCUCACUUUGGAUGAACAAAUCUUGAACAAGGUGUGGGAAGUGUGGGAGUAUGCUCACAAGGUGUAUCAACAAGUUAGAGAGUCAAGAGAGUGAGCAUGAACCAGCCAAGGCAUAUAAAUAGAAGUCCCAAGCUUCAACUAGCCGUUGGCAGUUUACCCCACAGUCUGUGUCCACACCGGACGCGUCCUAGUUCACACCAGACGCAUCCGAUAUGAGGCAGACCAGCGUCCGGUGCUCCUGACCGUUAGAAAAGUAGCCGUUGCCUUUGACACUGACAAGGCACCAGACUCUCGCUUUUGAAAAUACCCGGUGCGUCCGGUGUGCACCGGACCAAAACUCAAGGAGCGUCGCAAACUUGAGCGAACACCGGUCGCCACACCGGACGCACACACCGGACGCGUCCGGUGUGCACCAGACGAAAACUCAGGGAGCUUCGCACGAAGGAAUUGCACCGGACGCUAACUCGGACGCGUCCGGUGUGCACCUGACGCAAACUCAGAGAGUUUCACCGAGAAAGCGAUCUCACCGGACGAAACACAUCAGACUCUAGGUGGUUACUGUUCCUAACUCCGGUGCCUAAACUCGGACGCGUCCGACCUCAUACCGGACUCGUCCGGCUUGAAAGCACUGCGCGAAACGAUCUCAACUACUUCCCUUGCUUCCAUGUGCCAACACCAAAGUGUCUCCACACUUGUGCACGUGUGUUAGCAUAUUUCAAAAACAUUUUUCAAGGGUUACUUAAUUAGUUCACUAGGUCCUAAUGCAUAUGCAAGGAAUCCAAUCACCUAGUGGCACUUAGACAACCAUUUUAACAACGAGAUUACCCCUCUUAAUAGUACGGCUAUCUAUCUGUUGGGUAUUUUAAAUGCAAACAGAAAAAUCCGCAAGCGCACGGAUACCGAUGUAGCUUUCACCCGGGAGUAUUCCAGAGUAUCGAUUUUCCACAGGGAACGUGAGUGUACUAAUUAAGAUUCAAGAUCGCCCAAGGAUAACUAUAUAAUUAUUUUUGGUGGAAAGAGAGGAAGUUUCCUGAGAGUUCUCUAGUUGAUCUAAGAAUCAAGAAUUACUUCAAAGAUUAUUUAUUUCGGGACAUCGGAACACUAACCACAGAAAGAGAUGAGAAGGGGGCUAGGAAGCUCUGACUACGGUCCUACAAACACCGAUCCGAACGAGGUGGAAUACGUCGACCGUUAGGGCUGUCACUACCCUAGGGCUACCACAACAAUCCGCAGGAUUGGGUUCAAUUCUAGGUAAUUGCAAGACUAAACACCACGUCAAUCUAUUAAUUACUACUCUAGCGUUGCAAAGACUAGAGCACUUGAUGCAAGCGGGAAUCCAAUAAAUAACUUGAAUGUAUAUAAAAGUAAUUAAAGAACUCAGGAAUUAUGAAUUGAAGAACCUAGAGAACGAUGAAGAACGAACCAGUUGCUGCAAAUGUACACUGUUGAGGAAGAUCCGACAGAUCCGGCUCCUCCUCCGCUCUCCUCUCCUCUCUCCCUAUUUUCUAGAUUAGAACUAGAACUAACUAGAACUAGAACUAGAGGAACUAGAACUAGAACUAGAUGAACUAGAGGGAUCCUCUCUACUUGGAUGAAUAAUUGAAACCCUAACUUUGAUUCUGUAGAAGAGGUAUGUUCUCCAGGGGCCAGAGGGCCUUGCUUAUAUAGUCUUUUCAAAUAAAUCUGGGCCGUCGGAUCAAACCGACAUUGAUUGAACGGUUAUCCUUGAUCCUUUAGGUCGGUGGAGCAUAAUUCGCGAAGAGGACUCUAAUUGGACACCAAAGGGGGGCGGGCGCCCUAGUCUCUAGGGCGGGCGCCUUGGGCCAGGCCCCGUUCUGCCUCCGCUUCGUUCCCGUGGCUUCUGGAGUCUUCUAGAUGAUAGAAAAUUGCACGGCACAUUAAUAUCUCUAUGUAAACCCGACGUGUGGGCCUUUCCUCCAUAUUUCCUAAUAACCCCCUGCAGAAAUAGACAAACACCAAAACUCGUGGAAUUCUGUCAGAUAAAACCCUAAGUCUGGGUGUUGGUUGCAUUUGAAUCCUUUUCCAUGAUUAGUUGAUGGUUAAAUGUGAGCAUUAAGGAUCGUCAACAAGCUCCCCCAAGCUUAACCUUUGCUCGUCCCUGAGCAAAGCUAAAAUCAGCAAGAAAACAGGGGUUACUUGUAUGCCUCUUCCUACAGGGUCUUUAAGUUAUCACUAAGGUCUUAAGUGAUUGAAAAACAGAACGAUCAAGUCAAGCACUAUGUCUCAAGUUCUUCGUCUUACCUUUGUUCUGGAGUUUUUUAUAAGUUCCCAAAAUAAAACUGAGGCAUUUGCCUCCUUCUCGAGAGAUAUAUAAAUAGAGCUUUAAAAGUUUUAGCAUACUUACUUUGCAUUUUGCUAUGUCAAUGCUCGAAGCAAGGGAGAGGGAUGUCAUACUCCUAGAUCAAGACCUUUGACCUUUUUGAAAAGUUUGUCAUCUCUUACUGGAAUAUUGCUUAUUAAGGGACCAUGGGCUAUCAUUCAUUUUUUUCUUUCUUUCUUUUUUUUAAGUGGGCACCAAGUACCCCUAAUUCUACUAUCGCACACUUGUCCAUUUUUACCUCUUGUCUCACUCUUUUUUUUCGAAUCAAAUUUUUGCAUAGUCCCAUGCCUCAAACGCAAUAAUACUUUGGAAGAGUGAAUCUUUUAUAUUUUCAAAACAAAAAGAUCUUGAUCUUUGGAGCAUGAUAAUUCUCUCAACCAAAACUACAAGAAUUAACAAUGGCUUGGACAAAUCAAGUGCCCACAGUUUUAAUAUUUAUAUUAAAACAUGAUCUCAUUUUUUUAUGAAUUUUUAGAUUUUGAAAAGAUAAAAUCUCCGGAACUCUAGCGAAACUUGGAACAAGUUAAAUAGUAGCUCAGACCUUCUCAUAUCAUGUUUGUCAAUUACCUAGACUUUGGAUCAAACUUUUCUUUUUAUUUUAUUUAAAACUUAGGAUUACACAAAACUAUUGUAUAUUACUCAAAAAAAACUUUGUUUGGUUUCAUGAUUAUGCAUUUUUUUAUUGAUUUCUGAAUACUAGUAAAUAAAACCAAGAAAGAAAAUGUAAUACUUAUCUAGAUACACGUGGGGGUGCCUCCCCCAAGCUGGAUGUUGACAUAGUCGUUCACUCUUGUGCCUGCAUGUUUGGUCUCACUCUUCUUAAGCCUCAAAAUCCUGCACAACCCAAAUAGACAACAAAACUCGUGGAGCAUGUUAAGGGUUUGGUAAUUGUCUAGAGCUUAUGAGAAUUCUAUGAACUCAAUCACAUCAAGUUCCUCUACCAGGUUGUUUUGUUGCUCGAGAUAGAUUUUCGAGCAUUGACCAUUUACCUUAAAAGUGUUACCUAUGUCGUCUUGGAUGGUAAUGGCUCCAUGAGUUGAAGUGUCAAUAACCUUGUUUGGUCCAUCACUUACUUCGUAGCUUACCAUGCCCAAAGAGCUUAACUCUUGAAUUUAAUAGUAGAACUUUAUCUCCAGGCUUAAACUCCUUGUGCUUGAUUCUCUUAUCAUGCCAUCAUUUUGUUCUCUCUUUAUAGAUCCUUGAAUUGUGGUAGGCUUUCUCUCUCCAUUCUUCUAGCUCAGAUAGUUGCAUCAGAUGAUUCUCGCUAGCGAGGUGGAGAUCCAUGUUCCAUUUCUUGAGUGCCCAAUGAGCCUUAAACUCUACUUCCACAGGCAAAUGACAAGUUUUUCCAUAUACAAGUUGAUAAGGUGACAUGCCUAUGGGUGUUUUGAAUGCAGUUCUAUAUGCCCAAAGUGCAUUAGGAAGUUUGUCCUUCCACCCCUUACCCAUCUCAUCUACGGUCUUUUGUAAAAUAUUUUUGAUUUGUUUGUUAGAUGUUUCGGCUUGACCGCUAGUCUGAGGAUGGUAUGGUGUUGCGACGUUGUGUCGAACUCCAUGAUUGGCUAGGUAUUUCCGGAAGAUUUUGUCGAUGAAGUGGGAACCUCCAUCGCUUAUAACUAUCCAGGGUAUACCAAAGCGAGGAAAGAUUACUUCAUGGAACAUUCUCUUGGCAUGUUUUGAAUCAGCUGAUCGACAAGGUAGGGCUUCUACCCAUUUGGACACGUAGUCCACAGCUACUAAGAUAUACUCGCAAUUCCCGGACAUAGGAAAUGGCCCCAUAAAAUCAAUGCCCCAAACAUAGAAAAGUUCUACUUGAAGAUUAUUUGUGAGAGGCAUUUCAUUUCGUGAGUUGAUAUUGCCAUGUUUUUUACAUCGGUGGCAUCUCCUAACAAAGUCCUUUGUAUCUUCAUACAUCGUUGGCCAGAAAAAGCCACUUUGCCAAAUUUUAGCCUGUGUCCGGAAUGCUCCAUAGUGUCCUCCAUAUGGCGAGGCAUGACAUCUUUCCAUAAUUUGAGUAGCCUCAUCCAUAGGAACACACCUUCUCAAGAGUUGUUGAUGCAAAAAGUGGAUCUGCAAACACAAAGGGCUAAUACCCGAUUCAAACGUUAAGGCGUGCCACCCGAUUUGACUUUACUAUCGGCAAAGGUGAUAACUCGAAUACUUUGGUCCCGACAACAGCGAUGCACCCGGAUGCCACGACCAAGAGGUAUUCACGCGGACCUCAAGAAUACGCCGAGCUUAAGUCGACGAACUCCUAAGAACUCGUAAUGAAAAGGAAAAUAUGACGAAGUCGUCGAAAAAGUAGAUGCUGGAAUAUGAGUAAAAACUUAUGUUUGAUUGAUUGAUUGAUUGAUCAUUACAAGGCCCUAGGGUCUACAUUUAUACCCUGCUCAAAGAGCUACAGUCCGACACGACUAGGACUCGAAUUCCAAAUUAAACAGAAUCCGUAUACAAAACAAUUUAAAUAACUAAGGAAAGCACAAAACUAUCCUUCCGUGACAAACUGGGACACCACCAUGGACCAAUCGGCAACCUUCAUGUUCUCCUUCUGAGUCAUCGGCAGACUCCUCAUCGUAGCCAUGGACAAAGGCCAACACUGACCAUCGGCAUGAACGCGUCACCACUCAUAGACUUAGUCACAUUCAGGUGUCCCUUCAUCGGCAACUCCCCUACAGACCAGUUAUUGUUGCCUUAUCUUGCCGAUCUAUACUCUACCGAUCCUGGGUACGUGUCCAAAUAUGGUGUCAACACAUGCCAACAAAUUUUGGAGUAUAAAAUCAUUAAUGCUCCGAAAUUCUCUGCAGUAAUGAUGCCUUUCCGCAAUUAAUCCUCUCAAUUUAGUAACCGACCGUUGAAAUCAAACAACUCUGGCCCGAUUCUUCUGUAGAUUCCUUGAAUUCCUCAACCUCUCAAACUGGACAUCUCCACUUUAUUCGCCCAUCGACAAUAUUACUGUUAGAAGGAGCUGCCGAUGGACCGACCAGGAAAUCCCGCACAGUGAAAUAUCUCCAGAUUAUGAACGCUUCCUGUCAAAUCACCUGCGCAAUCCCUUGAUUACCGUGCGAACAGUUACCAUAUCCACCCGAGUAUCCUCGGAUUUCAUGGAUACGGCGAAGAGAUAAGUCAAAUUUGCCCUUGCCCAUUUUGUCCUAUAAAUAGUUCCUUCUCGGGUACUCCUUCUCCACCGCAUCAUUCUACAGCCCCAACCCUGCUUUUCUGGCGGCAGCACUGUUCGAGAGCUCCAAGAACUUCAACAAGAACCUCCUCCAACAACCCCCAAGUUCUCAAUCUUCUCCCCUACUAGGAGAUGGCCGUCAACUUCAUCGUGCCUGAGGUCAGUUCUACUUCUCUCUUGUAUUUUCACUGCACUCCUGUUCAUCCGCAGUUCAUCUUACUGAAUACUUUUUUUUCUUUUUGCUCUUCUUUUUACCCCAAAAACUAUUAGGAUCUGUCCAAUAGAAUUGUCAUCCCUACCGAUCAACCACACCUCCAAUGUCUCGGUCUGCUAGGGAACCCAGAUCCUACCGAUCUGAUCAACGCAGAGACAAACAGAAUCCCCUUUAGAGCCAAGAAUUUUUCUCUAGAUGUGUGGAAGGAUGCCUUCCGUUCCUGGCCCAGUCCUACCAAGGGAUGGAAGGAUUGGUUCUUGAGAGUCAGCCAUUCAAAUGAAGUUCAGUGGGGUGAGCGAAAAUUGGAUCAAUGCAUCAGGCUGUCCCUUGCCGAUAUGGAUAGGAAUGAAUCAUUGUUGAUUGCUGCAUCAUAUUUCUGGUCAGACACACUCAAUGCUUUUAUGUUUGUCCAUGGUCCUGCUUCCCCCAUGCUUGCCGAUGUGCUUAUGCUCACCGGUUUAGAUGUAUCUUCUGCCGAUAGCACCCACCUGUUUGAUACCAAACCCAGUGCUAAGGUAGAAACUCGUUCCAUCGGCAGUUGGUCAGGGUACAUCCAGAAAUACCAACGAACAGGCCCUGUCAACAUAAAGGAACAGACCACCUUCCUAAACAUGUGGUUGGACAAAUUUGUAUUUUGUGGUCGAUCGGUAGGACCAACUUCUGUCUACUUAGCAGCAGCAGAAAGAUUAGCUAAUGGUGGCUGAUUUCCCCUCGGCCGAUACUUGCUCGGAUCGGCUUACCACCUCCUCCAUCAAGUAGCCAGGAAACUCCUGCUCGGCCAACCCAUCUGCAACUUAGGGGGUCCCUGGUGGUAUAUCAAUAUGUGGCUUAGCCUCCAUAUGCACAAGCGUCUUGAGUUCGACCUCUUCGCACAACGCUUCCCCAGGGACAUAGCCGAGGAUUAUGAACUGGACGAAGAAGAAUCGGCAACUCGUCCUCCUUUGAACUUUGGUGAGGCUGCCAUAGUUUUACCUGGUACAGGUGGUAACGCAGACCAGGUUAGCCGAUUCUUUCAGACUCUAUACGAAGGCCUGACCAGAGAUCAACGAGCAUGGAUGCCUUAUGAAGAUCCGGACACUAGAUUUCCUUUGGUCUUCCACCCGUUCAAUGAUGCUCUCAACAAGGAUCACGAUGUGAUGAUGGCAAUCAUCGCCCCAAGGGCCAUACCAGUUAACUUCUUUGGUGGUGGAAAAGCUUCCAUCCAGACCUACGAAUUCUACAACCCAUCGGCACUAGCUCGUCAACUAGCUUUUGGCCAACUGCCGAUUGCACUCUGCUAUGCCGAUGUGAUAAAGCUAAGGGAGAUCAUCACCAAUUAUCUCGAGUGGAUUAGAGUAGCCCAACUCCCACCGAAUGCCGAUACAGAUGUCAAUCUAUCGGCUUGGGUCCCGGCCCUCUUCAUUACUAAGGCAUAUAAACAAUGGUGGGAAGAAUGGAAAGAGCAUUUGUUCUGCAAAUCGGCUCUCAUGUACCGCGGCAUGAUCGACCCCCAGUACAGAGUCCCCGAUAACACUGUAAGUAUUUCCAAACCGAUGUUUCAAUCCUUUCAUUUUUACUUCCAUCGGUAACUCACUUUGUGUGUUAUAUUACAGGUUGAUAACACACGCCCCCUCGGUCAGCAGGAGUGGUAAGCCGAUUGAGCUCCUUCCAUCGGGUCCGAUUUCUUUGAUCGGCAACAACUCUCCAUCCCUGGCCGCUAUAAUGCAUCGGGGUGUACGUCUCAAGAAAGUCACCACCAAGCGGACGAAGGCAUCUCCAUCGGUAGCUGCCUCUACUUUAGCAAAAGCUUUCAAGGUAAAUUUUCAAAUUCUUUUACCCAUACCGAUUCCAUUCUUACAUCUGUUAUACUUGCACUCACAAAUUUUCAUUGUUGUAUCAGCAAACCGGCACAUCGGUAAAGACCAGAGGUGUGACUGCCGAUGCCCCCCAGUCCAGCCAAGCAAAGAGGAAAAGUUCCAAGAGUACCAGAACCCAGGCGAAGCGCCAGAAAACAGCAAUACCUUCCCCUCCCUCAGUGUCUCCAUUCCCAGUGGAAUCUUCUCCUUCUUCUCCAGAAUCCAGAUACAACAAGCACCAUAUCCUCCUCAGCCACAAGAAGAACCUCACGCAGAAGAACCCCAGCCAGAGGAACCUCAGCCAGAAGACACAUCGGCUGACGUGCACGAGCAAACUGCCGAUCCAGCAAGCUCAAUCAUAGCAUCGGUAGUUUCCUCAAUCCAAACAAGUAUUGCUCCCCCUCAAGGUAACAUACUCUCUAUGAAAUCAUUGCCGAUGAACCUACUUUUCCGUCUUAUAAUUAUCUCUGUUACUCUUUCAGCUGACAUAAUCUCAUCGGCAACUCCAGCCGAUCAGCCCGUAAUUCCAUCGGCUUCAACCGGUCAGAGGCGACAGAUAGCUCUGAAGCAAGUAAGUUACCUAAUCUCUACCCGUAUUGUUUACCAGUGCUUGAUCAUAGAAUAACUUACUUUAUUUUCUUUUUUAGGAACAAGACUCUCCUGACAGCCUGUUCUCCUUCGCCAUCGACAUCUCUGAGGAUGAAGGCGUGGAGGCAAGUUCUUCUCGAGCAAUUGGAAUCACAUCGGUAGAAAUCAGAGCAAAGUUAGAAGAAUUAUCAGGCCUCCUCCAUCAAGACACAGCACAAUUGGUCGAUGACUCCGAUCCGGCCAAGGCCUUGUUCAAGUCCCUCAGAGGCCAAAUUCCCGCUGAUGCCGAAGAAAUCAUUUUUCAAGCUGCACACCUAGAGAGUCGUCAACUGCAGUACCAAAAGGCUGUCCACGCUCAGCUCUCUGAGGAGAUGAUGAAAAUAAAGCUCCUUGCCAAUGAGAAGCACAAGAGCAUCAGCAUUUUGACAUCCUCAGGAGAUGUAUUGAAGCAAAAGAUUUCUGAUCUAUCGGCGAGAAGGGAAGCCCUGUUGGCAGAACUCAAACAAGUAGAAGAAGCCUUGUCUUAAGCCCAACAAGAAGAAAGCCAGCUGCCUGAAACGAUCAAGCUUCUUGAACAAGAGCGAAAUAUCCAAGCCCAUCAAGCACUGCAGAUGAAGAAGAAGCUGAAACCAGUGGAAGGUUCUGCCGAUGAUGACGUGAAGGAAAUAGAAGAAGUCAACUAGAUCCGUCUACGCGCCAUAUCGACGAUCCAGGCGCUGUUGAACAUGUGAACUCUUCAUCGGCGACAUACCCUGCUUUCUUCUUUCCAAUCCUCCCGAUAUUUUGGUCUAGCCGAUAGGACUGUUAUCGGCACCUUUUAAAAACAUUGAGUUUAGCCCCAGACACACUUUGAUCUAGCCGAUAGGAAUGUUAUCGACAUUUUAAACUCUUAUGCAUCAACCCAUAUGCUUGGGUGAUACUUAUUUAAAUACUUGCCAUUCAACGCUCUGGGAAAUUCAACUCCUUCGAUAGUUUCUAAGAUAUAGGCAUUGCCAGGAGCAGACCGAUUUACCCGAUAGGGACCUUCCCAAUUAGGAGACCACUUCCCAAAUUUUGAACUUUUAGUCCCGAUCAGUAAGAUUAAUUUCCAUACUAAGUCUCCGUCGGCAAACACCUUAGAUUUUACAUUCUUAUCAUACCAUCUGGCAACUUUCUUCUUAUUCUCUUCUAUACUCAUCAAAGCUCUUAGCCGAUGCCCUGCCAGGUCAUCCAACUCAUCUGUCAUCAAAGUAGCAUAAUCAUCGGCAGCCAAUUGAUCUUGAAAAGAUAAUCGCCUAGACCCAGUCUUAAUUUCCCAAGGUAAUACUGCAUCAUGUCCAUACACCAACUGAUGAGGUGAAACAUUGAUUGACCCAUGACAAGCCAUCCGAUACGACCAUAAAGCUUCAUUUAACAACGUGUGCCACCUCCUAGGAUUUUCUUCAAUUUUUCAUUUAAUGAGCUUGAUGAUUCCUUUGUUAGAUGCCUCGGCCUGCCCAUUAGCUUGAGCAUAAUAAGGAGAAUAAUUUAAUACUUUAAUUCCCAUACCGAUUGCAAACUCAUCAAACUCCCCUGACGUAAACAUAGUACCCUGAUCGGUAGUAAUUGUUUGAGGAAUUCCAAAUCGGUAGAUAAUAUGCUCUUUCACAAAAUCAAUCAUAUUUGCCGAUGUAACUUUCUUCAAAGGAAUAGCUUCAACCCAUUUGGUGAAAUAAUCGGUAGCAACCAAAAUAAACUUAUGUCCUUUGCUGGAUGGCGGAUAAAUCUGGCCGAUCAAGUCAAUAGCCCAUCCUCGGAACGACCAAGGUUUAAUAAUGGGAUUCAUGGCCGAUGCGGGUACCCUUUGAACAUUACCAAACUUCUGACAUCCUUGACACCCUUUGAAAUACUUAAAACAAUCCUCAAGUAUAGUCGGCCAAUAAUACCCAUUUCUUCUGAUCAUCCACUUCAUCUUAAAUGUCGACUGGUGUGCUCCACACACUCCUUCAUGGAUUUCCCCCAUUAAACUUCUAGCCUCAUCAUCACCUAAGCAUUUGAGAAGAACUCCAUCAAUUGUUCGAUAAUAUAAUUCAUCUUCGAGGAGCACAUACUUGGUGGCUUGAAACCGAACACGUCUCUCAACUUUCUUAGAUGGAUCCUUUAAAUAAUCAAUAAUUUCUUUUCUCCAAUCAUCGGCACUGAUUGCCGAUACUACGUUUAUCAUGGGUUGGUAUCCCGAGGCAUGUUGAGCCAACCGGUUAGCCUCUUCAUUAUGCAACUGAGGAACAUGCUCCAACCGGAAAUAAUUGAAUUCCUUUAAGAGUUGCAUACUCCUUUCGUGAUAAGUUAUCAGGACUUCGCUUUGGCAUUCAUAGCUUCCAGCCAAUUGAUUUAUAACCAGCAUAGAAUCCCUGAAGAUUUCAAUAGCAUCAGCAUGAACUUCCCUUAAUAAUUCCAACCCCUUUAUCAAAGCUUGAUACUCAGCUUGAUUAUUUAUUGACGUGGCAACAAUCGGCAAGGAGAACUCAUACUUCCUUCCCCGAGGGAAAAUUAACACUAUGCCGAUCCCUGCCCCCCGGUCACACGUGGAUCCAUCAAAGAAGAGCGUCCAAGGUACAAUUUCCAAAGUCUCCACUGUACCACAAUGCUGAGUUACAAAAUCGGCCAUAAUCUGUCCCUUAACCGCUUUAGCCGAUUCGUAACGCAAAUCGAGUUCUGACAGUGCCAAAAUCCACUUACCGAUCCUGCCACUCAUAAUCGGUAUAGACAGCAUAUAUCGGACCACGUCAUCCUUGCAUAUGACAGUGCAUUCAACCGAUAACAAAUAGUGUCUCAACUUAAUACAUGAGAAAUAAAGACACAAACAUAACUUUUCAAUGGCCGAAUACCUGGUCUCAGCAUCAACCAAUCUCCUGCUUAAAUAGUAAAUCACACGUUCCUUCCCUUCAAAUUCUUGAAUUAAAGCCGAACCGAUGACCACCCCAUCGGUAGACAAAUAUAACCUGAAGGGCUUUCCUUGCUGAGUUGGAAUCAGAACUGGAGGAUUUACCAAAUAAUUCUUGAUUUCAUCUAAGGCCAAUUGUUGCUCUUUCCCCCAGACGAACUCUUGAUCAUCUUUCAACUUAAGUAAAGGACUGAAAGCACGAAUUUUACUAGACAAAUUAGAUAUAAACCUCGUGAUAAAAUUUACCUUGCCGAUCAAGAAUUGGAGCUCAGUCUUGUUGGUAGGAGCAACUAUUUUAUUGAUAGCAUCAAUGGAUCUCUGACUAAUUUCAAUCCCCCUUUGAUGCACCAUGAAACCAAGGAAUUGUCCUGCCGAUACACCAAAUGCACACUUAUUGGGAAUCAUUUUUAAACCAUGCCUCCUCGUGCAUUCUAACACCUUUCGCAAAUUGGCAAGAUGCUUUGUGAAGUCUCCAGACUUAACCACCACAUCAUCAAUAUAAAUUUCUACCAGCUUGCCGAUGAACUCAUGAAAGAUAAAAUUCAUAGCUCUCUGAUAAGUAGCACCAGCAUUUUUCAAGCCAAAGGUCAUGACUAUCCAUUCAAAUAGCCCAACAUGACCAGGACAUCUAAAUGCAGUUUUGGAAUAUCUUCUUCAGCCAUGAAUAUCUGAUUGUGCCCUGCAUUGCCAUCCAUAAAGCUGAUGAUCCGAUGCCCAGCCGCAGCGUCAACUAGCAGAUCGGUAACCGGCAUCAUGUAUCCAUCCACUGGUGUAGCUUUAUUGAGAUUCCUGAAAUCAAUACAAACCCGGAGCUUUCCAUUUUUCUUGUAGACUGGAACAACAUUGGAAAUCCAUUCAGCAUAACGACACUGCCGAAUAAAUUUAGCUUCAAUAAGUUUAGUUAUUUCGGCCUUGAUAUCAGGAAGAAUAUUAGGAUUACAUCAGCGAGCUGGCUGUUGAUGUGGCCGAAAUCCAGACGUGAUAGGCAACCGAUGUUCAACAAUAGAUCGGUUCAAACCAGGCAUCUCAGUAUAAUCCCAAGCAAAGCAAUCUUUAUAUUCCUUUAACAAAUCAGUUAACUGUUGCUUACACUCGGAAUCUAACUUAGCACUAAUAAAAGUAGGUCUAGGCUUAUCACCACUACCUAUAUCUACUUCUACCAAAUCAUCGGCCGAUGUGAAUCCCUGGCCCAAUUUUCCAUCAUCGGCGAACCUAUCCAUUAAAAACCUUCAUCAGAACCGACUGCUUGGAUUGGUGGAAUUUCAUAAUCGGCAACUUUGAGAAAAUCCUUCUCCCAAAUUUCUCCUGAGAUACACCUAGUCCUUUCAUAAGUGUCUGCUUCUGCCGAUGCGACGACAUAAGAAGAAUCUCCCGGGACAAUCUCAAUCUUGUCACCUACCCACUGAACCAAGCAUUGGUGCAUUGUAGACGGGAUGCAACAAUUGGCAUGAAUCCAAUCUCUCCCUAGUAACAGAUUAUAGGCACCUUUUCCACUGAUCACGAAGAAUGUUGUCGGCAAGGUUUUGCUACCGAUGGUCAACUCGACACAAAUUGCCCCCUUAACCGGAGACACAUUUCCCUCGAUGUCCUUUAACAUCAUAUCGGUCUUGGUCAAAUCUUGAUCUCCUUUUCCAAGCUUCCGAUAUGCCGCAUAUGGCAUGAUGUUGAUAGCGGCUCCACAAUCAAUUAAUAUCUUGGUCAUUGGCUGACCAUCAACCCUUCCUUUGACAAACAAAGCUUUAAGAUGCUGCCUUUCAUUGUCGGCAGGCUUUUCAAAGAUAGUCGUCAUCGGAUCCAGAGCCAACUGAGCUAUCUGGUCGGAAAACCCUAACUCCUCAUCAUCGCUGGAUGGCGCAAGGAAUUCCAUCGGCAACAUAAAUACCAUGUUGACAUCUGCCGAUGGCCCUUGCCCCUUAGGAUCCGAUUGUUGCUGAUCCCCAAAUUGGCCAGAGUUCUCGCCCUUGCUCAGCUCUGCUCGUCUUUCGCGCUGCAGCCUCCUUUUCUGUGUUUUAGUCAACCCCUCCGGACACCAUGAGGGAAGUGGUGACUGCCUAGCCGAUGGACGACGAUAUUCCCUUGACUCCAUCCGAUGAGUAUUAGCAUCUCUGCAAAAUAUGAAUUCAUCGGGAACUCGUGCAUUAGCCAUCUCUUCAAGCUCUUCCUGGUUCCUGGGAAAAUAUUCAACACGAUCACCAAGCCUAUCGUGCACACUGAGCCUGCCCCCCAGCCGAUCAUGAACGGACGCUCUCCCCCUAAUCGGCCCAUUAAAUCGCCGAUCAUCAUUGUGAUAGCGCCGAUCGGAUCUGUCAUAUCGAUCAUAACCAUUGCACUCAGGACAAUCUCUAACAGUGGGCAACUUGAUGUUCUGCUCCCAGCAAUGGAUAAAGAAUAGGCAGUUCCAGUGAUCCUUGUGCCGAUUCCACUCUUGACGGCGUCUUUCUUCUUCCCGAUGAUAGUCUUCUUGCUGGCGCCGAUACCGAUCCUCACGUUGCUGCCAAGUUUCCCGAGGCCUUCUGUGAGUUAUUACAAUACCAGAUCGGGGAGGCCUUCCCAAGUUAGUUCCCUCCUAGAUCAAGCCUUUCCCUUUUGCAUCGGCAGUAGUGAUCUGAUGCUGAGGAUCCACCGAUGCACUUCUUUCAGCUGCUUCCGAUGUCAAGACCUUGGCCUUUCCCUUAGCAUCCAGCAUGUUUGUUGGGAAAGGAUGUUGAGCAAUCUUCAUCGGCUUGUGAGUUUUGGAGCUGUCAAAUUUGAUGCUCCCAGAUUCUAUAGCCGAUUGCAGCUGUUGUCUAAAAACUUUGCACUCAUUGGUGCUGUGAGAAGUUGCAUUGUGCCAUUUGCAAAACUUCAUCUUCUUUAAUUCUUCAGCCGAUGGGAUUACAUGAUUGGGUGACAAUUUGAUCUAACCUUCCUGAAGUAGAAAGUCACAUAUCCUAUCGGCUUUGGUGAUGUCAAAUGCGAACUUCUCUGGCUCUUUGUGCCGAAAAGGGCAAGACAUCGGCUUCUUAUUCUUUACCCAUUCUGCCAAGCCGAUGACUGGCUCUUCAUCAGAAUCUGAGCUUGCUGCCUCAUCAACAAAUGACACCUUUUUGUUCCAAGCUCUCUUGGGUUCAAAGGGUUUGAUAUCCUGGUCGGAAAUCCUCUGGACCAAGUGGCUCAAGCUCUCGAACUCUUGAGAAGCAUAUUUGUCCCUGAUAUGUGGCAACAGACCCUGGAAAGCCAAAUCGGCUAGCUGUCGAUCAUCCAAAACUAGACUAUAGCAUUUGUUCUUGACUUUCCGCAAUCUCUGCACAAAACUUUCAACCGAUUCAUCAUUACGCUAUUUCAAUCUGACCAAAUCGGUAAUCUUCUUCUCAUGGACUCCAGAAAAGAAGUACUUGUGGAACUGCUUCUCCACAUCGGCCCAAGUAAUCACUGAAUUAGGAGGCAAUGAUAUAAACCAAGUGAAAGCCGAUCCAGACAAAGAUGAUGAAAACAGUCGAACCCUCAAUUCAUCCCUGUUAGCAGCUUCUCCACAUUGGAUGAUGAACCUGUUAACAUGUUCCAUGGUUGAUGUGUCAUCCUGUCCAGAAAACUUAGUGAAAUCUGGUACCUUGUACCGAUUUGGAAGUGGAAUCAAAUCAUAUGCAGGAGGAUACGGUGUCCGAUAAGAGUUAGUGUUGACUUUGGGUUUCAUCCCAAAUUGGUCCCUCAUUACAUCAGCAAUCUUAUCGGCCCAAUAAGCAUCAGCAUCUUGCCGAUGGGGUGGCUGUGGAUUUGGCGCCUGCUGAUACACUUCCACAUGUCGUUGAGGCGCACGAUCUGCAUGGAACAUGGGGUUGAUUGUCUGACCACCAAACUGUUGACCAAGAUUCAUCGGCUGGUUGGGCAACCCUUGAUUCUAAAACCCGAGAUAGAUCUUGCCUUGUUGAAACCCUGUAGCCUGAUGAUUCUGUUGGGGCAUUUGUUGAAAGACUUGCUGCCCAGGCCAUCCACUAUUAGCAUUCAUCGGCAUAGACCCUGCCGAUAUCUGGUAAUUAGGCAUCAUCAUUGAAUUGACAUACCCUGACUGAGUCAUAAACCUCUGUUGCGUCGGCAUUGAAUCUGCCGAUGCAUUAGGCAUCUGGAACGUUGGUGCUUGAGAAUUCCCAGUGUAAGGUCUUGCAGUAGUAGUUGUUGUAUACUGGGGACUCUGGUUCAUCGGCAUAUUUGGAGGUGCCAUUGCCAUAGGAGCCUUGCCUCUCAUAUCAGCCGUUUGAGAUGUACUAGGUGUCUUCAACAUGAACUCUGGAGGCACACCAAAACCCCACCAGUUAGGAGAAACAGAUCCCCACAUUGCCGAUGCCAACAGGUCUGUGGUGAGCUUGAUCGACUCAUCUGAUGUUGAUGUAAUGGCCGGCAUUGGCGUGGAUUGCGCGUUAGUGACUCCUAACGUGCUUGGGGGAAUAGUAGUUUUUGUGCCCGCAGCGGCCGCUGCAGCCGAUGGAGCUGUGACCACCGGUGAUCCUGGCUGAUGAUGAGAAGGGCCCACAUAAUUUGGUGGCAAUUGUCCUUCUUUGAAAGUUCUAACCACGGCAUUGAAAACUGUAUUGGACAGCACACUAGCUUGAUUGAUCAAGGCACGGUUAACAGCACCAUCAACCAUGUCUUGAAGUUUACUAGGAUUGGCUUCAAAAGUAACCUGCCGAGGCAUCGGCAGUGCUUCCUUCUAGAUCACCUCGCCACUCCUAUUUAUGCUGAAGGACUUGAAACAUUGUUGCUUGUAAUCCUCCAUAGCUUUUGCAAUAGCUUGCUUCUGCUCAUCUUUGAGACUAGCUUCCGUCACGGGGAUAACAUUCUCCAAGUCGAAAUCACUAGUUGCCAUGUCGAUCUUGGUCUUGAAUCUCGUCCCACCGGGCGUGCCAAAAGAUGUGUUGAUGCAAAAAGUGGAUCUGCAAACACAAAGGGCUAAUACCCGAUUCAAACGUUAAGGCGUGCCAGCCGAUUUGACCUUACUAUCGGCAAAGGUGAUAACUGGAAUACUUUGGUCCCGACAACAGCGAUGCGCCCGGAUGCCACGGCCAAGAGGUAUUCACACGGAACUCGAGAAUACGCCGAGCAUAAGUCGACGAACUCCUAAGAACUCGUAAUGGAAAGGAAAAUAUGACGAAGUCGUUGAAAAAGUAGAUGCUAGAAUAUGAGUAAAAACUUAUGUUUGAUUGAUUGAUUGAUUGAUCAUUACAAGGCCCUAGGGUAUACAUUUAUACCCUGCUCAAAGAGCUACAAUCAGACACGACUAGGACUCGAAUUCCAAAUUAAACAGAAUCCGUAUACAAAACAAUUUAAAUAACUAAGGAAAGCACAAAACUAUCCUUCUGUGACAAACUGGGACACCACCAUGGACCAAUUGGCAACCUUCAUGUUCUCCUUCUGAGUCAUCGGCAGACUCCUCAUCGUACCCAUCGACAAAGGCCAACGCUGACCAUCGGCAUGAACGCGUCACCACUCAUAGACUUAGUCACAUUCAGCUGUCCCUUCAUCGGCAACCACCUUCAUCAGCAACUCCCCUGCAGACCAGUUACUGUUGCCUUAUCUUGCCGAUCUAUACUCUACCGAUCCUGGGUACGUGUCCAAAAACGGUGUCAACAAGAGUCCAUCAGCGCAGACUCAAAAAAUAUAUGGCUCAUCCCAAAGGUGGAAAUGACUAUGAUGAAGCAACUUCCUUUUGUUUGUACCAGGUGGGACAUAGCCUUUUACUAUAAAGUUUACGAUGUCUGCGUACCAUGGAUCUGCAUGUGUUAUCUUAAGCAGGGUGUCAUCCCUUAGGUAGUCAUUUAUGGGAAGCUCAUCAUGUGUUUCCUUAUAUUGAAGCCUAGACAAGUGGUCAGCUACGGAAUUCUCUACUCCCUUCCUAUCUCAGAUUUCUAUGUCAAAGUCUUGGAGUAGAAGAAUCCAUCGAAAUAGAAGAGGCUUAGCAUCUUUCUUAGUGAGGAGGUACUUGAGAGCAGCAUGGUCUGGAUAGAUGAUUAUCUUUGCCCCCAAUAAGUAAGAUCUAAACUUGUCUAUAGCAAAGACAACAGCCAAAAGCUCUUUUUCAGUUGUAGUGUAAUUGAGUUGUGGUCCAAACAAGGUUUUGCUAGCGUAGGAUAUGGCAUAAUGCCUUUUAUCCUUGGUUUGUCCUAAAACGGCACCAACCGCAAAAUCACUAGCAUCACACAUGAUCUCAAAAGGAAGAUUCCAAUUAGGUGGUUGGAUAAUCGGGACUGACAUGAGUGCUUUCUUAAGAGUUUGGAAAGAUUCAUGACACUCAUCACUAAAGAUGAAAGGUACAUCCAUAGCUAGGAGACUAGUUAGGGGUCUGGCAAUUUGAGAGAAGUUCUUGAUAAAGCGUCUAUAAAACCCUGCAUGUCCCAAAAAGCUAUGGAUUCCUUUCACAUUCGUGGGAGGUGGAAGUUUUUCAAUAACUUCAAUCUUUGCUUUGUCCACCUCUAUACCACGUUCGGACACUUUAUGUCCUAGCACUAUUCCUUCCUGAACCAUAAAAUGGCAUUUCUCCCAGUUGAGGAUUAAGUGCUUUUCUUCACAUCUCUGCAAGACUCUAUCUAAAUUCUCCAAACAAUGAUCGAAGGUUUAGCCAUAGACGGUAAAAUCAUCCAUGAAAACCACCAUGAUCUUCUCAAUCAUGUCCGAGAAAAUAGACAUCAUGCACCGUUGGAAAGAAGCUGGAGCAUUGCACAAUUCGAACGACAUUCGUCGGUAUGCAUAAGUUCCAUACGGGCAUGUAAAGGUAGUCUUUUCUUGGUCAUCUGGGUGGAUUGGGAUUUGGUGAUAUCCAGAAUAACCAUCAAGGAAACAAAAGAAAGAGUGGUCUGCAAGCCGUUCUAACAUUUCAUCAAUGAAGGGUAAUGGAAAGUGAUCUUUCUUUGUAACCUUGUUAAGUUUUCGAUAGUCAAUACACAUACGCCACCCAUUGACAAUUCGUUGAGGGAUGAGUUCAUUCUUCUCAUUCCUAACGAUCGUCAUUCCUCCUUUCUUUGGCACUACUUGGACAGGGCUAACCCACUCACUAUGUGGCACAGGAUAAAUAAUCCCAGCAUGAUAGAGUUUGAGGACCUCUUUCUUAACAACCUCUCGCAUAGCAUUGUUUAUGUCUCCAUUGUGGUUCCCUUGAAGGUGUAAAAUUGGGAUCAAUAGGGAUACGAUGAGUGCAGAGAAUGGGAUUAAUGCCCGUGAGAUCUUCGAGAGAGUAGCCAAAUGCUGAUUUAUGCCUUUCAAGAACAGUGACAAGUUGUUGUGUUUCAUAAUCGGAAAGCUUGUCACUGAUAAUUACUAGAGUUUUUGGGUUGUUGUGCAAAAAGACAUAUCUAAGGCCAGAAGGAAGAGGUUUUAACUCUAUCGAAGGAGGUGAAGGUUGUUCAUUUUUGUCUAGCUCAACGGGUUCUACCAACUCUUCUUCUUGAACAAAGUGUUCAUGAUUAAAGAAUGGUUGGGCCAUCUCCUCUUGAGUCAGCAUUAAGAUCUCCUCAAUAGGAUCUGGUUCAAGUUUGGGUUCCACUAUCGUGUUAAUUGAUCUAGCAAGAGGAACAACAAUAGUGGAAUUCCCAACCUUGAAGUCUAAAUGACCUCGUUGUGGUUGUUCUUGUAGAAGUUUCAUGAUUGGUCUGCCAAUCAAGAGAGGAAUCUCCGGUAUGUCAAAAAUGUGAAAAUCUAGACAUAUUCCAUAGUCCUUAAUUCUAACAGGAACUGCCCUUAAUACCCCAUGGCUUUCUAGAAUUAAUCUAGAUGGACUUUGUAAAAGUUUUUGAGAUGGGGUUAUGGACUCGUUGGGAUAAAGAGUGUUAGCUAACUCCUUGGAAAUAACAUUUAUCCCAACAUAUGGAUUGUAGUGGACCUUCCUAGCGGACCCUCUAAUUUGGCGUAGAAGAAUGGUUGAAGGAGUGAUGAUUCGAGCUACCUCAGGAGAUAGCUCAACUUCUGUUAGCCAUUCAUAACUCAGAAUAGCCGAAAGGCUUUUGAUGUGUUCUAUGUCAACAGAUUCUACUCUUAGAAUGGAUUGAGUGGUCCCUGCUAGAGGUCGUGUUUGGAUAGGAAAAUUCGAGGUGUUUCCAUAAUCUUCAAAAAGAUCUUCCUCAAAUUCGAAGGGAUGCUCUAAAGGUGGUGGUUCAUCAUCCCUUAGUUGGUUUUGCAUUCCCUUAUCAGGUGGUUUCUCUACAACCAAAUUAAUGGACGGGUCAGGUGAAAUUUCUAACUCGGUAGCAAGUUCCUCAUCUUUUGGUUUAGGAUCAGGCUCGACUUCUUUUUCUUCUUUAGGAAACUCAUCAUAAAUGUCUGUGUAAGGGGUAUUUUCAAGGAUUCUCUCUAGGAUAGCUCUGCCCUUGUCUGUGAGUUUGUGUGUGAAUGAGCCUCCUGAUGCAAUGUCGAGGUGAAAAGCAGCUUCCUUGUUUAGACCACGAUAAAAGUGGUAGUACAAUACAUGGUCAGACAGGUAAAGGUUUGGACUAGAAUUGGUAAGGCUUGUGAACCUAGCCCAAGCUGCUCCUAAAGUUUCCUUCUCUCUUUGUUUGAAUGUAAGAAUUUUGAUUCUAAGGUCAGCGAUUCGAAAAAGUGGGAAGAAAUUGAGACAAAAUUGUCUCGAAGUUCAUCCCAAUUUCCAUUAACGCCUCCUACAGAAUGAGUAUACCACUUUUUUGCUCUUCCCAAAAGGGAGAAUGGAAAUAAUUUUCAUUUAAGGGUUUCUUAUGUCAUGCCGGAAAUAGAUCGGCAAGAGCACAACUACUCGAAUUCUCUAAGGUGGGUGUAUGGAUCUUCAUCUACUUGCCCAGAGAAGGGUUGCUCCUGAAUCAUGGCUAUUAGAUCAGGGCCGAGGUCGUAGCCAUCUGUAAGAAUUGGAUGUGAUGAUGGUGGUGGCUCUAAUAACUCGCCCUUUGGAGCAAAGAAUUUAUAGAUAGGAGUGAAAUCCAUGUGGUAUGGUGAAAAUGGUAAGGUGAGUGUGGUAAAAAAAGAAAAGAAAAAGGAUGCACAGAUGACUUGGUUCGAAACUAGCACAGCUACCGUUCCCCGGCAACGGCGCCAAAAAGCUUGUUGGGUAUUUUAAACGCAAAGAGAAAAAUCCGUUCACCCGAGAGUAUUCCAGAGUAUCGAUUUUCCACAGGGAACGUGAGUGUACUAAUUAAGAUUCAAGAUCGCCCAAGGAUAACUAUAUAAUUAUUUUUGGUGGGAAGAGUGGAAGUUUUCUGAGAGUUCUCUAGUUGAUCUAAGAAUGAAGUAUUACUUCAAAGAUUAUUUAUUUUGGGACAUCAGAACACUAACCACAGAAAGAGAUGAGAAGGGGGCUAGGAAGCUCUGACUACGGUCCUAUAAACAACGAUCCGAACGAGGUGGAAUACGUCGACCAUUAGGGCUGUCACUACCCUAGGGCUACCACAACAAUCCGUAGGAUUGGGUGCAAUUCCAGGUAAUUGCAAGACUAAACACCACGUCUAAUCUAUUAAUUACUACUCUAGCGUUGCAAAGACUAGAGCACUUGAUGCAAGCGGGAAUCCAAUAAAUAACUUAAAUGUAAAUAAAAGUAAUUAAAGAACUCAAGAAUUAUGAAUUGAAGAACCUGGAGAACGAUGAAGAAUGAACCAGUUGCUGCAAAUGUACAAUGUUGAGGAAGAUCCGACUGAUCCGGCUCCUCCGCUCUCCUCUUCUCUCUCCCUAUUUUCUAGAUUACAACUAGAACUAACUAGAAUUAGAACUAGAGGAACUAGAACUAGAACUAGAUGAACUAGAGGGAUCCUCUCUACUUGGAUGAAUAAUUGAAACCCUAACUUUGAUUCUGUAGAAGACGUAUGUUCUCUAGGGGCUAGGGGGCCUUGCUUAUAUAGUCUUUUCAAAUGAAUCUGGGCCGUCGGAUCAAACCGACAUUGUUUGAACAGUUAUCCUUGAUCCUUUAGGUUGGUGGAGCAUAAUCCGCAAAGAGGACUCUGAUUGGACACCAAAGGGGGGCGGGCGCCCUGGUCUCUAGGGCGGGCGCCCUGGGUCAGGCCCCGUUCUGCCUCCGCUUCGUUCCCGUGGCUUCUGGAGUCUUCUAGAUGAUAGAAAAUUGCACGGCACAUAAAUAUCUCUAUGUAAACCCGACGUGUGGGCCUUUCCUCCAUAUUUCCUGAUAACCCCCUGCAGAAAUAGACAAACACCAAAACUCGUGGAAUUCUAUCAGAUAAAACCCUAAGUCUGGGUGUUGGUUGCAUUUGAAUCCUUUUCCAUGAUUAGUUGACGGUUAAAUGUGAGGAUUAAGGAUUGUCAACACUAUCCUAAAUGUGAUCACACCCUCUAUGGUGUCUUGAUCACCAAAACCAAAAUCCUAAGAAAUACCUUUGCCUUGAUCUCCAUAGGGUUUUGUUUUUCUCUUUCUUCUUUUCCAAGUUGAGCACUUGAUCAUCUUGUGGUCAUCACCAUCAUCACCAUGAUCAUCACUUGCUCCAACACUUGGCAUGUACCAACCUCAUUAAGUCUACACACACUUAGUAUAAAGGUUAGCAUUAGGGUUUUAUCAAUUAUCCAAAACCAAACUAGGGCUUUCAAUCUCCCCCUUUUUGGUAAUUGAUGACAACCCUUUUUACAAAGAUUUUCAAUAAAAUUUUCUUAGAUUUAUGUUGCUUGUCCAAGCAUUUUACCAUGUGCAAAAGUUAUGGACAAGUUUCAUAAACCCAAAUUGGUAGCAAUUGCUCCCCCUACAUAUGUGCUAAGAGUUUGGAUUCGAAAGCUUGCACAUAUGCUUAAAUAGGAAAUAUAGGAGUCAAUUUCUACCAAAUGAUGCUAAGGUGUAAAGAAUGGACCUUUGAAGCGUGAUACCAAUCGGAGUUGCCAAUAUAUACCAUCCUUAGCACCAUUAGUAACUAGACAUUCACGAAACUAGAACACCCCGUGAGAUCAAUAUUAUAAACAAGGUUCUAGCACCACUUGUGAAACAACCAAAGGUCUAGUUACACUACCUAUGCAUGCUAGUUCUUCGUUUCAUCAAUCAAACCUAUAACUAGCAUACACCACACAAGCAAGAUAUCGAAGAGAAAGCUUCUAAAGCUAAUGCAAAAGCAAGCAAUUGUUGACACUUGCUAACACCACUUGAAUACUAGGUUGUCAUCCCCAGCAUGGCACUAGAGUGUACUAUGGUAUUUAUACGCACACAGAUAAUCUGCAAGCGCACGGAUACCGUUGAAGCUUUUACCCAGUUAAAGGUUUUAUCGUAUCCACAGGGAAACGGGAGAACCAACUACGCUCUAACUUAACCAAGAUAGAUAGAUAAGUGUAAAUAGGAAAGAUGGUAGAAUUGAAUAUGAACAAUAUUAAAGGUAAGAUAACAAUGGGUAAUAAUAGGGGAAUAGAGAGUUGAGCAAUCUAGUAUAUGGGCGAUGGUAGCAAAAUAGAGAGAAUAACUAUGGUUUCUCUACUUCAAAGGGGUAUGUCUAUGUCUGGGACGAACCAUGUGAUAAGAGUACACCACAAAGGAUGCUUAUCCAUAGGCCGAUAAACCCUACCCGUCCUGCUAACGAGAGGUGGACUAUAGAGGACCAACGUAACUGUCACCUACACGGCCAACCACACGAUCCAGCUAGACAGGGGAUAUCCACAAGUAAUCUAGGUCUAAGCACCAUGCUUACACCUAUAUUACAACUCUAACCUAUAGGGUCCUAUAGAUUAGAAGUACUCAAAAGAGUUGUGAACCAGAACAUACAUGAUUAGUAAUUUCAUAAUGAAUUAGAAGUAGAUUACCAGAGUCAUCCCAUGAGCAAGCUUGAUUAGAGCUUGAUCAUGACAAAGUACAACCGAAGGAAGAACCGAUAGGCCGGCCUCUCCUCUAAUCCUCCUUCGCUCUCCAUCUCGCUACUAUCUAGAUCUACUCUAGUUUAGAGAAGAGAGGAGAGCUCUGUUGACGGUCCUUAAGUACCAAAAAUAAUCAUCAAAUAAAUAAAGAAAAGGAUCCAAAUGCAACCAACACCUAGACUUAGGGUUUUAUCUGACAGAAUUCCACGAGUUUUGAUGUUUGUCUAUUUUUGCAGGGGGUUAUCAGGAAAUACGGAAGAAAGGCCCACAUGUCGGGAUUACAUAGAGAUAUCAACGUACCGUGCAAUUUUCUAUCAUCUAGAAGACUCCAGAAGCCACAGGAAUGAACGGAGGCCGAACGGGGCUAGAGGCAGGGCGCCCGCCCUCCUUCCUUGGGCGCCCGCCCUGACUUGGAGUCCAAACAGGACUCUCUUCGGGGAUUACUCUCCACCGACCUAAAGGAUCAAGGAUAACCGUCCAAUCAAUGUCGGUUUGAUCCAACGGCCUAGGUUCACUUGAGGGGACUAUAUAACCAGACCCCUUGGCCCCUGGAGGAGGCACCCCUUGAUCAUUAUUAAUUAUUCAUAGACAGAGCAAAAGCUAGGGUUUGGAGAUGAGAGCUCUCCUUUCAUCUCUAAACUAGAGUAGAUCUAGAUAGUAGGAAGAUGGAGAGCGAAGGAGGAUUAGAGGAGAGGCCAGCCUGUCGGUUCUUCCUCCGGUUGUACUUCGUCAUGAUCAAGCUCUAAUCAAGCUUGCUCAUGGGAUGACUCUGGUAAUCUACUUCUAAUUCAUUAUGCAAUUAUUAAUCAUGUAUGUUCUGGUUCACAACUCUUUUGAGUACUUCUAAUCCAUAGGACGCUAUAGGUUAGAGUUGUAGUAUAGGUGUAAGCGUGGUGCUUAGACCUAGAUUACUUGUGGAUAUCCCCUGUCUAGCUGGAUCGUGUGGUAGGCCGCGUAGGUGACAGUUACGUUGGUCCUCUGUAGUCCACCUCUCGUUAGCAGGACGGGUAGGGUUUAUCGUCCUAUGGAUAAGCAUCCUUUGUGGUGUAAUCUUAUCAGGUGGUUCGUCCCAGACAUUGACAUACCCCUUUGAAGUAGAGAAACCAUAGUUAUUCUCUCUAUUCUGCUACCAUCACCCAUAUACUAGAUUGCUCUACUCUCUAUUCCCAUAUUAUCACUCACUGUUAUCUUACCUUUAAUAUUGUUCUUAUUCGAUUCUACCAUCUUUCCUAUUUACACCUAUUUACUUAUCUUGUUUAAGUUAGAACGUAGAUCAGUUCUCCCGUUUCCCUGUGGAUACGAUAAAACCUUUAACUGGGUAAAAGCUUCAACGGUAUCCGUGCGCUUGCGGAUUAUCUGUGUGCGUAUAAAUACCAUAGUACACUCUAGUGCCAUGCUGGGGAUGACAACCUAGUAUUCAAGUGGUGUUAGCAAGUGUCAACAAGCAUUUUUGGUGCCGUUGCCGGGGAAACGAUUGCUGAGUUGACUACGAACUAGCUUAAUCAUUUUCUAAAAAAUAAAAAAUAUAUAUAUAUAUAUUUUUCCUUUUAUCCUUUGCCUUAUCUCUGCUAUUCUUUCCACUUAUCUAAUCCUUGAUCUCUGGUCUAUCAUGAAUUCAAACAUGUCUAUCUAUGAAUUUCAUAGACCUACGGGCACACAUCUCAAACCACCAAAAUCUUCAAAGCCUAUCAUAGCAUCUAGUUUUGAGAUAGACCCUGAAUACAUAAAAUUUGUUCAAAAACAACCUUCAUCAGGAGAAGGUGAGGAAAACCCAUACACACACCUAAGAGAGUUUUAUAGAGUCUGUGACCUCCUUCGCAUAGAAGGCAUGUCCGAUGAGACCCUUAAAUGGAAGCUCUUUCCGUUCUCUUUAACAGGAAAAGCUAGACAUUGCUACGAACUCAAAGUAGGGAGUGUUCAUGGAGAUUGGAACGAGUUACAUAAUAGUUUACUUCUUAAAUAUUUUCCAAUCUCCAAAGUGGUGGAACUUCGGCGUGAGAUUCUUUCUUUUAGACAACUGGAAGAAGAAUCUCUCGACAAAUCAUGGGACUGCUUUAUUAACCUUACUCUCACUAGCCCAAAGCUUUUUAUUCCAGAAGAAGUUCUUCUAAUUCAUUUUUUGGAGGGCCUUAGUAGGAAAAAUAAGCAAACCCUUCAUGGGGCCUCUGGAGGAUCUUUCCACCACCUAUCCACUAGUGAAGCUUGGAAUUUGAUUGAUUUAAUGAGCGGAAAGUCUCCUACCUUUUAUAUCCCUGAGAAAGAGAAAGAACCAGUUCCUAGACAAGAAGAAGUUUCGAUAGCCAAAUUACAACCACUUCAAUCCCAAACUUUAGCUAUCGAUCCUAAACCAUCAAUACCCCAAAAUUCUCCAAGGGAGGAAGGAAUUCCGACCAUAAAUCUUUCAGAUACCGAUGGUUUAGACUUCUGGUUCCAUAAGAGACCUUCAAGCAGGGAGAAUUCAAAUCCUUGCAAUAAUGUUUCUCUUAGAGAAUGUCCUGGUUCCUGUUGUGAAGAAGUCAAGGAUGACUUAUCAAGUGAAGGAGAGCUAAGCCAUAUAGAAAAUUCUAACACCUCCCCUUUCCAGAUCACAAGUUCUAAAUGGCUAGAAUGUGUAGAAUGGAUGGAUAAGGAAGAAGCCUUAAUGGAUUCUGACUUUGGCUCAAUUUCAAAUGAUGAGUUCUUGUCUCCCUUUGAAGAUGAGAUUCAUCCAACUAUAGAAGAGGACAUAGGUGAGACCAAUCCAAGAGAAACUCCAAACAUUCAGAUUGGAGAUGAAGAUAACAUUAAUGAGCAUGGAAUUUAUUUCAUAGCCACUCCGUUUGCUCCAUGCUCAUAUGCAACAUCUUCCCAAUAUAUGGGUCUCUCCGACAUUACCACACUUGAGAUCUCCACCCCCCUCUUCCUUUCUAUUUAUAAAAACUUUAAAAGGGCAGUUGUCGAUGCAUAUGUCUAUAAUAAAUAUUGUAGAUCUCGUUGAGUUGAUCUUGAUAUAGGUCAGCGUUGGAAGGGAAACCACUUCGCCGACAUAAAUUGAUGGUUUCCCAAGGACAAGCUUAGUGUCCUAAAAUAAGCAAUGAUCAGAUCAUAACAUGAGCUUUUAAUUAUUUACAACAUUACCUUGUGUAUUGAGCAUAUAAGGAUAGUUGUAAAAAUAUUCCUUCGGGUAUUCUUGUCACUGUUGACACCGUUUUUGGACACGUAUCCAUGUUUAGUAGAAUGCAGGCUGGCAGGAUAAGACGGCGAUGUUUUAUCUACAGGGUGAGUUGCCGAUGAGGAUGGUUGCCGAUGAAGGAGGGGUUGAACGUGAAUAAGUCUAUAGGUGGUGAUGUGACUGUGCCGAUGGCUACGACAAGGGACUCUGCCGAUGACUAUGACAGGGGAACCUGCCGAUGAUACGGAGGGAGAGUCCGGAAGCUGCCGAUCGGUCUGUGGAAGUGUUCCAAUUUGUCACGGGGGGUAGUUUUUAUGCUUUCCUUAGUUAUUUAAAUCGUUUUGUAUACGGAUUCUGUGUAAUUUGGAAUUCGAAUUCUAGUCGUGUCUGGUUGUAGCUCUUUGAGCAGGGUAUAAAUAUAGACCCUAGGGCCUUGUAAUGAGACAUCUAUCAAUCAAUCAAACACAUGUUUUUACUCAUAUUCCAAGCAUCUACUUUUUUCCGACGACUUCGUCAUACUUUUCCUUUUCACUACGAGUUCUUAGGAAUUCGUCGACUUAGGCUCAGUGUGUUCUCAAGUUCCACAUGAAUACCUCUUGGCCAUGGCAUCUGGGUGCAUCGCUGUUGUCAGGACCAAAGUAUUCGAGUUACUACCUUUGCCGAUAGUAAGGUCAAAUCGGCUGGCACACCUUAACGUUUGAAUCGGGUAUUAGCCCUUUGUGUUUGCAGAUCAGCUUUUGCACCAACAUAUCUUUUGGCACGCUCGGUGGGACCAGAUUCAAGAUCAAGAUCAACAUGUCGACUUUCGAGUUUGAUCAAGAAAACGUCAUCCCCGUGACGGAAGCCAAUCUCAAGGAUGAGCAGAAGCAAGCUAUUGCUAAAGCCAUGGAGGAUUACAAGCAGCAAUGCCUGAGGUCCUUCAGUAUGAACAGGAGUGGCGAGGUGAUCCAGAAGGAUGCACUGCCGGCACCGCGGCAGGUUACUUUUGAAGCCAAUCCUGGCAAGCUUCAAGAGAUGGUUGAUAGCGCUAUAAAAGCGUGCUUUGAUCAACCAAGCUGGUAUACUGUCUAACACAGUUUUCAAUGCCGUGGCAAGAACUUUCAAAGAAGGACAGCUGCGACCAGAUUAUGUGGGCCCCACUUAUCACCAACCGAGGUCACCAGUGGUCACAGCUCCAUCGGCCGCUACGGCCGCUGCGGGCAUGGAGAUACCUGUUCCGCCAAGCACGUUGGGAGUCACCAAUGCACAAUCUACGCCGAUGACAACCAAUCCACAGACUUCAGAUGGGCAAAUCAAACUCGCUACAGAUCUGUUGGCAUCGGCAGUAUCAGGACUGACUCCUCCUAAUUGGUGGGGUUAUGGUAUGCCUCCAGAUUUGACGCCGGACACGUCGCAGACAACUGACAUGAGAGGCAAGACUCCUAUGGCAUCGGCACCUCCGAGUAUGCCGAUGAACCAGAGUCCUCAGUAUACUACAACUACUACUGCAAGACCGCACACUGGCAAUUCUCAAGCUCCAAUGUUCCAGAUGCCUAACGCAUCGGCAGACUCAAUGCUGAUGCAACAGAGGUCUAUGAUCCAGCCAGGGUAUGUCAGUUCAAUGAUAAUGCCCAAUUACCAGUCAUCGGCAGGGCCUAUGCCGAUGAACGCUAAUAGUGGAAGGCUUGGGCAGCAAGUCUUUCCACAAACACCCCAACAGAAUCAUCAGGCUACAGGGUUCCAACAAGGCCAGAUCUAUCCUGGAUUCCAGAAUCAGGGGAUUCUCAACCAGCCAAUGAAUCUUGGGUAGCAGGUCGGCGUACAACAGACUGGCGGGCAGCAGCUUGGUGGUCCACAGAUUGGGGGUCAGAUGAUUAACCCGGUGUUUCAUGCAGAUCGUGCGCCACACCGACACGUGGAAGCUUACCAGCAGGUGCCUGAUCCGCAACCGCCCCAUCGGCAAGAUGCCGAUGCUUAUUGGGUCGAUAAGAUUGCUGAAGUGAUGAGAGACCAAUUCAGGAUAAAACCCAAAGUCAAUACUUACUCUUAUCGGACACCGUAUCCUCCCGCCUAUGAUUUGAUCCCGCUUCCACAUCGGUACAAGGUACCGGAUUUUACUAAGCUGGUAACAGGGACGAGUUGAGGGUUCGCUUAUUCUCGUCAUCAUUGUCUGGAUCGGCUUUCACCUGGUUUAUAUCAUUGCCUCCCAACUCAGUGAUUACUUGGGCCGAUCUGGAGAAACAAUUCCACAAAUACUUCUUUUCUAGGGUCCAUGAGAAGAAGAUUACCGAUUUGGUCAAACUAAGGCAACGCAAUGAUGAAUCGGUUGAAAGUUUUGUGCAGAGGAUACGGGAGGUCAAGAAUAAAUGCUAUAGUCUGGUUCUGGAUGAUUGGCAGUUAGCCGAUUUGGCUCUCCAAGGUUUGUUGCCACACAUCAGGGACAAGUAUGCUUCUCAGGAGUUUGAAAGCUUAAGUCAUUUGGUGUAGAGAAUUUCUGAUCAAGAUAUCAAGCCUUUUGAGCCCAAGAGAGCAUGGAACAAAAAGGUAUCGUUCGUUGAUGAAGCAACAAGUUCAGAUUCUGAUGAGGAACCAGUCAUCGGCUUGGUAGAGUGGGUGAAGAAUAAGAAGCCGAUGUCUUGUCCUUUUGGACAUAAAGAACCAGAGAAGUUCGCGUUUGACACUGCUAAGGCCGAUAGGAUAUUUGACUUUCUACUUCAGGAAGGUCAGAUUAAGCUAUCCCCUAAUCAUGUGAUCCCAUCGGCUGAAGAAUUAAAAAAGAUGAAAUAUUGCAAGUGGCAUAAUGCAACUUCUCAUAACACCAAUGAAUGCAAGGUCUUCAGACAGCAGUUGCAAUCGGCUAUAGAAUCUGGAAGAAUCAAGUUUGACAGUUCCAAGACCCAGAAGCCGAUGAAGAUUGAUCAACAUCCUUUCCCAACGAACAUUUUGGAUGCUAAGGGAAAGGCCAAGGUCCUGACAUCGGAAGGAGCCGAAAGAAGUGCAUCGGUGGAUCCUCAGCAUCAGAUCACUACUGCUGAUGCUAAAGAAAAGGGCUUGAUCCAGAAGGGAGCUAACUCAGGAAGGCCUCCCCGAUCUGGUAUCGUUAUAACUCACAGAAGACCUCAGGAAACUUGGCAGCAGCGUGAGGACCGAUAUCGGCGCCAGCAGGAGGAUUAUCGUCGGGAAGAGGAAAGACGCCGACAGGAGUGGAAUCGGCAUAGCGAUCACUGGAAUUGCCCGUUCUUCAUCCAUUGUUGGGAGGAGAAUAUCAAGCUUCCCACUGUCAGGGAUUGCCCUGAGUGCAACGGUUAUGAUCGGUACGACAGAUCCGGUCAGUACUAUCGUGAUAAUGAUCAGCGUUUCAAUGGGCCGAUUAGAGGGAGAGCAUCUGUCCAUGAUUGGCUGGGAGGCAGGCUCAGCGUGCACGAUAGGCUUGGCGAUCGUGUUCGUUAUUUUCCCAGGAACCAGGAAGAACUUGAAGAGAUGGCAAAUGCUCGAGUUCCCGAUGAGUUCAUAUUUUGCAGGGAUGCCAAUGCUUAUCGGGUAGAGUCAAGGGAGAAUCAUCGCCCGUCAGCAAGGCAGCAGCAGCUUCCUCCAUGGUGUCUAGAGGGAUUGACCAGAACUCAGAAGAGAAGAUUGUAGCGCGAAAGGCGAGAAGAGUUGAGCAAAGGGGAGAACUCCGGACAGUCUGGGGAUCAACAACGAUCAGAUCCUAAGGGGGAAGGUCCAUCGGCAGAUGUCAACAUGGUAUUUAUGUUGCCGAUGGAGUUCCUUGCGCCGUCCAGCGAUGAUGAGGUGGAGUUUUCCGACCAAAUAGCUCAGUUGGCUCUAGAUCCGAUGACGGCUAUCUUCGAGAAGCCUGCCGACGAUGAAAGGCAGCAUCUCAGGGCCCUGUUUGUUAAAGGAAAAGUGGAUGGUCAGCCGAUGACCAAGAUUCUGGUUGAUGGUGGAGCUGCUAUUAAUAUCAUGCCCUAUGCAGUGUAUCGGAAGCUUGGGAAAGGGGAUCAUGAUUUGACCAAGACCAAUAUGAUGCUUAAAGACAUUGAAGGUAAUGUGUCUCCGGUCAAGGGGGCAAUAUGUGUAGAGUUGACCAUCGGCAGCAAAACCUUGCCGACAACCUUCUUUGUGAUCAGUAGAAAGGGUGCUUACAACCUGCUGUUGGGAAGAGAUUGGAUUCAUGCCAAUUGUUGCAUCCCAUCUACAAUGCACCAAUGCUUGGUCCAGUGGGUAUGUGACAAGAUUGAGAUUGUUCCAGGAGAUCCUUCUUAUGUCAUCGCAUCGGCAGAGGCAGACACCUAUGAAAGGACUAGGUGUAUUUUAGGAGAGAUUUGGGAAAAGGAUUUUCUCAAGGUUGCCGAUUACGAGAUUCCACCGAUCCAAGCAGUCGGUUCUGACGAAGGUUUUUAAUGGAUAGGUUCGCUGAUGAUGGAAAAUUAGGCCAGGGGUUCACAUCGGCCGAUGGUCUAGUAGAAGUAGAUAUAGGUAGUGGCGAUAAGCCUAGACCCACCUUCAUUAGUGCUAAGUUAGAUUCUGAGUGUAAGCAACAGUUAACCGAUUUGUUAAAGGAAUAUAAAGAUUGCUUUGCUUGGGAUUAUACUGAGAUGCCUGGUUUGGACCGAUCAAUUGUUGAGCAUCGGUUACCUAUCAAGUCUGGAUUUCGGCCACAUGAGCAGCCAGCUCGCCGAUGUAAUCCUAAUAUCCUCCCUGAUAUCAAGGCCGAGAUCACCAAACUUAUUGAAGCUAAGUUCAUUCGGCAGUGUCGGUAUGCCGAAUGGAUUUCCAAUGUUGUUCCGGUCUACAAGAAGAACGGGAAGCUUCGGGUGUGCAUUGAUUUUAGGAAUCUCAAUAAAGCUACACCGAUGGAUGGAUACCCAAUGCCUGUUGCCGAUCUGCUGGUUGACGCUGCGGCUAGACAUCGGAUAAUCAGCUUUAUGGAUGACAAUGCAGGGUACAACCAAAUAUUCAUGGUUGAAGAAGAUAUUCCAAAGACGGCGUUCAGGUGCCCUGGGCAUGUUGGAUUGUUUCAAUGGAUAGUCACGACCUUUGGCCUAAAGAAUGCUGGUGCUACAUAUCAAAGGGCCAUGAAUUUUAUUUUCCAUGAGUUCAUCGGCAAGCUGGUGGAGAUUUAUAUUGAUGAUGUGGUAGUUAAGUCUGGAGUUUUCGCAAAGCAUCUUGCCGAUUUACGAAAGGUGUUGAAGUGCACAAGGAAACAUGGUUUAAAAAUGAAUCCCAAUAAGUGUGCAUUUGGUGUAUCGGCAGGGCAAUUUCUUGGUUUCAUGGUGCAUCAAAGAGGGAUUGAAAUAAGUCGAAGAUCUAUUGAUGCCAUCAAUAAGAUAGUGGCCCCCAGUAACAAGACUGAGCUCCAGUCCUUGAUCGGCAAGGUAAAUUUUAUCAGAAGGUUUAUAUCUAAUUUGUCUGGUAAAAUUCGUGCUUUUAGUCGUCUUCUUAAGCUAAACGCCGAUCAAGAGUUUGUUUGGGGAAAAGAGCAACAGUUGGCUCUGGAUGAAAUCAAGAAGUAUUUAGUGAAUCCUCCAGUUCUGAUUCCACCUCAGCAAGGAAAGCCCUUCAGAUUUUAUUUGUCUACCGAUGGGAUGGUCAUCGGUUCGGCUUUAAUUCAAGAGUUUGAAGGGAAAGAGCGUGUAAUCUAUUAUUUAAGCAGGAGGUUGAUUGAUGCUGAGACCAGGUAUUCGGCCAUUGAGAAACUAUGCUUAUGCUUGUAUUUCUCUUGUAUCAAGUUAAGGCAUUACUUGUUAUCGGCCGAAUGCACCGUUAUUUGCAAAGAAGAUGUGGUCCGGUACAUGCUAUCCAUGGCUAUUAUGAGUGGCAGGAUCGGUAAAUGGAUUUUGGCGCUGUCAGAGUUCGAUCUGCGUUAUGAAUCGGCUAAGGCAGUUAAAGGGCAGAUUAUGGCCGAUUUUGUGACUCAACAUUGCGGUACAGCGAAGGCUGUGGAAAUUUUGCCUUGGACACUUUUCUUUGACGGAUCUACAUGUGACUGGGGGGCAGGAAUAGGGAUAGUACUAAUUUCCCCUCGGGGAAGGAAAUAUGAGUUUUCCUUGCCGAUUGUUGCCACGUCAACGAAUAAUCAGGCUGAGUAUCAAGCUUUAAUAAAGGGGUUAGAGUUGUUGAGAGAAGUUCAUGCUGAUGCCGUUGAGGUUUUCGGGGAUUCUAUGCUGGUUAUAAAUCAAUUGGUUGGGAGCUAUGAAUGCCGGAGUGGAGUUCUCAUAACUUAUUAUGAGAGGAGUAUGCAACUGUUAAAAGAGUUCAAAGACUUCCGAUUAGAACAUGUUUCUCGAUUGCAUAAUGAAGAGGCAAAUCGGUUAGCUCAGCAUGCCUCGGGAUAUCAGCCUAUGAUUAAUACGAUAUCGGCAAUUGAUGCCGAUGAUUGGAGAAAAGAGAUCGUUGAUUAUUUAAAGGAUCCAUCUAAGAAGGUUGAAAGGCGGGUUCGGUUUCAAGCUACUAAGUAUGUGCUCCUCGAAGAUGAAUUGUACUACCAAACUAUCGAUGGAAUUCUUCUUCGAUGCUUGGGUGAUGAUGAAGCUAGAAGUUUGAUGGGAGAAAUCCAUGAAGGGGUAUGUGGAGCACAUCAGUCAGCUUUCAAGAUGAAGUGGAUGAUUAGGAGGAACGGAUAUUACUGGCCGACCAUACUUGAGGAUUGCUUUAAGUAUUUCAAAGGGUGUCAUGGCUGUCAAAAGUUUGGCAACAUUCAAAGAGCACCCGCAUCGGCUAUGAAUCCUAUUAUCAAACCUUGGUCGUUCCGGGGAUUGGCUAUUGAUUUGAUCGGCCAGAUUUAUCCACCGUCUAGCAAGGGGCAUAAGUUUAUUUUGGUCGCCACCGAUUAUUUCACUAAAUGGGUUGAAGCUAUUCCUUUGAAGAAAGUCACAUCGGCCAAUAUGAUUGAUUUUGUGAAGGAGCACAUUAUUUACCGAUUUGGGAUUCCUCAAACAAUUACUACCGAUCAGGGUACUAUGUUUACAUCAGGGGAGUUUGAUGAAUUCGUAAUCGGUAUGGGAAUUAAAGUAUUGAACUCUUCUCCUUACUAUGCUCAAGCCAAUGGGCAGGCCGAGGCGUCUAAUAAAGGAAUUAUUAAGCUUAUUAAGCAGAAGAUUGAAGAAAAUCCUAGAAGGUGGCAUACGUUGUUAAAUGAAGCUUUAUGGUCAUACCGGAUGGCUUGCCAUGGGUCGACUAAAGUUUCACCCUAUCAGCUGGUGUAUGGACAUGAUGCAGUAUUGCCUUGGGAGAUUAAGGCUGGAUCUAGGUGAUUAUCUUUUCAAGAUCGGUUGGCUGCCGAUGAUUAUGCUACUUUGAUGACAAAUGAGUUGGAUGAUCUAGCAGGACAUCGGCUGAGGGCCUUGAUGAGCAUAGAAGAGAAUAAGAAGAGAGUUGCCAGAUGGUAUGACAAGAAAGUAAAGGCUAAGGAGUUUGCCGAUGGAGACUUGGUAUGGAAAUUGAUUUUACCAAUCGGGACUAAAAGUUCGAAGUUUGGAAAGUGGUCUCCUAACAGGGAAGGUCCCUAUCGGAUAAGUCGAUCGGCUCCUGGUAACGCCUACAUUUUAGAGACUCUCGAAGGAGUUGAAUUUCCCAGAGCAUUAAAUGGCAAAUAUUUAAAGAAGUAUUACCCCAGCAUAUGGGUCGAUGCAUAAAAGUUUAAGUGCCGAUAACACUCCUAUGGGCUGGAUUAAAACGUAUCUGGGGCCGGACUUAAUGUUUCAAAAGUUGCUGAUAACAGUCGUAUCGGCUAGACAAAGACGUCAAGAAAGCUGAAAAUGCAGAGGAGCGGAGACGUGUUGCCGAUGAAAGCUUCAGAUUGUCAGCAGCACCUGGAUCGCUGAUAUGGCGCGCAGCCGGAUUUGAUUGGCUGUUUCUAUCUCUUUGGCAUCAUCAUCGGCAGAACCUUCUAUCGGCUUCAGCUUCUUCUUCAACUGUAAUGCCUUGCGACCAUGGGCGUUUCGCUCUUGCUCGAGGUGUUUGAUGGUCUCUGGCAGUUGACUUUCUUCCUGUUGGGCUUGAGAUAGGGCAUCCUCCACUUGCUUGAGUUCUGCCAAUAGGGCUUCUAGUUUUGCCGAUAGGUCGGAGAUCUUCUGCUUCAAUGCAUCGCCUGAGGAUUUCAAGGUGCCGAUGUUCUUGUGCUUCUCAUCGGCUAAGAGUUUCUCUUUCAUCAUUUCCUCGGAGAGCUGGGUCUGAGCAGCUCUAUCGGCAAGGCGCCGAGUGGCUCUCUGGUACUGCAGCUGGCGACUUUCUAGAUGCGCGGCCUGGAAGAGGGUUUCUUCAGCAUCAGUAGGAAUCUGGCCUCUGAGGGUUUUGAACAGAACCUUGGCCAGGUCGGAGUCAUUGACCAGUUGAGUUGUAUCUUGAUGAAGGAUAGCCGAUAGCUCUUCCAGCUUAGCCCUGAUCUCUGCCGAUACAAUCCCAACUGCUCGGGAAGAACUUGCUUCCUCACCUUCGUCUUCGGAGAUAUCAAUGGCGAAGGAAAAUAGGCUGUCGGGGGAAUCUUGUUCCUGAGAAAGAAAACGAGACAAAAUGAGUCAUUCUAUGGUCAAAGCAUCGGCAAAUGAUACUGGUGGAAGAUUGGAUGGCUUACUUGCUUCAAGGCAAUCUCUCGCCUUUGACUUGAAGAUGACGAUGGAGCCAUGGGUUGGUCGGCCAGAAUUGCCGAUGGAACUACGUUAGCUGAAAGUUAACAAGAGAGGGUUAUAAGGCUGAAAAGGAACAAAUUCAUUGGCAAUAAUGUUAUAAAAAUGUGUUACCUUGGGGAGGGACAAUGCUUGUCUGAAUUGAAGAAACUACCGAUGAUAUGAUUGAACCUGCUGGAUCGGUAGUUUGUUCGCCCACAUCAGCCGGUGUGUCUUCUGGUCGGGGUGCUUCUAGCUGGGGUUCUUCUGCUUGUGGUGCUUCUUGCGGUUGAGGAGAUGGUACUUGCUGAGUCUCUGUUUCUAGAGGAGAAGGAGAAGAUUCCACCGGAAUGGGAGAUACCGGAGGAGGAGAAGGAGUUCCCACUUUUCGGCGCUUCGAUUGCGCCCUGGUACCUUUGGUGCCUUUUCUCUUCUGCUGGCUGGACUGGGGGGCAUCGGCAUCUUUGCCUUUGAUUCUUGCCGAUGCACUGGUUUGCUGUUACAGAAAAAGGAAUUUGUCAGUACCAAUACAACCGAUGUCAAAGUGAGAUCGGUAUAGGUGCGGUUACCUUAAAAGCCUGCGCUAGGGUGGAAGCAGCUACCGAUGGUGAUGUCUAAGUUCUCUUGGUGGUGACCUUCUUGAGGCGUAUACCCCGAUGCACGAUAGCAGCCAGGGUAGGAGCUUUGUGGCCGAUUGAGGAAAUUGGGCCUAAUGCAAACAAGUCAAUUGGCUUGCCACUCCUACUGACCGACGGAGGAGUGUCAUCGACCUGAAAAGUCACACAAAGGGUCGGUUACCGAUGGAAAUAAGAUUGAAAGAAUUGAAACAUCGGUUUGAAAGUACUUACGACAUCACUGGGAACUUCGUAUUCGGGGUCGAUUUACAGAAUAGAUGCUCCUUCCAUUCUGCCCAUCACUACUUGUAUGCCUGAGUGAUAAAGGCGGUUGGGACCCACUCCGAUAGGUCUACAUCGGUAUCGGCACUUGAUGGCAGCUGGGCUACUCGAAUCCAUUAAAGAAGACUGGUGAUGGUUUCCCUGGGCUUUAUCACAUCGGCAUAACAGAGUGCAAUCAGCAGCUGGCCGAAAGCUAAUUUGCGAGCUAGUGCCAAUGGAUUAUAGAACUCAUAAGUCUGGGGAGAUGUUUUCCCACUGCCAAAGAAGUUCACCGGUAUGGCUCUGGGGUCACCAAUGCCAUCAUUACUUCGUUGUCCUUGUCAAGAGCCUCGCCAAACGGGUUGUAAACCAGAGGAAACACGGUGUCUGGGUCAUCAUAAGCUAACCAUGCUCGCUCGUCUCUGGUCAAACCUUCGUACAAGGUUUGGAAGAAUCGGCUAAUCUGAUCUGGAUUACCCCCUGUACCUGGCAGAACUAUGACAGCUUCACCGAAGUUCAAGGGAGAGCGUGUUGCCGAUUCCUCUUCACCCAGCACAUGGUUCUCAGCUAUGUCCCUUGGAAAACGCUGAGCGAAAAUAUUAAACUCCAGACGCUUAUGCAGAUGGACAUUGAGCCACAUGUUAAUGAACCACCAAGGGCCUCCCAAGUUGCCGAUGGACUGACCAAGUAAGAGCUUCUUAGUUACUUGGUGGAGGAGGUGGUAGGCUGCUCCAAGCAGGUAUCGGCCAAGAGGAAAUCGGCCACCAUUGGCCAGAUUUUCUGCUGCUGUUAGAUAAACGGAAGUUGGUCCUGCCGAUCGGCCACAAAACACGAACUUGUCUAGCCACAUGUUCAGGAAGCAGGUCUGCUCUUUUGUGUCAACAGUGCUUGUUUUGCGGUAUUUUUGGAUAUACCCCGACCAGCCGCCGAUGGUGCGGGUUUCUACCUUAGCACUGGGUUUGGUAUCAAAGAAGUGGGUGCUAUCGGCAGAGGACACAUCCAGGCCAGUGAGCAUAGCUACAUUGGCAAGUGUAGGGGAAGCAGGGCCAUGGCCAAAGAUAAAAGCAUUGAGGGUGUCUGACCAGAAAUAAGAUGCAGCUAUCAACAGUGAUUCAUUCCUAUACAUAUCGGCAAUGGAUAACCUAAUGCAUUGGUGUAGCUUUCUCUCACCCCACUGAAUUUCAUUAGAGUUGCUGACCCUCAGGAACCAAUCUUUCCAUCCCAUGGUAGGGCUGGGCCAGGAAUGAAAAGCAUCCUUCCACAGAUCCAAAGAAAAAUUCUCUGCUCUAAAAGGGAUUCUAUUGGUCUCUGCGUUUAUGAGAUCGGUGUGAUCUGGAUCCCCUAGUGGGCCAAGGCAUUGGAGGUGUGGUUGAUCGGUGGGGAUGAAAAUUUUGUUAGCUGAUUCCUAGUGGUUUUGGAGGUAGAAAAGAAAAACACAAAGAAAGGAAAAGAAAAUGCUCAGUAAGACUGCGGAUGAACAGGGGUGUGAGAAAAGUACGAGGGAUGGCGCGAAGAACUGACCUCAGGAAUGAUGAAGUUGACGGCCAUCUUGUCGCGAAGAGGAUGAGUGAGGACUUCGGAGUUGGUGAAGAAGGGGCUUCGUCGAAGAUCUUCAAGCUUUUGGACAGCUCCGCCACUGGAAAGAUGAAGUUGGAGUUGUGGAAUGAUGCGAUGGAGAAGGAGUACCCGAGAAGGAACUAUUUAUAGGACAAAACGGGCAAGGGCAAAUCUGACUUAUCCUUUUGCCGCAUCCGAGAAAUCCGAGGGUGCUCAGGUAGAUAUGGUAACUGUUCGCACGGUAAUCAAGGGAUUGUGCAGGUGAUUUGACAGGAAGCGGUCGUUAUCCAGAGAUAUUUUACUGUGCGGGAUCUCCUGGUCGGUCCAUCGGCAGCGUCCUGUAACGGUCAUAUUACCGAUGGGCGAAUAAAGUGGAGGUAGCCGUUUGUACGAACGUUCUGAUCAGUCCAUCGGCGAAUCCUUGCAACGGUAAUAUUGCCGAUGUGCGACUAAAAGGGAGAUGUCCGUUUAGGAAGUUGAGGAUUUCGAGGGAUCUGCAAAAGAAUAGGAUCAGGGUUGUUCAGAUUGAGGUUGUCGGUUACCAGAUUAGGAGUAUUAAUUGUGGGAAAAGGCAUCAUUACUGCAGAGAAUUUCGGAGCAUUAAUGAUUCAUACUCCGAAAUUGGGGGGCAUGUGUUGACACCGUUUUUGGACACGUAUCCAUGUUUAGUAGAAUGCAGGCUGGCAGGAUAAGACGGCGAUGUUUUAUCUACAGGGUGAGUUGCCGAUGAGGAUGGUUGCCGAUGAAGGAGGGGUUGAACGUGAAUAAGUCUAUAGGUGGUGAUGUGAUUGUGCCGAUGGCUACGACAAGGGAGUCUGCCGAUGACUAUGACAGGGGAACCUGCCGAUGAUACGGAGGGAGAGUCCGGAAGCUGCCGAUCGGUCUGUGGAAGUGUUCCAGUUUGUCACGGGGUGUAGUUUUUAUGCUUUCCUUAGUUAUUUAAAUCGUUUUGUAUACGGAUUCUGAGUAAUUUGGAAUUCGAAUUCUAGUCGUGUCUGGUUGUAGCUCUUUGAGCAGGGUAUAAAUAUAGACCCUAGGGCCUUGUAAUGAGACAUCUAUCAAUCAAUCAAACACACGUUUUUACUCAUAUUCCAAGCAUCUACUUUUUUCCGACGACUUCGUCAUACUUUUUCCUUUUCACUAUGAGUUCUUAGGAAUUCGUCGACUUAGGCUCGGCGUGUUCUCAAGUUCCGCAUGAAUACCUCUUGGCCGUGGCAUCCAGGCGCAUCGCUGUUGUCAGGACCAAAGUAUUCGAGUUACCACCUUUGCCGAUAGUAAGGUCAAAUCGGCUGGCACGCCUUAACGUUUGAAUCGGGUAUUAGCCCUUUGUGUUUGCUGAUCAGCUUUUGCACCAACAGUCACUAACAUUUCCAAGAUUGGAGCAAGAAGAUCGGAUGAAUGACAAGCACAAGGUAUGUCCAACCGAUCAUCAUACAACAUUGAAUUAAAUUCAUCCAAACUUCAAUUUUGCAAAAUUCAAGCUUGGGGGAGUACUUUACAUAAAAACAUCCUUUGCCAUGUUGCUAUGUUGGUUGUCCCUACCUUUGAGACAUGCUCAAUUUGUUAAAUACUAAUCACACUACUCUAUCUCCACUUGAGUAGAUCUCUAUAAAUGCUGUCAUGCUACCUUUGUCUAUUUACUAGGAAGUGUUGGUUUGGAAGUACUCGACAUACUUCCAUUGGCAUUUAAAUUAAGCAUGGUGCUUAGGUUAAAUAGCCUUUCUUAAUCUGAUUAGACAUGGAGUCUAGUUUGUUUAUUGAACUAAAAACUGCUUGAGUAGAUAUUGGUAUAUUUUAUCGGACUAACCCCUGCAGGAAAACUUUCAAUAUCGAUUUGGGAAGUCCUGAGAUAAACUCACAUAGAGAUGAAGAGAGUGACACAUGAAGUUUAACAAUUUGCACAAGAAGGACAUAACUCAUUCAUCAUACAGAGAUGAUCCAUGGAAGGAGACAAAGUACAUAAACAAGAUACACAACCACUACGAAAUGAAGGCUUCCACAAGGUGAUACUAUACCAUCACUCUUCAAGUAAGGUAACAUCUUAAGAUAUUUGACUAUCACUUUUAUAAGCUUCUCCUUGGUUCUGGCGUUCACAUAAGUAAAGAGAAAAACAUGCAUGAUUUAUAACUCCAAAUUAACCAACCCAACUGAUUCAGCAUGUUUAGUUCUUUAAUCUUUGUUCCUAGUACUACCUCCAUGAUCCCACACUCCUAACCAUAUGAGCUAAAAUAUUGCACAUUUAAUCUUUGGGAAGAUAUAAAGAAAAAGGCAUAUAUAUAGAUAGAUUAUCUUUCCAUUAGGUUGAGUGAUCUGAUCCGGCAAAUGUUUUAAAUGCUACACUCAUGAACUUAUCAUUCAUCAACUUUGUCUUGCUCACUAUGCUUAAGGUUAGAGAAGAACAAAUACACUUUUGGUUCUGUUGGUGUUAUCCACCAACAGGACCCAUGCACUUGAUCUCUGCCUUGUCUCUAUGAACAGGUACACUACGAGCACAAACACACUGAGCAAGAUACUGCCAACACCGCACUUCGAACUACUGGGCAAACGAAGAACAUGGGUGACACCGUAUUAAGAGGUGCAGACGUCAAGGUCCACCCCUGAAUAAAAUGACGCACCUGAAGAAUGAACACGGUGAGAAGUCUUGUUGAGAAGACUUAAAACAUUGAAUCCUCGCCGAAAGGUAAAAUCGGUAGUUAUCCAUAUUUAUCGUUUCUGCAUUCCCUUUUCCCUUUAAUUACUUACUUUCCUUAAAAUAGCUUAUUAGUUAAUCAUGCUAUCUUGAAAAAAAAUAAAAAUGUUAAAAAAUACUAAGCCCCAUGUGAGUAUGCUCGUGGCAUGAAACCCAUAAGUACAUUAACUGUGGUGGCGUAAAAAUAAAAUAAAUAUAUUUCUGUUCUAUAGAAAUGAAAAUAUAAAAAUAAAAUUAUGAUCCUACCAAAGAGAGUAAUAUUUAUUAGAGGAAGCUCAACAUGAUAAAGGCAAAGAGAUUUUUAUGCUAACACUUAACUAGUUCCACAAAGCUUUGUUGUCUAUUUGAGCUCCACAGAAUUCAAAGAUCAAAGAAGACUAGCAGACAGAGGACAUUCUAAUCGCUGUCAGGGUGCUGCCGACAUUCAAAUACACCUCCGCCACCUGCUAGCUACAUCAAAAGAUAUUACGUCAAAAUCCAGCUUGGGGGAGAGCACCCCCAUUUAUCCAGCUAAGUGUUUCUACUCGCGUUUAUACUUUACUCAAAUAAUAAAAAGAUGCAUAAUCAUAUAAACUCAAAUAAAGAUUUUAUGCUUAUAUAUAUAUAUCAAUGCUUAGUUUGCUAAAUAAAUACAUAAAUAAAGUUUGCUAUGAACCCUCAUGAUCAACUCUCACAUGGAAAUAAUGAAUAGUUGCUCUGCCAUGACUAGUUCUUAAAAUUAAAAUCUCUCUCAAGUUUAGGCAUAAUUGUUAUAAUUUAAACCUGCUCUAAACCUAAACUUGUGGGAAGAGUACUUGAUCUAAAGUCUAAGUCGUUAACGGAUAUGAUAUGGGAUGGUUGAGCUGCUGUUUAUCUGUUCCUAGAGAUGCUAGAAUUCUGGAGAAUUUUAUCUUUGAAAAUCUUUAAAAUGUUGCAUGAUGAGUUCCUGUAUGAUGAGAGUUUAAAAUCCUACCACAGCCAUAUAUACAUGCUUAUUAGACUAUGAACCAUACAUUUACUUUUUACUGCUUAUGAGCAUUGAGUGUGGUCAAGCUGUGUAUACCCUUAGGAGCUUGUCAUGCGGUUUAAAUCAAGAUUCACUUGCACGUUCACUCAUAGGAGCUUGUAGACCCUUAGACCCUUAGGAGCUUGUAAUGCUGCUUCUACUCCGGAAGUAUGCAUCCACAUACAUCCACUCAUUUCCAUCUCCAGAUUCACCCAAAAUUAUUCUACUCCUAUCCGGGAGAGAAUAGCCAAAAACAUUAUCCCAUUCCUGUUUUUCCCUGUGAAAUAAAUGCUCAAGCUAUUUUGGUUACUACCACUUGCUACAUUAUUCUAGGAGGGUGAAUGCUCUAAAAAAAGAAAAAAAAAGAAAAAAAAAUAUACGAGGAAAUAAAAAGGGGCAAGUGCCCGGAACCUCGAAGAAAAAGAAAAAGUGAGACGAGAGGUAAAAAUGGACAAGUGUUCGACAGUAGAAUUAGCGUUACAAGAUAACCACCUGAGAGAAAAGAAAAAGAAAAAAAUAGAGCAUCUCAUUCCUCUCAAAAACCUUCAAAGUGCAAGAAAGGUAUGUAUCCCCUCAAAAGAGCAAAAGUAGAAUUAGACUUUCACCAUUAUUUUAACCAUUAUCACCAUCAUCACCAUACACCAUUCAUCCGCCACACAUGCACAUCUUGGUUUGACUUAUUGACUUGUUUCUCUGGAUCCAUGGUUUGACUAUGCAAUAAAUGUCUUGUAAGUAUGUAUUAGCUGUCUCCCACCUAUGAGCUCCAGAUAUCAAAACCUUAUUAGAGUAGGGUGAGAGAGAAGGCAAUAUCACUAUGCCUCAUACCACAAAUACUACAUACUUUGAGAGAAGGCGUAUAUUAUCACUGCCUUGGUAAGGAUCCAGAAAUACCACAAAAGAGAGACUAGAGAGAGUCAUACAAGGAAUCUCUAAGUUUUAUUUGAAAAUCUGCAAAAACUCCAGAGCUAUAGUUGAUCAAAGAACAAGAGACAUGGUGCUUGACUUGACCGUUCUAUCUUUUAACUGCUCAAGACACAAGUGACGGUUGCAAGCCCCAUGGUGAAAGGUAAUAUGAGUAAGUUUAAAUCUUAACAGUUUACCCUAACCUAGAGAUGAGAUCUUGUUUGAACGCAUGAGUACCUUUAAGGCAUAAAACCACUGCAGAAACUCUUGAGUCCAUCCUUGCUCAGGGACGAGCAAGAGGUAAGCUUGGGGGAGUUGUUGACGGUCCUUAAGUACCAAAAAUAAUCAUCAAAUAAAUAAAUAAAAGGAUCCAAAUGCAACCAACACCUAGACUUAGGGUUUUAUCUGACAGAAUUCCACGAGUUUUGGUGUUUGGCUAUUUUUGCAGGGGGUUAUCAGGAAAUACGGAAGAAAGGCCCACAUGUCGGGAUUACAUAGAGAUACCAACGUACCGCACAAUUUUCUAUCAUCUAGAAGACUCUAGAAGCCACGGGAACGAACGGAGGCCGAACGGGGCCAGAGGAGAGGCCGGCCUGUCGGUUCUUCCUCCGGUUGUACUUCGUCAUGAUCAAGCUCUAAUCAAGCUUGCUCAUGGGAUGACUCUGGUAAUCUACUUCUAAUUCAUUAUGCAAUUACUAAUCAUGUAUGUUCUAGUUCACAACUCUUUUGAGUACUUCUAAUCUAUAGGACGCUAUAGGUUAGAGUUGUAGUAUAGGUGUAAGCGUGGUGCUUAGACCUAGAUUACUUGUGGAUAUCCCUUGUCUAGUUGGAUCGUGUGGUAGGCCGCGUAGGUGACAGUUACGUUGGUCCUCUGUAGUCCACCUCUCAUUAGCAGGACGGGUAGGGUUUAAUGGCCUAUGGAUAAGCAUCCUUUGUGGUGUAAUCUUAUCACGUGGUUCGUCCCAGACAUUGACAUACCCCUUUGAAGUAGAGAAACCAUAGUUAUUCUCUCUAUUCUGCUACCAUCGCCCAUAUACUAGAUUGCUCUACUCUCUAUUCCCAUAUUAUCACUCACUGUUAUCUUACCUUUAAUAUUGUUCUUAUUCGAUUCUACCAUCUUUCCUAUUUACACCUAUUUACUUAUCUUGGUUAAGUUAGAACGUAGAUCAGUUCUCUCGUUUCCCAGUGGAUACGAUAAAACCUUUAACCGGGUAAAAGCUUCAAUGGUAUCCGUGCGCUUGUGGAUUAUCUGUGUGCGUAUAAAUACCAUAGUACACUCUAGUGCCAUGCUAGGGAUGACAACCUAGUAUUCAAGAGGUGUUAGAAGUGUCAACAAGCUCUCAUCUCUAAACCCUAGCUUUUGCUCUGUCUAUGAAUAAUGAAUAGGGAUCAAGGGGUGCCUCCUCCUGGGGCCAGGGGGUCUGGUUAUAUAGUCCCCUCAAGUGAACCUGUGCCGUCGGAUCAAACCGACAUUGAUUGAACGGUUAUUCUUGAUCCUUUAGGUCGGUGGAGAGUAAUCCCCGAAGAGAGUCCUAUUUGGACUCCAAGUCAGGGCGGGCGCCCUGCCUCUGGCCCCGUUCGGCCUCCGCUUCCUUCCCGUGGCUUUUGGAGUCUUCUAGAUGGUAAAAAAUUGCGCGGUGCGUUGAUAUCUCUAUGUAAACCCGACGUGUGGGCCUUUCUUCCGUAUUUUCUGAUAACCCUCUGCAGAAAUAGACAAACACCAAAACUUGUGGAAUUCUGUCAGAUAAAACCCUAAGUCUUGGUGUUGGUUGCAUUUGGAUCCUUUUCUUUAUUUAUUUGAUGAUUAAAUUUGAUACUUAAGGACCGUCAACAAACUCCCCCAAGCUUACCUCUUGCUCGUCCCUGAGCAAGGAUGGACUCAAGAGAUUUUGCAGUGGUUUUAUGCCUUAAGGUACACAUGCAUUUAAACAAGAUCUGAUCUCUAGGUUAGGGUAAACUGUUAAGAUUUAAACUUACUCAUAUUACCUUCCACCAUGGGGCUUGCAACCGUCACUUGUGUCUUGAGCAGUUAAAAGAUAGAACGGUCAAGUCAAGCACCAUGUCUCUUGUUCUUUGAUCAACUAUAGCUCUGGAGUUUUUGCAGAUUUUCAAAUAAAACUCAGAGAUUCCUUGUAUGACUCUCUCAAUUCUCUCUUUUGUGGUAUUUCUGGAUCCUUACCAAGGCAGUGAUGAUAUACGCCUUCUCUCAAAGUAUGUAGUAUUUGUGGUAUGAGGCAUAGUGAUAUUGCCUUCUUUCUCACCCUACUCUAAUAAGGUUUGAUAUCUGGAGCUCAAAGGUGGGAGACAGCUAAUACAUACUUACAAGACAUUUAUUGCAUAGUCAAACCAUGGAUCCAGAGAAACAAGUCAAUAAGUCAAAUCAAGAUGUGCCUGUGUGGCGAAUGAAUGGUGUAUGGUGAUGAUGGUGAAAAUAUUGGUGAAAGUCUAAUUCUACUUUUGCUCUUUUGAGGGGAGACAUACCUUUCUUGCACUUUGAAGCUUUUUGAGGGGAAUGAGAUGCUCUAUAUUUUCUUUCUUCUCUAUUUUUUUUCUUUUCUCUCAGGUGGGUAUCUUGUACCCCUAAUUCUACUAUCGGACACUUGUCCAUUUUUACCACUUGCCCCUUUUUAUUUCCUCGUAUUCACUUUUUUUCAGAGCACUCACCCUCCUAGAAUAAUGUAGCAAGUGGUAGUAACCAAAAUAUCUCGAGCAUUUAUUUCACGAGGAACUACAGGGAUAGGAUAAUGUUUUUGGCUAUUCUCUCCUGGAUAGGAGUAGAAUAAUUUUAGGUGAAUCUGGAGAUGAAAAGGAGUGGAUGUAUGUGGAUGCGUACUUCUAGAGUAGAAGCAGCAUGUAUGAGUGAACGUGCAAGUGAAUCUUGAUUUUAACCGCAUGACAAGCUCCUAAGGGUCUACACAGCUUGACCACACUCAAUGCUCAUAAGUAGUAAAAGUAAAUAUGUGGUUCAUAGUCUAAUAAGCAUGUAUAUAUGGCUGUGGUAGGAUUUUAAACUCUCAUCAUACAGGAACUCAUCAUGCAACAUUUUAAAGAUUUUCAAAGAUAAAAUUCUCCAGAAUUCUAGCAUCUCUAGGAACAGAUAAACAGCAGCUCAACCUUCCCAUAUCAUAUCCAUUAACGACUUAGACUUUAGAUCGAGUACGCUUCCCACAAGUUCAGGUUUAGAGCAAAUCUUAAUUCAUAACAGUCAUGCCUAAACUUGAGAGAGAUUUCUAUUUUGAGAACUAGUCAUGGCAGAGCAACUAUUCAUCAUUCCUAUGUGAGAGUUGAUCAUGAGGGUUCAUAGCAAACUUUAUUUAUUUAUUUAUUUAGCAAACUAAGCAUAGAUAUAUAUAUAUAAGCAUAAAAUCUUUAUUUGGGUUUUUAUGAUUAUGCAUCUUUUUAUUAUUUGAGUAAAGUAUAAAUGCGAGUAGAAACACUUAGUUGGAUAAAUGGGGGUGCUCUCCCCCAAGCUGGAUUUUGACGUAAUUUCUUCUGAUGUAGCUAGCAAGUGACGGAGGUGUAUUCGAAUGUCGGCAGCACCCUGACAGUGAUUAGGAUGUCCUCCGUCUGCUAGUCUUCUUUGAUCCUUGAAUUCUGUGGAGCUCAAAUAGACAACAAAGCUUUGUGGAACUGGUUAAGUGUUAGCAUGAAAUCUCUUAGCCGUUAUCAUGUCGAGCUUCCUCUAAUAAAUGUUACUCUCUUUGGUAGGAUCAUAAUUUUAUUUUUAUAUUCUUAUUUUUAUAGGACAGGAAUAUAUUUAUUUUAUUUUUACACCACCACAGUGAAUGUACUUAUGUGUUUUAUGCCACGAACAUACUCACAUGGGGCUUACUAUUUUUAACAUUUUUUUUAUUUUUUCAAUAUAGCAUGAUUAACUAACAAGCCAUUUAAGGAAAGUAAAUAAUUUAAGGGAAAAGGGAAUUCAAAAAUGAUAAAUAUGGAUAACUACCGAUUUUACCUUUCGGUGAGGAUUCAAUGUUUUAAGUCUUCUGAACAAGACUUCUCACCGUGUUCAUUCUUCAGGUGCGUCAUUUGAUUCGGGUGUGGACCUUGAAGUCUGCACCUCUUUAAUACGGUGUCACCCAUGUUCUUCGUUUGCCCAGUAGUUCGAAGUGCGGUGUUGGCAGUAUCUUGCUUAGUGUGUUUGUGCUCGUAGUGUACCUGCUCAUAGAGACAAGGCAGAGAUCACGUGCAUGGGCCGUGUUGGUGGAAAACACCAAUAGAACCAAAAGUGUAUUUGCUCUUCUCUAACCUUAAGCAUAGUGAGCAAGACAAAUUUGAUGGAUAAUAACAUCAUGAGUGUAGAAUUUAAAACAUUUGUCAGAUCAGAUCGCUCAACCUUAUGGAAAGAUAAUCUAUCUAUGUAUAUGUCUUUUCUUUAUAUCUUCCCAAAGAUCGAAUGUUCAACAUUUUAGCUCAUAUGAAUAGGAGUGUGGGAUCAUAGGAACAAAGAUUAAAGGACUAAACAUGCUGAAUCAGUUGGGUUGGUUAAUUUGGAGUUAUAAAUCAUACAUGUUUGUCUCUUUAUUUAUGUGAAACGCUAGAACCAAGGAGAAGCUUAUGAAAGUGAUAGUCACAUAUGUUAAGAUGUUACCUUAAUUGAAGAGUGAUGGUAUAGUAUCACCUUGUGGAAGCUUUUCUUUCUUAGCGGUUGUGCAUCGUGUUUGUGGCACCCUCCAUGGAUCAUCUCUUAUGAGCUACGUCUUCCUUGUGUAAAUUGUUAAACUUAAUGUCUCUCUCUCUUUGUCUCCAAUGUGAGUUUUGUCUCAGGACAUCCCAGGUUGAUAGUGAAAGUUUUCCUACAAGGGUUAGUCCAAGAAAAUAUCCAAUAUCUACUAUAGCAUAAUAUCAGCUCAAAAAUCAACCUAGACACCAUGUCUAAUUUGAUUUAGGAGGGCAUUUUAACCUAAGCACCAUGCUUAAUUUAAAAGAUAAAUGAAACUACUCCAAACCUAGACAUAUACUAAAGCAAAUAAAGGUAGCAUGAGAGCAUUUAUAGAGAUCUACUCAAGUGGAGAUGAAGUAGUGUGAUUAGUAUUUAACAAAUUAAGCAUGUCUCAAAGGUAGGGACAACCAGCAUAGCAACAUGGCAAAGGAUGUAAAGUACUCCCCCAAGCUUGAAUUUUGCAGAAUUCAAGUUUGGAUGAAUUUAAUUGAGUGUUGCAUGAUGAUUGGUUGGAUAUACCUUGUGCUUGUCAUUCAUCCGAUCUUCUUGCUCCAAUCCUGGAAAGGUUAGUGACAAGAAUACCCUGAAGGAAUAUUUUUACAACUAUCCUUAUAUGCUCAAUACACAAGGUAAUGUUGUAAAUAAUUAAAAGCUCAUGUUACGAUCUGAUCAGUGCUUAUUUUAGGACACUAAGCUUGUCCUUGGGAAACCAUCAAUUUAUGUCGGCGAAGUGGUUUCCCUUCCAACGCUGACCUAUAUCAAGAUCAACUCAACAAGAUCUGCAAUAUUUAUUAUAGACAUAUGCAUCGACAACCGCCCUUUUAAAGUUUUUAUAAAUAGAAAGGAAGAGGGGGUUGGAGAUCUCAAAUGUGGUGAUGUUGGAGAGACCAAUAGAUUGGGAAGAUGUUGCAUAUGAGCAUGGAGUAAACGAAGUGGCUAUGAAAUAAAUUCCAUGCUCAUCAAUGUUAUCUUCGUCUCCAAUCUGAAUGUUCGGAGUUUCUCCUGGAUUGGUCUCACCUAUGUCCUCUUCUGUAGUUGGAUAAAUCUCAUCUUCAAAGGGAGUCAAGAACUCACCAUUUGAAAUUGAGCCAAAGUCAGAAUCCAUUAAAGCUUCUUCCUUAUCCAUCCAUUCUAUGCAUUCUAGCCAUUUGGAACUUGUGAUCAGGAAAGGGGAGGUGUCAGAAUUUUCUAUAUGGCUUAGCUCUCCUUCACUUGAUAUGUCAUCCUUGACUUCUUCAUAAUAGGAACCAGGACAUUCUCUAAGAGAACCAUUAUUGCGAGGAUUUGAAUUAUCCCUGCUUGAAGGUCUCUUAUGGAACCAGAAGUCUAAACCAUCAGCAUCUGAAAGAUUUAAGGUCGGAAUUCCUUCCUCCCUUGGAGAAUUUUGGGGUAUUGAUGGUUUAGGAUCGAUAGCUAAAGUUUGGAAUUGAAGUGGUUGUGAUCUGGCUAUCGAAACUUCUUCUUCUUGUCUAGGAACUGGUUCUGUCUCUUUCUCAGGGAUAUAAAAGCUAGGAGACUUUCCGCUCAUUAAAUCAAUCAAAUUCCAAGCUUCACUAGCAGGUAGGUGAUAGAAGGAUCCUCUAGAGGCUGUAUUCAAGGUUUGCUUAUUUUCCCCACUAAGGCCCUCAAAAAAGUGAAUUAGAAUGGAAUAGAAAGCUUUGGGCCAGUGAGAGUAAGGUUAAUAAAGCGGUCCCAUGAUUUCCUAAGAGAUUCUUCUUCCAGUUGUCUAAAAGAAAUAAUCUCACGCCGAAGUUCCACCACUUUGGAGAUUGGAAAAUAUUUAAGAAGAAAACUAUUAUAUAACUCCUUCCAAUCUCCAUGAACACUCCCUACUUUGAGUUUGUACCAAUGUCUAGCUUUUCCCGUUAAAGAGAACGGAAAGAGCUUCCAUUUAAGGGUCUCAUCGGACAUUCCUUCUAUGCGAAGGAGGUCACAGACUCGAUAAAACUCUCUUAGGUGUGUGUAUGGGUUUUCCUCACCUUCUCCUGAGAAAGGUUGUUUUUGAACAAAUUCUAUGUAUACGGGAUCUAUCUCAAAACUAGAUGCUAUGAUAGCCUUUGAAGAUUUUGGUGGUUCGAGAUGUGUGCCCGUAGUUCUAUGAAAUUCAUAGAUAGACAUGUUUGAAUUCAUGAUAGACCAGAGAUCAAGGAUUAGAUAAGAAGAAAGAAUAGAGAGAAUAACUAUGGUUUCUCUACUUCAAAGGGGUAUAUCUAUGUCUGGGACGAAACACGUGAUAAGAGUACACCACAAAGGAUGCUUAUCCAUAGGCCGAUAAACCCUACCCGUCCUGCUAACGAGAGGUGGACUACAGAGGACCAACAUAACUGUCACCUACGCGGCCUACCACAUGAUCCAGCUAGACAGGGGAUAUCCACAAGUAAUCUAGGUCUAAGCACCACGCUUACACCUAUACUACAACUCUAACCUAUAGGGUCCUAUAGAUUAGAAGUACUCAAAAGAGUUGUGAACCAGAACAUACAUGAUUCGUAAUUGCAUAAUGAAUUAGAAGUAGAUUACCAGAGUCAUCCCAUGAGCAAGCUUGAUUAGAGCUUGAUCAUGACGAAAUACAACUGGAGGAAGAACCGACAGGCCGGCCUCUCCUCUAAUCCUCCUUCGCUCUCCAUCUCGCUACUAUCUAGAUCUACUCUAGUUUAGAGAAGAGAGGAGAGCUCUCAUCUCUAAACCCUAGCUUUUGCUCUGUCUAUGAAUAAUGAAUAGGGAUCAAGGGGUGCCUGUUUGGACUCCCCGAAGAGAGUCCUGUUUGGACUCCAAGUCAGGGCGAGCGCCCAAGGAAGGAGGGCGGGCGCCCUGCCUCUAGCCCCGUUCGGCCUCCGCUUCCUUCCCGUGGCUUCUGGAGUCUUCUAGAUGGUACAAAAUUGCGCGGUGCAUUGAUAUCUCUAUGUAAACCCGACGUGUGGGCCUUUCUUCCGUAUUUCCUGAUAACCCCCUGCAGAAAUAGACAAACACCAAAACUUGUGGAAUUCUAUCAGAUAAAACCCUAAGUCUAGGUGUUGGUUGCAUUUGGAUCCUUUUCUUUAUUUAUUUUAUUAUUAAAUUUGAUACUUAAGGACCGUCAACAACAAUCAUAUAUGAUGCACAUUCAAAUGCAACAUACAAGUUUAUGAGCUUGCUACCCCUACUUGUGCGCUUCAAAAUUUUAAUUGAUCCCCUUCUUUUAUCAUGUUACUCCCCCUAUCUUAAAACUUUGGGAAAUUCUCUCCCCCUUUGUGAUCAAUGACCACAAAAGGUGAGCUCAAAUUUUAGAUAGGUUAGUGUGAAACCAUAUGAAGUGAGAUCAUUUUACUAAAUUGGUUCAAUCUAGAUUACUUGCCUAAGAUAUUUAUCUCGGUUUGAUCCAAGGACAAGCUUCUUCACACCUCCAAAUAAGGGUUAUCUUGUACCAUGUUGAGUUAAACACUUAUAGCUCAUAUUCUAGAUCGAACACUAGGAUUGCAAGCACACAAACAUGUCAUAUGCUACCACUAGAUCAAGUCAAGCAUAGAGGCAAUAGUGGUACCAUAUAAGCAACAAAAUCAUUUGAUUUCCAUGAAUGAUCCUAAGACAUGAAUGGAAUGACUAGUGAAAGGAUCAAGAUGCCCAAGAGGGGGGGGUGAAUUGGGCUUCUCUAAAAAUUUAAGCAACCUAUAAGCUCCAAUUCAAACCCUUGUGCCUAGCGUGUCCUAGAGAGCUACCGGAUAAAAGUUUUGCAACCUAGUUCCAAUCCUAUUCUAGCAUGGCAAUUCUAAGAAUGUAAAAGCACAAAGUAAAUGCUAGAAUGUAAAGGAGUAGUGGAAGAAAAGUGCUCGGCGAUGUUUUGCCGAGGUAUCGGAGAGUCGCCACUCUCCACUAGUCCUCGUUGGAGCACCCGCGCAAGGGUCUUGCUCCCCCUUGGUCCGCGCAAGGACCAAUUGCUCUCUACGGGCUGAUUCUUCGACACUCCGUCGCGGUGAAUCGCCCACAACCGCUCACAAGCUUGACACGAGCCACCCACAAGAACUCCGGGCGGUCUUCGUGCCUCAAAUCAGCACCGAACCAUCUAGGUAAUGGCGAUCACCAAGAGUAACAAGCAAAGAACUCUCACUUGGCCCAAACAAGGCUCUAGAGAGUGGUGGAUGCACACUUGACUCUUGGAACUCACUAGAGAAGGAUUCUCACAAGAAAUCACUCAAAUCUCAAUCCUCUCUAGGCUCUUGCAACUCUCUUGCUCCACAACAAGUUUCUCUGAUGUUCAAAUGGGCAAGAGACCUCUCAUGGACGAGGUGGAGGAGUAUAAAUACUAUCCACGAAGUCCAAAGGUCGGCCAACCGUUUUCUACUAAAAACGGGGUCACUGGAUGCUCAUUAUGUUGCACCGGACGCACUGCACCGAGCGUCCGGUGCUCCAUAACGGCUAACUGUACUUGCUUCUGACAUGGCACCGGACGCUAACUUCCAGCGUCCGGUGCACCGUCCGGUGCUCGGGGAAACAUUACAUGCUCCCUGCGCAUGGGACCGGACGCUACCCGGUGCGUCCGGUGCUAGCGUCCGGUGCUCAGGGGAACUUUACAAGCUCCCUGGGUAUGGGACCGGACGCUACCCGGUGCAUCCGGUGCUAGCGUCCGGUGCCUAACCCUAAGCACGGAACUGUUCUAACGGCUAAGGACCUCACCGGACGCACUCACAGAGCGUCCGGUGCCCCUUUGGGCACCCAAACUUCGUCGAAACACGAUCGCUCCAAAACGAAGUUUGUUCCUCUCGAUCUAAGGACUAUCUCUGAGCUGCCUAGUGCUAGGUUUACCAAGUGUGCACCACACCUAAACCUAAAGCCUUGCCUAAGUCAAGCUACUAGAUCAAAGCCCCUCUUAAUAGUACGGUCAAAGGAAAACAAAGUCCUAAACUACUCUAAGCGCCCUUCUUCACCAAAUGGCACUUAGACCUAGUCUAGUCUUGACAAUGUCCAUCCAUCCUUUGAAAACCAAAACGAUUUCCACUAUUAAGUAGGCAUGUACGUCCCUGUCCAUCGAGUACCUAUUUACCAUGACCUUACCUAUGACUUUGCCUCUGCAAAACACACGUUAGUCAUAGUAAUCAACAAUGUUAUUAAUCACCAAAAUCACUAGGGGCCUAGAUGCUCUUUCAAUCUCCCCCUUUUUGGUAAUUGAUGACAAUCCUCGAGUAUGAAAAGAAUUGAGGUUUUUAAAGUGACUUGGUUUCAAUAAGCAUGUUACAAUAAGAGCAACGGGAUUAGACAUGCUUAUAUCAACCAAGUCCAACAUCCUGCAUCCAAAUAUGUGAGAGAUAUACGACAGGAUAUAAACAUAAGGCUCAUAAGUACAUCAGAGUACAACGCGGAAGCAAAGGUAAUAUGAGCCAAAACACAUGACAUUAAGAUAUCACAAUAACCACAAGUCAUGUCUCACAACCAUAGUAUCUCACACAAGUGCAAUGCAUGAAAGUAAACGUGAUGCAUGAUAAAGUAGCACACAUAAAAAGUAUCUCAAAAGAAUAAACUCCUAAACACCCUCUCUAGCUCCCCACCCUCUCUAGCUCCCCCUAACUCCUAACUCUCAUACGCACUCUCUCCCCCUUUGGCAUCAAGCGCCAAAAACCUAAGAAGUCGAUGGAGGAGGUGGAGCUGUGGAGUCCCGUGGCACGGCCUCGAAGCGAGCUGCAUCGUCCGAACUGUCUGCCGUCGAGGCGGAGGAGGUGGAGUGACCCUCUAAAACUGCACGUGCUGGCGACGCGGUCCGGGUCUGCUCUGUAGGUGUGGGAGCUGUCACUGGCUGUGCUGGCUGCUCGAGUCCUGCUGACGAAGCUGGCACGGACUCGGUCGCUGUAGCGGUCGUCUCUGGCACGGUGGAAGACGGUGCAAGCUGCUCGGACGACGCUACAGACGAUGACAGAAGCUCUGUGGUGGUGACUGGCGCUGUAAAGACUGCAGGGGCCUGUAGAGGAGGAGGCGUGGGGUCACCAGUCAGAGCACUGUAGGUGAAACUAAGGUGCGGAUUUGUCUGCGUGUCCCACACGAGCUGUGAUGCUGACGCUGACCGAGGAGUGAAGCCGGAGCGGAGAGGAGUAAACUGAGGUACCUGCUCAAAGCCUGAAGAAAUAGCACCCUGAGAGACCUGGUGCUGUGGCGUCGAGAACGGCUGACUCUGAGCUGGUAGCUGGAGAGGCUGCUGCGACUGGCUCUGAGUCUGAGGUGCUGGAGUAGGCGGCCUGACAGUCGACGUGCCUGGGAGCUGAAUCUGCGGUAGCUGAAUCACGGAGGCAGCCAUGAGAGCGGCCAUCAUCGCUGUCUGCUGGGCCUGGAACGCAAGCUGCUGCUCCUAAAAGGUGAGAAACUGACGCUGGAGCUCAUCCUGCCUGGCCUGCACGACUGCAUUGAUGGCAGCCUGGUCCCUGUCUCUCCUCGCCUGCUCCUCAGUUGCACGGCGCUGAUCUGCCCACAUACCCUCUAAGAUAGCAAGAAGAGCUGGGUCUGAAGCACUAGAAGAUCCCCCUGCCUGGAGGUUGUGAGCUCUAGGAGGGAGGUCGGACACUGGCGGAUGAUAGCUAUCAUCCGAGCUAUCUGAGGCGAAGUCAAACUCUCCCUCUGCCUCUGCAUCUGCGAAAGCCCCAAUGGCUAUGUCCUGCUGCUCCUCUGUCUCCGGUACAGCUGCUGUACUACGAGUGCCCCUAGGAGAAGGUGGGGGCACCGGUCCACGUGGUGCACGAGGAGGAGGUGCAGCUCUGAGGUCGUGGUGUGCUCGCAGCAUCUGCCUAGGGUCGUAGUGAGGGAAGACUGUGUCUGACUCUGUCAACUCCCUCUGCAAGUGAGCUAGCAAGGGAAGGGGUCUAGCACGAAGAAUAAGCAGGGUAAUCCAAUGUGCAUAUGGCAACUGACGCCGUCCCCUGAAGCUCUCUGAGAUGGUGUCCUCAAUCUCUGAGAUGAUCAAAUCCCACAAGUCGAACUCCAUCUGGGAGAUGAGGUGAGCAACUAACCACUACUGGAUGCGAGUGAAUCCAUCUCUGUAACUUGUCCUGGGAAGAAGAGUCUUCCUCAACACAAAGUCGAGGAUCCUAGCUGGUCGUGUCAGAUCUUCCACUGUCCUACUGGAGCCCUCUCCAAACGGCAGACGAAAACAGGGAGCCACGAAGUCAACUGGUGGUAUCUCACCACCAUGAGGAUGACGAGGGGGCUCAACGUUCCCGUAGCACAGCUGGUGAAUCCUGGUGGGAGAGGCUCGCAGUCCAAGCCCCUCUCUAGCCCUCUGAGGUGUCACUCGGUAGUCUGUCCCCGCCAGUGCGUAGUGGAUAUAACUGUGAUUUGGAGAAACCCACACUGACGUGUAGAACUCUCUGACCCACUGCUCACAGUAAGUGCCAGGGAGUGCUAGCAACUCAGGGAGACCGUGGAGGUAGGUGAAGUACUGACGAAUGUCUGCUCCAACCACGUUCCCCAGUAUCUCUAGGUCAAUCACUCUGUGCUCCCUAAACUGUGACUGAGAGCGAACCAGUGCCUCGUAGAUGUCCUCCUAGACUACUGUGUAAAACCUGGCACCGGCUCUGGGAUCCCUGGCAGCUAGAAACCACGUAGGAAACGGAACGAACCGCAGUUGUUGGAUCUCUCUGGCUGACACGAGAGUGAGAUCCCUGUGGAUCCGGACUGGCCUCUGUCAUGAACUGAGUGCCUUUAGCUGGUGUGGCACGAGCAGUGGAGGUAGACUGGCCCUGCGUACCAGUCCGAGGAGUGGCCUGAGUACGAGCGCGAGUCGACCUCCUGAGAGGCUGCUCCUGCUCCUGUCCCUCUGCUGGACCCUCUGCCUGGGCUUCUGUCUUAGUGUCUGGAUCCCCCUGAGCUGAAUCCCUAACCACAAACCUAAUCCUCUGUCCUCCAAUCGUCACGGUGCCUGGAGGGGAUCCAUGGAAUGCCUCUGUCUCAAGAACUGCACGGCGCUGCCAUGGCGUGAGGUCAUCCCCAAUCUUCAGGGCACCUGAACGACCACCCCUCUCGGCUACCUCAGCCGCUGCUGCAACUGCCUCUGUGACCUCUCCAUCUCUAUCACUGGCCUUGCGCUUCUUGGUGGCUAGCUUCUUGCCCUUGCCUUUUUCUACCGCUGAAAGGCGACGGGGAGGAUCACCUCCACCAUCACCCCCUGGGGAACCUCCUGAGCCAGCUGUCGGACCACUGACGUUCUUGGUACGAGCCAUUGCAAAUCAAGCGUCCGACAAACAACUGACUGACAACGGAGAACAACUCGCUGCAGAAAAUAGACAAGAUAGGGUAUAUAUAAGAAAUUAUAACAACUAGAGGUGAGUAAAUCCUAUAGAUCGCAAGAAUAGACGAGAAACGGAAGCAAACAGCUUACGAUCGGAUGCCGGGACACGUUCCAGAAGAGAUGUCGCGAACGAAGACUGCCGGAGACACAAGAACCGACUCCUCAAGGUGCUACAAGGGUAGAACAAAUCGAAUCGUCGUCAAAAACAAUUUGAGCUAUUUAGACAUUGAACCGAACACCUUGAGGGCAAAGGAUUUAGAACUCACCCAAACCCUAACUACCACGCAGGAGAGAAGACACUCCGCGAGAAGAGGGAAGAGAGGAGAUCGCGGAGAGGAUCUGGCGCGAGGAAGGAGCUCCGAGGUCGCGGGGGAUUUGCGAACUGACGGCGGCGGCGGAUCGGCGGGCUAGGGCACGGGCUAAAACGGCGGCGCGCGGUGAGAAGGAAGAAAACUGACCCGAAGCCAGCCUCUGGGCGCGGGCUAUAUGCGCCCACUGCGGGGUCACCGGACGCUCUUAAUGUGGCACCGGACGCGUCGGGUGACCACCGGACUCAUGCGCAGAGAAGGCUGCAAAUUUGCAUCACACCGGACGAUGCGCACCGGACGCUGGCUUUAACGUCCGGUGCUUCAGGUCACGCUAGGUGAGCACCGGACGCACCUCACCAGAUGCUGCAGGGACACUGUUCCUGCGUCCGGUGAGUGCAGUCUGGCACACUCACCGCACCGGACGCACGGAGUCAGCGUCCGGUGCAUCGUCCGGUGCUCCUCUGAGCACUUUUUCAACGAAGCACUACGCCCGACUUUGACCCAACCAAGUUCCAUUUCCAAAAGCACACAAAUAAGCACGAAAUGGAACUGGUAUGAGUGACUUCUCUCAAACCCUCAAUUUUUCACAAAUAUUUAGCCAUAGGCUUAGUAGUUUUUAUGAAAAUAAUUCGAAAAAACACCAAGGAGCAUCGUAUGGCCAUAAAGCUAGGGGUUUGAAUCAUAAUGAGCUUUGAAUGCUCCCCCUAUCUAUGGACGAACACAGCGGAUGCUCAACGAAUAACCGAAAAUAAACGGUCAAGUAACAAGCAUGCAUAUGAUAUGAGUUGUAAUGCAAUACUUGAAGGUAAACUAAUGCUUGUCAAGUUUGAUCCAAGGUUAAGCUUUUUCACACACACAAGGGGGUUAUCUUAACCAUGUUAGACAAGCCCUACAUGCAAGUUGUAUUUUAGUUUUAGUAUGCAUGAUAUGCAAAGGCAAAAGUUAUUUACAAGUUUCAACACACAACUUUUAUCUUUUAGAAAAGUUGGAUAGGUCAAGCACAUUAAGUUCAUUUCUCAACAUACAAAACCUAGCUUCAUCUAGGGGUUUUGUGAAGAUAUCCGCCAAUUGAUUUUCCGUUCCCACAUUCUCUAGGGAUAUGUCACCUUUAGCAACGUGAUCCCUAAGGAAGUGGUGGCGGAUGUCAAUAUGUUUUGUGCGGGUGUGUUGAACCGGGUUAUUUGCAAGUUUUACGGCACUUUCGUUGUCACACAACAAAGGUACUUUGUCUAGUACUACUUCAUAGUCUAGCAAAGUUUGUUUCAUGUAGAGUAUUUGUGCACAACAAGCACCGGCGGCAAUGUAUUCCGCCUCGGCCGUUGACAAGGCAACACUAUUUUGUUUCUUUGACAUCCAAGAGACAAGUGAUCUACCUAGGAAGUGGCACCCUUCGGAUGUGCUUUUUCUAUCAAUCCGGCACCCGACAUAAUCCGAAUCGGAAUAGCCUACAAGUUGGAAUCUUGCACCUUUAGGAUACCACAAACCUAGGCAAGGUGUGUAUUUUAGGUACCUAAGAAUUCUCUUGACCGCAAUCAAGUGAGAUUCCAUAGGCAUUGCUUGAUAUCUAGCGCACAUACACACACUAAACAUGAUAUCGGGCCUAGAUGCGGUGAGGUAGAGUAGACUUCCUAUCAUCGAGCGAUAGAGAGUCUUGUCAAUAGGGUUACCUCCCUCGUCCAAGUCGAGAUGCCCAUUUGAUGCCAUGGGAGUCUUGAUUGGCUUGCAAUCCAUCAUCUUGAACCUCUUGAGAAGAUCUUGAGUGUACUUCUCUUGAGAGAUGAAAACUCCUUCCUUCAUUUGCUUGACUUGAAAUCCUAGGAAGAAGGAUAGCUCGCCAAUCAUGGACAUCUCAAACUCCUUGGACAUCAAAUCACCAAAUUUCUUGCAAAAAUCUUCAUUAGUAGAGCCAAAGAUAAUAUCAUCAACAUAAACUUGGCAAAUGAAGAUUUCCCCAUUCAUUUUCGUGGUGAAGAGUGUUGUGUCAACUUUCCCAAUCUUGAAGCCCUUCUCUAUGAGGAAGUCCCUAAGCCUCUCAUACCAAGCUCUAGGAGCUUGCUUGAGACCAUAGAGUGCCUUGGACAACCGGUAGACAUGCUUGGGGUACCUAGGGUCUUCAAAACCAGGGGGUUGCUCAACAUAGACAAGUUCAUUAAUAUAUCCAUUCAAAAAGGCACUUUUCACAUCCAUUUGAAAUAACUUGAUAUUAUGACUAGAUGCAUAUGCAAGUAGGAUACAGAUUGCUUCAAGUCUUGCCACCGGUGCAAAGGUUUCACCGAAGUCAAGACCUUCCACUUGUGAAAAGCCUUUUGCCACAAGUCUUGCCUUAUUGUGCACCACUUUGCCUUGAUCAUCCUUCUUGUUCCGGAAGACCCACUUUUUUCCAAUCACUCUUGCAUCUUUGGGUCGCUCUUCGAGUGUCCAUACUUGAUUGCGCGAGAAGUUGUUCAACUCCUCUUGCAUGGCCAUGAUCCAAUCCGCAUCACGAAGAGCUUCCUCUAUAGUCUUUGGUUCAUCUUCAAGAGACACAAAAGCGUGAUGUUCAAUAAAUAAAGCAUGUCUAGAACGAGUAGUUACACCACGUGAUGGACUCCCGAUGAUGAGAUCUUGUGAGUGAUCUUGGAGGAGAUGUGAUGUUCUUCUUCGUGCCACUUGAGGGGUUGGUUGGGGAGCAUCAACAUCUUGUGCUUGUGCCACCGCUUGCUCAUGAGUGACUUGAGUGUCUUCAUGAGCAUCUCUCACAUCCUUGUCUUCAUCUUGUGGACCUUGUGAGGUGGAUGGUGGCUCAAUGACCUGCACAUCAUCAUCAUCUUCUUUUGGCUUGAUGUCUCCCACGGGCAUGUUCUUCAUGGCAUCCCUCAAUGGUUCACCACCUACAUCAUCAAGAUUAACACUUGCUCCUUGGGAGCCAUUAGUUUCAUCAAAUUCAACAUCAAAUGUUUCUUCAACCAUGUUUGUGGCAUGGUUAAAAAACCUAUAUGCUUUGGACUUUGAUGAAUAGCCAACCAAGUAGCCAAUGUCACAUCUUCUUUGGAAAUUUCCCAAGUGUUGGCGCUUCUUGUAGAUGUAGCAUUUGCAUCCAAACACUCUAAAGAAUGAGACAUCGGGUUUCUUCCCAUUGAGCAACUCAUAUGGUGUCUUCUCUAGGAACUUGUGGGGAAAGAGCCGGUUUGAAGCAUAGCAUGCUGUGUUGAUUGCCUCGGCCCACAUCUUCUCCGAAGUGUUAUACUCAUCUAGCAUUGUUCUUGCCAAGGUGAUCAAUGUCCGGUUCUUUCUUUCUACAACCCCAUUUUGUUGUGGUGUGUAUGUUGAGGAGAACUCAUGCUUGAUUCCAACUUCAUCACAAUACUCUUCAAUGUUGGUGUUGUCAAACUCUUUGCCAUUGUCACUUCUAAUUUUCUUGAUCUUCACAUCAAAUUGAUUUUGGGCAUUCUUUGCAUACUUCUUGAAUAUUGAUGCAACUUUGGCCUUGUCUUGCAAAAAGAAUGUCCAAGUGUACCGGGAGAAAUCAUCAACUAUGACCAAGCAAUAUUUGUUGCCUCCAAGACUAGCAUAUGUGGUUGGUCCAAAUAGAUCCAUGUGAAGUAGCUCAAGCACUCUUGAAGUAGAGAGAUAGGCUUUUGUUGGAUGAGUGUUUGCAACUUGUUUGCCCGCUUGACAUGCACUACAAAGCUUGUCCUUCUCAAAUGUCACAUCCUUCAAUCCUCUAAUCAAUUCUUUCUUCAUCAACUUCUGGAGUGUGCCCAUUCCAACAUGUGCUAACCUUCUAUGCCACAACCAUCCAAGUGAAGUCUUGGUGAAUAAGCAAGUCUUGAAAUCAACUUCAUCGGAUGAGAAAUCAACUACAUAUAAGUUGUUGUGCCGGAAGCCUUUGAAUAUCACUUCAUUGUCAUCUUCCUUGGUCACAAUUACUUCCUUCUUCUUGAAUGGGCAUUCAAAUCCAAGAUCACAAAGUUGUCCAACCGAGAGCAAGUUGAAACUCAAUGAUUGCACAUAGAGCACAUUGGUGAUGGAGUUGUCAUUUGAUAUAGCAACCUUUCCUAAUCCCUUAACCUUGCCUUUUGAAUUGUCACCAAAUGUGAUCUUCUCUUGGUUGUCAACAUCUUCAUCAAGAGAGGUGAACAUCCGCGGAUCUCCGGUCAUAUGUUGAGUGCAACCACUAUCAAUUACCCAAUGUGAUCCACCGGUCUUGUAGUUCACCUACACACAAGAGAUCAAGCUUGAGAUUUAGGGACCCACAUUUGCUUAGGGCCCUUGACCUUCUCUACUAGUUGCUUUGGCACCCAAAUCUUCUUUGGCCUUUGCUUGUUGGGCGGCCCCAUGAAGCUAACCUUGACCUUGCCACACUUGUCUUUUCUUACAAUGUAGUGAGCAUUGAAGGCAAAUGGUCUUACAUGCUUGGGCAAGGGAGGUGGUAGUGGUGCCUUACACUCAUGAGCAAAGUGUCCUUCUUGACCACAUUCAAAGCAUCUCUUUGGCUUUGGCUUACUUGGUUGAUCAUGAGUGGCUAGAGACUUGAUGAGCUUUGUUUGAUAAGCCUUGUAGCCAAUCCCACUCUUGUCCAUCUUCAUGACGGUGUUCAUGAAAAGCUCACUUUGAAGGUCUUUCCCUUUUGUGAACUUUGCUAACCCCAUGGUUAGGUAUUCCUUCUCUUUCUUGAGCUUGUUGUUCACUUGAGUUAGAUUCUUGAUGAUUGGGUCAUUGUUGCUAGCUAACUCAUCCAAGAUGAAUGUCUCAUCUUCUUCAUGCUUGUCAUACAUCAAACCAAGCUUGAGAUAUUGAUUUUCUUCCUUGAGCAACUUGUUCUCAUAUGCAAGCUUCUUGUCUUGAUCAAGUGACUCAAUCACAACGGUCUUGUGCUUGGCUUGUUCUUGCAACUCUUUCUUGAGCAUAACAAUUUCAUCCUUGAGCUUGAUAGUGUCCUCAUAGCUCUCGGGCACUACCACUUUCUUGCCCUUGCAAUCAAAACAUUUGCUUGUGCUCUCCACAAAUAAGUCAUCACAAGAUGUGGCUACAUCAAGCUUAGCAACAUUGUUAGUAGCAACAUGUGUUUCAAUUGCAAGUUCAUAAGCAAUCUCAAGGUUGUCAUAGUUUGCUUUUAGAGUUGUUAACUCUUCUUUCAUUGCUCUAUAUCUAGUGAUAAGCUCAUCAUGAACACUCUCAAGUUUAUCAUGUUUUUCUUUGAGCUCUUUUAGAGAGAGUUUGAGCUCCUUGAGCUUAGUGGUCAUGAUCUCAUUUUGAUCUCUAAGCUCAUCACUAGACUUAAGCUUUGCUAGAAGUGUGUCAUUUUCAAGUUCAAGCUUUUCAUUUUCACUUCUAGUUUUUCUUAUGACUUUUCUGUACUUGUUAAGCAAUUUUACAAGUUCAUCAUAAGAAGGUGAUUCAUAUUCACUAUCACUUUCACCACUCUCAUCCUCAAUUUGUACCUUCUGGUCACCCUUAGCCAUGAGGCAUAGGUGUGUAGAGGAUGUAGAUGGUGGUGAGGAUGAUGGUGAUGGAGCAUCGAUGGCAAUGGCGGCAACCUUCUCAUCAUCACUCUCAUUGCCGGAGGAGUCGUCACUUGAGCUCUCAAUGUCGGUGAGCCAAUCACCAACAAUGUAAGCCUUGCCAUUCUUCUUCUUGUAGUGCUCCUUCUUCUUUCCACCUUUCUUCUUGUAUUGCUUCUUCUCAUUCUUGUCAUCAUCACUUGAGUCAUCUUGCUCUUUGUUCUUCUUCUUGUAUUUGUCCUUCUUGGGCUUUGGACAUUGGUGAGCAAGAUGGCCAAGUUCACCACAGUUGUAGCAAUCCAUCUCGGAGAUGGGCUUUCUUUUGCUACUUGUGAAGAACUUCUUCUUCUUGGAGUCAAAGUUGACUCCAUUCUUGUUGAGCUUCUUCAACAUCUUCGUUGUUCUUCUCACCAUGAGGGCAAUAGAUACAUCAUCAUCACUUGAAGUUGAUGACUCAACUUCAUUCUUCUUAGCCUUGCCCUUGUGAGAAGCCUUGAGAGCCAAGUCCUUCUUCUCUUUCUUGGCCGAUGAGGAGCCAUCUUGGGGGUUCAUGUGCAUGUACAUCUCAUGAGCAUUGAUCUUUCCCAAUAUGGCGGUUGGUGUAGCGGUGGAAAGAUCGCCUUGAUGAAGCACCGUUACUAUGUGCCCAUAUUUUUCAAUGGGAAGCACACAUAGUAUUUUCCUUGCUACAUCCGCCGCACUCAUUUGAGUGAGUCCAAGUCGAUUUAGCUCCUCUACAAUGACAUUCAAGCGAGAAUACAUUUCGUUAGCAUUUUCUUUGGGAAGCAUUUCAAAUGUAUUAAGCUUGUUCAUCAGUGAUAGCGUUCCUCGUGUUCACUCUUUGAUCCCUCAUGGAGCGCACAAAGUUCCUUCCAAAGAGCAUUGGCGGUUUUGUGGCUCCGAAUGCGGUUGAACACCUCUUUGCAAAGGCCUCUAAAGAUGUGGUUUUUGGCCUUCGCAUUCCACUUUUCGUUUUCUUGCUCUUGUGGAGUAAGAGCGGUGGCUCUUCCCGGAGGGGCAAACCCUUCGAUUGCGGCUUUUAGGCACUUUAUGUCACAUGCCUCAAGGUAUGACUCCAUCCGUAUUUUCCAAUACGGGAAGUCAUCCCCAUCGAACAUGGGUGGCGGUCCAUCCCCGUUAGACAUCUUUUCUCUAGGCGGUGAAGCCUAAAUAGCACUAGGCUCCGAUACCAAUUGAAAGGAUCAAGAUGCCCAAGAGGGGGGGUGAAUUGGGCUUCUCUAAAAAUUUAAGCAACCUAUAAGCUCCAAUUCAACCCCUUGUGCCUAGAGUGUCCUAGAGAGCUACCGGAUGAAACUUUUGCAACCUAGUUCCAAUCCUAUUCUAGCAUGGCAAUUCUAAGAAUGUAAAAGCACAAAGUAAAUGAUAGAAUGUAAAGUAGUAGUGGAAGAAAAGUGCUCGGCGAUAUUUUGCCGAGGUAUCGGAGAGUCGCCACUCUCCACUAGUCCUCGUUGGAGCACUCGUGCAAGGGUCUUGCUCCCCCUUGGUUCGUGCAAGGACCAAGUGCUCUCUACGGGCUGAUUCUUCGACACUCUGUCGCGGUGAAUUGCCCACGACCGCUCACAAGCUUGACACGAGCCACCCACAAGAACUCCGGGCGGUCUUCGUGCCUCCAAUCACCACCGAACCGUCUAGGUGAUGGCGAUCACCAAGAGUAACAAGCAAAGAACUCUCACUUGGCCCAAAUAAGGCUCUAGAGAGUGGUGGAUGCACACUUGACUCUUAGAAUUCACUAGAGAAGGAUUCUCAUAAGAAAUCACUCAAAUCUCAAUCCUCUCUAGGCUCUUGCAACUCUCUUGCUCCACAACAAGUUUCUCUGAUGUUCAAAUGGGCAAGAGACCUCUCAUGGACGAGGUGGAGGAGUAUAAAUACUAUCCACGAAGUCCAAAGGUCGGCCAACCGUUUUCUACUGAAAACGGGGUCACCGGACGCUCAUUAUGUUGCACCAGACGCACUGCACCGAGCGUCCGGUGCUCCAUAAUGGCUAACUGUACUUGCUUCUGACAUGGCACCGGACGCUAACUUCCAGCGUCCCGUGCACCGUCCGGUGCUCGGGGAAACAUUACAUGCUCCCUGCGCAUGGGACCGGACGCUACCCGGUGCGUCCGGUGCUAGCGUCUGGUGCUCAGGGGAACUUUACAAGCUCCCUGGGUAUGGGACUGGACGCUACCCGGUGCGUCCGGUGCCUAACCCUAAGCACGGAACUGUUCUAACGGCUAAGGACCUCACCGGACGCACUCACAGAGCGUCCGGUGCAGCGUCCGGUGCCCCUUUGGGCACCCAAACUUCGUCGAAACGCGAUCGCUCCAAAACAAAGUUUGUUCCUCUCGAUCUAAGGACUAUCUCUGAGCUGCCUAGUGCUAGGUUUACCAAGUGUGCACCACACCUAAACCUAAAGCCUUGCCUAAGUCAAGCUACUAGAUCAAAGCCCCUCUUAAUAGUACGGUCAAAGGAAAACAAAGUCCUAAACUACUCUAAGCGCCCUUCUUCACCAAAGGGCACUUAGACAUAGUCUAGUCUUGACAAUGUCCAUCCAUCCUUUGAAAACCGAAACGAUUUCCACUAUUAAGUAGGCAUGUACGUCCCUGUCCAUCGAGUACCUAUUUACCAUGACCUUACCUAUGACUUUGCCUCUGCAAAACACACGUUAGUCAUAGUAAUCAACAAUGUUAUUAAUCACCGAAAUCACUAGGGGCCUAGAUGCUCUUUCAACUAGAUGCACUAAGCAAGUCCUUAGCAUAGGAUGAAUGACAUGUCAAAUAAUUUUACCUUGCUUUGCUCGAAGGAGAGGCAUGUCAUAUAGUAGGGGUGCAUCAACACAUGUUUGAGAAGUCAAGUAUGUUCAAUUCAUUCCUUAGCUUGCAAAACCUCUUCUCAUCAAGUGGCUUGGUGAAUAUAUCGGCAAGUUGAUCAUUGGUGCCUAUACUCUCCAUGCAAAUGUCCCCUUUUUGUUGGUGAUCUCUUAUGAAAUGAUGGCGGACAUCUAUAUGCUAAGUUCUUGAGUGUUGAACCGGAUUGUUGGUGAGCUUCAUGUCACUUUCAUUGUCACAUAGCAAUGGCGCUUGCUUGAAGUUGAUUUCAAAGUCCUUCAAAGUUGCCUUCAUCCAUAGGAUUUGUGCACAACAACUACCGGCCGCAAUGUACUCCGCUUCGGCGAUUGAUAGUGCAACAUUAUUUUGCUUCUUGGAUGACCAUGAGACAAGUGAUCUACCCAGUAGUUGACAUGUGCCUGAUGUGCUUCUUCUCUCAACUUUGCAUCCCGCAUAGUCCGAGUCGGAAUAUCCAACAAGUUCAAAUUUUGGACCUUUGGGAUACCACAAACCAACAUUUUCUGUAUGCUUCAAGUACCUCAAUAUUCUCUUUGUUGUCUUCAAAUGACUUUCUCUUGGUGAGGCUUUGAAUCUUGCACACAUGCAUACACUAAACAUGACAUCCGGUCUUGAUGCGGUCACAUAGAGUAGGCUUCCAAUCAUAGACCGAUACAACUUUUGAUCUACCAUAUUUCCACUUGUAUCACUAUCUAGGCUUCCAUUUAUGCCCAUUGGAGUGCUAAUUGAUUUUACAUCAUUCAUACCAAACUUCUCGAGCAUGUCUUUUAUGUACUUGCCUUGACUCACAAAUGUGUCAAUCUUCAAUUGCUUGAUUUGAAGACCAAGGAAGUAACUAAGUUCUCCAAUCAUUGACAUCUCAAACUCAUUAGCCAUCAUGUUGCCAAACUCUUCACAAAAUUCUUGGUUGGUUGAUACAAAUAUGAUAUCAUCAACAUAUAUUUGCAACACAAACAAGUCCUUGCCAAUUGUUGGCAUUUCUUAACGUCAUCACUAAGAACAGGGUUUAAUCCGUCCUCAGCAACGAUGUCAGAAAUGUCGUGAUAACACUUACUAAUACAAUCACCAAGAUUAGAGUAUAAAUCUAUCCUAAGCAACGGUGCCAGAAAUGCUUGUUAGCGUUUCUUAGCGUCGCUACCUAGAAUAGGGUUCUGCUCUACUCACAAUAAUGACAUUGGCAGUGUUAUAUUGGCAGAUCCGUAGCAUCACCACCUUGAAUAGGAAGCUAGAUCUACCUUCCUGAUAACGGCGCCUUGUUACCGUUAGGGUAGGGUUCCAGUUCUUAAUCAUGGUAGUGGCACUAGGAUUGCCAUGUUGGUAUUCCUUAACAAGUCACUAGCUCGGCGCAUGUCUAGCAACAGUGUUAAGUAUAUACCGAGGUGAUAGUUCCUUAGGUUUGGAGUUUAAGUACCGUAAGCGGACGAGAAUUAUCGUGUAGCAUUUCGACCCGGGGAUUUACCGAGUGUCGUAUUUAUAGGUUCGCUCUAAGGAAGGCUUAAUAUGUUAAGGAUUCUAAGAUAAGCAUAGAUCAAAGUAAUUAUGAUAGCAAUAAUGGAAUCAAGGGUCAUAGCAGGUGAUAAACAUUUAUAUGUAGAAUAGUGAUCCAUCACAAUCUAGGCAUGGCAUAUGGGCUAAGGAAUAAAAAGAGACUAAAAGAAUGAAUUGAAUCAAAGAAUAAACAAACAACCUAUUGGAGCAGGUGUGGUCCUAGAUACAGAUCAUGUCAUAGAACAAGUUAAUCAUGUAAUUAUACUACUUAGAUCUAGUCCUAUGUUUAGAUGGUUUGGGAGGUUACGCGAGUACUGGUCUGCCAGCAACCUCCGCAACUAUUUAGACUCCUACACCCUAGCCGAACGUGGGGGAAUGCCAAGGACGGACAGGGUUGUCACCACCUGCCGCCAUCCCCUCAACCGUGGACUAGGACAAUGCAUUUACCCGGCCUUUACACCCAAGCACCAUGCUUACAUGCAAAGAACCUACUCGGACUCCCUCGGGUCCCCGACCCUACGGAUUGACAAGUAAGAAGCCCGAGCCUACUCAAAAGAGCAUGAUAAACCCCCAUCUUCACACAAAGCUAUUUCUAGGCAAUUAAUUAACAUGAAGCAAUUAGACUAAAGUCCUAAGUGAGAAUAAUACAACAUACACUUAGCACUAGUUCAUAUAAUACACUACUAGCCCUAGGGUAGCAUUAUACUAUAAGAAAUAUAUACUAAAAUGUAUGUCAUAUCAUUUUCACUAGAACUAUAUUCUAGUUCAUACGCUAGCAUCAUAAAAUAGGGCCUAUGAUCUGUGUCAUAUACCAUAGCAUAAGAACUAUACUCUAGUUCAUAUGAAGAACUAUAUUGGACAUGAUAAGGCAUGGACUUGGAGUAAAGAUAUUGUUUAUUCAUACCCAAGUUUCUCUCCAAGGAGCCAAGCCCUCCUUGAUAGCUCACCCAACUCUCUCUAAAAGCUAAAAGGAAAAAAACUAAGAAGAGGUAGUGCCCAAAUGCCUUGAAGGUGGAGUGUUGAUUGUGAAUGUGAUGAGAUGAAUGGAGCCUCCCUCUCCCCCUCCUUAAAUAGAUGGGGAAGGUCGGUUCCCCAGGGUGUAAACUGCAAUUUUCAGGCGGGGACUGCGGGAGGAUAGGCUCAGCACCGCCUCUGCGAAAGGCGGUGCCGAGAUGGGCUGGGUCAGGGUCGGCCGACCCUAGGGGGCAGCCGCCCCCUGGUGGGCCCCGCUGGCCCCGGCCCGAAGCCCAUUGCCUUCCGCUCGGGCCCCUGAGUCCAGAUCCACUUGCAAAUUGAUGCACUUCUAUAUUCGGCUUUUGGGUACUUGUUUAUUUGCGCAUUUUUUUGACGUGUCGGAUUGCGCCUUUUUAUUUGCUUUCCACCUGUAUGCCUGUAUAUGAUCUGCAAAACACAACUUGCACUACAUGUGGAACUUGGUAAGCAUUUAAUAAGUAUAUGUGAGUAAAAUACAUGCUUUUCUUCCUUUGCAUGGACUAUGUUGGCGGGGUAAAUAUGUCAUUAAGAACCGCCAACACCAAUCUUCUUGGUGAAGAGAGAGGUGUCAACCUUGCCCAUCUUGAAACCUUUAGAGAGUAAGAAAUCUCUCAAUCUCUCAUACCAUGCUCUUGGUGCUUGCUUCAAACCAUACAAUGCCUUUCUUAGCUUGUAAACAUGGUUGGGUUUCUUGUCAUCUUCAAAACUGGGAGGUUGCUCAACAUAUACUUCUUCAUUGAUAUAACCAUUGAGAAAUGCACUUUUCACAUCCAUUUGAUAUAACUUGAUGUUAUGAGCACAAGCAUAGGCUAACAAGAUUCUAAUUGCUUCUAAUCUUGCAACUGUGGCAUAUGUUUCACCAAAGUCAAGACCUUCAACUUGAGUAUAGCCUUGUGCUACCAAUCUUGCUUUGUUCCUUACAACUAUCCCAUCUUGAUCUUGCUUGUUGCGAAAGACCCAUCUAGUACCAAUGACAUUGUGAUCACCAGGCCUCUCAACUAAUUCCCAUACUUGAUUUCUCUUGAAGUUGUUAAGCUCUUCAUGCAUAGCAUUGACCCAAUCAACAUCUCUCAAUGCUUGAUCAAUCUUCUUUGGCUCAAUGUGAGACACAAAGGAGAAAUGCUCACAAAAUGAUGCUAAUCUUGAUCUAGUUUGCACUCCUCUUUGAAUGUCACCUAUGAUAUGAUCCAAUGGAUGAUCUCUUGCAAUAUUUGUUGGUUGGAGUAUUUGCACUUGAUUGCUUGCACUUGGUUGAUCAUGAGAUGAUGUACUAGCUUGUUGAUCUUGCACUUGUGUACCACUAGUACUAACUUGAUUUUGAUCAUGAGAACCACUAGCUUGCACAUUAGAGGUAGGAAGCACUUGAUCUUUGUCAUCUUCAACAUCAAUCACCUAUCUAGGCCUUAAAUCACCAAUGUCCAUGUUCUUCAUUGCAUCGGCCAAUUGAGUGCCUCUCACAUCAUCUAGAUUCUCAUCUUCCUCUUGAGAACCAUUGGUUUCAUCAAACUCAACAUCAUGUACCUCUUCAAGAGUACCACUAGCCAAAUUCCAAACUCUAUAAGCUUUGCUAGUAGUUGAGUAACCAAGCAAGAAACCUUCAUCACAUUUCUUUUCAAAUUUACUCAAUCUAGUGCCUUUCUUCAAUAUGUAGCAUUUGCAACCAAAAACCCGAAAGUAUGCAAUGUUGGGUUUUCUUCCAUUCAAGAGCUCAUAUGGUGUCUUCUCCAUCAUUGGGUGACAAUAGAGUCAGUUGCUAUAGUAGCAAGCCGUGUUGAUUGCUUCGGCCCAAGAAGAAUGACUCACAUUGUAUUCACUCAACAUUGAUCUUGCCAUGUCAAUCAAGGUUUUAUUCUUCCUUUCAACAAGACCAUUUGAUGGUGGAGUGUACUUGGCCGAGAAUUGAUGCCUAAUGCCAAAUUCAUCACAAAGCUCAUCAACUCUUGUAUUCUUGAAUUCACUUCCAUUGUCACUUCUCACUUUCUUGAUGGUUGUUUCAAACUCAUUGUGUAUUCUCUUGACAAAUGAUUUGAAGGUUGCAAAAGCAUCACUCUUGUCACUAAGAAAGAAUACCCAAGUAUAUCUUGUGAAAUCAUCCACUAUCACAAAUCCAUAUUUAUUUCCACCAAUGCUUGUGUAUGUGGUUGGUCCAAAUAGAUCCAUGUGCAACAACUCAAAUGCCUUGCAUGUACUCAUGAUGCUCUUCUUUGGAUGAGUGUUGCCAACUUGCUUUCCGGCUUGACAUGCACUACAAAGCUUGUUUUUCUCAAAUGUGACAUCUUUCAAGCCUCUAACAAGAUCAUGCUUGACUAACUUGUUUAAUUAUUUCAUUCCAACAUGACCAAUCCUUCUAUGCCAUAACCAACCCAUGCUAGAUUUAGUUAGCAAGCAUGUUGACAAUUGAGCUUCACUAGCAUUGAAAUCAACCAAGUAUAGAUUCUCAUAUCUAAAGCCUUUGAAUAUCAAGUUAGAGCCAUCUACACUUAUGAUUUCUACAUCAUCAACUCCAAAUAUGCAUUUGAAUCCAAGAUCACAAAGUUGAGCUACGGAUAGCCAAUUGAAGUUCAAGCUCUCUUCUAGUAGCACAUUGGAAAUGCUCAAGUCAUUGGAUAUAGCAAUUUUACCGAUCCCUUUGACCUUGCCUUUGCCAUUGUCACCAAAUGUGAUACUAUCAACACCAUUGUCAUCAUUCGGAUUGAUUGAAUUGAACAUUCUUGAAUCAUCGGUCAUGUAUUGUGUGCACCCACUAUCAAGCACCCAAUGACUUCCUCUGGCUUUAUAGUUUACCUACAAAACAAAUCAAUGUUUCUUAGGUACCCAUACUUGUUUGGGUCCUUGGAGGUUAGUGACUAAGCUUUUUGGUACCCAAAUGGCCUUCUUCUUUGGACCCACAAUUGGUGUACCAACAAACUUAGCAUGCACACCCUUCUCACCCUUGGUAAGCACAUAACAAGAAUCAAAAGGAAUGUAAGAAGCAUUAGCAAUUUUCUUGUUCUUGUUCAUUUUAUUGCAAUUAAGCUCUAGGUGCCCAACUUGCUUGCAUUUGUUGCAAUACCGACCAUUGCUCUUCACAAAGCUAGGCUUGUGAGUUGCAAAGGCUUUCUUGCCCUUCUUGGGGUAUAGCCUAAUCCCUCUUUGUUGAGAGAAAACCUUUGGCUACCCAAGCACUUUAGCAAGCGGGCCUCACCACCAUAGGCCUUGCCUAGGCCGUGAGUGAGCUCAUCCACCUCUCUCUUGAGUCUCAUUCUCAACCUUUAGUGAAGCAUCACAAGUGACACUAACACUAGAAGUAGAGGUAGAGAUAGUGGUGGUGGAUGAAGACCUAAAAGAAGAGUUAGUGGCAACAACAAUAGGUGGGUUGGGUGAUUCUUUAAUUAAGUCACAUGUUGUGCCCACAUCACAUGAUACAACAACCUUUUCUUUGUUCUCUUCUAACAACAAGGAGUGAGCUUUCUCAAGCUUGGUGUGAGCCUUGCCAAGCUUCUCAUGGGCUUCCACUAGCCUCUCAUGAUUAGCAUUGAGCUCAUCAAAGGAUUGCUCAAGAGCUUUUAACUUCUUGGCCAAUUCUUUGCACUUCUUGUUAUUAGAUUGAAUGAGAGAAGCGGCUUGUUCUAACAUGUCCAUGAGUUGUUCAUUAGUGAAUUCAUUUUCAUCAUCACUAUCACUAUCAUGUUCAUGUUCACUUUCACUUUCACUCUCAUCAUAUUGUACCUUGUGGCCCUUGGCCAUGAAGCAUGACGGAGUGUCAAAAAGUGAUGGCUUGUUGAUAGCAAUGCUUGCAAGCGCCUUCUUCUUGGAUGCCUUGUCAUCAUCACUAGAAUCAUCAUCCGAAGAAGCAUCACUAUCCCAUGUCACAACAUAGGAUCCACCCUUCUUCUUCUUCUUGAAGACCAUCUUCUUCUCUUUCUUUUCUUUCUUCUCCUUCUUUUUUUUCUUGUCAUGCUCAUCAUUGUCAGUAUUGUAAGGACAAUCCGCCAGAAUAUGAUCGGGGCUCUUGCACUUGUAGCAUAGCCUCACAUGCUCCUUAUUCUUGAAGUGAUCUCUUCUCUUUCUUGUGUGAUAGCCCUUCUUCUUCAUCAUCUUGCCAAACUUGCGGACGAAGAGUGCUAGUGCUUCAUCAUCACUAUCAUCAUUGGAGCACUCCUCAUCACUUGAUUCUUCCUUCUUGGCCUUGCCCUUGUUCUUGCUCUUGGAUGAAGAGCUAGCUUUGAAUGCUACACUCUUCUUCUUCUUCUUGUCGUCAUCAUCCUUCUUCAUGAUCUCAUCAUCAUCGUUGUCAUUGUAUUGAUCUUCGGUCAUGACAUCUCCAAGUACCUCAUUGGGAGAUACACCCAUCAAUCCACCUCUAAAGAUGAUUGUUCUCAAUGUCUUGAACCUCUUGGGCAAGCACAUCAAGAACUUGUGAAUAAAGUCCUCAUCCUUCACUUUCUCACCUAGGCCCUUGAGAUCAUUGAUGAUGACUUGGAGCCAAUAGAACAUCUCCGGUAUGGACUCAUCAUCCUUCAUCUUGAAGUUGGAUAGCUUGUCCUUGAGCAUAUACAACUUGGCACUUUUUACCGUUGUAGUGCCCUCAUAUGUUUCUUCUAGCCUUGUCCAUACUUCACUAGCCUUCUCAAGAUUUUUGACUUGUUCAAACACCUUUGAAUCAAUGCCAUUAUAGAUUGUGUUGAGAGCCAUAGUAUUGCAUUGCUUGUUGGCUCUCUCAUUGUCAGUGGGGUCCUCUGUAGUCCACCUCUCGUUAGCAGGACGGGUAGGGUUUAUCGGCCUAAGGAUAAGCAUCCUUUGUGGUGUACUCUUAUCACGUGGUUCGUCCCAGACAUAGACAUACCCCUUUGAAGUAGAGAAACCAUAGUUAUCCUCUCUAUUCUACUACCAUCGCCCAUAUACUAGAAUUGCUCUAUUCUCUAUUCCCAUAUUAUCACUCACUGUUAUCUUACCUUUAAUAUUGUUCUUAUUCGAUUCUACCAUCUUUCCUAUUUACACCUAUUUACUUAUCUUUGUUAAGUUAGAGCGUAGAUCAGUUCUCCCGUUUCCUUGUGGAUACGAUAAAACCUUUAACCGGGUAAAAGAUAUAACGGUAUCCGUGCGCUUGCGGAUUAUCUGUGUGCGUAUAAAUACCAUAGUACACUCUAGUGCCAUGCUGGGGAUGACAACCUAGUAUUCAAGUGGUGUUAGCAAGUGUCAACAAGCAUUUUUGGCGCCGUUGCCGGGGAAACGGUUGCGGAGUUGACUAUAAACUAGCUUAAUCAUUUUCUAAAAAAUAAAAAAUAUAUAUAUAUAUACUUUUCCUUUUAUCUUUUGCCUUAUCUCUGCUAUUCUUUCUUCUUAUCUAAUCCUUGAUCUCUGGUCUAUCAUGAAUUCGAACAUGUCUAUCUAUGAAUUUCAUAGACCUACGGGCACACAUCUCGAACCACCAAAAUCUUCAAAGCCUAUCAUAGCAUCUAGUUUUGAGAUAGACCCCGAAUACAUAGAAUUUGUUCAAAAACAACCUUUCUCAGGAGAAGGUACCCAUACACACACCUAAGAGAGUUUUAUCGAGUCUAUGACCUCCUUCGCAUAGAAGGCAUGUCCGUUGAGACCCUUAAAUGGAAGCUCUUUCCGUUCUCUUUAACAGGAAAAACUAGACAUUGGUACAAACUCAAAGUAGGGAGUGUUCAUGGAGAUUGGAAGGAGUUAUAUAGUAGUUUUCUUUCUAAAUAUUUUCCAAUCUCCAAAGUGGUGGAACUUCGGCGUGAGAUUCUUUCUUUUAGACAACUGGAAGAAGAAUCUCUUGGCAAAUCAUGGGACCGCUUUAUUAACCUUACUCUCACUGGCCCAAAGCUUUCUAUUCCAAAAGAAGUUCUUCUAAUUCACUUUUUUGAGGGCCUUAGUAGGAAAAAUAAGCAAACCCUUCCUGCGGCCUCUGGAGGAUCUUUCCACCACCUAUCCGCUAGUGAAGCUUGGAAUUUGAUUGAUUUAAUGAGCGGAAAGUCUCCUAGCUUUUAUAUCCCUGAGAAAGAGACAGAACUAGUUCCUAGACAAGAAGAAGAAGUUUCAAUAGCCAGAUCACAACCACUUCAAUCCCAAACUUUAGCUAUCGAUCCUAAACCAUCAAUACCCCAAAAUUCACCAAGGGAGGAAGCAAUUCCGACUUUAAAUCUUUCAGAUACUGAUGGUUUAGACUUCUGGUUCCACAAGAGACCUUCAAGUAGGGAUAAUUCAAAUCCUUGCAAUAAUGGUUCUCUUAGAGAAUGUCCUGGUUCCUAUUAUGAAGAAGUCGAGGAUGACAUAUCAAGUGAAGGAGAGCUAAACCAUAUAGAAGAUUCUAUCUGCUCAACUUCCAUGUUCACAAAUUCUAAAUCCAUCCUUGACCUUAGAGAUCCCUCUUAUCCCUCUUCUUUUCAGUCUCAUGAUGAUCCUAGCAAUUCACCAAGACGACCAAACCAUAGGAGUCAUGAAGACCAUAAGGAUGGCAUGUCAAGUAAUGCCAUAGAAGGAGAGCUAAGCCAUAGAGAAGAUUCUAUCAGCUCCCCUAUCUUGGUCACAAGUUCUAAAUGGCUAGAAUGCGUAGAAUGGAUGGAUAAGGAAGAAGCCUUAAUGGAUUCUGACUUUGGCUCAAUUUCAAAUGGUGAGUUCUUGACUCCCUUUGAAGAUGAGAUUCAUCCAACUAUAGAAGAGGACAUAAGUGAGACCAAUCCAGGAGAAACUCCGAACAUUCAGAUUGGAGACGAAGAUAACAUUAAUGAGCAUGGAAUUUAUUUCAUAGCCACUUCGUUCACUCUAUGCUCAUAUGCAACAUCUUCCCAAUUUAUUGGUCUCUCCAACAUCACCACAUUUGAGAUCUCCAACCCCCUCUUCUUUUCUAUUUACAAAAACUUUAAAAGGGCGGUUGUCGAUGCAUAUGUCUAUAAUAAAUAUUGCAGAUCUCGUUGAGUUGAUCUUGAUAUAGGUCAGCGUUGGAAGGGAAACCACUUCGCUGACAUAAAUUGAUGGUUUCCCAAGGUCAAGCUUAGUGUCCUAAAAUAAGCACUGAUCAGAUCGUAACUUGAGCGUUUAAUUAUUUACAACAUUACCUUGUGUAUUGAGCAUGUAAGGAUAACUCUAAAAAUAUUCCCUUGGGUAUUCUUGUCACUAACCUUUCUAGGAUUGAGCAAGAAGAUCGGACGAAUGACAAGCAAGUACAAGGUAUGUCCAACCAAUCAUCAUACAACAUUGAAUUAAAUCCAAACUUGAAUUUUGCAAAAUUCAAGCUUGGGGGAGUAAUUUACAUAAAAACAUCCUUUGCCAUGUUGCUAUGUUGGUUGUCCCUACCUUUGAGACAUGCUCAAUUUGUUAAAUACUAAUCACACUACUUCAUCUCCACUUGAGUAGAUCUCUAGAAAUGCUCUCAUGCUACCUUUAUUUGCUUUAGUAUAUGUCUAGGUUUGGAGUAGAUUCAUUUAUCUCUUAAAUAAGCAUGGUGCUUAGUUUAGGAAUGAUGAUCUUAGUUCCAAGGGAUUUUAAAUUAAGCAUGGUGCUUAGGUUAAAAUGCCCUCCUAAAUUAAAUUAGACAUGGUGUCUAGGUUGAUUUUUGAGCCGAUAGUAUGCUAUAGUAGAUAUUAGAUAUUUUGUUGGACUAACCCCUGCAGGAAAACUUUCAAUAUUGACCUACGAAGUCCUGAGAUAAACUCACAUCAGAGACAAAGAGAUAGACACAUGAAGUUUAACAAUUUACACAAGGAAGACGUAGCUCAUAAGAGGUGAUCCAUGGAGGGUGCCACAAACACGAUGCACAACCACUAAGAAAGGAAAGCUUCCACAAGGUGAUACUGUACCAUCACUCUUCAAUUAAGGUAACAUCUUAAGAUAUCUGACUAUCACUUUUAUAAGCUUCUCCUUGGUUCUGGCGUUCACAUAAAUAAAGAGACAAACAUGUAUGAUUUAUAACUCCAAAUUAACCAACCCAACUGAUUUAGCAUGUUUAGUCCUUUAAUCUUUGUUCCUAGUACUACCUCCAUGAUCCCACACUCCUAAUCAUAUGAGGUAAAAGGUUACACAUUCAAUCUUUGAGAGAUAUAAACAAAAAGACAUAUACAUAGCUAGAUUAUCUUUCCAUAAGGUUGAGCGAUCUGAUCUGACAAAUGUUAUAAGUGCUACACUCAUAAACUUAUCAUCCAUCAACUUUGUCUUGCUCACUAUGCUUAUGGUUAGAGAAGAACAAAUACACUUUUGGUUCUGUUGGUGUUUUCCACCAACAGGACCCAUGCACUUGAUCUCUGCCUUGUCUCUAUGAGCAGGUACACUUCGAGCAAAACAUGGAGGAGUUUUAUAACUCUCAGACUCUACCAAGUGAAGGACCUGGAUCUACGAGCACAAACACACUGAGCAGGAUACUGCCAACGCCACACUUCGAACUACUGGGCAAACGAAGAACAUGAGUGACACCGUAUAAGAGGUGCAGACGUCAAGGUCCGCACCUGAAUCAAAUGACGCACCUAAAGAAUGAACACGGUGAGAAGUCUUGUUCAGAAGACUUAAAACAUUGAACCCUCACCGAAAGGUAAAAUCGGUAGUUAUCCAUAUUUAUCCUUUCUGCAUUCCCUUUUCCCUUUAAUUACCUACUUUCCUUAAAUGGCUUGUUAGUUAAUCAUGCUAUUUUGAAAAGAAAUUAAAAAUGUUAAAAGCAGUAUGCCCCACGUGUAGUAUGCUCGUGGCAUAAAACCCAUAAGUACAUUCACUGUGGUGGCGUAAAAAUAUUCCUAUCCUAUAAAAAUGAAAAUAUAAAAAUAAAUUUAUGAUCCUACCAAAGAGAGUAAUAUUUAUUAGAGGAAGCUCAACAUGAUAAAGGCAAAGAGAUUUUUAUGCUAACACUUAACUAGUUCCACAAAGCUUUGUUGUCUAUUUAAGCUCCACAGAAUUCAAGGAUCAAAGAAGACUAGCAGACGGAGGACAUCCUAAUCGCUGUGAGGGUGCUGCCGACAUUCAAAUACACCUCCAUCACCUGCUAGCUACAUCAAAAGAAAUUACGUCAAAAUCCAGCUUGGGGGAGAGCACCCCCAUUUAUCCAGCUAAGUGUUUCUACUCUCGUUUAUACUUUACUCAAAUAAUAAAAAGAUGCAUAAUCAUAAAAACCCAAAUAAAGAUUUUAUGCUUAUAUAUAUAUAUAUAUCUUUUCUUAGUUUGCUAAAUAAAUAAAUAAAUAAAGUUUGCUAUGAACCCUCAUGAUAAGCUCUCACAUGGAAAUGAUGAAUAGUUGCUCUGCCAUGAUUAGUUCUCAAAAUUGAAAUCUAUCUCAAGUUUAGGCAUGACUGUUAUGAAUUAUGAUUUGCUCUAAACCUAAACUUGUGGGAAGAGUGUUUAAAGUCUAAGUCAUUAACGGAUAUGAUAUGGAAAGGUUGAGCUGUUGUUUAUCUGAUCCUAGAGAUGCUAGAAUUCUGGAGAAUUUUAUCUUUGAAAAUCUUUAAAAUGUUGCAUGAUGAGUUCCUGUAUGAUGAGAGUUUAAAAUCCUACCACAGCCGUAUAUACAUGCUUAUUAGACUAUGAACCAUACAUUUACUUUUUACUGCUUAUGAGCAUUGAGUGUGGUCAAGUUGUGUAGACCCUUAGGAGCUUUUCAUGCGGUUAAAAUCAAGAUUCACUUGCACGUUUCACUCAUACAUGUUGCUUCUACUCCAGAAGUACGCAUCCACAUACAUCCACUCCUUUCCAUCUCCAGAUUCACCUAAAAAUAUUCUACUCCUAUCCAGGACAGAAUAGCCAAAAACAUUAUCUUAUCCCUGUUAUUCCCCAUGAAAUAAAUGCUCGAGAUAUUUUGGUUACUACCACUUGCUACAUUAUUCUAGGAGGGUGAGUGCUCUGAGAAAAAAAAAGAAGAUGAAGAGUGAAUACGAGGAAAUAAAAAGGGGCAAGUGCCCGGAACCUCGAAAGAAAAGAAAAAGUGAGACGAGAGGUAAAAAUGGACAAGUGUCCGACAGUAGAAUUAGGGGUACAAGAUACCCACCUAAGAGAAAAGAAAAAAAAUAGAGAGCAUCUCAUUCCACUCAAAAAGCUUCAAAGUGCAAGAAAGGUAUGUAUCCCCUCAACAGAGCAAAAGUAGAAUUAGACUUUCACCAUUGUUUUCACCAUCAUCACCAUACACCAUUCAUUCGCCACACAUGCACAUCUUGAUUUGACUUAUUGACUUGUUUCUCUGGAUCCAUGGUUUGACUAUGCAAUAAAUGUCUUGUAAGUAUGUAUUAGCUGUCUCCCACCUAUGAGCUCCAGAUAUCAAAACCUUGUUAGAGUACGGUGAGAGAGAAGGCAAUAUCAUUAUACCUCAUACCACAAAUACAACAUACUUUGAGAGAAGACAUAUAUCAUCACUGCCUUGGUAAGGAUCCAGAAAUACCACAAAAGAGAGACUAGAGAGAGUCAUACAAGGAAUCUCUGAGUUUUAUUUGAAAAUCUGCAAAAAACUCCAGAUCUUUAGUUAAUCAAAGAACAAGAGACAUGGUGCUUGACUUGACCGUUCUAUCUUUUAACUGCUCAAGACACAAGUGACGGUUGUAAGCCCCAUGGUGAAAGGUAAUUUGAGUAAGUUUUAAAUCUUAACAAUUUACCCUAACCUAGAGAUGAGAUCUUGUUUAAACGCAUGUGUACCUUUAAGGCAUAAAACCACUGCAAAAACUCUUGAGUCCAUCCUUGCUCAGGGACGAGCAAGAGGUAAGCUUGGGGGAGUUGUUGACGGUCCUUAAGUACCAAAUAUAAUCAGCAAAUAAACAAAGAAAAGGAUCCAAAUACAACCAACAUCUAAACUUAGGGUUUUAUCUGACAGAAUUCCACGAGUUUUGGUGUUUGUCUAUUUCUGCAGGGGGUUAUCAGGAAAUAUGGAGAGAAGGCCCACAUGUCGGGUUUACAUAGAGAUAUUAACGUGCCGUGCAAUUUUCUAUCAUCUAGAAGACUCCAGAAGCCACGGGAACAAAGCGGAAGCGGAGAGGGCUCAGGGACAGGGCGCCCGCCCAAGUCCUUAGGGCGCUCGCCCACCUAUUUCGGCCAAUCACGCUCAAUCUCGCGGAUUAUGCUCCACCGACCUAAAGGAUCAAGAAUAACCGUUCAAUCAAUGUCGGUUUGAUCCGAUGGCCCAAGUUCACUUGAGGGGACUAUAUAACCAGACCCCCUAUCCCCUAGAGGAGCCACCCCCUUGAUCAUUAUUCAUUGUUCAUAGACAGAGCAAAAGCUAGGGUUUAGAGAUGAGAGCUCUCCUCUCUUCUCUAAACUAGAGUAGAUCUAGAUAGUAGCGAGAUGGAGAGCGAAGGAGGAUUAGAGGAGAGGCCGGCCUAUCGGUUCUUCCUCCGGUUGUACUUCGUCAUGAUCAAGCUCUAAUCAAGCUUGCUCAUGGGAUGACUCUAGUAAUCUACUUCUAAUUCAUUAUGCAAUUACUAAUCAUGUAUGUUCUGGUUCACAACUCUUUUGAGUACUUCUAAUCUAUAGGACCCUAUAGGUUAGAGUUGUAGUAUAGGUGUAAGCGUGGUGCUUAGACCUAGAUUACUUGUGGAUAUCCCCUAUUUAGCUGGAUCGUGUGGUAGGCCGUGUAGGUGACAGUUACGUUGGUCCUCUGUAGUCCACCUCUCGUUAGCAGGACGGGUAGGGUUUAUCGGCCUAAGGAUAAGCAUCCUUUGUGGUGUACUCUUAUCACGUGGUUCGUCCCAGACAUAGACAUACCCCUUUGAAGUAGAGAAACCAUAGUUAUCCUCUCUAUUCUGCUACCAUCGCCCAUAUACUAGAAUUGCUCUAUUCUCUAUUCCCAUAUUAUCACUCACUGUUAUAUUACCUUUAAUAUUGUUCUUAUUCGAUUCUAGCAUCUUUCCUAUUUACACCUAUUUACUUAUCUUGGUUAAGUUAGAGCGUAGAUCAGUUCUCCCGUUUCCCUGUGGAUACGAUAAAACCUUUAACCGGGUAAAAGCUAUAACGGUAUCCGUGCGCUUGCGGAUUAUCUGUGUGCGUCUAAAUACCAUAGUACACUCUAGUGCCAUGCUGGGGAUGACAACCUAGUAUUCAAGUGGUGUUAGCAAGUGUCAACAAGGUACUCACUAAAGGUUCCUUUAUUAUUAAAGAUGGGACCAAGACGAGAUUCUGGGAUGAUACAUGGGUAGGAGACAAGCUUCUAAAAGUUACAUACCCUUCUCUUUAUAAUAUAGUGUGUGAUCCCCAUGCAACUGUAUCUAAAGUGAUGUCAACUAUUCCCCUAAAUAUCUCUUUCAGAAGGGCUCUAGUGGAUAGUAAACUUUUAGAAUGGCUAAAAUUAGUAGCUCAAAUUUCUAAUGUGGGUUUGGUGGAGGGUUUGGACUAUUUUAAUUAGACCGUAACCACCUCUGUGUUAUAUUCAGUCCAAUCUUUGUAUCUCCAUCUUAUUGAUACACCCACUUUUCAUCAUAAGAAACUCUGGAAACUAAAAAUUCCUCUAAAGAUAAAAAUUUUCCUUUGGUUUCUUCAAAAGGGAGUUGUUCUGACCAAAGACAACCUCGCAUGGAGAAACUGCACAGGGAAUUAGAAAUGUAUCUCCUGCAAUAUGAAUAAGACUAUCCAACACUUAUUCAUCGAUUGCCCUUUAACUAAAACAAUUUAGAGAAUUAUUUUCUUUGCUACUAAUUUAACCCAACCAAGAUCUAUUAACCAUAUGUUUGGUACUUGGCUUCGCAAUCAAAAUAAGAGGAUGAGAAGUUUCAUCUGGGUUGGGCUUGCUGCCAUUUGCUGGGCUAUCUGGCGAUGCCAGAAUGAUGUUAUUUUUAACAAACUCAAAACUAACUCUAUUAUGCAGAUUAUUUUCAGAGGAGCAUUCUGGCUACGCUUCUGGGCCCCGCUGCAGUGUGAUGAGCAAGCUAAAGCCAUUCUUUCGACCAUAAGCAAAAAGUUGGAAAUUAUUGCCUUAGACAUUUCAAAUAAAGGAUGGAAACAUUUAUACAGUUUGCUCUAGUAUUCUGGUCAUUGUUUAAGACCAUGGAUUGCUCUUUUAUUUUGUUUCGAAAACUUGUAAUAAUUGGCUGUGUAUAUUUUUGGAUGUAGAGGCUGGAUAUUUAUAUCCAUUAUCUAAAAAAAGUGAUAACCCGAACAUAGAGCAAACUAUUAUCGCUGAAGCAGCAGUCUUGGUUCAGCAAAUUGUCUCAAACGGAACUCGUUAGAAAUUGCUUGUUGAACGCUGAAUGGAUUCUACUUGGAGGCUUGGAGCUAGCCGUCGUCAUUGCGUCAAACUAUAUAGCUAGCUAACAAUAUACUUUCGCAGGAGGAAGAAGGCUGUACCACCAUCUUUAUCCUUUAUCCUGCCCCAAGAAAAGAACCACGCUUUAAGUUUUUGCUUUAGCGUUUAGGAAAAGCACCGAACCACGAGCUACUAAAGCAAAGUUUUGCGUUGAGCUCGAUAAGAAACGGAACCGAUCGACUUGUGUUGCAGGUUCGCCAGGGACUAGCUAGCAUUGGUAGCUAGCUACUUCCAUUCUUCGUCUGUCUCUCUCCUCGGACUCUCGCGCGCACUUCAAUUUUAGGGCAGCGUUUCAUCUAUAUAAUCUCGGACAUGUAGCUGCCGAAGGAGGUAUGCAUCCAAAUUCUUCCUUUCUCAUCAGUCUUGUUGAGUAGGAGUACUAUAUUGUAGCAUGACUUUGUACCACGCGUCUCUCUCUCCCUGCCGUGUUUGUGCCUGACUACGCUCACGCCCACACUGGAGACAAAAGAAGAUGGUGGCACUAGGGUUACAAUGGCCUCCAACUCCAACUCCAACGAGCAUAGAAGGGCCUAGUCGGGGAGGCAGGCAGGGCAGACGAUGGGGAAGAAGGUCGAGUGGCUUAGGAGGCCUAGUAGUGGUGGUGGCAGCUGCGCCAAGGAGGGGCGGGCACCAUGGCCGAAGGGAGGUUGCCGCUGCUAGAGCUCGCUGUGGUUAGAGGUGGUGGGAAAGAAGGUGGCCGCCGCAUGUGCUAGGGUUAGCUGAAACUCCGGAGAGCUCUGGCGCCCACGGCGGAGCGAUGAUCGGUGACGGGGUGAGCAUCGCAAUGUGCAUCUACGGAUCGAACAACACAUGAUAAUGUUUGUUUCAAUUGUUAUAUGUCCUCUCAUCGUAUGGCAUGUGUCCUUAGAGCAAGAGCUGUAAAACAAAGGAUUAGGAAUAAUUCUGAAUAGGGAUUUGCUAUUAGUUUUCUUUGAGGUAAUGGCUAUUGUAUAUAUCUUAUACUAAAGUUGUAUAUUUUGUUCAAUGCAAUUUCUGUAGGAGCAAUCUGCAAUUUUCGAUACCGAGAAUAAAUAACCAGUUAGACAAGACCAAAAACCCGACAAAAUAUAAUUUGUGUUGACACAAAGAUAAUUAAUAAUUAUUUCUACAUGUAGAGACACAUAUUUAAUAGGUUAUGACACAAAGAUAAAUAACAAACAAUAAAAGUGACAAUUUACUUGUACUAGUUGGUGAUACAAGUGUGUUGCUUGAAAUCAUCUUAAAAUUUAGACACCUGAAAUAUAGGACAAGUGUUCUACAUAUUGUGAUUACCCUUAGGAUGCAUGAAACAUAUCUACAAAUUCUCAUAUUCAUUAGACUCUUGCCCCCAGCGGCGUUUUUUUAUUUUUAGCCUUUUUAAAAACUAUUUUCAAAUUUAACAUCUAAAAUUAUUAUUUUUUAAAUCUAAUUUUUUGGCCGCGCCACCAUACACGAUGUGGCUCUUGCACUCUACCGCGCCAUGCAUCGUGGCGUGGCAGAGAGGGUGACAUGGCGCGUUACUAAUCGUGCAUGGCUGAGGUGGCAGGACCUGUCGCCGUGCCAAGAUAUAUGGCGCGAGCUGCUGUGCGUGAGUGAGUGUGUUGGGUGUAGGGGUGAAUGUAUUCCGUCCCAAAAUAAUUGUCGUUUAUACUUUCUGAAAAAUAAAUUUAAUUAAAAUAUAUAUUAUAAAAUAUUAAUAUUUAUAUUAUGUAAUUAGCAUGGAAAGAUUUUUGAGUCUAUUUUAUUAAUAAAUUUAUUUGAAGAUAGAAAUAUUAUACAUAUUUUCUAUAAGUUGAGUCAAACUUUUGAUACGGAAAAAAACGACAGUUAAUUUGUGAUGGAGGAAAUACUUCCCGUUGUUGGCACUAGUGGUGUAUGGUACUCACUAUGUCCCUAAAUGUUUGUUGUCAUGUUUUGUGUGCAAGCCAUUUUGACUCAAUUUAUAAAAAAUACGUGUAAUAUUUAUAAGUUUAAAUAAACUUAUUUGAAAACUAGAUUUAAAUAUCUGUCUAAUGAUAUUAAUUUUGUAUUAUAAAUAUUAAUAAUUUUAAUAUAUAUUUAACAGACAUUUAGAGAGGAGUAUAGCACAGUAGCAGUAGGCCUGUGCAGAACUGUACAGCAUGUGCAGCAGCGCAUAAUGUGCCUGCCUCUAAAUGUUCGUCGUUUUCGGUUCUGGAAAAUAACUUUGACUAAAUAUAUAUUAAAAAAAUAUUAAUAUUUAUAAUACAAAAUUAGUAUUAUUGUAUAGAUAUUUAAAUAUAGUUUUUCAAUAAAUCUAUUGAAAAUUAGAAAUAUUACAUGUAUUUUCUAUAAAUUGAGUCAAAGUGGUUUCCACAAAAAACGUAAUGACAAAAAUUUAGGGCAGAGAAAAGACCACAAGGGACCCCAUGUGGCUUAGUACUCUCUCCAUCACAAAUUAACAUCAUAAAUUAACUGUUGUUUUUUCCAUACAAAAUGUUUGACUCGAUUUAUAAAAGAUACAUAUAAUAUUUGUAUCUUUAAAUUAAUUUGUUAAAAAACUAGAUUAAAAUAUCUUUCCAAUAAUGCUUAUAUAAUAUAAAUAUUAAUAUUUUAUAAUGUAUAUUUUAAUCAAAUUUAUUUCUUAGGAAGCAUAAACAAUAAUUAUUUUGGAACGGAAUACAUCUACCCCUACAUUCAACACACUCACCACGCACAACAGCCCGCAGUGGCUCUGUCGCGCCAAGAUCUAUGGCAUGUGGCGCGACAAAUCCUACCACGUUAGCCAUGCACGACCGGUCACACGACACGUCAGCGGCUUUGCCGUGCCAUCAUGCAUAGCGUGGCAGAGUGCAAGAGUCGCACUGUGUAUGGUGACGUGGCCAAAAGGUUAGAUUUAAAAAAAUAAUUUUAGGUGUCAAAUUUAAAAUAGUUUUUAAAAAGGCUAAAAAUAAAAAAAAAAUCCCCCGGCUUGGGCCCUCUCCCUUAUCACUUAUUUGGAUUGUUAUCCAUGGCGAUCUCAUUAAGAAAUUUUGCUUUCAACCAUGAGUGUCUCAUCUAAUUAAUACUCUCUUUGUUCCUCAAUAAUUAAAUUCUGGGAGUUAUCUUAAGUAAAUAUUUUUUAUGGCUGAUGACCGAUUUUAUAGUGAAUAAGGAUUAUUUAUGUAUGUUUUUAGGGAAUAACGAUAUUUUUUAUGUCAGACGUGCAUGCAGAGUUAGGACAGAGGUAGCUGAGAAUUGUACUAUGUGGUUUUGAGCGUGUCAUCCACACUAAGAGAGAAUGUAAAAAUGUCGCCAUGAGCUCGCACAGCUAGCCAAGAGGACAAGACACUCAACUGUUCAUCAUUUUAGUUCGCCAAUUGCUUAGGAUUGUAACUCUGUUUCCGAGUCUCUUCUUGGAAAAGAAAAUUUAACCCUAGAGCAAUUUUGAUGCUUCGGCGGGGGCAAGGGCCGUUGAAGGGAACCUCUGAACCAAAUGCUCCAGGUGAAACAGCUGUCCGAAAGGUGGAGAAAAUAGAAUUCCAGAAUCUCAUAAAUGUAAGUUGUUUUAGUUUAUAUAUAUAUAUAUAUAUAUAUAUUAAAGUUCAAAUAACUUACGGUUUGAAACAGAGGCCGACUCUGUACUCGGCAGGACUGCCACGGAAGGACGGGGAAUUCUCUCUGCCAAUGCAUCCAGGUCAUCCCCGACGGCGACGGCCAACCAUCUAUGAUGAUGACGAGUUCAUGGCUGAAAGAUGGAAAUGGUUGUUGGGUGUGGCAGAGUCUGAAAGGAAACGGUUGUUCCGUCCUGGGAACUACAGCAACAACGAGCAGUUACCGGGUGGGGAUUGGCAGUUACCACCGGCUGUUCCAUUUGACGAUCCUUAUGAGCAGUUACCCGCUACUCUGUUUGACAUUCCUUCCGAGCGUAGCCCCAUCGAGUGGCCUCGAGCGUGGAAGGUAAUUUUCUAUUGCUACUAGUUUUUUUUUGGGUUAACCACUGGCUAAAUAAAAUACGCAUUCAAUAUAAUCCUUUUGAUUCUGGAAAAAUAUUCGUUUGACUUCUCAGUCUUUUCUUCGAGUUUAAGUUCAUGAGUCAACAUUCUUUUUUUUUCCGAAGGGAAGGAGAUUAUAUUAAAACUCGGCAUAGUACCCUAAAUUAUAUAUGAAAAAAUUCUGAAAUAAAAAAUACACAAUAUUUUAUCCAAAUUCUUUCUCAAAGGCUUCCCUCGAAUGAUGGAGCCAAAGUGAAGUCCUUAUGCCGAAUCCAACGACCAACCCCAGAACAUUGGAUGUGCCACAAGAUCCAGCGCUUCAAAACUAGUGCAAAAUACAUUAAAUCGAUGAAAGAAUAUCGACAGUUGUAUCAUCGACGACAGCAUAGGAUGUAGAUUCAUCUCCUUCAAAAAUUGAAAUCCUCUACACGACAACAAAAUCGAUGACUUGGAGUAUUGUAUUUAUUGGGGCAGCCCAGAAACAUCCCUCCACUUGCAGAUAGUGGCCACCACUUGGCUACCUGCUGAUGAAAUCAACAUUGAAAUAUCGAUCUCAUGGUGGCAAUUACCGAAGUCAUUGCACGAAACAAGAUUCUUAUCAAAAAUCAUCUUAUUUCAUCGGAAGAUUUAUUUGGACUAAAUGCUAAGCAACUAGAAAUAAAACUGCAAUGGAUGGUCCCCUCCCCUUCUAAUCUCCGAUAGAUCCACCAGAGAGGAAGAAGGAGAGGGCCAUAGGCGCGGCGGCGACGGCGCUAGCAAGGAGCAGGCGGUGUUUCCCUAGGUGGCUAGGGCAGUCACAGCUCGAGAUUUUUAAGAACAGCUAGUUUUUUUAAUAAUUUAAAUUUAUACUUAUCAUCCUUUGUUUAUAUUAUUCAACCUGUAUUUUUUGUAUAGAUAUAUACUCCCUCCAUUCUAAAUUAUAAGAUAUUUUGACUUCUUUUAAUAAUUUGCUUUUACUAUAUAUCUAAAUGCUGUAUAUAUCUAAGUAUAUAGCAAAAGUUAUGUAUCUAGAAAAGCCAAAGCGCCUUAUAAUUUGGAAUAGAUGGACUAUUUAGCAAACCACACACAUUUCCUAAUGAGCUAGCCUAUUAUAUGCUUUGUUACUGAUUAUUUAUUUUUAAAAUUUUAUAUAUUCCGAUAAUAGUAAUCAAAAUAAAUUGCCAUGUGGGUGCAAACCAAAAGGAAAAUUAGCAUGCCAGCAAAAUAAUAUUUUUCUGACAAAAAAAUUAUUGAAAGGUCUAGCUCCAUAUGAAAAAUGAAUUUUCCCAUCAGUUCACUGUUAGGAUUAAUUUUUCUGAUGUGAAAAUUUUCUUUGUCAAGUUUACUUUUUUUCUGCGUACCCAUCCCGAUAGAAAAAAAAUCCCAACACAAAAAAAAUUUAUGUCGAUGUUUGACCGUCAAGAUAAAACAAAUUAAUCUGUCGACCAUGGACAAUCACGGAAAAAAUUAUAUUUUUCCAUCUAGAAUUUUGCAGAUCACUGAUAGGAUAAUAAUAAUUAUCCCGAUUCAGAACAUUGACAGAAAAUUACAUUUACCCAUGCAACGGAACAAUAUAAUAACCAUAUGUUAAUUAAAAAUAGUAGUGGCAGCUUAAUAAAUAUGGAUUAUGCGCACCGUAAUUUCAUAACACAUGACAACAUCAUAGCAUAUAUAUAGAGAUGAUAUCACAAAUGUUCACCUCAUUCACCAUAGCAUACAGGCAUAUACAUAGCAUACAGGCAUAUGAAGAUGUCCAAAUGUUCCAUCUUCAGAAGGAUUUUUAUCUCAGCAAUUCAAGUUUCAGCUAUAAAACGACUACCAUUAUGCAUCAUUGAAACAUAGGUAUAACCACAGCUGACAUAUAAACCUCCUACUAGAGCACAACACUACAAAAGAAGAAACCAUGACCUUAUUUAUGUUGUUUUGCAACUAAACGCCACCAUCACACAUCGAUGCAUGAUCUCUGCAGUUGUCAGAACCUUGAUUGUUGACAACUUUUGCAGCAUUAAGGUCCCCACUGUUGUGGCCAACAUCAUUACUAAUUAAUAGAUUCUAAGACAACAUGAGAAGAGUCAGUUGGAUGCAUUUGAAAUUAGUUGAUAACCUUGCUCUUGACUAUCAUAUUUAGAUUCCAUUGACAUCAUAGCACCCAUAGGACCUGACUUGAGGACAGAAACCAUAGGACAUUUGGAACAUGGCAUAGUGAAUGCUAGCUGAUAGCAUGCACUGAAAAAACAAAAAAAAUAUAGGAUAAAUUUUUACCAUAGUUCACAUUGUUGGAACAGAACAAUGAAGUGUAUAAGAACAUUACUUGCUCUUUGAACAAUCAAAAAACAAUUGGACCAGAUUUUAUACCAUGACUAUUUUCCAACCAAUUAACCUUAAAUCACAACUUUGCUGGUCCGUGCGAGCAAUAUUGCUUUUUCACUGUUCAUAAUUAAAGUGUUUAUACAAACAAAACUAUUGUUUUAAUUAGACCAUAAAUAAUCUAAAACGAAACAUUAAUGAUGCUUUUGGAGGAACAUAUGUGAAGAAAGUAUCCAUCUCUAGCAUGUUUGCCAAUAUGCAUAGAAAAGCAAUCUUGUACUACUUGUUUGAGAUUUCACAUACACCAAGCGUUUAAAACCAUCAAGGUCACACGCACCUUGAAAUGAAGAUGCACAAUCAUCAUAGUGAGACAUUUUAUUUCUAAUAGAUGGAGCAUGGGGGUCUAAAAUACAGACUAGCGUAUUUCCAUCCUCUUCAACAAGAAGUGCCUCAACAAUGCUAGCCUCAACAGGAGCCUUAUUUUUUAUUUUUUUCCUAAGCUUUUGGAUACACCUACGAAGUGACAACUACAUAUUACAAAUAGCUAACUUAUGGUAAGUGAUAUAAAUGAGUUAUUUGAAUAUUUCCAGAUUUACCUCUCAUAUGGAUAGCACCAAUGUGCUAGGGCUUGACCACCUAAUCUUGCAUCAUAAGUCUAAUGUAUGAUGACAUGUGUUGACGUCGGAUGUGGUCCGAAUCACAUACUAGAAAGAGAAUUGGACGCCCGGGCCACUAUGGACUGAAGAGCGAAGUAAGGAUAUCAUUCUUACGUGGUGGAGCAUGGAGAGGUUUACAAGCAAAUCACCAAGGAUAACCAACGUACUUGUGUCAUGAAGAACCAGCUAGUUUUUAGGUAAACUAGCAAAGAAACUGUCAAAACUCUUGCCCUGGAGGGACCCCGUUAGGGCAAGGAUGUCGGCAGGUUGCCCUAGGUUGGUCGACAAGCCUUGGUGCCAUCCUUGGUCAUCGGAUUAAAGGAUGAACAACAUGGAGGUUGGAAAAGAGAGUAAAGGUGUAAAGGAGUAGAUUGGUUUGUGUUUUCACGAUUGGAUAGAUGGGAACUCAAUCCUCCAUGAUCCUCUCAUAUAUAUAGAGGGGGGAGGUCCUAUCCUAGAAGGAAACCUCUCCAAGUCUUAUUUUCCAUGUUUCCCACGAGUUUGGAACCGUUCAGAUUGGAAUUCCAAAGGGGAGAUCCGAACAAGCCUUUUUAUUAGGUCUACCGGAAGUCGAGUCAAAACUCCUAACUCGGGUCGAAACUCCUAACGUGCGUUACAAUUCCUAACUCAGUUUAGAACUCCUGACGUUUGUCACAACUCCUCACUCGUGUUAGAACUCCUGACUUGUGUUAGAGCUCCCGACUUAGGUCAGAACUCCUGAGAGUAGUGCAUUUUCUUAAGGGCAUAGCUUCUUCAUCCGGACACUGAAUUAGAUGUUCUAUAUAUGUUUUUGUCUGUCUCAACAAGAAGAACACAACAGCAAAGUUCAUUCCACAUUUUGACAACUUCACAAAAUGGACCAUUUUGGUUGUCAACAUAUGCCCCCUAUUUUCAGGUGAAUGAUACAUGAACCUAAAAACCUUUAAGCAAACAAACUAUAUAACAAUGAUACCCAUCUCAUCAGCUGUUCAGUGACUAUGGGCGAUGUAUACAUCGCUCAUUUUUGUUUUAAGGGAGACACAUACAUCGGACAUUGUUUGGAGAGAACUUAGGCUUCUUGCCAAACACUUGGAAAAUACCUUUUUAAGCACCUCCAGUUGAUUGCUCUUGGAGACUAUCACCUUGCAACAUCAUCUAUAGUGAAUACAAAUUGCCAAACAUCUCUUUGAUCACUCCAUAAGGACUUUCUCAACUUGGUGACCUUUUGCCAAGCUUGUUGCUCCUCAUCCACUUGGUAGCAUGGUUUUCCACACCUAACAUCAUUCAUAAAUAUGAAAUGUGCCCAUAGAGAUUUAGACCAAAUUUUAGACCACCUCCUUGGAUUAUCCCAAUUCUCUUCUUGAUGAGCUUGACCAAAGUUCAUGGACUUCUGCCGUAACCAUCUUUGCUUGAUCAAAUCCAUAAUAUGGAGUUCUCUAAUCAUCCAAAUAAGUCGUGUCAUUGAUAGAAUUGAAGUUAGGCCAACUUGGUAAAUCCUUCGAGCCAAAGGAGAGUUGCCUUGGCCAACCUAGGGAGUCGGCUCAACCAUCUAGAGGAGUCGGCUUAGCUGACUCUACUGCUCUUGCACACAGAACAAUAAAGUUGUCUUGCACCGGCCUUCCUUUGAUGUAAAAAUUAUGCCCAUCGACAUCAAGGCUGGAAGGUUAUUUAACUAACAGGUUGACAUUGAAUUUCUCAUGGUUUGGAAUAUGCCAAAUUUGAAAUUCGGUAAAAGAAGCAAUUAUAUCAAGGCACAUAUCAUGGUGAGCAUAAUGUGACCAUUUAGAAUAUCGAAACAAACCAGUGACUUGCUGCACUACUAGUAAAGAAUCACCAUAGGCUUGAAUAUGUCAUACCUCAUGGAUUGCAAUAUAGCCAAGUCAAAUAAGAAAAAUUCACAUUUGACUUGAUUUUUUGUGCAAAUAUAAUUUUAAUCGGCUUGAUGUCUCAAACAACAUCACUAUGAGAAAUACUGAUCAUGCCAACACCAUGGCCUUAUUUGCAAGCUGAUUAAUCAAAUUGUCACAUCCAUGAAGUAAAUCAAGAUGCAUAUAUCAUGCCCCCUGGGCCUAAAAGCCACAAAAGUGAAUUCUAUGGAGCUUUCUAAUAGCGCGAUGGUUGCAAGCAUUCAUCGGCUAUAUUUUAAACUAAGGGCUAUAUCAAAAUACCGGCCAUAUGAAUUCAUCCACAAGAGCAUGCAUAACCCAAAUAAAUAUUUUGGCUCUUGAUCACUGAUAAGCAAAAUAAUUUGGAAACCAUCCAUAACAUAAAGAUCCAUACCUAGACCAAAAUAAGAAGCUGAGGGAUAACCAUGCAUACCAGGGGAUGAAUUCCACGUAAGCAUAUGCAACGACUAUGGAUGAUGCCAUGACCAAUGAUUUUGAUGAUUUGGUGCAAACCUUCAACUUGGCAAUUGUUUCUUGAAUCUUCUUCUCCCCUUUGCCUUUGUUGCACCACUUGCUUGAGCAUCAUCCUUUUGAGUUUGAAUAUUUCCCUUAGGAAACCACACUAAGCCCUCUGCACUAAGCUUCUGUGAUUUCUUUUUGCCACUUUGUUAAACCGAUUGAGCAUAUCAGUUUUAUUCUAAUUUUGGACAACGGCAAAUCUUUCUUGAUUUUGGGCACUUUCACUUCCUUUUGUUCAGAUUUGGCACCUAGCAUAUCAAUAGAUAAUUUUCCCGCUUGUUUGCCAUUAAUAGCUAGAUUUUUCAACAAUGUAAUCGGCUUCUCAAUAGUUGAAUUCAGAUCUGAACUUUCUUUUUUUCAGCCAUCAUACUUCACAUGAUAAACUUGCUUUACCACUUUUUCUUCUUUGGUUGAGCUCAAGACUGAUUUUGAUCAAAACAGUCUUUAUAAGAUGAUGAUCUCUCUGAAUGUUUAAGAGCUACAUACUCUACAUAUUGUGGGUUAAAAUAUGAUGGAACAUGUGCCUCCUGAUCAAAUCAGCCCUAAGAUGAAUAAGGAUGAAAAUAUGCAGGUUGUGGUACAUGUGACAUGGGAGUUGGCUGCUCAAAAGGAAAAAUAUGUUGUUCCUAUAUGUGAUCUAUCUCCUUGCCAAUUCCACUCUCAAGACGUGUGCUUUGGAGGCAAUUUUGAUGAUUGGACUUCCUUUGAUCGACUAGUGACAUUUUUGUUUAGGUAUAUUCUCUAGAAUAUCUUUAAAUUGCAAUUCUUGGACAACAACUUUGUCUUCACUUGAGGGCUUCAGAUCUCUAUCUUGGGCAUUAGAGCCUUGAGCUUUGAGUGAAUAGGCUAAUGCAAGCCGAUUCGAAACCUGCUUGCCAUCAAGACCAAUUGAAUCCAAUUGAUCCAUUUGUUGAGCUUUAGAAAAUAUCAAUCAUCCAUUAUCAAUGGCCGAUUGGAUCACUCGACCAAGCACAUUGCAAUUAGAAGUACUAUGAUUAGAAGAAUUAUGCCACUUGCUAUAUGUAAGCUCUUCUAAGUUUUGAAUAGAUGGCAAAGCAUUAUGAUCAAUGAUUCUAAUAAAAUUAUUCUUGAGCAAGAUAUCAAAUACAUGAUCACAAAAAGUAAAGUCAAAGGUGUACUUUGAUUUCCUUAGCUGAUUCUUUUGAGUUGGCUUUAAAGCUAGGUAAAUGAAUGGAUCAGAUUUGACAUCAAUCCAUUCAGCCACACUUUUGCAAUUGCUUCUAAGAAGCUUUACCUUUGACAAACUACCACUAUCGGCCUUGCCAUAUGAAAUAAUGUGUUGGCCAAUAGAAUCUGAAUUUACUUUAUCAUCAACAAAUAAAUUGCUAUUCCCAAUUCGUCUAUUACAACCAUUAGCAAGGAUAUCUCUAAUAGAUGCUGAAAUUGAUAUAGUGUGACCCAUAGUUCGGCUAGGUGGCAAGUAGGCGGCGACUAGUCGCGACUAGGCGCUGGGCGAAGCCCGUCGCCUCGACUAGGUGGGUAGUCGCCCAUCUUGGUGAUAGGCGGAACUUAGGGGUGCGAAAGCGGCGCGAGGCGGGUGCGGAAGCGGUACAGAGGCGCGCGAGAUGGGCGUCGAAGCAGCGCGAAAGCGGAUGCGGAUGCGCGCGCCCGCGGAAAUUUGCCUCAGUGGGCUAGGGCGCGAAGGUUUCUGCGUGGAGGCGGACGCCGCGAGCAAGCGCGCGCAGAUGGAAUCAAGCGCGAGGUCUUCCCCGCCGGCGCACCCCUCCCCAUCCCAUGGCCAAUCCCCUUCCCCUCCUCCGCCAGCAGCUGCUCUCCCCUGCUCCUCUCCCCUCCCAUGUUCUUCACCCCUCCCUCUCAGGCUGCUCCCCUGUCCCGUGUCCCCUCCCCUCCUCCCCGCCUCCUCUCUGAUUGAGUGUCUGUGAUUGCAUGUCUAAUUGAUUGCCAAAACGCCUAGGAAAAUGCAUAGGAGCGCCUAGGCGCGAGUACUCCCGACUAGGCGCUAGGCAAUGGGUCAGCGCCUAGAUUCCGCCUAGCGCCUAGCUAAACCUUGGUGUGACUAUAUUAGAAUUUGAGCAAAAUAUUUGUAUAUUGUACUUUUCUUAUCAUGUUGGAGAAGUGUAUGUUAUUGAUUUGCAUGAUGCCACUCUUCAUCUCUAGAACGUGAUCAACAAUAGAUGCCGAAUUAUCUAAAGAUGCAUUGGUAGCUGCCGAAAAUUGGAAAGACGACAUAGCUCACUGGAAGUCUGCUAGGUCAACUUGGGCACUAGUAGGGGUAGUCGGCUUAGCCGACUAGGAGGUCGGCCUAGCUGACUUAGGGUAGGUGGUAGAGGCAAUCAGCUUGGCCAACUAGGGAGUUAGCCUAGCCGACUUAGAGCAGGCAGGAGACGGCUUAGCCGACUUCAAAGUCGCUUAGCCAAUUCUAGGUAGGCAUGUAGCCCUCCUCUGUUGCUUAUAGGGGCCUCAUCUCCAUGAAGUAAUCAUUAGAUAAAUGUAUAACCCCUUUGGCUCCUGAAAAAAUCAAGUCUAGCUAUUUUCUUGCGCUUCUCAUGCUUUUCUGUAGCAAGACUUGUUUUGUGAGAUACAGUUUAUUCAAAAGGGAUAACUUCUUUUGUCAUACUCAUGGACAAUGACUUAGAUGUGAUUGGCCUCUUGCUAGUACUCCCAAAGUAUUUAUUUACAAAAUCUUCAUUUUGCUUCUCAAGCAUUCUUUCAAAUUCUAGCAUUCCCUUUUUGAUAUCAAAGUCUGGUUGAGAAUAUCGUGCUAAGUUCUCAUUGAUUUGGGUUGAGUGACUAGCAACACAUGAAGUUGAAUCAUGAGUAUGAUUAUUUACCCACCUUUCAUUGAUUCGCUAGAGCUAGGAGCAACAUAUGAAGCCAAAUCGUGAGUAUUACCAUUAGCACAUCUUGUUGAAUUUUCAUUAAUUCGGCUUGAGUUGAGAGUAACAUAUGAAGCCAAAUUAUGAAUUGGAGCAUUGACAUAUAGUGUUGUAUUCUGAGAGUAAUUGGCUAAAUAGUUAGCAUUGACUGAGAGUAAUUCAUCGGUAUGUCAUGUGGUGAAACCACAUAACGUGAACUUAUAGCCGACGAACAAGGAUUUACAUAUAGUAUGUUGCUAGUAGUAUCAAAAUUCAAAGAAUUUACAAUUGACAUCGGCUCUUGACCACAAUAUCCAAAAUUAUGAUGUGUAUGAUGAGGAGCAUUAUCAAAAGUAUUAGCCAAUGCAACAUUAUGCUUAUGACUAGCAACAUCAACAUGAGAGCCUCAUAGACUUGCAAAAUAAUCAUAAGAUACUUUUGCAAGUUGUACCUUGGGGUAAUUGUAGUAAUAUUAUGAUGAAUCCCAUCGGUACUCCAUGAUUUAGAGCUUGACCGCCUUGCUAAAUUUUCCAAUAAGCAGCACAACUUGUUGCAAAAUUAUGAACAAGAUCUCAAUGGCUCAAAAACAAAUGUGAUCGACAUUUAGGACCAAAUGCAAUGGUAAUGGAGAACACAAAAAUAUAGAUCAAUGAGAAUUAGGUCUAGGGCAAGAAGAAUUGGUUACAAAGUAGUGCUGAAGCAAAUUCUUCCUAGCAGAGUCGCCAAAAGUGUGUUGAUGUCGAAUGUGGUCCGAAUCACACACCAGAAAGGGUAUUAGAUGCCUGGGCCGCUAUUGACUGAAGAAUGUAGCGAGGAUAUUACCCUUACAUGGUGGAGCAUGGAGAGUUAGACAAGCAAACCACCAAAGGAUAACCACGUACUUGCAUGAUGAUGAACCAGCUAGUUUUCAGGUAAACUAGCAAACAAACCAUUGAAGCUCUCGCCCGGGAGGGACCUUGUCAAGGCAAGGAUGUCAGGUUUCCCUAGGUUGGCCAGCAAGCCUAGGGUGCCAUCCUUGGUCGUCGGAUCAAGGGAUGAACAUCAUGGAGUUUGGAGAAGAGAGUAAAUCAGUAAAGGAGUAGAUUGGUUUGUGUUUUGAUCAUUGGAUAGAGGGAACUCAAUCAACAUUCAUCCUCUAAUAUAUAUAGAGGGUGUGGUCUUAUCCUAGUAGGAAACCUCUCCAACUCUUAUUUUCUUUGUUUUUCAUGAUUUUGAGAUAAAUUAGAUCAGAAUCCUGAAGGCGAGAUCCGAACAUGUCUUUUUAUUAGGUCCUAAUAUAAAUGAAACUAAUAUCAAACCCAAAACCAAUUGGAACCAAAUGCAAACAACAUAGGAGGGGGGUUUAUUGAAUCCAUGUAACCUUCAUGAGGCAUUGUCCAUGGUGACAAUUCAAGGAGGCCGAGGCAAGGGGAAAGCAAAGGUAGGUGGAGAGAAUGAAGAUGAAGCAACUGGUGGGGAGAAUGAAGAUGGGAAGAACUAAUAAUGGCUUUGUAUUGGGGGGAUUUUUAGUGAGUCCAUCCGCCGCCAAUGCACCCAUAGGGCUGAAGAGAGUUGGGGACAGCUAGGGCAGUUCUAGGUUUCUUUUCCAAAUGGACGGUCUAGAUUGAUUGGCUGCGAGAACAGAUGGCAGAGGAUAAGUUAAAUAGUGUCUGUAUUAGGCUCACUAUUGCCACAUAAUCACACGCUAUAAUAUGGCGAUUAUCAACUGUUGUUGACACCGUUUUUGGACACGUACCUUUAGACGCACGUCUGGAGUUAAUGAGGCUGUAGAUCGGCAGGUGGAGGAGUAGUGACUAGUCUACAGGAGAUUUGCCGAUGAGGGUUGAUGCCGAUGGAAAAGCAGCUGAAUACAACUAAGUCCAAGAAUGGUGAUACGUUCAUACGGAUGACCAAUGCUGAUGGUUGCCGAUGGCUAUGAGAGGCAGUCUGCCGAUGACUUUGAAAAAAAGCGCAGGGGUUGCCGAUUGACCCAGGAUGGGGUACCGAUGGAUCGUGGAGGAUAGUUUAAUAUUUUCCUUAGUUGUUAGAAGUCGUUUUGUAUAUGGGUUCCGUUUAAUUUGGAAUUCGAGUCCUAGUCGUGUCUGAUUAUAGCUCUUUGCACAGGGUAUAAAUGUAGACCCUAGGGCAAUGUAAUGAAAAAUCUAUCAAUCAAUUAAACACAAAUUUUUACUCAUAUUCCAGCAUCUACUUUUUCGACGACUUCGUCAUAUUUUCCUUUUACUACGAGUUCUUAGGAAUUCGUCGAGUCAAGCUCGGCGUGUUCUCAAGUUCCGCGUGAACACCUCUUGGCCGUGACAUCCGGCCGCAUCGCUGUUGUCGGGACCAAAGUGUUCGAGUUACCACCUUUGUCGAUUGUAAGGUCAAAUCGGCUGGCACGCCUUAACGUUUGAAUCGGGUAUUAGCCCUUUGUGUUUGCAGAUCAGCUUUUGCAUCAACACAUAUUUUGGCACGCCCAGUGGGACAGAGAGUCAAGAUCAAGAUCAACAUGUCGAACACCGAUUUCGACUUGGAGAAUGUUAUCCCCGUGACGGAAGCCAAUCUCAAGGAUGAGCAGAAACAAGCUAUGGCAAAGGCCAUGGAGGACUACAAGCAGUUAUGCUUGAAAUCCUUCAGUAUCAAUAGGAGUGGCGAGGUGAUCCAGAAGGAAGCAUUGCCGACGCCUUGGCAAAUUACUUUUGAAGCCAAUCGUGGUAAACUUCAAGAUAUGGUUGACAGUGCUAUUAACCGUGCCUUAAUCAAUCAAGCUGGUGUGCUGUCCAAUACGAUUUUCAAUGCUGUGGCUAGAACUUUUAAAGAAGGACAAGUACCACCAUCUUAUGUGGGUCCUGCCUAUCAUUAGCCAGGGUCAUCAUUGGUCACGGCUCCAUCGGCUACUACAGCCGUUGCGGGUACAGAAGCUACUUCUCCUCCAAGCACAUUAGGGAUCACUAAUGCACAAUCUACACCGAUGACGACCAAUCCAUCAGCAUCAGACGGGCAAAUCAAGCUUGCCACAGAUCUAUUGGCAUCGGCAAUGUCAGGGUCUGUCCCUCCCAACUGGUGGGGUUAUGGUAUGCCCCCGGAAUUAAUGGUAAAAAGUCCUGGAACAUCUCAAGUGGCUGACGUGACAGACAAGGCUCCUAUGGCAUCGGCACCUCCAAAUCCGCUGAUGAAUCAGAGUCCCCAGUACACUACAACUACUACUGUGAGACUUUACACUAGGAAUUCUCAGACGCCAACGUUCCAGAUGCCUAAUGCCGACGCAGCAGAGGUUUAUGACACAGCCAGGGUAUGUCAAUUCGAUGAUGCUCAAUUACCAGUCAUCGGCAGGUCCUAUGCCGAUGAAUGCUAACAGUGGAUGGGUAGGGCAGUUUGACUUUCCACAGAUUCCUCAGCAGAAUCAUCAGGCUGUAGGGUUUCAACAAGGACCAGUCCAACCUGGGUUCUAGAAUCAAGGAUUGAUCAACCAGCCGAUGAAUCUUGGUCAGCAAAUUGGUUGUCAGAUGGUUAAUCCAAUGUUCCACGCAGAUCGUACUCCUCAGAGGCACAUGGAAGCUUAUCAGCACGUGCCAGAUCCACAGCCGCCUCAUCGGCAAGAUGCUGAUGCAUAUUGGGCCGAUAAAAUAGCUGAAGUAAUGAGAAACCAAUUUGGGAUAAAACCCAAAGUCAACACUUACUCUUAUCGGACACCGUAUCCUCCUGCAUACGAUUUGAUUCCACUUCCAAAUCGGUGCAAGGUACCAGAUUUCACUAAGUUUUCUGCACAGGAUGAUUCAUCUACUAUGGAGCAUGUUAACAGGUUCAUCAUUCAGUGUGGAGAAGCUGCUAACAGAGAUGAGCUAAGGGUUCGCUUGUUCUCAUCGUCUUUGUCUGGAUCGGCCUUUACUUGGUUUAUUUCGUUACCUCCCAAUUCGGUGAUCACUUGGGCCGAUCUAGAGAAACAAUUCCAUAAAUACUUCUUUUCUGGAGUUCAUGAGAAGAAGAUUACCGAUUUAGUCAGGCUAAAACAACGCAAUGAUGAAUCGGUUGAGAGUUUUGUGCAAAGAUUGCGAGAAGUCAAGAAUAAAUGCUAUAGUCUGGUUUUAGAUGAUCGGCAGCUAGCCGAUUUGGCUUUCCAGGGGUUGUUGCCGCAUAUCAGAGACAAGUAUGCUUCUCAAGAGUUCGAAAGUCUAAGUCAUUUGGUGCAGAGGAUUUCUGACCAAGAUAUCAAACCUUUUGAGCCCAAGAGAGCAUGGAAUAAAAAGGUGUCAUUUGUCGAUGAGUCAGCAAGCUCAGACUCUGAUGAAGAACCAGUCAUCGGCUUGGCAGAGUGGGUAAAAAAUAAGAAGUCGAUGUCUUGCCCUUUUGGGCAUAAAGAGCCAGAGAAAUUUGCAUUUGAUAUUACCAAAGCCGAUAGGAUAUUUGACUUUCUACUUCAGGAAGGGCAAAUCAAGUUGUCGCCUAAUCAUGUGAUUCCAUCGGCUAAGGAAUUAAAGAAGAUGAAAUAUUGCAAGUGGCACAAUGCAACAUCUCACAGCACAAAUGAGUGCAAGGUUUUCAGGCAACAGCUGCAAUCGGCUAUAGAAUCUGGGAGAAUCAAGUUUGCUAAUUCUAAAGCUCAGAAGCCGAUGAAGAUCGAUCAACAUCCUUUCCCAACAAAUAUGUUGGAUGCUAAGGGAAAAACCAAGGUCUUGACCUCAGAGGCAGCUGAAAGAAGUGCAUCGGUGGAUCCUCAACAUCAGAUUACUACCGAUGACGCUAAAGGCAAGGGUCUGGUUCUGGAAGGAACCAGCUCAGGAACGCCUCCCCGAUUUGGCAUUGUGAUAACUCAUAGAAGGCAUCGGGAGACUUGGCAGCAACGUGAAGAUCGGUAUCGGCAUCAACAGGAGGAUCGUCGCCGAGAAGAAGACCAACGCCGACAGGAGUGGAAUUGGCAUAAAGAUCACUGGAACUGCCCGUUCUUUAUCCAUUGCUGGGAGCAAAACAUUAAAUUGCCCACUACUAGAGAUUGCCCUGAGUACAAUGGUUAUGAUCAGUAUGAUAGACCUAAUCGGCAGCAUCAGAAUGAUGAUCGACGAUUUAAUGGGCCGAUUAGGGGGGGAGCUUCAGUUCAUGAUCGGCUGGGGGGCAGGCUUAGUGUGCAUGAUAGACUUGGUGACCGUGUCGGGUACUUUCCCAGGAACCAAGAGGAACUUGAGGAGAUGGCAGAUGCACGAGUUCCCGAUGAGUUCAUAUUUUGCAGGGAUGCCAAUACUUAUCGAGUGGAGUCAAGGGAAGUUCGUCGGUAAUCGGUAAGGCAGCCGCAACUUCCUCCAUGGUGUCCGGAGGGGCUGACUAGGACACAGAAAAGAAGGCUGCAGCAUGAGAGACGAGAAGACUUGAACAAAGGAGAGAAUUCUGGCAAAUCUGGAGAUCAGCAGUAGCCGGAUCUUAAGGGAAAAGGACCAUCGGCAAAUGUCAACAUUGUAUUUAUGUUGCCGAUGGAGUUCCUUGCGCAGUCCAGUGAUGAUGAAGAGGUGGAUUUUUCUGACCAGAUAGCUCAGUUGGCUCUGGAUCCAAUGACGGCUAUCUUUGAAAAGCUUGCCGACAAUGAAAGACAGUAUCUUAAAGCCCUGUUUGUCAAAGGUAGGGUUGAUGGGCAGCCGAUGACCAAGAUACUUGUAGAUGGAGGGGCUGUUAUCAAUAUUAUGCCGUAUACGGUUUAUCGGAAGUUUGGGAAAGGAGAUCAAGAUAUGACCAAGACCGAUAUGAUGUUAAAAGACUUCGAGGGGAAUGUGUCUCCGGUUAAGGGGGCAAUAUGUGUCGAGUUGACCAUCGGUAGCAAAACUUUGCCAACAACUUUCUUCGUGAUCAGUGGAAAGGGUGCUUAUAAUCUGCUACUAGGGAGAGAUUGGAUCCAUGCCAAUUGUUGCAUCCCGUCCACAAUGCAUCAAUGCUUGGUUCAGUGGGUAGGUGACAAAAUUGAGAUUGUCCCAGGAGAUUCUUCAUAUGUUAUAGCAUCGGCAGAGGCGGAUACUUAUGAAAGGACCAGAUGCAUUUCAGGGGAGAUUUGGGAAAAUUUUCUCAAGGUUGCCGAUUACGAGAUUCCACCGAUCCAAGUAGUCGGUUCUGAUGAAGAGUUUUAAUGGAUAGGUUCGCCGAUGAUGGGAAAUUAGGCCAGGGGUUUACAUUGGCCGAUGAUUUAAUAGAAGUAGAUAUAGGGCAAUUUCUUGGUUUCAUGGUGCAUCAGAGAGGAAUUGAAAUUAGUAGGAGAUCUAUUGAUGCCAUCAAUAAGAUAGUUGCUCCUACCAACAAAACUGAACUCCAGUCUUUGAUCGGCAAGGUAAAUUUUAUCAGACUGUUUAUAUCUAAUUUGUUUGGUAAAAUUCGUGCUUUCAGUCCUUUACUCAAAUUGAAAGCCGAUCAAGAGUUUGUAUAGGGAGAAGAGCAACAGUUGGCCUUGAAUGAAAUCAAGAAUUAUUUGACAAAUCCUCCAGUUUUAAUCCCACCUCAGCAAGGAAAGCCCUUCAGAUUAUAUUUAUCUACCGAUGGGCUGGUCAUCGGUUCGGCUUUGAUCCAAGAAUUUGAAGGAAAGGAGCGUGUGAUUUAUUAUUUAAGCAGAAGACUUAUUGAUGCUGAGACCAGGUAUUCGGCAAUUGAAAAAUUAUGUUUAUGCCUAUAAUUUUCGUGUAUUAAAUUGAGGCACUAUCUACUAUCGGCCGAAUGCACCGUUAUAUGCAAGGAUGAUGUAGUCCGAUACAUGCUGUCUAUGCCGAUUAUGAGUGGUCAAAUGGAUUUUGGCAUUGUCGGAGUUUGAUCUACGUUACGAAUCGGCUAAGGCAGUAAAGGUGCACGUUAUGGCCGAUUUUGUGACUCAACAUUGCGGUGUAGUGGAGACUUUGGAAAUUGUUCCUUGGACGCUCUUCUUUGAUGGAUCUAUCUGUGAUCGGGGGCAGGAAUCGGCAUAGUACUAAUUUCCCCUCAGGGAAGGAAGUAUGGGUUUUCUUUGCCGAUUGUUGCCACAUCAACAAAUAAUCAAGCUGAGUAUCAAGCUCUGAUCAAGGGGUUGGAAUUAUUAAAAGAGGUUCAUGUUGAUGCUGUUGAAAUCUUCGGGGACUCUAUGCUGGUCAUAAAUCAGCUGGCUGGGAGUUAUGAAUGCCGAAGCGAAGUCCUGAUAACCUAUUAUGAAAAGAGUAUGCAACUGUUAAAGGAAUUCAAGGAUUUCCGAUUAGAGCAUGUCCCUCGGUUACAUAAUGAGGAGGCUAAUCGGUUGGCUCAGCAUGCCUCGGGAUAUCAACCCAUAUUAAAUACAUUAUCGGCAAUCGGUGCCGAUGAUUGGAGGAAGGAGAUUCUUGAUUAUUUAAAGGAUCCAUCUAAAAGGGUUGAGAGGCGUAUCAGGUUCCAAGCUACUAAGUAUCUACUCCUUGGGGAUGAACUUUAUUUUCGAACAAUAGAUGGAGUUCUUCUCAAGUGCUUGGGUGAUGAUGAAGCUAAAAGUUUGAUGGGUGAAAUCCAUGAAGGAGUGUGUGGAGCACAUCAGUCGGCUUUUAAGAUGAAAUGGAUGAUUAGGAGAAACGGGUAUUAUUGGCCAACCAUACUUGAAGAUUGCUUUAAAUAUUUCAAAGGAUGUCAAGGAUGUCAAAAGUUUGGCAAUAUUCAAAGGGCACCCGCAUCGGCUAUGAAUCCCAUUAUUAAACCUUGGCCGUUCCGAGGAUGGGCUAUUGAUUUAAUUGGCCAGAUUUACCCACCAUCAAGCAAGGGGCAUAAGUUCAUUUUAGUCGCCACUGAUUAUUUCACCAAGUGGGUUGAAGCUAUUCCUUUGAAGAAAGUAACAUCGACCAAUAUGAUUGAUUUUGUGAAAGAGCAUAUUAUAUACCGAUUUGGUAUUCCUCAAACAAUUACUACCGAUCAGGGUACCAUGUUUACAUCAAGGAAGUUUGAUGAAUUUGCAAUCGGUGUGGGAACUAAAGUGUUGAAUUCUUCCCCUUAUUAUGCUCAAGCCAACGGGCAGGCCGAGGCGUCUAACAAAAGAAUUAUUAAACUCAUCAAACGAAAGAUUGAAGAAAAUCCUAGAAGGUGGCAUACAUUGUUGAGUGAGGCUUUAUGGUCAUAUCGGAUGGCAUGUCAUGGGUCGACUAAAGUUUCACCCUAUCAAUUAGUGUAUGGACAUGAUGCAGUGCUACCAUGGGAAGUUAAGACCGGAUCUACACGACUAUCUUUUCAAGAUCAGCUGGCUGCCGAUGACUACGCUACUUUGAUGAAAGAUGAGUUGGAUGAUUUAGCAGGGCAUCGGCUGAAAGCUUUGAUGAGUAUACAAGAAAAUAAAAAGAGAGUUGCUAGGUGGUAUGAUAAAAAGGUAAAAGCUAAGGAGUUUGCCGAUGGAGAUUUGGUGUGGAAACUAAUCUUACCGAUUGGAACUAAAAGUUCGAAGUUUAGCAAGUGGUCUCCUAAUUGGGAAGGUCCUUAUCGGAUAAAUCGGUCUGCUUGUGGUAAUGCUUAUAUUUUGGAAACUCUCGAAGGAGUUGAAUUUCCUAGAGCUUUGAAUGGAAAAUAUCUAAAGAAAUAUUACCCAAGCAUAUGGGUCGAUGCAUAAAAAGUUCAAAUGCUGAUAACACUCCUAUCGGCUGGAUUAAAAUGUACCCGGGACUGAGUAUGAUGUUUUUUUAAAAAAUUGCCGAUAACAGUCCUAUCGGCUGGACCAAAAUACUUAGCAAUCUCUAAAGGCAGAACAAGACAUGUCGCCGAUGAAGAGCUCAUGUACUCAGCAGGGCUUGGAUGGCUGAUAUGGCGCGCAGACGGAUCUGAUCGGCUUCUUCUAUCUCCUUGAUGUCUUCAUCUGUAGAGCCCUCCACUGGCUUCAGUUUCUUCUUCAUCUGCAAUGCCUUGCAGGCUUGAAAUGUUUUGCUCUUGUUUGAGGGUCUUGAUCAUUUUAGGCAGCUGAUUUUCUUCUUGCUGAGCUUGGGAAAGAGCCUCUUCUACUUGCUUGAGCUCUGCCAACAGGGUUUCUCUGUUUGCCGAUAGGUCAGAGAUCUUCUGCCUCAGCGUCUCUCCUGAGGAUUGUAGAAUGCUGAUGCUCUUGUGUUUCUCAUCGGCAAGGUGUUUCACUUUCAUUACCUCCUCCGAGAGCUGAGCAUGGGUGGCUCUAUCGGCAAGGCGUUGAGUGGGCUUUUGGUACUGGAGUUGGCGGCUCUCCAAGUGUGCAGCCUUGAAAAGGAUCUCUUCGGCAUCGGCAACAAUUUGGCCUCUAAGAUCUUUAAACAGAGCCUUGGCUAGAUCGGAGUCAUCGACCAGUUGGGCUGUAUCCUGAUGAAGCAGGGUCAGUAGAUCUUCAAGCUUUGCUCUGAUUUCUGCCGAUGAAAUCCCGAUUGCUUGAGAAGAGCUUGCUUCCUCGCCUUCAUCGUCAGAAAUUUUGAUGGCAAAGGAGAACAGACUAUCGGGAGAGUCUUGUUCCUAAAAAGGAAAGAGAGAUGGGUUAUUUGAUGACCAAAUGUUAGUGAAAUAAAGAACAAGAAUCAAAUAACUUACUUGUUUCAGAGUUAUUUCUCGUCUCUGGCUAGUUGAGACCGAUGGUACUAUAGGUCGAUCGGCUGGAACUGCCGAUGGGAUAAUGUCAGCUGGAAAGAUUAACAGGGAUAAUUAUAAGUUGGAAAGAUAAGUCCAUCGGCAAUGAUUUCAUAGACAAUGCUUUACCUUGAGGGGGUGCAGGGCUUGUCUGAAUUGAGGAGACUACCGAUGCUAUGAUUGAACUCACUAGAUCGGCGGUCUGCUCAUGUACGUCGGCUGAUGUCUCUUCUGGCUGGGGUGCUUCUUGUGGCUGAGGUGGAGACGGUGCUUGUUGUGUCUGAAUUUCUGGUUAAGAAGGGGACGAUUCCACAUGAAUCGGUGACCCUGGAGGAGGAAGAGGAGGUGAUGUUGUCUUCUGGCGUUUUGCUUGUGACUUGGUGCUUUUGGGGCCUUUUCUCUUGACCUUGCUAGACUGGGGGGCAUCGGUACUCGCCUUGGUACUUCUGGUCUUUGCCGAUUUGCUAGUUUGCUGAUGCAACAACAAAAGUUUCAUAAGUAUAGAUAUAACAGAGCAUUGAUGAAAUAUUGGUUGGAACAGUGAAAGUUACCGAUGAAGUUCCCAUGGCAGCCGAUGUAUCCUGAAAAGGCUGUGUAAGUAUAGAAUAGAAUCAGGAUAAAUUGAAGUAAAAAAUUUUCUACCUUGAAAGCUUGCGCCAAAGCAGCAGCAAUGACUGAUGGAGAUGUCUUGGCCCGCUUGGUGGUGAUUUUCUUGAAACGCACGCCCCGGUGCAUUAAAGCCGCCAAGCUUGGUGCAUUGUUGCCGAUCAAAGAGAUCGGGCCCGAUGCGAGGAGUUCAAUCAACUUGCCACUUCUGCUGACUGAUGGUGGUGUAUCGUCGACCUGUGUGUAACAGAGGAGGUAAGUUGCCGAUAAGAACAAAAGUAAUAGGAUUGAGGCAUCGGUUGAAGACUCACAGUGUUCUCGGGGACCUUGUAUGUGGAGUCGAUUAUACCGCGGUAUGUAAGAGCCGAUCUGCAGAACAAAUGCUCUUUCCACUCCGCCCACCAUUGUUUGUACACCUGGGUAAUGAAGAGAGCUGGGAUCCAAGCCGAUAAGUCGAUAUCUGAUGUAUCGGCAUUUGGUGGGAGUUGAGCUAUUCUGAUCCACUCAAGACCACUAGUGAUGAUCUCCCUUGGUUUCACCACAUCGGCAUAGCAGAGCGCAAUCGGCAGCUGUCCGAAGGCCAGUUGACGAGCCAAUGCCGAUGGAUUGUAGAACUCGUAAGUGAGAUUGGAAUUUUUCCCAGUGCCAAAGAAGUUCACUGGUAUAGCUCUCGGAGUGAUAAUUGCCAUCAUCAGAUCAUGGUCCUUGUUGAGAGCAUUAUCAAAGGGAUGAAAAGUCAGGGGAAAUCUGGUGUUUGGAUCCUCAUAAGGCAUCCAUGCUCGCUGUUCUUUGGCCAGACCUUCAUAAAGAGUUUGAAAGAAUCGCUGACUUGAUCUUCAUUUCCACCGGUACUAGGUAGGACUAUGGCAACUUCACCAUAGUUCAGAGGGGAGCGAGUUGCCGAUUUUUUCCUCGUCCAGCUCAUGAUCUUCGGCUAUAUCUCUGGGGAAGCGCUGUGCGAAAAGGUUGAAUUCAAGGCGCUUAUGCAUGUGGACACUAAGCCACAUGUUGAUGAACCACCAGGGUCCCCCUAAGUUGCCGAUGGGUUGGCGUAGCAGGAGUUUCUUAGCUACCUGAUGGAGAAGGUGAUAAACAGAGCCGAGCAGGUAUCGGCCAAGAGGAAAUCGGCCACCAUUGGCCAGUCUCUCUGCUGCCGAUAGAUAGACGGAGGUUGGUCCUGCCGAUCGGGCACAGAAUACAAACUUAUUCAGCCACAUGUUCAAGAAAAUGGCAUGUUCUCUUUCCCCAACAGAUCUGGUUUUUCGGUACUUUUGAAUGUACCCAGACCAACCGCCGAUAUUGCGAGUUUCUACCUUAGAACUAGGCUUAUUAUCAAACAGAUGACUAUUAUCAGCAGUUGAUAUGUCUAAACCGGUGAGCAUGAGUACAUCGACAAGAGUAGGCGAAGCAGGACCGUGGCCGAAUACAAAGGCGUUGAGUGUAUCUAACCAAAAGUACGAUGCAACUAUCAGCAAUGACUCGUUCCUCUCCAUAUCGGCAAUAGAUAAUCUAAUGCAUUGGUCUAAUUUCCGCUCACCACAUUGGACUUCAUUUGAAUGGCUGACUCUUAGGAACCAAUCUUUCCAUCCUUUGGUGGGGCUGGGCCAGGAACGAAAAGCAUCUUUCCACAGAUCUAGGGAGAAGUUUUCAGCUCUAAAAGGGAUCCUAUUUGUCUCUGCGUUUAUCAGAUCGGUGGGAUCUGGGUUUCCCAAUGGACCAAGGCACUGGAAGUGAGGUUGAUCAGUAGGAAUCACGAUCUUAUCGGCCAACUCCUAAAGGGUUUGAAAGAUGAAGGAGCAGAAAAGAGACAAAGAAAAAAGAAAAGAAAAAAAAGGAUAUUCAGUAAAUAGAUUCGCAGAUGAACAAGAGUGCAGCAAAAGUAUAAAAAGAAGGAAGUGGUAAAUUAACCUCAGGAAUGACGAAAUUGAUGGUCAUUUCUUCCUGAAAGAGAGAAGGGAUUGAAGACUCAGAGGAUUGAUGGAGGAAAUCCUUGCCGGAGUUCUUGAAGUCCUCAAACAGUGCCACCGCCAGGAGGGUGGAUUUGAGGCUGUAGAAUGAUAAGAUGGAGAAAGAGUAUCGGAGAAGAAAGUAUUUAUAGGACAAAACGGGCAGGGGCAAAUCUGACUUAUCUCUUUGCCGCAUCCGUAAAAUCCGAGGGUGUUCAGGUGGAUAUGGUAACUGUUCGCAUGAUAAUCAAGGAAUUGCACAGAAUUUGACAGCAAGCGGUCACGAUUUUGAAGAUAUCUUACUGUGCAAGAUCGCCUGGUCGGUCCAUCGGUAGUUUUCUCUAAUGGUAAUAUUGCCGAUGAGCGCACAGUGGGGAGGUUCGGUUCGAAAGGUUGAGAAAUUCGAGGAACCUGCAGAAAAAUCGGGCUGAGGUUGUUUAAAUUUGGUAAUUAAUUACCAAUCAAGAGAAGUGAUUGUGGAAAGGUGUCAUUACUGAGGAGAAUUUCGAAGCAUUAAUGAUUUUAUACUCCAAAAUUGGGGGGCAUGUGUUGACACCGUUUUUGGACACGUAUCUUUGGACGCGUGUCUGGAGUUAAUGAGGUUGUAGAUCAGCAGGUGGAGGAGUAGUGACUAGUCUACAGGAGAGUUGCCUAUGAGGGUUGAUGCCGAUGGAAAAGCAGCCGAAUACAACUAAGUCCAAGAAUGGUGAUACGUUCAUACCGAUGGCCAAUGCUGAUGGUUGCCGAUGGCUGUGAGAGGCAGUCUGCCGAUGACUCUGAAGAAAAGCGCAGGGGCUGCCGAUUGACCCAGGAUGGGGUACCGAUGGAUCGUGGAGGAUAGUUUAAUAUUUUCCUUAGUUGUUAGAAGUCAUUUUGUAUACGGGUUCCGUUUAAUUUGGAAUUUGAGUCCUAGUCAUUCUUUGGAUAGGGUAUAAAUGUAGACCCUAGGGCAAUGUAAUGAAAAAUCUAUCAAUCAAUCAAACAUAAGUUUUUACUCAUAUUCCAGCAUCUACUUUUUCGACGACUACGUCAUAUUUUCCUUUUACUACGAGUUCUUAGGAAUUCGUCGAGUCAAGCUCGGCGUGUUCUCAAGUUCCGCGUGGACACCUCUUGGCCGUGACAUCCGGGCGCAUCGCUGUUGUCAGGACCAAAGUGUUCGAGUUACCACCUUUGUCGAUUGUAAGGUCAAAUCGGCUGACAUGCCUUAACGUUUGAAUCGGGUAUUAGCCCUUUGUGUUUGCAGAUCAGCUUUUGCAUCAACAACUGUUGAGCUACAAUAUCUCCUAGAAUAGUAGGGAUCAAACAUAGGUAGCAAGAACAACAGUAGGAAACAUAAUAUUUGAAAGAUCUUUUUCAUUGAUUGUUUUUUUGCAUAUGAUAUACAUACAAUUUGGACAAGUAUAUGAUUGUACUUGUCUAGAAACAUGAUAAUAACUUAAAUUGUUAAAACUACUCUUAAACUGAGAGAGGAUCAAGCUCGCUUCACUCGCUUGGGGGCAGGCGAGUUAGAGUCAUCAUCAGCAUCAUCAUCGGCAUCAUGCUCUUUGUCUUCAUCCUUGUCCUCAUCCUUGUCCUCCUUCGAGUCCUCCUUCUCAUCACUCCAUGGAGUACUACAAUCAAAAGGCAUCUAGUCAUCAGAGAUGUCAUUGUCGAAUGAAUGGUGGGAUAGCUUCUCAUCCUUGCUAGAGGAUGGGCUGCUUGGAUAGUUGAUGGGGUUGUUUGACAUUUUCAUUGCAGAUUGAAAGAGAAGGAGAUGAUGGAUGAUAAAGAGGUGUGUUUUCAAAGGGAAUGGGUUGUGAAGAAAAUGGAGUACUAUGUAUAAUAUAAUAGUGGGUACCGCUCUUUGGUUUCAGAUGGUAGUAGUAAUAGUGAUUUGAUGGCCUUAGAAGUCGAGGGCAUUCAACGCCGGUUCAGCAAACGGUUGUGUAUGUGAACACCGGUGAAAGCAUGUAACCCACUUGGCCUAGCUUUUGAGGUGAUAGAGGAAAUAGCAUGGCAGCUUCAUUCACCCAUCCAUGAUAGCUCUCUUUCCGUAGCUAGUUUUCUUCACUAGUAGGCAUCGAUAUCAUUGAACCGAUUGUGAAAGUAAUGCACGGUCGGCUCUAUCAUGUUAGCUAUGAAAGCGGUGUUAUGAUAAAUCAAUCUAUAGUAGUGAGUAGCAACAUGAUGAAGCAUUGGAAGGUUGGGAGAACAAGACUUAUCUUUGUUUUUAUUGUUGUACAGGUAGGCUGAUGAAGGAAGUCAGGUAGCAUGUCUUGGUUGGAGAGGCUGAGCUAUUGGGCGGAUGGUUUGAUGGUGGCGUUCCCUCAUGGGGAAAGGUUAGAACCCACCUUGAUCAAGUCAGUCCCUUUUAGGGGGCUGAGUGCCUAGAUGGAGGGGCUAGUUGAGCCAUCGCUGCCAGGAGCCUCAGUCGCUUUGCCAACGCUCGGUCAACUUGCCUCAAUUUCUUCCACUAUUGGUGCCCUUCUUGUGUUGCAGCUAGAGCCAUUAGAACCACACGGGGUGAUCUAAGCUAUUGUCUAGGUGAUGGAGUCUUGCUCACAGUAGUAUGCUUGCUCAAAGCUACCCUUAAUGGCAUUGACCCCAUUAGGGUCAGACAUCUUUAGCUUGAGGUAUGUGUAAUUGGGGACAACUAUGAACUAGGUGAUGCAUGGCUAGCCAAGAAGAGCAUGGUGACACUAGGGAAGUCCACCACCACGAAGGUGAGUGGCUCCUUCUAAAAGUUAUUAAGUCGGUGAAAUGUGAUGUUUAGCUAGAUGUGCCCAAGGGCAUGGCUUCCUUCCCCGACACGAUCCUAUAGAAUGGUGCCUUGCUAGGAUGCUCUCCUAGAUUCCCAUCUAAUUGAGGUUGACAUAGAGGAUGUUGGAUAUUGCCACUAUCCAUUAGCACCUUUGAGAGGCAUGUGGUGCCCAUGAUCCUACUAACCAUGAGUAGGUAGCGCUCUAGAUGAGGGAUAUGGUCUGAGUGAUCCUCCUGGUCAAAAGUAAUGACCAUCUAGGACCAUUAGAGCCAUGUGAGACUAGUGAGGGUAUGAAUGGUGUUCACUAAUUGCUCAGUGAUGCAACGUUGCUGGCAGGACUCAUACGCUUGGGAGCCACCGAAGAUUACAAGGUAGCACAUGGCCUUGGGGAACUCAAUGUCUUCAUUUUGGGUACUGUCUGCUAGCUCACCAGCCUUCAGGGUAGGCUUUAGGCCUUGCUCGGUUCGCCGAGGGUGUUAUAGAUGUAGCCCCUAAUGGUGGCACAUUCCUUGAGGUGGUGCUUGGCUUGCCUGCCAUGGAACAAAUAGGGGGGCCUUGAGCGCCUUCUCAAAGUGUGCGAGACGUGAGGUGCACCUAUGAGGAUGAGGUCUAGCGACGCGAUCAUUCGAGGGCACCAUUUCCUUCCCAUGGUGCUUCCAGUGCUUGUUCCUCUUGUCACGACAGCACUAGGAUGAGGCAGGGUUGUCACCGCUGUCUCCCACCACUAAGGUGGCUAGCAGCCUUAUCCUUACCACUGAAGUUGGCUUGGAUAGCCUCCUCACCAAUGGCAUACUAGGUGGUAACAUCUAGAAGCUCCGGCAUCAUGCGUGGGAUCUCGCGACUGAGCAUGUGGAUGAGUGCCUUGCAUGUCAUACUACAAAUAAAGGCAUUGAUGACAUUGCCAUCGAUGAUGUUGGGGAGCUUGUUGUGCUUCUUGGAGAAGCACUGGAUAUACUCUUAGAGGGUCUCAUCAUAUUUCUGCACACAAUGGUGGAGAUCCCAUGAGUUUUCAAAACGAUUUUACAUACCUAGGAAGUGUUUGAUAAAGAUGGAACAGAGAUCGCCCUAGCCGUUGAUGCUACUAGGCUCGAGUUAUUUGAGUCACGCUUUGGUUGAGCUCGAGAGAAGCACAAGAAGGACCAGAUGGUGAAGUUGUCACUUGACCCCUGGCCCUCAUGGUGAGGCAAUAGUCCUCUAGCAAGUAGUCUAGGUUGGUAUCACUCUUGUACAUGGAGAUGUGCAUUUGUGACUAGAAUUGUCAGGGGUAGGGGUGUCCUGAAGUGAUCUAGAACAACACCCCUAUCCCGUCACUCAGGAGUACAAGACUAUGCCUGGGCAUGGCCUCGAGCCUCAAUGGUGUCAUGGAUGUCGCAGUCAUUGCCGAUUUGGUGGUGUGUAGGCAAGCACUAAGGAAAAACCUAGCACCUUCGCUCCUACCAAGGCUUAGUUCACCUAGCCCACAGACGGCUAGAGCUAUCAUUGGAGGAGUCACUACUAUCUCUGCUUGUCGAUAGGAGUGCAUGUUAGAGUGGUCCCCAUUGAUGGUGGUCAUUGGCUAGGACUAUUGGAAGAGCAUGGCAUGAUGUUAGGAGGCCAAACUCUCAGCCUGCUAUUGGAGGGUGAUGCAAAAGAGCCAUCUUGCCUUGUGUAGCCACUCAUUGGUCUUGGGGUCCAGCGUGUCAGAGAUGUACUCGAACCAGGAGGCGACGACCACCAUGUUGUAGGCUGCUCGAGGCAAGCAUAGGGCAUAGGGAGCCCCUUGUGGGCAUCAUCAUCAAUGAUGGGGUAUUGCAUGGGUUGCUACUGUGCAAGCUCCUACCUUUGGUGGUUGAGCUCUUCCUCGAUCAGCGGCCUCUAGGUCCACCUGCCAAGCAUUUAGGCAAUCUGCCAUCUACUGAAGCUAGUUCAUGUUGAUAUAGGGACUCUAGUCUGGUGGUGUGAUCUCAGGCACUUCCUUGUCGAGGUCCUUACCAUUGAUGUGGUAGCACAUGCGAGGCAGGCCAUAGUAGUCGUUGUUGUUAGAGUUGUACUAUGGGCCAUUCCGUGUGAGGAUCUCAAGGAAGGUGCGCAGUGAGGGGACACCCUCAUGUCACUGAAGAGGAUGGCGCUCUAUGGCGCAUCAUAACUAACAAGGUGGUCCAGCUCUAGCUAAAAGGAUGCCGCCACAUUCUGGAUCUCGAAAGGUAAGUCCAAGAGUUAGUACUAGAAGCGGUCUGGUGGUAGGAGCAUCUCGCUGGUGGUGAUCUAGUGGUGGAUGAUGGUGAGCAUGUAGGACAUCUAGUGAUGGUCUGACAUGGUUAGGUUUGGGCCCCAGCCACAUUGAAUCUGUCAAGCUAGGACCUUGAGUUAUGCUCCCAAGAGGCCUGAUGGAGGGGGCAACAUCCAGAACACAGUGCUCCCUAGUGUGGCCCCAUCAAGCAGAUAAAGUUCACCAAAGUUGGGUAGCUAGCCUAGAGCGAAGGUGUCGGUCGUGAUGAACUCGCUAGGGAAGCAGACGCCACCGUCUAGGGAAAUGCUACUUACAACAACAAUGAGGCGGGUGGCUUCGGCCACUGUAGAGCCUGAAUUGCACUUGAUGUUGCCCUUAUCUAGUGCACUAGCUGUCAUGAGGUUAGAACCAUUGUAAGCAUUGUGGUUCAAUCUAGUGUUAGAGUAUGUGUCUCUAGUGGCUCGAGUGGUCUCAAGAACAUAAGAAUCAAAGAGGGGACGCAACAGUUUAUCCUAGUUCAGGCCGAUUGAUGCCCUAUGCUCAGCAACUGAUGAUAUUUAUAGUCAAGAGCACUUAAAACUAGGGGAUUACAAUAGAGUGUACAUGAGAUUGAGAGAGAUUUGGUAGUGGGAUAGCUCGGUGCUAAUCCUUAGGUUCCCUUGCCACUGAUGGAGCCUUUCCCUCAUUGGAGAGGAGGAAGGCGAUGGAAGCAGUGUAGGAGCUCUCGGUGCCCCUCUUUAGGUUGCCCUGCUCUCGAUGCUGAGCAACAAUGGUGAAAGAUCCUAAUAUGGCGAGAGGGGGGUGAAUAGCCUAGUCAAGGGCAUCGAACGUGCCCGUAGCGUCCAAUGCUCCCCUAAGAGGCGCGCUGGAUUGCACCAUGUGUCCUCAGUCAAAUGUGACCUAUUGAUCUCCAAAGGUCACUUAAACAUUCAAGAUUGUUGGGACUACUCGUCAGGUGCAACAUACCGGACGUGUGACCCUCACGCCAGAUGCUACUCAAAGAGUUUAGAAACUGCACGGGGAGGCGUCGGGCAUUCGACGGUACGCCAUCGGACGCUCCUUGGCGUCUGAUGCACACUGCCGAAACCUCGCUCUCAUGCAACGCUAAUGUCACCUACUACAGUGCGAGUACUGGUGCGUCUGAUGAUAGUGUCGAACGCUCUGACGCAUGGUUCACUCGCACGCUGCGUCACAUGCAUGCACGAGACACUGGGCCAGUGUCCAAUGCUGUCAAGACCACAAAUGUGCUAACCACCAAGUGUUCUGCCCUGUGCACAUGUGUUAUCAUAUUUUCACAAACAUUUUUCAAGGGUUCAGUUAGCACACUAGGUUCUAAAUGCAUCUAUAUGUGCAGUGACACCUAGUGGCACUUGAUAACUUCUUAGCCGAAGAAUUUCCCUUUUAUAGUACGGCUAUCUAUCCUAAAUGUGAUCACACCCUCUAUGGUGUCUUGAUCACCAAAACCAAAACCUAAGCAAUACAUUUGCCUUGAUCUCCAUAGGGUUUUUUCUUCUUCUCUUUCUUCUUUUCCAAGUUGAGCACUUGGUCAUCACCACCAUCACCAUGAUCAUGUCUUGCUCCAUCAUUUGGCAUGUACCAACCUCAUCCAAUCUACACCCACUUAGCAUAGAGGUUAGUAGUUUGGAUUUCAUCAAUUAUCCAAAACCAAACUAGGGCUUUCAAUAGGUCAUGUACAUGGAGGUUUAGGGGUUGACCCUAUGGUCUACAUGCAUAGAUGUGCUAGAGUCUAGGAGGGUCUUACAAUGGUGCUCUAUGGACUGUGGUGAUGUCUUGGUAUCGAAGAAGCUCUAGGCGUCCUUCAGCUCGCAUGUUCUAACACUCUGCGUGUUAGGCUAUGUCGGCUUCAACUAGCCUCCCCUAGGUGCACCUUCUAGACUCAUCUUAGUGGCGAAGGAGGCUGGCUCAAGGGGCUGACACUUGGGCCUGAAAGGCCUUAGUGCCUUUAGAGGUCGAGGAGGAGUUUGUCUUCUUAUGUCACACCUUGUGUGUGACCCUAUUACGGGAGAGGUUGAUGGAGCCAUGCCGAAGGGGCAGCACUGGGAGCCCUCGAGCCUUAAUGGUUCGGGUCGCAUCUUCUAAUGCUCAGGCCUUAGCUGGUAUCCAAAGAUGGGAAAGGGCCAAGGAUCAGGUCUAAGCUCUUGAUGAUUAGGAGCCUGGGGCUCGGGCGAGCCCCUGAGCUUCGAGUUACCGGUUGUGCUCAGGCUCAUCCUCUAAGGGUGCACAUGAGCGUACUUGAUGGUAUAGCCCCUGAGCCCUUGGGCGAUCCUAGAGGGAUCGGUCGGGGGGUCUCUCGAUUGAAAACCGUUGACCCCAAGGCUUAACAUACCUAUAUGUUAGGAUCUCAUCACUUACCUUUGUUAAAAAACUAAAAAAUGAAAUAAACUUUAGCGACAACUAUGUCCUCCUAGAUUCCAUGGGAAGAGCCCAACAACUAGCUUCAAAGCAACACCAAAACAGAUGACAUCCAACUCAUCAAGCUUAGAGAAUUUUGGUGAACAUCUGCCGCAUGUUGAGACAAUGGGAAACUUAUGAUCUGGUGGGGCGUCGACAUAGUAAUGAUGCGGUGGAUGGAAUCGUUGAAGGCGUAGAGUUGAUCUCUGCUCGCAUCUUCCUUGUGGUGUGCCUUCCAAGGAACCCUCAUGCUACCGCCUGUAGCCAUACCAUUGCUUGGACUUCCUGCUCUGACUUUUCCAUGUUAGCAUGGUAGCAGUUGAACAUCACAACAAAGCAAUCCAUCUCCUUUGUGAGACAGUGAGUCUCCUUAGCGAGGGUAGUGAUUGGCUCAUCACAUGAUGGUGAUGGAUGACCGACAGUAGAAGCCAUAGAAAAGGAUCCCUGACUCAUGAUGCUAGAUGGUAGUCCAUACGGAGCAUAGGGAUGAUAACCAUUGCCAAAAGGAAGGACAGGCAAAGUCAUGGAGAGAGACUACAAUAUUUGGGGGUAAGUUUGUAGUUCAUGCUUCAUUCAAUUUCUCCUAGGUGUCGAGUCUUUGUCUCCUUGUUUCUCUCCCCAACAUUAAAUCUCAUUAACUCUAAUCUCUUCGUCGAAAUUCUAAUUGGCAUUAUAUCUAGUACCCUAGGAUAGCGUCCUGGCUGCCCCACAUGACAGAUUUAGCCAACCUAUAUACAGAAGUAAGAACAGAGAUACAUGUUACCUAUAAUGAAAGAUGUUUGACCACGUGGGCAUAGAAAUAUGUUUCCUAAUAGACUUUGGUUUUGCCUAAAAACUUUUCUCAGACAUAUUGGUCGUACCGAGGAAAGACUAAAGCAUAUCUUAGUUGUUUUGCCUGGGCAUUUCUCAUACUUCCUCAUCUACAAUAUAGUGCAUUCUAGCAUCAAAAGUUAUAUCAAUAUAAGAGAUUCUAAGAGGACAUCAAGCAUUCAAAAAUUUUACCCAAAGAUAAGAGAUUCUAAAAGGGACAAAACAAAUUGCAUUAAAUAGGUGCAUAAAUUUGGUGGAUAUUUAUUGUUACUACCAUUAUACGUAUCAAUCAACACUACUAAUCAUGUUGAUGAUAGCACUAUAAUUUGUCCUAAGAUCUCUAGAAUAUGCAUUAUAUUAUAGGACAGAUAGAGUAUGCAGCAAUUAAUGUUAGUUACUUUUUUGUGUUAGUACUAAAUUGAUGAAUACAGCCAAAGUGCCAUGAAACACCUAUCGUUGUUAAAUGCAGAACUUCCACGCGGUUACUGUCAAAGAGGCUGUGCAAUGCAUAACUCCUUAUUUAGAGGAUACAAGCCAACCAAGUCAGCACAUCUACUUCGAUGGAUGGAGAGGGCUUGGUGCAUCUGCAGUCCUUACAUCUAUAGCUGAAGAGCCCCCGCCAUCUGUGAGACACAAAUUCGAUAAAAUCAUCCAUAUUGAUUGCUCUAGGUGGAAAAAUCGGAGAGAACUCCAGAGGAAAAUUGCACAGAAACUAGGGCUUCCUCAGCAUGUAAUGAACAUUCUAGAUAAACAAGAUGAAGAGGACGAUUUCAGCGGGGCAGAUGAAGGCUCUAGGAUUGAGAUAGUAGCUGUCGGGAGAGAGAUUCAUCAAGCCCUGCAAGGACAGAGUUGUCUAGUAGUUUUCCAUAAUGGGAGCACUAACAUGGUUGACUUGAAUGAUUUUGGCAUUCCUCAACCUGCAGAUCGAUGGGCAAACUUUGUUCGGAAGGUAUUGUGGACUUUCCGUGGAAGGCUUCAUGCCAUCCCAGGAAUGAAGCUAGCAGCUGAUCCAACACGUGCUCCUUCAACUUCAAAUGCAGAAUCAACCAAGCCUAGUAAUGGUAAUCAAACACGGACAGAUCAGAAACAGCUCUCAAGGGAAAAUGUUCCAGCGACAGAGGGAGUAAAUGUAGACAACUCACAAGUUUAUCUUUAUUCAUUUCUUGAGGAUAGUGAAAGUGAACAGUGGAAUGGACUAGCACAUGAUGAAGCUGCAGAAAUAGCUAAAUACAGUCGUAAGCUUGGCGUCACCUUAGAAACAGCUGCAUUGUGUUGCAAGUACAUGUUGUUACUGAAUUCCAGGGGUGUCGACACACUAGACUUCAACUGGGCCACCCAUGCCUCCAACUAUUGGGUUUGCGAUGGAAUUAUACAAGAAUACCAGCAGGACAAAGCAUGGGAGGUAGCCACUGCUUUGCUCGAAGAAGUGAAACUAGAGGAAUUCUCAUCUUAUAAAUUGCCCGAAUUUGGUGAUAAGACACGCUGGGUUGUAGCCACCGAUCCUUAUAGAGUUGAAGAAAUUAAGCCAGAGACAACAUCAUUUUUUUUUGCCAACAAUAGGGGACAGGGGGUAGCAUCAUUACCCACUAAAAUAUUCCAGAGAUCUGCUGAGCAGCUUCAUGUACUGAAACUUUGCCUCUGUACUUUCAGCUUUUCUUCACCGCCUUUCCUUCAUUGUCAGAAGAUAAGAUUUCUUGGACUGGAUAAGUGCAAGGAUCAGCCAAAGAAACUAGAAGGAAAAGAGGAAGAUGACAGACGAAAAAAUAAUUUCUUCCAGAGUCUAUGGGUGCUUGACAUAUGUGACACAGAUUGGGAACUGGACUUAUCCCUGAAUAUAAUUGAGAGUAUGCUUCAAAACAUUAGGGAGAUACAUAUAAAGAGGGAAAGAAUCUGGAGCAAUAGUAAUGCAUGGACAUGGAGACAUGUACACAAUAUUCACAAGCUUCGAGUGAUUGAACCUACAUUGCAUUGGAAAGACGAGGGUAAGGAUGAAGAGAUGAAGGAUGAAUUCAUGAAUAUGUCCAAGCUAGAGCUCCUUGAUUUGUCAGGGAAUAGCACAAUAAAAGCUUUGCCAAGAUUAUCAGGUGCAACUAGCCUCAGCACUCUGGUUCUAGAUGGCUGUAUUGGGUUGACAACAGUUGCCCCUGAAGAGCUGCCACCAUCCCUGGAAACAUUUAGCUUUGAUGCAGGGGAAGGAAAGCAAUACAACAAGAAAGCUAAGAUCUCUCGCAUCUCCAUGGCUGGUUGUGCAAGGCUGGAGAACUUCAGAUUGCGUGGAUCUCUUCCGAAUCUUGAGGAGCUGGACCUUUCCAACACAUCGGUCAAAACACUUGACCUGAAAGAUGAGGUGGUGCAGGUCUCAUUCCUGCAACGACUCAUUUUGUUGGGAUGUGAGCAAAUCCGUGCUAUACUUUGGCCAAAGGCUGGAAUGCCCAAACUAGUGGUGCUGCGCAUUGACACUCGAGGAGGCACAGAAGUAGCUAGAUCAGAAACACCUCAUGAUGCUGAUUACUCUUUGGUCAUCAGCAAGGAGCAUGAAGAGAUGUGCCUUGCACGUGUUGCUGUUACGGACAUGAGGUUGCUUCAGUCGUUGCUGCUUGCAGGUAGCAACAAGUUUUGCUGAAACACAACUAGAUUUAAUCUGAUUCUGUACUUGUCUUCUUCUAGCAAAAAUGAUGAUGGGCAAAACAACAGGAAGGAGAAAAUUGGCCUCCCAUCGGUUGCAUCACGUCUGCACAAGUUCCCAGUUCUCAAGAGUCACCAGAUCUAUAGUGAUAUCAACACUAAUGAGGCAACGGGCAAUCAUGAUAACAGCAGUGCGCCGUAGUUUCAACCACUAGACUUUCAUGUAGAGAUUGUUGAGGAAAUAAGCACUGAUAAUGUGGUCACCGAACAAGCAAUCAGGGCUGUGAGGUUUGUUCUUAGUAAGGUCAACUCAUUGCAUGUGCACGACAGCUUUUCCAUCAACACUGUUAUUCCCGAAAGCAUGGUCACCCGUGAAAGUUGGUCCGAUCUCAAGUUCUGCUCCAUCAAAAGAUGCCCUGAUUUGAACAUUGUGUUCACCACUGACGAUGUGUUCUGCUUCCCUAAACUAGAGACAUUUUUGGGGGCUCAUCUUUUGACUGCACGCUGUAUCUGGAGCAAAGGAUGGAUAGCCCUUCCAUAUUUUGGAAAACUUCGGGCUAUAAAUCUGCACUUGUGCCCUAGGCUCACAUUUGUCCUCCCAUUAUCAUGGUCCCAAACCUUGUCAUCACUAGAGACCCUUCGCAUCAUCUACUGUGGUGACCUCAAUCAGGUCUUCCCCAUGGAAGCAGAGUUUCUGAAGGAAUCAUCUACUGGCCAUCCAAGACAUGAACUGGAACUUCCAAACCUGAAGCACAUACACCUGCAUGAGCUCCCCAAGCUUCAUCAGAUAUGCGAGGUCAAGAUGUUCACUCCCAAGCUCCAGACCAUCUGGGUGAGGGGAUGAUGGACCCUCAAGCGCAUCCCAGCCACCACAGACCGCCCGGACAGCCGCCCUGUUGUUGACUGCGAGAAGGACUGGUGGAAGAAGCUGGAGUGGGAUGGAAAGAAGGCUCGCCAUCAUCCCUCCCUCUUCGAGCUGCGCCACUCCAAGUACUAUAAGAAGACCCUGCUCAGAAGCUCGGUUCUCCGGUGAGCCUCGCCGACCUGAUGACGUACUAGCUACUCCAGUCAAUGCACCUCCAGGUACACACAAAUAAGCUAGUUUCCUCUCUCGCAUGCUUGUUUUUUCUGCUGUCCAUGAGGAAUGUAUAUCUAUCUAUCUAUCUAUCUAUCUAUCAUAUAUGCAAUAUCUUAUAUUUCUGCAGCAACCUCUGCAUCCUAAUUGAAAUUCAAUAUAGGAGUAUAACAAUUUAGAGAACUGAGCUGUAGCUUUAUCAUUGUGAGCAAAACUACUUCUGUUCAUUCAUUAUUAUAGUUUCCCCUAAUCACCUGUUUUAUUAAUGGUAAUUCUUUAGGUUUCCUUGUGGAUACAUCGCGGCGAUGUCUCAGUUGCUACCUACGGUGUGCUUUAUCUCCAUUGUUUUGCCAUGCAUGUCUUCUAUGUGUUUUCUCAAGAAUAAAUUGGUGGUUGAUGCUGGUUGCAUUGUAUCCACCAAGUUGCAUUGGGUGUUGAUGCUAUGUUGGACCAUGUCCAUGAAGCACGCGGCUUGUUUGCUUGGUGUUGUUUGUGAAUUUAUUUUGUGUGUAUGCUUGAAAUAAGAGGGAGGGUGUCAUGUGGCUUGGUGCAUCUGUACCAUAUAUAGUCAUAAAUAAUAUGACACUCAUGGUGUGCGAGUGUUUGAACGGAACAACAUUAAGACAGUUUGUAUGCGUGAUGGAUUGACUCAGAAGCAUGCUAAUGCUGCAUAUAUAUUUUCUAAUGGUUUGUAUGCUAAUGCUGCAUAUAUACUCUCUCCAGAUGUGCAUGUAUCCUGAUGCACAUCCAGUGAUGCACAUCAAAAGGGCACAAAAAAUUGUGUUCGAUGACUCUACCAAAAAAUUAUGUUUGAUGACUCUACCAAUACGUGGUGCACCAUGAUCAGGAUGCUAACAACCCUGUCGUUUGUAUCCACCUGUUAUAUAGCGCUAACAAAAGGGUCCUCUACUCUAGGUAGGAACAAAUAUUCUGUGAGGGUUAGCUAUGGCGGAGUAACAGGAAAACCGCCUAUCACUGCUUCACCAACAUUUCUAAGUCAGGUCUUACUCCAAGCAGCCACGGGUCUUCGCUCCUAGGCUCAUGUGGCCCUUGAUCCAUUCUACUAGGUGUCUUAAUUAUGAAUUAAUGAUCCCAGUUGUGUUAAGAUAAAAGUUCUGACAUUUGGUAACGCGGUGUGCUAUUUCUAAUCCUGAGCCUACCUAAUUGUUUCUGCUAAGCAUUGGGUUAACAUAAAUUAAGAUCUAAUCUAAGUCCCUAGUAUGAUUAAGUUUUGGUUUAAGGCAUAUAUAAUUGUUGGAAAUUGAUCAUGCUUAAGUACAAAUUGUUCAUGCCUUAGUCUAGUUGUGCAUCGAUUUAGCCUUGGUACCUAGAUCAAUACCUAAAUUAGUUAGUCUUAGACCUAAUUCACAUUGAAUUAGUCAAAUCUAGGGUUAGUUGCGGAAGAUUAAUAGCCCAUUCCUUUUAAUUGCUUCGAAUUACACAUGGCUGUACCUAAUCGAGGGCUAGAUUUAUCGAUUUACGCAUAUAAAUGGAGGGGAAAGCUUAAUUGAAAACCUUAAAAUAAAUUUCCCAAAAUCUAAUAACCCUAGAUGAAAUUUCAAACAAUCUCAAAAACUCCAAAUCCUAGAUAGAAAAUCACCCAAAGUUCAAACCCACCCAUGAAGUCUAAUCAACUAUUUACUAAGGGACUACCGCAUAAUGUGAUAGAUUGUGCAUCGAUUGAGAUGGUCUUGAGACCCACAUGAAGUCUAUCAUAGUGGUAUCUUGUUCUAUGAUAUCAUACAUUGUGUGAUGUAUGAUGAUGAAAUAAGCUAGUGGUAGACUGUGAAGAGAGACCUCCUAUUAUGUAAGACAGGUUGGUGUAUAACUUAUGUGACUCAAAUGGCUUAUUUAAGCAGUGAUAUCCUACAAUGAACCUAUUAGACUACUCUAGUAUCUAGUGCUAGUAUCUCUUUGGUUAUUGUGCUAGUCAUUUACUGCUACUUUACUUAGCUAUGCGCCACCCUAUGUGGCUUUGUGAUCUGGCCCCUUGGGCCUUUAUAUAUUGUAAUCCUCUGUGUAAACACUCUAUCAAUUCAAUCUAAACCUGUUGGCAUUCUGCCUUCAUGGUAUCACACGCCUAGGUCGGUUCCUGUGACCGACCUCUCCCUCUCCUCUGCUUCCGCUUCCUCUGCUUUUUCUCUCGGCAGCUGCGCCUAUGGCCACCAACGGCGACUCCAGCGCCAGCGCUUCCGCGCAGGUUGCCCUCACCGCCGCCACCGCUGCCCAGCUGCGUGAUGACGCCAACUCCACCGCCAAGCGCCUCGAGGCGGAAGCCGCCGCUACUCGCGCGGCCAAUGAUGCCCGCGCCGAACAACUCCAGGCGGAGGCGGCUCUCCUCCAGUCCGCCGCCGACGCCCAAGAGCGCGUCCGCGCCGCCGCCGCCACCCUGUCCAGGGAGCGGGCGCAGCCCGACGCCCUAGAGGCGCAGGCAGCCGCCAUCCGCGAGCGGCUGCGCCUCGAAGCCGCCCGCGAUGACGAACCUGAAGAUGGCGACGCCGAUUCCAUCUCCUCUGAGGCCACCGCCGUCGCCCACCUGCACAGCCAGGCCUGCGCGGUUCAGAACAUCAAAAACUUGAUCCCCAUCGUCCUCGACCUCAAGUCCUUCCACUACUCCAAGUGGUGCGGCUACCAUCUCCUCGCCCUCGGAUGGUUCUCCCUGAAGGACCAUGUCCUCAGUGAUGAGUCCUGCUCCUCUGACCCGGCCUGGAACCGCAUGGACUGCGUUGUGGUGUCCUAGAUUUUCAACACCAUCUCCACCGAGCUCCUCGACAUCAUUCAUGCUCACGACGGCGUCUCUGCUCGGGUGGCCUGGUUCGGCAUUGAACAAUAGUUCGUAGGGAACCGUGAGUCCCGAGCACUGCUCCUCGAUGCGGAAUUUUGCAACCUCAACCAGGGCGAUCUUUCUAUUGAUGACUACUGCCGCAAGAUGAAGGGCAUGGCUGAUUCCCUCGCUUACCUUGGUGAACCAGUCAGCGAUCGCACCCUAGUACUCAACGUACUGCAGGGUCUCAAUGAACGGUUCCAAUUCAUGGUGCAGCUCAUCACGCGACAAAAGUCGUUCCCUUCGUUUGCUGAUGUUCGUGCUGAUCUUCGUCUCGCCGAUCUCAACAUGGGUCAGUCCUCAGGGACUCCUACUGCCUUCCUCGCCUCUUCGUCCAGCAAGUCGCCCCCUGCUGCACCCAGCCUCGUGGGUGCUCUUCAGUACUUGACAUUCACUAGGCCCGACAUUGCAUAUGUUGUCCAACAGGUCUGUCUUCACAUGCAUGAUCCUCAGGAAGUUCAUCUUGCUGCUGCCAAAAGAAUCUUGCGCUCUCUCCAGGGGUCUCUUGAGCAUGGCCUCAUCAUCCCUAGGACUUCUCCAACACAGCUCGUCGUCUACACUAAUGCUGAUUGGGCCGGCUGCCCAGAUACUCGCCGCUCCACCUCUGGUUAUGCCGUCUUCCUCGGCGACAGUCUCGUUUCGUGGUCUUCUAAGCGGCAGCCCACCGUCUCUCGCUCUAGCGCUGAGGCAGAGUAUCGGGCUGUUGCCAAUGGUGUCGCUAAAGCUUCUUGGCUGCGGCAACUCCUCCAGGAACUCCAUCACCCCUUGCCAAUGCCUGCCUCGUCUAUUGCGACAAUGUCAGCGCAGUCUACCUCUCCACCAAUCCUGUUCAACAUGAGCGCACCAAACAUGUGGAGAUCGACCUCCAUUUCGUCCGAAAACGUGUUGCCAUUGGUGCUGUCCGCGUCCUUCAUGUACCCACUACUUCUCAGUUUGCUGAUGUCUUCACCAAGGGGCUGCCUACUUCAGUAUUUCAAGAUUUUCGCUCAAGUCUGAAUGUCCGCUGCUGCGACGUUCCGACUGCGGGGGGGUGUUAGACUACUCUAGUAUCCAAUGCUAGUAUCUCUUUGGUUAUUGUGCUAGUCAAUUACUGUUACUUUACUUAGCUAUGCGCCACUCUAUGUGGCUUUGUGAUCUGGCCCCUUGGGCCUCUAUAUAUUGUAAUCCUCUGUGUAAACACUCUAUCAAUUCAAUCUAAACCUGUUGGCAUUCUGCCUUCAGAACCUAUAUGAGUUCGACUGCUAGUCAUAGUCUAUGAGAUUUGGGUCAUUGUGUGACCUCUAGAUACUCAUAAAGGUCCAGAAGUUUUACUUAUAUUCUCCAACUAGCAAGGAUGCUUUAGGCAACCUAAUAUUAGUAAAGGACUUAGGUGAAACUUAUUUAGCACAAAAUUGCCAAUUCAUGACGUAGUUCAUUGCUAGCUGUGAAGAAGUGCAACCUGUAUUCUAGGUAGAUGUCUAACUUAAUAGUCUCUAUUAAAAUACCAAUUAAUAUAUCAAAUAGUAGAGAAUUGAGAGCAUUUCUCAUAGUGCCCUAGAUAUUGGUGGUGAUUGUUGGAUUUAAUGUGAGCUUGGCUCAUAUUUUAAUGAAUGAAAUCAAAUACAUUCUAGAAUCGUAUUUGAUGCUAUAGUGCAAUAUAGUUUUAAUCCUAAAUGAGAUUUUUACUAUAUAUUGACUUAACUUAAAUGACUGUUUUUGUUGAAAAUUUUGAAGAAGGCUUUGGAUGUGCCACACGCGUGUGCACGCACUGCCAAUAAGCCAUGGUGUGGCGUCCAUGAGCACAGGCUUAGGCCACGCCACUCCACUACAUAAUGUGGUGCGAGCUAGAUUUAAUAUUGCCACUUGGACUAGGCUAGUUGAUGGAGCCAAAGUCCAUGUGUCUGUUCCUGAUUACUCCCUCCAUCCCACAAAUAAUUACAUUUCUUUGACUUCUAUGAUUCAUAUUUGACCGUUCAUCUUAUUCAAAAAAUUUUAAUAAAUAUUAUUUAUUUUUUCACGACUUAUUUUAUUGUUAGAUAUAUUUUUAUAAUAAUUUAGUUUUUUAUUAUUUGUAUAAAAAUUUUAAAUAAGACAAAUGGUCAAACAUGAAUCGUAGCAGUCAAAUAAAUGCAUUUAUUUGUGGGACGAAGGGAGUAUUUUGGUGCGAGCUAGGAUUAGUUUGGUUUUGCCACUUGGACUAGGGAGAAUGUGCAUUGUUUUUAUCUCCUUGAUUAUUGUGUCCCGUAAAGUUGCUAUGACUGUUCCUCGUUGAUAGACAAUAAUUUUCACUAACUGGGCUAACCCUAGACAGGGUAGCCAUAUAGUUCCAUUUAUGGGCCUCAUGGGCCUAGAUUACUCAUACUCCAACAGCCCCCCGCAGUCUGAACUACCGACGCAGCGGAGUUGCAGACUGGACUCGAAAAAAAGUACACACACGAGCCCCCACAGACACAACUAGCCACCGGUGAUGUUGAGGCUGGAGCGAAACUCGGCGAAGGUCGAGGACCGGAGGCCCUUGGUGGAGAUGUCGGCGAACUGGGAGGUGGUUGGAACGUGGAGGACCCGAACAUCGCCGAUGGUGACCCGAUCACGAACGAAGUGUAGGUCGAUCUCCACAUGCUUGGUCUUCUGGUGCUUCACAGGGUUGGUGGAGAGGUACACCGCACUGACGUUGUCACAGUAGACCAGCGUGCUCCUGGAGAUAGGGCUGUGAAGCUCGGCGAGGAGCUGCCGGGCCAGGAAGCCUCAGCCACGCCGUUAGCAACAGCGCGGUACUCCGCCUCGGCACUGGAGCGGGAAACAACUGGCUGACGCUUGGACGACCAGGACACGAGGUUGCCGCCUAAGAAGACGGCGUAGCCAGAGGUAGAGCGCCGAGUGUCCGGGCACCCGGCCCAGCCAACGGCAGUGUAGACGACCAACUCGGUGGAGGAAGACCGGUGAAGAAGUAACCCGUAGUCGACGGUGCCGCGGAGGUAGUGGAGGAGGCGCUUGAGAGCAGACAGGUGGGGCUCUCGGGGAUCAUGCAUGUGGAGACAGACCUGCUGCACGGCGUAUGAGAUGUCCGGCCUGGUGAAAGUAAGGUACUGAAGUGCACCAGCAAGACUCCGGUACGCUGUGGGGUCUGCCACUGGACUGCCAUCGGCCUCGGACAGUGUAACAGAACCGUCCAAUUUAUAAGAAUUCAAGUGAAUUAGCGACCACGGAGGCAGUCAAGCCAAUGGACUUGAACCCAUAUAAACCCGGUAGUCCGACGAAAUCUCAAAAGACCUCGAUUCAACCAACAUACAACCAAGAUCGUACAUGAUCAAGCAUCACCAUCACAGAUUACACACAUUCGUCACAGAACAUAGUUUUACAUCAAGAGUUUAAAAGUGGUUAUUACAAACCAGAGUAGUAGCAGAAACAAAGUAGUUUUAAAACAACACAUACUCAGUUUAUAUUACAUGCCAGUUCAAUGGUCAAGUCCCAACAAAAGCACAACUGAAGAUAAAGAAGGUGAUCACGCCCAUGAUCUAUUCAUCGUCCGCAGCCGGAUGAUGGCAGUUAGGGCAGUAGCCGUGAUACACGACAUCAUCUGCAACAGGGGUAAAUAAAACCCUGAGUACGAGAAGGUACUCAGCUAGACUUACCCGUCUUAAACCAAAAUAAAGUGACACCAAGGAGUAUGCAAGGCUGAUCUUUGUGGACUGGUUUGACUCACCUUUUUGCAUAAAAAGCCUUUGUUGUAAGUAACCCAUUUAUCAUAUUUCAGCAGCAGGUUCAUUACUUAACAAUUAUCCACUAGAUUAGCACCUAAUCUAAGCAUACACUUGAGUAUUUAAGCAUCACAAUAAUAACAAUAUCCAGAUUAUCACAUAGCUAUCAACAUUCUCAUCAUAACCAUUAAGUUUAUUUAGUGAGUUCUACGUGCGACUGCCCGUGUCAAGUUCUCACUAUCCGGGAGAGACGGCGACUCGAAUCAAUUCCUAUCCAGCUGGAGGGGUAUUCCUAGCACUCACCCAAGCAUACUUCAUGAGGGCAGCUCGGAUCACCUUUAGCACAACUCCGAACCAAUUCGCGGGUCCGUACGGCGCCGCACCCCCAGGGACCGCCAAUCUGCCAGGUCAGGACUCUAACCUGACACCUCGGUCUUACGCCAUUGACUCCCCACACAUCCUUACUACCAACCGGGGUGCGCACUUUAACCAGAUCGGGGUAUCCGGCCGGAGAUGCACUCGUAGGCUUCGCGGUCGGAACGACUUAUCCGGCCAGCUAAGUGUUAGGCAUGCGUUCAACAUGACACGAGGACGUUACAUCAAUCAGUCCUUAAUCGACACAGACGGGGAUAGAUUCACACCCAAGACCUCCAUGCCUUGUUGCUGCACUAUCGUCAUCCCGCCCGGUCUCAAAUUCAUUAUUAGCACAUGCUUAUUUCCACGAUAGCAAAUAUAGCCAACCGUUAUCAUCAUCCACCUAUCUUUCGCAGGUGACAGGAAAUCACCUGGCUUCUACCGAGCUAAGCAUGGCUAAGCAUCAUUUCGAUCCUGGACCUACUCAGGUAAGGUAUGAGGUGGACAAGGUAGUCAUUAUGUAGCAAGGGUGUCAUAUCAACGCCUAACACUUAAUGCAACAAUACAUAAACAUAGUCAAUUGAUAGCUAGAUAUGAUAACCAAAAUAGUAGGAGGCUUAUAAUGCUCCGGGGCUUGCCUUCGACGUAAGUAGAGGGACGGUGGUCGGGGCACUCCGACAAGUCCUUCUCCUCAGCUCCUUGAGGUAGCUCCCCUUACUGUCCUUCCGACUCUGGCAGCUCGAACUCCAACACGGUCACGCCCUUGGGUACACCUAUGUAUGCAUGACAAGGAGAUAAAUAUAGAGAAUGCACAUAUGAUGCAUGAUGUCAUAAUGAAGAGCCAAAGGAACGUAAAACAAGGUAUAACAUGAGCAUACACUCCAAAAAUUAAGUGAAUCAUGGGAUAACAAGUAAGUGCAUACUUUUUCUCUGGUAGAGAGACUAACUAGACAAGUUAAACAAUCCUAGCUACUCCUACUCAGUCACUGGUUUCAUGGGCAGACCAACUUCCUACAAGUUUCAGAUAUAACUUAAGCAUCAGUUGGACAAACUAAGCAAGUAAAUACUUUCUGGAAAGAUUAGCAAAUUAUAUACAUUUCACUUUUAGACAUCCCAGAAUGAUUCCCAGCCGAAAUAUGCUAAAACCUACAAAGUUGGCUGGCUGUCCUGGAAAAUCCAGAGAGCAAGCACUUUGCAGCAGCUACUUGUAACAUUCAUAACUUUUAAACUAUUCCACCAAAUGUCAUGAAACUUGGACACGAAGUAGAUAAGCAAGUUAACUACAAGUUUGCUGUAGAUAAGUUUCCCAGAAAACAUCAUCUUUAAUUAGUUCUUAAGCAUUUGUUAUCAGCUACACAGAAUUGCUAUAGGAAAGGUAUAAAUAGCAAAAAUAAUAUUUUGCACAUAACAAGAAUACCUCAAAGGGUCAAUCCAAAUGCACCAGUAGGUAGAACAUGUCUAAGAAACACUAGAAAACAUCAUGGCAAGGUCUAAACUCAUUUCUAUCAUCACCUUUUUCAUUUAUUUAUUUAUUAAGGUGAUUUAAUGAACAUGCAUCCCAAGUGCUCCAAAACUUCUAAGAAAAUUACAGCAAGCUACUUAUGCUAACACAAGUUUACUGUAAAAUUUUCAUGGCACUUGCACAUACAGUUUGUGAGAUACAAAAAUAACAAGCUAACAAAGGCAUGCAAGGCAUAAAUGUGAAACCCUAUCAAAAAGUGUCAAACAACCGAUUUCAGAUUUUUCCUAGCUUUGUCUACACAUGAGUACAUCACUCAGCAAGGUUCACCACAAAAGGAGCUAUAACUUAUUUAUUAAAAAUACCACAAGAAACUCCUAUAUGAACAAGAAAUAUUUAUAACUUCACAAUCAGGCAUCCAAAAAUCAUGAUAAAUUUAUCAGAGCCUAUUCAUAUCAUUAUUAACAACACUCUAAAUUUGCAUGACCAACAGAUCAACAGAUCUCCAGAUAUAAUUACCUCCUAAAAAUCCAAGAUUAAUUUAUAUCUAAUUAUUUUCACAAAAGCAUGGCAUGUUUUAUAUUUUUGUUAAAAACUAGAUGACUACCAGAGCUUAGCAAAAUUGGAACCAUGACAUUUGGAUCUAUAAAACUCGAGAUAUGAAUUUUUCAAAAUCAACACAGGAUCUGUAAAACAGUGAACCAGGGAUGUGAGAGGGAGAGGCUGACACCCGGGACCCGCGCGUCAGAGAGACAGAGACAGGGGAGACGCUCGUCGCCGGCGAAGCUCAACGACGGUGAGGUCUCGGUCGGAUCCAAGGGCACCUACGCGUUCCUCUCAUCAAGGCGACUCUGUUGACCUACUUUACCCGCGCUCUACUGGACCCUAGGGUGCUCGCCGUCGGGAAUGGCGGAGCGGCAGCGCUGCGCAGCAUUACGCCGGCGGAUCUAGGCAAUGGUGACGCGGUAGAGCUUCACGCCGAGCAUCAGUGAGCCAAGGGGAAGCGAUAGGAACAAGAAGAAGGAAAAUGGUGGAGCAGAGAGGCCUGGCCACGUUGCCGGUGAGCUCGGGCGGAACUCCGGCGAGGGAGAGCAGCUCGGAGCUCGGCAAUGCCGUCUCACCUAUGCUCGACAGUGGCCAAGGAGGUGACGCCGAGGUAGAGGACGUCGAGGCGGAGCUCUGGGCGGGCUGGCUUGGCCAGAGGCGCGGUGGAACAGCCGUAACAGCUCGCUGAAACGCGGCGGAGCUCGCUGUGGACGGAGGCGGACGCAAUGUGGAGCACUGGAGGGGUGAAUGGCGCGUCUGAGGCGUCCACUCGAUGCGUGGCGUCUUGUGGAUGAUGCCGGGCUGACAGGAGGGGUCACCGACGGCGUACGGCCGACACCUGGCCGGACACGCGGCGGCGGACGGCGACUGUCCAAACUGAAUCGGUUUCUGAAUCGGCCGAUUGCAGUGACUGAAACUCCAACUUCGUCGACGUUUUACUCUUAGCUCACUCGAUGGUUUUGGCUCGAAUUUGGUCCAUUAGACAGAGCUACACGAGUUCUACAAGUUUGCUUACAAGAUCAAAGCCUAACUCGGUCUAGAUUUCAAUCUACAAGGCUCCCAACAACCCUACCUCGAAACUGUGUCAUUCAAGACUUAGCCAAAUUCGGCUAAGUGUGAAAUCAGCCCUGAUUUUUGGCUUGUGGGCAGAAUUUAAAUGGGUUCCAAGCAUUUUCAUGAAAAGUCAUCAACAUAACUUUUGUAGCUUAUGAAAUUUACUACAACUUUGUUUUAGGUGUCAUCUACAUGCAAGGUGGCUAACACUAGUUUCAUAAAACAUCUUUGAAAAGAGGUCUAGGGGGGUUAAUUAAGUUAAUCUAGGGUUAACCAUGACUUAGGGGCAUUUUUGGCCAAAACCUUCAACAUGAAAUUUGUUCCAAAUGAUGUUCUAAACAUGAUUAAAGUAUUUUGGAAGACAAUGUACACUUGUAAGUAUUAGUCACCCACUACAAUCAACCAGAGCAAGCCUUAUAGCAAUUCAAUCACAUAGUACAUGUAGCAAAUGGCAUGUGAUCAUGGUAUGAUGCUCAUGAGUGCUCAUGAUGAUGCUUAUGUUGAUGCAAUGCUCAUGGUUAACAUGCAAGCUAACACUAGGAGUGUUACAGCCCUCCCCCCUUACAAAAAUCUCGUCCCGAGAUUUGAGAGACGUACCAUUUUUCGUAGAAUGAAGGAUAAGUUACUUGUAAAUAGUCUUCCCUUUCCCAAGUGGCGUCUCUCUCACUUUGACGGUUCCACAAAACUCUAAAGAGCUUGAUCACUCUCCCACAAGUAACCUGUUCCUUGACAUCAAGAACUUGUACAGGCUUUUCUUCAUAGGAUAGGUCAGACUGCAACUUUAGGCCUCUCGUUUCAACUCUCUUCGGGCACACGAAGACACUUCUUGAGUUGAGACACAUGGAAUACAGGGAAAACGGUUCCUAGUUCUGGAGGUAGUUGCACUUUGUAAGCUACCUUGCCACUUUUCUCGAUGAUUUGGUAGGGACCCACAUACCUAGGGGCAAGCUUUCUUUUAACACCAAAGCGAUUUACUCCCUUCAUGGGCGAUACUUUUAGGUACACAAAGUCACCUACUUCGAACUCGAGUGGUUUUCUUCUUUGGUUAGCAUAGCUUUUCUGUCUAGCUUGGGCAGCUUUCAUGUGUUGCUGGAUAAUGAGAACUUGUCUUUCGGCUUCUUUGACAAAGUCAAUUCUGUAGUACCUCCUUUCGCCAGGUUCGACCCAGUUUAGAGGAGUUCUACAUUUGCGACCAUACAAAGCUUCAAAAGGAGCCAUUUGGAUACUUUCUUGAUAACUAUUAUUGUAAGAGAACUCAGCUAAGGGUAGCCAUUUCUCCCAUGCACCCUUGGAAGAUAUCACACAUGCUCUCAACAUAUCCUCUAAAAUUUGAUUCACACGCUCAGUCUGACCGGAGGUUUGAGGGUGGUACGCUGAACUGCGAAUCAAUUUCGUACCAAGGAGCGACUGCAGAUGCUCCCAAAAGCGGGCAGUGAACUGAGGACCCCUAUCAGAAAUAAUGGUGUGAGGUACUUCGUGCAAUUUAACAAUCUGAGAGAAGUAUAACUCAGCGUAGUCGGAUAUUCGAUGUGUCGAUUUCACAGGGAUAAAAUGAGCUGAUUUGGUCAAACGGUCAACAAUCACCCAUAUGGAGUCAUGUCCUUUUCGGGUGAGGGGAAGGCCAACAAUGAAAUCCAUGCUGAUUUCUUCCCACUUCCAACCCGGAACCGACAAGGGUUGCAAUAAACCUGCAGGUUUAAGGUGAACUGCCUUUACCCUGCAACAAGUAUCACACCUAGCAACAUAAGCUGAUAUCUCCUUCUUCAUCUUGGUCCACCAGAAAUGAGGUUUCAAGUCUUGGUACAUUUUGCUACUACCCGGAUGGAUGGACAACUUGGAAGAAUGAGCUUCAUCUAAAAUCUUGUUGCGUAGGUCACGGUCUUUAGGUACAACUAGUCGAUCGUCGAACCACAGUACUCCCUUCUCAUCUACCCUGAAGUGCUUAGUGUCUUGCUCUUGCAUUUUUCUUUUGAUAUGGAAAAUACCAGGAUCAGACUUUUGAAGCUCUAUGAUUUGACUCUCUAAUGAGCAGCUGACUACAAUGUUGUGCAGGACCACCAGGUGCAAUAAAUUGAAGCCUUCCUCUAGGAGAGGUCUAACAUGUUGUUUCCGACUGAGAGCAUCGGCUACAACAUUGGCUUUGCCUGGAUGAUAGUGUACUUCUAGAUUGUAGUCUUUUAUCAACUCUAACCAUCUUCUUUGUCUCAUGUUCAAUUCGGGCUGAGUGAAUAUAUAUUUGAGGCUCUUAUGGUCAGUGCAAAUAUGACAUAGAUUACCCAAGAGAUAAUGCCUCCAGAGUUUCAAUGCAUGUACAACUGCUGCUAACUCUAGAUCAUGAGUCGGGUAGUUGGCUUCAUGUUUCCUCAACUGCCGAGAGGCGUAGGCAAUAAUGCGGCCUUCUUGCAUAAGCACACAACCCAGGCCAGUGCCAGAUGCAUCACAAAAGACGUCAAAUGGCUUUUCAAUGUCAGGCUGUGCCAGAACAGGAGCGGUGGUCAGCAAAUGACGUAAAGUGGUGAAAGUGACUUCACACUCCUGGGACCACACAAACUUCACAUCUUUUUGUAGUAGCUUGGUCAUAGGCUUAGCUAUUUUGAAGAAGUCUGGGAUAAAGCACCGAUAAUAUCCAGCUAGACCGAGAAAACUCCGAACCUCGUGCACUGAAGUCGGGGCCUUCCAGUCUAGGACCUCCUGCACCUUUGACGGGUCAACAGAAAUACCGUCUUCAGAUAGAAUAUGGCCUAAGAAAGGCACUUUCUUCAGCCAAAACUCACACUUGCUGAACUUGGCAUAAAGCUGAUGUUCUCGCAAUCUAGUGAGUACAAUCCGAAGGUGCUUCUCAUGUUCUUGUGCAUUUUCAGAAUACACCAAUAUAUCAUCGAUGAACACCACCACAAACUUAUCCAGUUCAGGCAUGAACAUCGAAUUCAUCAGGUACGUGAAAUGAACAGGGGCAUUAGUCAGACCAAAGGACAUGACUAGAUACUCAUACAACCCAUACCUGGUAGAGAAAGCCGUUUUAUGAACGUCUUCGGGUCGGAUCUUGAUUUGAUGAUACCCAGAUCUCAGAUCAAUCUUGGAGAAUACCUUAGCCUUAGCUAAUUGAUCAAACAGGAUAUCAAUGCGAGGCAGUGGAUACUUGUUUUUAACAGUCACGACAUUGAGCGGGCGAUAGUCUACACACAUACGUAGAGACUUGUCUUUCUUCUUGACAAAGAGAGCCGGACAACCCCAUGGAGAAGAACUAGGCCGAAUAAGACCUUUCUCGAGAAGUUCUUGCAAUUGCUUUUUCAAUUCAGCCAAUUCGUUUGGUGGCAUUCGAUAUGGCCUUCUAGAGAUAGGUGCGGUGCCUGGAAUUAGAUCAAUUUUAAACUCAAUGUCUCUGUCCGGUGGCAACCCGGGCAGAUCCUCUGGAAAGACAUCCGGAAACUCACACACUACCGGAAUCUCUGCCACCGUGAGUGGUCUGAUAGCAUUAGCAGCGUGACAAAUGUCAUCGUUCUUGGGAAGCUGGACCAAGAAGGCUUCUUUGCUAUCAGGCUCUCGCAACAUGACUACACUACCCUCGUGGAGGUAUCUAUUAACACUCUAUGCUUGCUCAUCCAAUUCAUUCCCAGGAUAACAUCUAUUCCCAAGCCCGGCAACAUUACUAAAUCUGCUGCAUAAUUAUGCCCUUCAAUGGCAAUAUGUACAUCCCUCACUACUUGAUUUGUAGUGAUUUGAUUACCAGCAGCGCUAAUGCAAAAUUUGCCACUGUCAAGAUCAACUACAUGCUGUCCAUGCUUAGAUGCGAACGCUUGACUCAUAAAUGAAUGCGAAGCUCUAGAAUCAAACAAUACAACUGUAGAGUUUUGGUUAACAAGAAACAUACCGGCGGUGACCACUUCACCAUCAGGGAUUUCUUCAACAGUGGUAUAGUGCACUCGGCCCGUACGGUUGUUGCCUCCAGCUGCAGAAUUCCUCUUGGGAUAAGGGCAAUCUCUCGCCCAGUGACCAACUUGUUUGCAAUUGAAGCAAGGGCGGUUGUCAGGGGGAGUCUUGGGACCUCCUUGACCAGUGGCGCCCCUUGGGAGAUCAACCGUGAAGGACUGGCGAACUCCCGUCUUCACAUUUGACUUUUUCUGCGGUGGCCUAUACCUUGUCACGGCAUUUGGUGGGCGAUAGGCAGCUUAUUUGUCACGGGAGCCUUGGACUGUGAAGCACCCGCCUCAUAGGCCCUCUUGCGGUUCUUGGACGCGGCAUACACAGCAUUGGAGUUCUCCUGAGUCAACGCAUCACUCACAAACUCAUUAAAGGUGGUACUCUUGUUACCCGCCAUGUUUUUGGACAGCUUGGGUCCCAACCCUCUCUUGAAACUAGCAAGCUUCUUGGCCUCAGUAUCAACCAUCUCAGGAGCAUAGCGAGACAAAUUGUUAAAAGCAUGAAGAUAUUCAGUCAAGCUUUUAGUGCCCUGGUUCAGGUUCAUGAACUCAUUGUGCUUGAUAGUCAUUAAGCCUUGGGGAAUAUAGGUGUUUCUGAAAGCAGUUUUGAACUGAUCCCAGGUCACCUCAGCAUUGGUAGGCAAGCGGGUCCUGUAAUGACUCCACUAGACACCUGCUUUGCCCUCCAACUGGUGGGCUGCAUAUUCCGCCUUUAGCUCUUCGGUUACCCUUAGCAAUCGGAAUUUCUGCUCAAGAGUGUUGAGUCAUUCAUCAGUUUCUAGAGGUUCGACAGCCUCCUUGAACACUGGUGGCUUCAUGUCCUGGAAAUCCUUGAAACUACUGUGCUGAUUUGCCUCUCCACCUUGACGGACAUGGCGACCACCCCGGUUUUGCUGCGCCAUAGUUUGCAUAGCCUCAUUCGCUGGCCCUCAACAAGAGCUGCCAAUAGCUCAGUAGGCGUAGGCGGGGGUGGAGGUGGUGGUGGCACCUCAUUGUGACCGGAGCGAGUAUUGCGAGCCAUCUGCACAAGUCACACCAGGUGACCAUUUAGGACAACAAUAUAAUUGCCAUGAACCUCAAUUGCUGCCAUAUGGAAUUUAAUGAAGUAAAUUCACAUAAGUCAAGGCACAAUAAUCCAUGUACAACAAGAGAAUAUCAUCCACGACACUUGGUUAUUCUCGCGAUCAUUCACAGCCACAAUUCACAAGGAUUAAAGUCAUUGCAGAAAAUUAUUUAAGCUCAACAUAAACAUGGAGCAUCAGAAAUAAGUGCAUAGGGUUACAUAGAGUCAUUGCCACAACUUAAGUCUUACAGGCGGGGCACCAUGGCCAAAUACAUAGAGUUUCUGCUGAAAUUCAGAUUACAUGUCCAUUACAUAAAGAGAUGGAAACUGAUACAUGAGUAUGGACUCAUUGCUAGACUACAUAUCUUCUUUAGAUUCUCCAUUAGAAAUGAUGCCAUCAUCCUGAUCUUCCUCGCUAGGAGCUUCUUCAUGAUUAAAAGGGGCUGGAUGUGGAAUAGGAUUUAUGAUAUUAUUUAGGCGAUGGACAUCUAACUGCAGCUCAGCAAUCCUAGUAGUCAGUUCUUCCUCUCCCAUCUCAGCACGGAACAAGGCUCUAACUCUAGCAGCUUCUCUAUUUUCAGCCAGGCGUAUAGCCUCAUCUCUCUCUCUAGUCAUUUGCAUCAUGCGGGCUUGUGCCUCAUUGCGUUCUCUAACUGCGUUCUCAACUUGGUUGCGGCGGGCUUGCAAAGCGGUGUGAUAGUUUUGGAUUUUAGCUUGUGCAUCCCUAAAAGCCUUGCGGUGCUUGCGCACUCACUUGCGCAGUUUGCGCUGCCCAACUUGAGCUUGUUGGAGCGCUAGCAUGGCGUCUAUGUAGGUGUCCUGGCGUACAUAGUACAGCUUAAGUACCGCCAGCAUGGCACUCAUGGCAGGGCUAGAGCUAUAUCCUAGCAUGGUUUCUCUCAACUCUAAAGACUCAUUUCCUAUCUGAGACACAAAUGUGUCGGUCACACUCACUCUAGGGAUGGAUCCAGCUGGGCCAUUCACUAGCUCAUCACCAUAAUCUUGGCAUAUCUCCAGCAAUACUUCUAAGGCUGCUACUUGGGCACCCUCCCAAGGAGUUUGGCCAUCGCACUCUACUAUCCAACCUAGCCACUGUGGGUUAUUCGGACAAGGGGGAACUGUAAUUUGGACAUCGACCCAAGGUAAGGCUCCUGCAUGCUCAAACUCGGCCCAAGUGUACUUAGGUGGUUCCUCAUAACCAACUGAACUUAGCACCCUCCACAACAAAGUAGGAGUGCCGAACAUGUCCAGGAAAGUCUCACUUGCGUGCGGGACUGCCAUCUGUAGAAAGACCACAUUUGAGUAAGGGAGAUCAAUUACAAGUAAAGGCAAAUAGAUAUAUUUUCAGAAUUUAAUACUUAAGUAGUCCAUAAGGAAUGUAUGAAUGAUUCAUGAUGCAUGCACGUUUCAUACGCCCUUUCCAUUCCUAGAAGAAGGUUCUAACGGUAUAGUCGGUGGCAUACAUACAUGCACUCCUUAUACGCAACAACACGGUCUACACGCUUCGUUGUUAGUGUACCUGCAGAAAAUUCCAUUUCAGCCCAACCCCACAAUAGUAUAUGUGCAGAAAUGUAAAUCCAAUCAUGUACAUCAAGCUAGGUACUUCGAUAUAUAUUCCCAAACAUAUAUCGCAGCACCCUACACAUUUGGGAUACACCCACAUAUACAUCAAAUAUGUAUACAUGGCUGCACCUACUACCCACAAUUAAGUACCUUCAUAUAUACAUGUGUAAAACAUGUAAAUAUUCCAGUAACCACAGCUAACACUCCCCUAGACCGACGGUUGGACGGUCAUGCUCUCACAGCUCACACUUACCGUAGCGUAGAGGCAUAUAGAUCCAUGCAUUACCACUCAAGCAAGUGGCAUCCAUACAAUUUCACGCCGUAUGGACGACGAAAGAAAACAACCAAUGCUUACCAUGGCAUAGAGGUAUGUGAUCCAUUCAUUACCACUUAAGUAAGUGGCAUCCAUAUUAUUGCACGCCAUAUGGACGACGAAAGGAAAAACCCCCAUGUUAGUAAUAUUAAGCCACCUAGAAGUCCUUAUAUGGGCAUAAAGGGUAUGACCACUGGCAUGGUAUAAGUUAUCAAAACAUUUUUAAAACAGCCCUACAUAAAGCCUAAUUUGCAAAAUUAGCUUGGGAAAACCAAAUUCAUUUGUUUUCAAAUACAUCUAUUAUGGUUAAAUGCUUAAUCUUCCUCUGAUGCCAGCUGUAACAGAACCGUCCAAUUUAUAAGAAUUCAAGUGAAUUAGCGACCACGGAGGCAGUCAAGCCAAUGGACUUGAACCCAUAUAAAGCCGGUAGUCCGACGAAAUCUCAAAAGACCUCGAUUCAACCAACAUACAACCAAGAUCGUACAUGAUCAAGCAUCACCAUCACAAAUUACACACAUUCAUCACAGAACAUAGUUUUACAUCACAUCAGAGUUUAAAAGUGGUUAUUACAAACCAGAGUAGUAGCGGAAACAAAGUAGUUUUAAACAACACAUACUCAGUUUAUAUUACAUGCCAGUUCCAUGGUCAAGUCCCAACAAAAGCACAACUGAAGAUAAAGAAGGUGAUCACGCCCAUGAUCUAUUCAUCGUCCGCAGCCGGAUCAUCGCAGUUAGCGCAGUAGCCGUGAUACACGACAUCAUCUGCAACAGGGGUAAAUAAAACCCUGAGUACGAGAAGGUACUCAGCUAGACUUACCCAUCUUAAACCAAAAUAAAGUGAAACCAAGGAGUAUGCAAGGCUGCUCUUUGUGGACUGGUUUGACUCACCUUUUUGCAUAAAAAGCCUUUGUUGUAAGUAACCCAUUUAUCAUAUUUCAGCAGCAGGUUCAUUACUUAACAACUAUCCACUAGAUUAGCACCUAAUCUAAGCAUACACUUGAGUAUUUAAGCAUCACAAUAAUAACCAUGUCCAGAUUAUCACAUAGCUAUCAACAUUCUCAUCAUAACCAUUAAGUUUAUUUAGUGAGUUCUACGUGCGACUGCCCAUGUCAAGUUCUCACUAUUCGGGAGAGACGGCGACUCGAAUCGAUUCCUAUCCAGCUGGAGGGGUAUUCCUAACACUCACCCAAUCAUACUUCAUGAGGGCAGCUCGGAUCACCUUUAGCACAACUCUGGACCAAUUCACGGGUCCGUACGGCGCCGCACCCCCAGGGACCGCCAAUCUGCCAGGGUCAGGACUCUAACCUGACACCUCGGUCUUACGCCAUUGACUCCUCGCACAUCCUUACUACCAACCGGGGUGCGCACUUUAACUAGAUCGGGGUAUCCGGCCGGAGAUGCACUCGUAGGCUUCGCGGUCGGAACGACUUAUCCGGCCAGCUAAGUGUUAGGCAUGCGUUCAACAUGACACGAGGACGUUACAUCAAUCAGUCCUUAAUCGACACAGACGGGGCUAGAUUCACACCCAAGACCUCCAUGCCUUGUUGCUGCACUAUCGUCAUCCCGCCCGGUCUCAAGUUCAUUAUUAGCACAUGGUUAUUUCCACGAUAGCAAAUAUAGCCAAUCGUGAUCAUCAUCCACCUAGCUCUCGCAGCUGACAAGAAAUCACCCGGCUUCUACUGAGCUAAGCAUGGCUAAGCAUCAUUUCGAUCCUGGACCUACUCAGGUAAGGUAUGAGGUGGAUAAGGUAGUCAUUAUGCUGCAAGGGUGUCAUAUCAACGCCUAACACUUAAUGCAACAAUACAUAAACAUAGUCAAUUGAUAGCUAGAUAUGAUAACCCAAAUAGUAGGAGGCUUAUAAUGCUCCGGGGCUUGCCUUGGACGUAAGUAGAGGGACGGUGGUCGGGGCACUCCGGCAAGUCCUCCUCCUCAGCUCCUUGAGGUAGCUCCCCUUGCUGUCCUUCCGACUCCGGCAGCUCGAACUCCAACACGGUCACGCCCUUGGGUACACCUAUGUAUGCAUGACAAGGAGAUAAAUAUAGAGAAUGCACAUAUGAUGCAUGAUGUCAUAAUGAAGAGCCAAAGGAACAUAAAACAAGGUAUAACAUGAGCAUACACUCCAAAAAUUAAGUGAAUCAUGGGAUAACAAGUAAGUGCAUACUUCUUCUCUGGUAGAGAGACUAACUAGACAAGUUAAACAAUCCUAGCUACUCCUACUCAGUCACUGGUUUCAUGGACAGACCAACUUGCUACAAGUUUCAGCUAUAACUUAAGCGUCAGUUGGCCAAACUAAGCAAGUAAAUACUUUCUGGAAAGCUUAGCAAAUUAUCUAAAUUUCACUUUUAGACAUCCCAGAAUGAUUCCCAGCCAAAAUAUGCUAAAACCUACAAAGUUGGCUGACUGUCCUGGAAAAUCCAGAGAGCAAGCACUUUGCAGCAGCUACUUGUAACAUUCAUAACUUUUAAACUACUCCACCAAAUGUCAUGAAACUUGGACACGAAGUAGAUAAGAAAGUUAGCUACAAGUUUGUUGUAGACACGUUUCCCAGAAAACAUCGUCUUUAAUUAGUUCUUAAGCAUUUUCUAUCAGCUACACAGAAUUGCUCUAGGAAAGGCAUAAAUAGCAAAAAUAAUAUUUUGCACAUAAGAAGAAUACCUCAAAGGGUCAAUCCAAAUGCACCAGUAGGUAUAACAUGUCUAAGAAACACUAGAAAACAUCAUGGCAUGGUCUAAACUCAUUUCUAUCAUCACCUUUUUCAUUUAUUUAAUUAUUAAGGUGAUUUAAUGAACAUGCAUCCCAAUUGCUCCAAAAAUUCUAAGAAAUUUACAGCAAGCUACUUAUGUUAACACAAGUUUACUGUAAAAUUUUCAUGGUACUUGCACAUACAAAGGCAUGCAAGGCAUAAAUGUGAAACCUUAUCAAAAAGUGUCGAACAACAGAUUUCAGAUUUUUCCUAGCUUUGUCUACACAUGAGUACAUCACUCAGCAAGUUUCACCACAAAAGGAGCUAUAAUGUAUUUAUUAAAAAUACCGCAAGAAACUCCUAUAUGAACAAGAAAUAUUUAUAACUUCACAAUCAUACAUCCAAAAAUCAUGAUAAAUUUAUCAGAGCCUAUUCAUAUCAUUAGUAACAACACCCUAAAUUUGCAUGACCAACAGAUCAACAGAUCUCCAGAUAUAGUUACCUCCUAAAACUCCAAGAUUAAUUUAUAUCUAAUUAUUUCCACAAAAACAUGGCAUGUUUUAUAUUUUUAUUAAAAACUAGAUGACUACCAGAGCUUAGCAAAAUUGGAACCAUGUCAUUUGGAUCUAUAAAACUCGAGAUAUGAAUUUUUCAGAAUCAACACAGGAUCUGCAAAACAGUGAACCAGGGAUGUGAGAGGGAGAGGCUGACACCCGGGACCCGCGCGUCAGAGAGACAGAGACAGGGGAGACGCUCGUCGCCGGCGAAGCUCAACGACGGCGAGGUCUCGGUUGGAUCCAAGGGCACCUACGUGUUCCUCUCAUCAAGGCGACUCUGUUGACCUACUUUACCCGCGCUCUACUGGACCCUAGGGUGCUCACCGUCAGGAAUGGCGGAGCGGCGGCGCUGCGCAGCGUUACGCCGGCGGAUCUAGGCAAUGGCGACGCGGUAGAGCUUCACGCCGAGCAUCAGUGAGCCAAGGGGAAGCGAUAGGAACAAGAAUGAAGGAAAAUGGUGGAGCAGAGAGGCCUGGCCACGUUGCCGGUGAGCUCGGGCAGAACUCCGGCAAGGGAGAGCAGCUCGGAGCUUGGCAAUGCCGUCUCACCUGUGCUCGACAGUGGCCAAGGAGGUGACGCCGAGGUAGAGGACGUCGACGCAGAGCUCUGGGCGGGCUGGCUUGGCCGGAGGCGCGGUGGAACGGCAGGAACAGCUCGCCGAAACGCGGCAGAGCUCGCUGUGGACGGAGGCGGACGCAAUGUGGAGCACUGGAGGGGUGAAUGGCGCGUCUAAGGCGUCCACUCGGUGCGUGGCGUCUUGUGGACGACGCCGGGCUGAUAGGAGGGGUCAUCGACGGCGUACGGCCGACACCUGGCCGGACACGCGGCGGCGGACGGCGACUGUCCAAACUGAAUCGUUUUCUGAAUCGGCCGAUUGUAGUGACUGAAACUCCAACUUCGUCGACGUUUUACUCUUAGCUCACUCGAUGGUUUUGGCUCGAAUUUGGUCCAUUGGACAGAGCUACACGAGUUCUACAAGUUUGCUUACAAGAUCCAAGCCUAACUCCCUCUGGAUUUCAAUCUACAAGGCUCCCAACGACCCUACCUCGAAACUAUGUCAUUCAAGACUUAGCCAAAUUCGGCUAAGUGUGAAAUCAGCCCUGAUUUUUGGCUUGUGGGCACAAUUGGAAUGGGUUCCAAGCAUUUUCAUGAAAAGUCAUCAACAUAACUUUUGUAGCUUACGAAAUUUACUACAACUUUGUCAUCUACAUGAAAGGUCUCUAACACCAGUUUCAUAAAACAUCUUUGAAAAGAGGUCUAUUGGGGUUAAUUAGGUUAAUCUAGGGUUAACCAUAACUUAGGGGCAUUUUUGGCCAAAACCUUCAACAUGAACUUUGUUUCAAAUGAUGUUCUAAACAUGAUUAAAAUAUUUCGGAAGACAAUGUACACUUGUAAGUAUUAGUCACCCACUAUAAUCAACCAGAGCAAGCCUUAUAGCAAUUCAAUCACAUAGUACAUGUAGCAAAUGGCAUGUGAUCAUGGUAUGAUGCUCAUGAGUGAUCAUGAUGAUGCUUAUGUUGAUGCAAUGCUCAUGGUUAACAUGCAAGCUAACACUAGGAGUGUUACAGAUAGCUUGCCCUGAGUGUCAACUGGGGUGGAGCAAGGCUUGGAGCCAGUCAUCCCUGCUCGCUCCAGGAUCUCGAGUGUACUGCCGCUGGUGUAGAAGAAGCCCAAUGGGACGAGGCUCAACAGUGACUCCGAGAAAGUGAUGGAGGAUGCCUAGAUCCUUCAGAGGGAACUCCAGCUAAGGAGCGCUGAUGAUGCGGCGCAAUAGUGAAGGACUGGAAGCUGUGAGGACAAUGUCAUCAACAUAGAGCAACAGGUACGCAGUCUCGGCUCCAUGGUGGUAGAUAAACAGGGAAGUAUCUGACUUGGCCUCCACAAACCCCAGUGUCACCAAGAAAAUAGCAAUCUGAGAGUGCCAUGCCCGAGGCGCCUGCUUGAGACCGUAGAGAGACUUGUUGAGCCGGCAGACCAUGUCUGACGAGAGGAGUCAACAAAUCCCGCUGGCUGACUGCAGUAGACCGUCUCAGUAAGAUGCCCGUGCAGAACAGCAUUCUUCACAUCCAGCUGGUGCACCGGCCAAGAGCGAGCAAGGGCCAGAGAGAGCACUGCGCGGACGGUCGCCGGCUUCACCACAGGACUGAAGGUCUCAUCGUAGUCAACCCCGGGGCGCUGAGUGAAACCCCGGAGAACCCAACUAGCCAUGUACCGCUCAAGGUUGCCAUCAGCCCGCCGCUUGUGAGUCCAGAACCACUUGCCGGUGACAAUGUUGGCGCCAGAUGGACGCGGCACCAGAUCCCAAGUCUGGUUGGCGAGAAGCACCGCGUACUCCUCUUCUAUCGCGCGGCGCCAGUGAGGGUUCAACAGGGCGACGCGGACAGAAGAGGGUACAGGAGAGACCUGCGAGUCGCCGGGCAUCGCUGCAAGAGCCCGGGACUGCAGGGUACCAGCCGCGUGCCGCGUCACCAUCGGGUGGACAUGACGCGGGUCGCGGUGAAGAAGCGUCGGGUGGUACACCGGCGACACAACACGUGUAGUCGAGGCCUGCGGUGGCGGAGUAGGCGUGGCCGGUGGAGAGGAGACCACCGGUGGUGGCGGUGGCGACGGUGGAGGAGACACCACCGAUGGCGACCGAGGCAGGGGCAUCGCCGGCGAAUGAGAGGCCACCCCCGGUGGCGGAGGAGGGAUCUCCCGCGCCCGGCGCUGGUAGACGUGCACCGGCUGGGCGAAGCGCGCCGGGGGUGCAACGGGCACCGGUUGGGCGUAGGGUGCCGGAGGAACGAACACCGGCGUCCCCAGGGCCGCGAUAGGCAUAGUGGCAGGAACCACCCGGAGGGGCGUGGCCACCGGACCCGUGCAAGGCACCGAGUCGGGGGCCGCGCCGGUGGGCGGCGAGCCGGGACACGAUGCCGGCGAAGACCUUGGUCGAGCAAGACCUACAGGAAACAGUAAAGGUGGCUGGGCCACCGGGUCAGCGGGACACGACGAGAAGAAGUCGAGGUCAGGGGCGGAAGUCGGAGUGGUGGUGGUGGAGAAAGGGAAGACAGACUCAUCAAACACCACAUGGCGAGAGAUGAGGACCCGACGAGAGGUGAGAUCAUAGCACCGGUACCCCUUGUGGUUCGGGGAGUAUCUGAGGAAGACACAGAGAGUCGAACGGGGUGCCAGCUUGUGGGGAGCAGUGGCUGUGGUGUUAGGGUAGCACGCACACCCGAAGAUGCGAAGGUGGUCGUACUGAGGAGGGGUGCCGAACAGAGCAUGGUGAGGCGUGGGAGCUGGGCAGGCAACGGAAGGAAGGCGGUUAAGGAGGUAGGUGGAGGUGUGGAGGCUCUCGGGCCAGAAGCGCGCAGGGAGCGACGCCUGAAGAAGGAGGGUGCACAUGGUCUCGGUGGUGGUGCGAAUCAUGCGCUCAGCCUUGCCGUUCUGAGAGGAGGAGUACAGGCAAGACAUGCGCAGCUGGACACCGUGAGAGAGAAAGAAGGCACGAGAGGCAGAGUUAUCGAACUCUCGACCAUUGUCGCACUGGACGGCCUUGAUGGUGAGGCCGAACUGAGUGGACACCCAAGUGAAGAAGUGGAGGAGCGUGGGAAAAGCAUCAGACUUGGCACGUAAAGGAAAGGUCCAAGAAUAAUGUGAAAAAACAUCGACCACCAUAAGAUAGUAUUUGUAACCAGAGUUGUUGAGGAUAGGAGAAGUCCAUAGGAGUAGUAUGGGAGGAAGAAGAAGGAAAAGGAAGACGAACAUGAUGGCCCAGCUGGCACGCAUGACACAAGUGCUCCUCGUGAGCUCGAGGGCACUGAAUGUCGAAACUACGACUCAGCUGCGUCAAGGCAUCACGACCAGGAUGGCUGAGACAAUGGUGCCAAAUAGUGGAGGACGAGGUGGUGGUGAAAGCAGCUGACAAAGCAGGAGGCGAGGAAGAAGACGUAGUCGGAAAGCGAAGAGUGUAAAGUGGCCCCGUGUAGUUGCAUCGAAGGAGGGGACGCCGAGAAGCCAAAUCGUUCACAGUAACACCAGAAGAGUCAAACUCGAUAGAGCCGGAGUUGUCAGCAGUAAACUUGCGAAUAGAAAGAAGGUUGUGAACCAUAGAAGGUGCAACAAGAAUGUCGGGAAGACGAAAUGGGCCAUGAGUGCCGGCGGCUCCCACGGAUGUGAUAGGAAGACACGAGCCAUUAGCGACCAUGAUGGAUGAAGGAUGGGAAAAAGAAGGAGGGCGAACGGAGGAGAGUAUUCCUGGGUCGGGAGUAGUGUGGUAAGUAGCUCCCGAGUCGACAAUCCAAGCAGGCCCGAUAGGAGGAGGUGGAGCCAUGGUGUUGAAAGAGGUGGCCAAGGUCAUCGGGUGCUGUUGAUGCAAAAGCUGGAUCUGCAAACACAAAGGGCUAAUACCCGAUUUAAACGUUAAGGCGUGCCAGCCGAUUUGACCUUACUAUCGGCAAAGGUGAUAACUCGAAUACUUUGGUCCCGACAACAGCGAUGCGCCCGGAUGCCACGGCCAAGAGGUAUUCACGCGGAACUUGAGAAAACGCCGAGCUUAAGUCGACGAACUCCUAAGAACUCGUAAUGAAAAGGAAAAUAUGACGAAGUCGUCGAAAAAGUAGAUGCUGGAAUAUGAGUUAAAACUGGUGUUUGAUUGAUUGAUAGAUGUCAAAUACAAGGCCCUAGGGUCUAUAUUUAUACCCUGCUCAAAGAGCUACAAUCAGACAUGACUAGAACUCGAAUUCCAAAUUAAACAGAAUCCGUAUACAAAACGAUCUAAAUAACUAAGGAAAACAUAAAACUAUCCUCCCGUGACAAACUGGGACACCACCACAAGCCAAUCGGCAACCUUCAGGUUCCUCUUCCGAAUCAUCGGCAAACCCCAUCGUAGCCAUCGGCAUGGGUUGACGCUGACCAUCGGCACAAACACAUUAGCACCCAUAGACUUAGCCACAUUCAACUGUCCCUUUAUCGGUAACCACUCUCAUCGGUAACUCUCCUGUAGACCAGUCACUGUUGCCCCAUCUUGCCGAUCUACACUCUACCGAUCCUGGGUACGUGUCCAAAAAUGGUGUCAACACAUGCCCCCAAUUUCGGAGUAUGAAAUCAUUAAUGCUCCAAAAUUCUCUGCGUCAAUGAUGCCUUUCCGUAAUUAAUUCUCCCAAUUUGGUAACCGACAGCUCGAAUCUGAACAACCUUGGUCCGAUCCCUCCGCAGAUUCCUCGAAUUCCUCAACCUCCCAAACAGACAUCUCCACUUUAGUCGUCCAUCGGCAAUGUUACCGUUACAAAGAACUACCGGUGGACUGACUAGGACAUCCCGCACAGUUAAGUAUCUUAUCCUUCCAAACGGACAUCUCCACUUUAUUCGUCCAUCGGCAAUAUUACUGUUACAAGGCGCUGCCGAUGAACCGACCAGGAAAUCCCGCACAGUGAAAUAUCUCUAGAUUAUGACCGCUUCCUGUCAAAUCACCUGCGCAAUCCCUUGAUUAUCGUGCGAACAGUUACCAUAUCCACCUGAGUACUCUCGGAUUUCACGGAUACGGCGAAGAGAUAAGUCAGAUUUGCCCUUGCCCGUUUCGUCCUAUAAAUAGUUCCUUCUCGGGUACUCCAUCUCCAUCGCAUCAUUCUACAACCCCAACUCCACCUUUCUGGCGGCGGUGCUGUUCGAGAGCUCCAAGAACUCCAAUGAAGCCCUUUCUUCACCAGCCUCAGAGUCUUCGACCAUCUUUUCACGAAGAGAUGGCCAUCAACUUUGCUGUCCCCGAGGUUAGUUCAUCACCCUACCUCUUGUACUUUUACCAUGUCCUUGUUCAUCCGCAAUUUAUUUUAAUGAACAUUCCCCUUUUUUCUUUUUGUUCUUCUUUUUUAUCCCAAAAACCAUUAGAAUCUGUCCAAUAAAAUUGUUGUCCCUACCGAUCAGCCACACCUCCAAUGUCUCGGUCCACUAGGGAACCCAAAUCCCACUGAUCUAAUCAACGCAGAAACAAAUAGGAUCCCCUUUAGAGCCGAGAAUUUUUUUUUAGAUCUGUGGAAAGACACCUUCCGUUCCUGGCCCAGUCAUACCGUGGGAUGGAAGGAUUGGUUCCUGAGAGUCAGCCACUCGAAUGAGGUUCACUGGGGUGAGCGAAAACUGGACCAAUGCAUCAGAUUCUCCCUUGCCGAUAUGCAUAGGAAUGAGUCGUUGUUGAUUGCUGCAUCUUAUUUUUGGUCGGACACACUUAAUGCUUUUGUCUUGUGUCACGGCCCUGCUUCUCCCACUCUUGCCAAUGUGCUUAUGCUCACUGGCUUAGAUGUAUCCACUGCCGAUAGUAGUCACCUAUUUGACACCACGCCUAGUGCCAAAGUGGAAACCCGCGCUAUCAGCGGCUGGUCUGGGUACAUUCAGAAGUACCGCAGAACAGGGCCUGUCAACAUAAACGAACAAACCACCUUCCUGAACAUGUCGCUGGACAAAUUUGUGUUCUGUGGUCGAUCGGUAGGACCAACCUCUGUCUACCUAUCGGCAGCAGAGAGAUUAGCUAAUGGUGGCCGAUUUCCCCUCGGCCGAUACCUACUUGGCUCGGUUUACCACCUCCUCCACCAAGUAGCCAGAAAACUCCUACUUCGUCAAUCCAUCGGCAACCUAGGGGGUCCCUGGUGGUUUAUCAAUAUGUGGCUCAGUCUCCAUAUGCACAAGCGUCUUGAGUUCAACCUCUUCGCACAACGCUUCCCCAGGGAUAUAGCCGAAGAUUAUGAAUUGGAUGAAGAAGAAUCGACAACUCGUCCUCCUCUGAACUUUGGCGAGGCUGUCAUAGUUCUACCUGGUACCGGUGGCAACGCAGACCAGGUCAGCGGAUUCUUCCAGACCCUGUAUGAAGGCCUGACCAGAGAACAGCGAGCGUGGAUGCCUUAUGAAGAUCCACACACCAUGUUUCCUUUGGUUUUCCAUCCAUUCAAUGACGCUCUCAACAAGGAUCACGAUGUGAUGAUGGCACUGAUCACUCCUAGAGCUAUACCAGUAAACUUCUUUGGUAGCGGGAAAGCCUCCAACCAAACCUAUGAGUUUUAUAAUCCAUCGGCACUAGCCCGCCAACUGGCUUUCGGUCAGUUGUCGAUCGCACUCUGUUAUGCCGAUGUGAUAAAACCUAGGGAAACCAUCACUAGCCUUCUUGAGUGGACCCGAGUAGCUCAACUGCCACCGAGUGCCGAUACAGAUGCAGAUUUAUCAGAGUGGAUCCCGGCCCUCUUCAUCACUCAGGCGUACAAACAAUGGUGGGAAAAAUGGAAGGAACAUUUGUUCUGCAAAUCGGUCCUUACGUACCGUGGCAUGAUUGACCCCCAGUACAAAGUUCCCGAUAGCACUGUAAGUAUUUCCAAACCGAUGUCUCAAUUCUUUCACUCUUAUUUCCAUCGGUAACUCACUUUCUGUAUUGUAUUGCAGGUUGAUAACGUUCCCCCAUCGGUCAGCAGGAGUGGCAAGCCGAUUGAUCUUUUUCCAUCAGGUUCGAUCUCUUCAAUCGGCAACAACGCUCCUACUUUGGCUGCUAUCAUGCAUCGAGUGUGCGCCUGAAGAAAAUCACCACCAAGCGUACAAAGACGUCUCCAUCGGUAGCUGCCUCUACCUUAGCACAGGCCUUCAAGGUAACUGUUCAAACUCUUUCAUUCAUACCGAUUCCAUUCUUACAUUUGUUACACUUGUACUCACGAAUUUCUGUCAUCGUAUCAGCAUACUAGCGCAUCAGCAAGGACCAGAAGCACAAGUGCUGAUGCCCCCCAGUCCAGUCAAGUGAAAAGGAAAGGCUCCAAGAGCACCAGAUCACAAGCAAAGCGCCAGAGGACGGCAGCACCUUCUCCUCCCCCAGUAUCUCCAAUUCCAGUGGAAUCUUCUCCUUCCUCUCCAGAAGUCCAUACGCAACAAGCACCAUCUCCUCCUCAGCUGCAAGAAGCACCACAAGUGGAAGAACUCCAACCAGAAGAGCCCUAGCCAGAAGUACCUCAGCCAGAAGACACAUCGGCUGACGUGCAUGAGCAAACUGCCGAUCCAGCGGGUUCAAUUAUAGCAUCGGUAGUUUCUUCCAUCCAAACAAGUACUGCUCCCCCUCGAGGUAACACACUUUCUAUGAAAUCAUUGCCGAUGAACCUACUUUCUCUGUCUUACAAUUAUUUCUGUUAUUCUUUCAGCUGACAUAAUCCCAUCGGCAACUCCAGCCGAUCAGCCCGUGGUUCCGUCAGCAUCUUCUAGUCAGAGGCGAGAAAUCGCCCUAAAACAAGCAAGUCACCCAAUCUCCAUCUGUAUUAUUCGUUAAUACUUGACCAUGGAAUGACUCAUCUCAUUUCCUUUUCAGGAAGAGGACUCUCCCGACAGCUUGUUCUCCUUCUCCAUCGACAUUUCUGAAGACGAAGGUGAGGAGGCAAGUUCCUCUCGAGCAGUUGGAAUCACAUCGGCAGAAAUUAGGGCAAAAUUAGAUACGGCCCAACUAGUUGAUGACUCUGACCCAGCCAAGGCUUUGUUCAAGACCCUCAGAGGCCAAAUUCCUGCCGAUGCUGAAGAAACCCUCUUUCAAGCUGCACAUCUGGAAAGCCGUCAGCUGCAAUAUCAACGGGCUACUCAGCGCCUUGCCGACAGAGCUGCUCAGGCUCAGCUUUCCAAGGAGAUGAUGAAAGUGAAACUCCUUGCCGAUGAGAAGCACAAGAACAUCGACAUCUUAAAGUCCUCAGGAGAUGCGCUGAAGCACAAGAUUUCUGUUCUGUCGGCAAAAAGAGAGGCCCUACUGGCAGAACUCAAGCAAGUGGAAGAAGCCUUGUCCCAGGCUCAACAAGAGGAGAACCAGCAGCCUGAGGUGAUCAAGCGUCUUGAGCAAGAGCGAAAUGUCCAAGCCCGGACGGCGCUGCAGAUGAAGAAGAAACUGAAGCUGGUGGAAGGCUCUGCCGAUGAGGAUAUCAAAGAGAUAGAAGCAGCCAACCAAAAUUCGCUUGGGCGCUAUAUCGGUGAUCCAGGUGCUGUUGAACAUUCAUCGGCGGCAUACUUGCCCUUCCCUUUUGAACGCUCUUAGUAUUUUGGUCUAGCCGAUAGGACUGUUAUCGGCACCCUUUUAAAACAUUAAGUCCAACCCCAGAUACAUUUUGAUCUAGCCGAUAGGAAUGUUAUCGGCACCCUUUUAAAACAUUAAGUCCAACCCUAGAUACAUUUUGAUCUAGCCGAUAGGAAUGUUAUCGGCACUUAAACCUUCAUGCAUCGACCCAUAUGCUUGGGUAAUACUUCUUUAGAUAUUUUCCAUUUAAUGCUCUGGGAAAUUCAACUCCUUCAAGAGUUUGUAGAAUAUAGGCGUUACCAGGAGCCGAUCGACUUAUCCGAUAGGGACCCUCCCAAUUGGGAGACCACUUUCCAAAUCUUGAACUUUUAGUCCCGAUCGGUAAGAUUAGCUUCCAUACUAAGUCUCCAUCGGCAAACUCCUUAGCCUUUACCUUCUUAUCAUACCAUCUAGCAACUCUCUUCUUAUUCUCUUCUAUACUCAUCAAAGCCCUUAGCCGAUGCCCUGCUAGAUCAUCCAACUCGUCUGUCAUCAAAGUAGCAUAAUCAUCGGCAGCCAACUGAUCCUGAAAAGAUAGUCGCCUAGACCCAGUCUUAAUUUCCCAAGGUAACACUACAUCAUGCCCAUAUACCAACUGAUAAGGUGAAACCUUGGUCGACCCAUGACAAGCCAUCCGGUAUGACCACAAAGCUUCAUUUAACAAUGUGUGCCACCUCCUAGGAUUUUCUUCAAUCUUCCGCUUAAUAAGCUUGAUAAUUCCUUUGUUAGAUGCCUCGGCCUACCCAUUAGCUUGAGCAUAAUAAGGAGAAGAGUUUAAUACUUUAAUUCCCAUACCGAUUGCAAAUUCAUCAAACUCCCCCGAUGUGAACAUAGUACCCUGAUCGGUAGUAAUCGUUUGAGGAAUUCCAAAUCAGUAAAUAAUAUGCUCUUUCACAAAAUCAAUCAUACUGGCUGAUGUAACUUUCUUUAAAGGAAUAGCUUCAACCCAUUUGGUGAAAUAAUCGGUGGCAACCAAGAUAAACUUGUGUCCUUUUCUAGAUGGUGGAUAAAUCUGGCCGAUCAAGUCAAUAGCCCAUCCUCGGAACGGCCAAGGCUUAAUGAUAGGAUUCAUGGCCGAUGCGGGCGCCCUUUGAACAUUGCCAAACUUCUGACAUCCUUGACACCCCUUGAAAUACUUAAAGCAAUCCUCAAGUACAGUCGGCCAAUAAUACCCAUUUCUUCUGAUCAUCCACUUCAUCUUAAACGCCGACUAAUGUGCUCCACAUACCCCUUCAUGGAUUUCUCCCAUCAGAUUCUUAGCUUCAUCAUCACCUAAACACUUGAGAAGAAUCCCAUCAAUAGUUCGAUAAUACAAUUCAUCUUCGAGGAGCACAUACUUAGUGGCUUGAAACCGAACACGUCUCUCAACUUUCUUGGAUGGAUCCUUUAAAUAAUCAAUUAUUUCUUUUCUCCAAUCAUCGGCACCGAUUGCCGAUAUUGCAUUAAUCAUGGGCUGAUAUCCCGAGGCAUGCUGAGCCAACCGAUUGGCCUCUUCAUUAUGUAAUCGAGGAACAUGCUCUAACCAGAAGUCCUUGAAUUCCUUUAACAGCUGCAUACUCCUUUCAUGAUAAGUUAUUAAGACCUCGCUUCGGCAUUCAUAACUUCCAGCCAACUGAUUUAUGACCAGCAUAGAAUCACUGAAGAUUUCAACAACAUCAGCAUGAACUUCCCUUAGUAAUUCCAACCCCUUUAUUAAAGCUUGAUUCUCAACCUGAUUAUUUGUUGACGUGGCAACAAUCGGCAAGGAAAACUGAUACUUUCUUCCCCGAGGGGAAAUUAACACUAUGCUAAUUCCUGCCCCCCGGUCACACGUGGAUCCAUCAAAGAAGAGCGUCCAAGGCACAAUUUUCAAGGUCUCCACCGUACCGCAAUGUUGAGUUACAAAAUCGGCCAUAAUCUGUCCCUUAACUGCUUUAGCCGAUUCAUAACGCAAAUCGAAUUCUGAUAGUGCCAAAAUCCACUUACCGAUCCUGCCACUCAUGAUCGGCAUAGAUAGCAUGUAUCGGACCACAUCAUCUUUGCAAAUAACAGUGCAUUCGGCCGAUAGCAAAUAAUGCCUUAACUUAAUACAGGAGAAGUACAAGCAUAAGCACAGCUUCUCAAUAGCCGAAUACCUGGUUUCAGCAUCAAUCAACCUCCUGCUUAAAUAGUAAAUCACUCGUUCCUUCCCUUCAAACUCUUGAAUUAAAGCUAAACCGAUGACCAUCCCAUCGGUAGACAAAUACAAUCUGAAGGGCUUUCCUUGCUGAGGUGGAAUCAGAACUGGAGGAUUUACCAAAUAAUUCUUGAUUUCAUCUAGGGCCAACUGUUGCUCUCUCCCCCAGACGAACUCUUGAUCGGCUUUCAACUUAAGUAAAGGACUGAAAGCACGAAUUUUACCAGAUAAAUUAGAUAUAAACCUCCUGAUAAAAUUUACCUUGCCGAUCAAAGAUUGGAGCUCAGUCUUGUUGGUAGGGGCAACUAUCUUAUUGAUAGCAUCAAUGGAUGUCCGACUAAUUUCAAUUCCCCUUUGAUGCACCAUGAAACCAAGAAAUUGCCCUGCCGAUACACCAAAUGCACAUUUAUUGGGAUUCAUCUUCAAACCAUGUUUCCUUGUGUAUUCCAAUACCUUUCGCAAAUCGGCAAGAUGCUUUGUGAAGUCUCCAGACUUAACCACCACAUCAUCAAUAUAAAUUUCUACCAGUUUGCUGAUGAACUCAUGAAAUAUAAAAUUCAUAGCCCUCUGAUAAGUAGCACCAGCAUUUUUCAAGCCAAAGGUCAUGACUAUCCAUUCAAACAACCCAACAUGACCAGGACAUCUAAAUGCAGUCUUUCGAAUAUCUUCUUCAGCCAUGAAUAUCUGAUUGUACCCUGCAUUGCCAUCCAUAAAACUGAUGAUCCGAUGCCUAGCUGCAGCAUCAACUAGCAGAUCGGCAACUGGCAUUGGGUAGCCAUCCAUCGGCGUAGCUUUAUUGAGAUUCCUGAAAUCAAUGCAAACUCGAAGCUUCCCAUUUUUCUUGUAGACUGGAACGACAUUGGAGAUCCACUCGGCAUACCGACACUGCCGAAUAAAUUUAACCUCGAUAAGUUUAGUUAUUUCGGCCUUAAUAUCAGGAAGAAUAUUAGGAUUACAUCGGCGAGCUAGCUGUUGAUGUGGCCGAAACCCAGACUUGAUUGGUAACCAAUGUUCAACAUUCGAUCGGUCUAAACCAGGCAUCUCAGUAUAAUCCCAAGCAAAGCAAUCUUUAUAUUCCUUUAACAAAUCAGUUAACUAUUGCUUACACUCAGAACUUAACUUAGCACUAAUAAAAGUAGGUCUAGGUUUAUCACCACUACCUAUAUCCACUUCUACCAAAUCAUCGGCCGAUGUGAACCUCGGGCCUAAAUUUCCAUCAUCGGCGAAUCUAUCCAUUAAAAACCUUCAUCAGAACCGACUGCUUGGAUCGGUGGAAUUUCAUAAUCGGCAACUUUGAGAAAGUCCUUUUCCCAAACUUCUCCUGAAAUACACCUAGUUCUUUCAUAGGUGUCUGCCUCUACCGAUGCAAUGAUAUAAGAAAAAUCUCCCGGGACAAUCUCAAUCUUGUCACCUACCCACUGGACCAAUCACUGGUGCAUUGUAGACGGGAUGCAACAAUUGGCAUGAAUCUAAUCUCUUCCCAACAGCAAGUUAUAAGCACCUUUUCCACUGAUCACGAAGAAGGUUGUCGGCAAGGUUUUGUUGCCUAUGGUCAACUCAAUGCAUAUUGCCCCCUUAACCGGAGACACGUUGCCCUCAAAGUCUUUGAGCAUCAUAUCGGUCUUGGUUAAAUCCUGAUCUCCUUUCCCAAGCUUCCGAUACACUGCAUAUGACAUGAUAUUGAUAGCAGCCCCACCAUCAAUUAAAAUCUCAGUCAUCGGCUGACCAUCCACUCUUCCUUUAACAAACAGAGCCUUAAGAUAUUGCCUUUCAUCAUCGGCAGGCUUCUCGAAGAUGGCUGUCAUCGGAUCCAGAGCCAACUGAGCUAUUUGGUCAGAAAACUCCAACUCAUCAUCACUAGACGGCGCAAGGAAUUCCGUCGGCAACAUAAAUACCAUGUUGACAUCUGCCGAUGGACCUUUUCCCUUAGGAUCUGAUUGUUGCUGAUCCCUAGACUGGCCAGAGUUCUCACCCUUGUUCAACUCUUCUCGUCUUUCGUGCUGCAGCCUCCUUUUCUAGGUCCUCGUCAACCCCUUUAGACAACAUGGAGGGAGUUGUUGCUGCCUUACCGAUGGGCGACGAUUUUCCCUUGACUCCAUCCGAUAAGUAUUAGCAUCCCUGCAGAAUAUGAACUCAUCGGGAACCCGUGCAUUAGCCAUCCCCUCAAGCUCUUCCUGAUUCCUGGGAAAAUACUCAACUCGAUCUCCAAGCCUGUCAUGCACACUGAGCCUGCCCCCCAGCCAAUCAUGAACUGACGCUCUCCCCCUAAUUGGCCCAUCAAACCGGCGGUUAUUGUUCUGAUACUGCCGAUUUGAUCUGUCAUACCGAUCAUAACCAUUACAUUCCGGGCAGUCCCUGACAGUAGGAAGCUUGAUAUUUUCCUCCCAACAAUGAAUGAAGAACGGGCAAUUCCAGUGAUCCCUGUGCCGAUUCCACUCUUGUCAGCGUCUUUCUUCUUCCUGAUGGUAGUUCUCUUGCUGGCGCCGAUACCGAUCCUCAUGUUGGUGCCAAGUUUCCUAAGGCCUUCUGUGAGUUAUCACAAUACCAGAUCGGGGAGGCCUUCCUGAGUUAGUUCCCUCCUGGAUCAAGCCUUUUCCUUUUGCAUCGGCAGUGGUGAUCUGAUGCUGAGGAUCCACCGAUGCAAUUCUUUCGGCUGCUUCCGAUGUUAAGACCUUGGCCUUUCCCUUAGCAUCUAGCAUGUUCGUUGGGAAAGGAUGUUGAUCAAUCUUCAUCGGCUUCUGAGUUUUGGAGCUGUCAAAUUUGAUCCUCCCAGACUCUAUAGCCAAUUGCAGCUGCUGUCUAAAACUUUGCACUCAUUGGUGCUAUGAGAAGUUGCAUUGUGCCAUUUGCAGUACUUCAUCUUUUUUAAUUCUUCAGCCGAUGGAAUCACAUGAUUGGGUGACAACUUAAUCUGACCUUCCUGGAGUAGAAAGUCAAAUAUCCUAUCGGCCUUGGUGAUAUCAAAUGCAAACUUCUCUGGCUCCUUGUGCCCAAAAGGGCAAGACAUCGACUUCUUAUUCUUUACCCAUUCUGCCAAGCCGAUGACUGGUUCCUCAUGAGAGUCCGAGCUUGCUGCUUCAUCCACAAAUGAUACAUUUUUGUUCCAUGCUCUCUUGGGCUCAAAAGGCCUGAUAUCUUGAUCAGAAAUUCUCUGCACCAAAUGACUUAAGCUUUCGAACUCUUGAGAUGCAUAUUUGUCCCUGAUAUGUGGCAGCAAACCCUAGAAAGCCAAAUCGGCUAGCUGCCGAUCAUCCAAAACCAAACUAUAGCAUUUGUUCUUGACCUCCCGUAUUCUCUGCACAAAACUUUCAACCGAUUCAUCAUUGCGUUGCUUCAAUUUGACCAAAUCGGUGAUCUUCUUCUCAUGGACGCCAGAAAAGAAGUAUUUGUGGAAUUGCUUCUCUAGAUCGGCCCAACUAAUCACUGAGUUAGGAGGUAACGAUAUGAACCAAGUGAAAGCCGACCCAGAUAAUGAUGACGAGAACAAGCGAACCCUUAACUCGUCCCGGUUAGCAGCUUCCCCACACUGAAUGAUGAACCUGUUGACGUGCUCCAUGGUUGAUGUAUCAUCCUGCCCAGAAAACUUGGUAAAAUCUAGCACCUUGUACCGAUUUGGAAGCGGGAUUAAAUCAUAUGCGGGAGGAUAUGGUGUCCGAUAAGAGUAAGUGUUAACUUUGGGUUUUAUCCCAAACUGGUCCCUCAUUACUUCAGCAAUCUUAUUGGCCCAAUGAGCAUCGGCAUCUUGCCGAUGAGGCGGUUGCGGAUCUGGGAUCUGAUGAUAUGCUUCCACGUGUCUAUGUGGCACGCGAUCUGCAUGGAACAUUGGGUUGAUCAUCUGGCCACCAACCUGCUGACCACCGAUCUGUUGACCACCGAACUGCUGACCACCAAGCUGCUGUCCGCCAAUCUGCUGCCCAAAAUUCAUUGGCUGGUUGGGCAACCCUUGAUUCUGGAACCCAGGAUAGAUUUGGCCUUGUUGAAACCCUGUAGCUUGAUGAUGUUGUUGGGGCAUUUGUGGAAAGACAUGCUGCUCAGGCCAUCCACUAUUAGCAUUCAUCGGCAUAGGGCCUGCCGAUGACUGGUAAUUGGGCAUCAUCAUUGAAUUGACAUACCCUGACUGAUUCAUAAACCUCUGUUGCGUCGGCACUGAAUCUGUCGGUGCAUUAGGCAUCUGGAACGUUGGAGCUUGAGAAUUCCCAGUGUAAGGCCUUGCAGUAGUAGUUGUAGUAUACUAGGGACUCUGAUUCAUCGGCAUAUUCGGAGGUGCCGAUGCCAUAGGAGCCUUGCCUCUCCCAUCAGCCGUCUGAGAUACACUAGGUGUCUUCAAUGUGAACUCUGGGGGCAUACCAAAACCCCACCAGUUGGGAGGAGGGACAGGUCCUGACAUUGCCGAUGCCAACAGAUCUGUAGUAAGCUUAAUCUGCCCAUCUGAGGUCGACGGAUUGGUUGUCAUCGGCGUAGAUUGUGCAUUAGUAACUCCUAACGUGCUUGCAGGAAUGGUCGUUUCUGUGCCCGCAGCGGCUGUAGCAGCCGAUGGAGCUGUGACCACCGGUGACCCUGGCUGAUGAUGAGACGGGCCCACAUAAUUUGGUGGCAAUUGUCCUUCUUUGAAAGUUCUAGCCACGGCAUUGAAAACCGUAUUGGACAGCACACCAGCUUGGUUGAUCAAAGCACGGUUAAUAGCAUUAUCAACCAUGUCUUGAAGUUUACCAGGAUUGGCAUCAAAAGUAACCUGGCUAGGCAUCGGCAGCGCUUCCUUCUGGAUCACCUCGCCGCUCCUGUUUAUGCUGAAGGACCUCAUUGCUGCUUGUAAUCCUCCAUGGCUUUUGCAAUAGCUUGCUUCUGCUCAUCUUUGAGAUUGGCCUCCGUCACGGGGAUGACGUUCUCCUGAUCGAACUCUGUAGUCGACAUGUCGAUCUUGAUCUUGAAUCUGGUCCCACCGGGUGUGCCAAAAGAUGUGUUGAUGCAAAAGCUGGAUCUGCAAACACAAAGGGCUAAUACCCGAUUUAAACGUUAAGGCGUGCCAGCCGAUUUGACCCUACUAUCGGCAAAGGUGAUAACUCGAAUACUUUGGUCCCGACAACAACGAUGCGCCCGGAUGCCACGGCCAAGAGGUAUUCACGCGGAACUUGAGAAUACGCCGAGCUUAAGUCGACGAACUCCUAAGAACUCGUAAUGAAAAGGAAAAUAUGACGAAGUCAUCGAAAAAGUAGAUGCUGGAAUAUGAGUAAAAACUGGUGUUUGAUUGAUUGAUAUAUGUCAAUUACAAGGCCCUGGGGUCUAUAUUUAUACCCUGCUCAAAGAGCUACAAUCAGACAUGACUAGAACUCGAAUUCCAAAUUAAGCAGAAUCCGUAUACAAAACGAUCUAAAUAACUAAGGAAAACAUAAAACUAUCCUCCCGUGACAAACUGGGACACCACCACAAGCCAAUCGGCAACCUUUAGGUUCCUCUUCCGAAUCAUCGGCAAACCCCAUCGUAGCCAUCGGCAUGGGUUGACGCUGACCAUCGGCACAAACACAUCAGCACCCAUAGACUUAGCCACAUUCAACUGUCCCUUUAUCGGUAACCACUCUCAUCGGUAACUCUCCUGCAGACCAGUCACUGUUGCCCCAUCUUGCCGAUCUACACUCUGUCGAUCCUGGGUACGUGUCCAAAAACGUUGUCAACAGGUGCCAACCGACAGGCCCGAGCGAGACGCCGAGAGGAGGAGCCCCCGGUGAUGCGGAUAGGGACCCCGGAGGAGCACAAGCAAGCAUGGCCACCGGUGGGCGAGGUGCACCGCCGGGAGCCUGGAAAAUGACCCAAGACGCUGGGUCCCAACCGACGGGCCCAGGUGAGGUGCCGCCGAGAGGUGAAGCCUAAGCCCACAAAGGAGCACCAAUGAGCAUGGCCCAGGCCGCCAGGUGCCAACCGACGGGCCUGGGCGAGGUGGUGCCCAUGGAGGUGCAGAAACCAGACGAGGUUCACCGCUAGGACCGCCACCACGUCGCCCGCCGCGGCGAUGGCGGCCGCCACGGCCCCCCCCACCCCUGCUCGGCUCAGAGAGAGGACCAAGAGGAGACGGCGGCGGCGGCCGAGUAGCAGUAAAGGCAGCCAGGGCAUCGGCCGCCGAGAGAGACCCUGGGACCGCCCACACCACAGCGGGCAGCGGCGACAGUCGCAGCAAGAGCGGAGUCUGGACUCUCUGUGGAUGUCAGCGGCCAAGUAGACGGGGCGGGGAAGAUCGAGAUGUCCGCGCCGACUACAGGUAUGUGCGGCAGGGGUGCCACAACCCCCGUCACAGUGGGCGUAGUGUCGGCGACCUCCGUAGCCAGGACCCCGUCAGUGACGUCUGCAGCACCCUCACCUAUCGCCAUGAGGAGGGAGGCGGGGCUGGGCGUCACGCCGGAGAAAAGGGUCCCGACAGGCGGCCAGGCGGAGCUGGCCUCGGGCAGACGCGCCCCUGCCAAGGCCAGGACGGAGCCCUCGACGGGCGGCCUGGCAGCAGAGCGGGCCUCGAGCGGACGCGCCCCUGCCCCAGCGGGUGGACGGGCGGCACCGGGCGGACACGCCCUCGCCCCAGUUGGCGGACGCACGAUCGCACUGGGGGGACGCGCCCCUGCCCCAGCGGGCGGACGGGCGGCACCGGGCGGACACGCCCCUGCCCCAGCGGGCGGACGUGCGGUGUGCGCCCAGGAAGAGGAGGCAAUGGAGGGGAAAGAGGGGGGAGGAGGAGGAGGAGGACAUGGGCGGCGGCGCCGGCGCGUCGGCCAGCCGGCGGCGGGCAGCAGGCAGCGGCGGCUGGCUGUUGGGGGAGGAAGAAGCAACCUAGUCUGAUACCAUGAUAGACAAUAAUUUUCACUAACUGGGCUAACCCUAGACAGGGUAGCCAUAUAGUUCCAUACAUGGGCCUCAUGGGCCUAGAUUACUCAUACUCCAACACUGGUAACUCCACAUGUCUGUUCUUGAUGUCUGUCCAGGUUCAUCCUCUCGAUAUUCUAGCUUCUAUCUGGUUGCAUAUACAAAUGGUAUAUCUCAUCACAGCCUCGUGAGUACGAGAAAAAACAUGACAUCUUCUCUUCUUUGUCAAGUUGUUCAAGCCUUCCCAAUCCAGUCUCCUACAUACACAGGAGGUUGUAUAACAGACCUCCAAAACCAUUGUCCGCGUCACCUACACCUGCUCAAGUAUACCGGAUGAUCAGGUUUUUAGGAGCCCACAACAUGACUACACCUGCAUCGUCUACUUCUCUGUGUUCCAGUAUUGCUGCAUCUACUUCCCAGCGCUCCAGUUGCAUUGUUUCCUUCUAGUGACCAUCUGCGUUGUCUACUUCGAUGAUGAACACCUCCCUAGAUCAACUACCACUGGUGCCUCUAGCUCUAGUCCCUCCUCAUGAUACAAUACUAUACUCACUGAAUUUGUUAAAUUUAGUACUCUUAACAUGAUCAGUUGUCUUACAUAUGAUGCCAUGAAUAUUUCGCUACUGUUUUUUAGUUAAGUUAAAACUAAAAAUACCUAAAUUUCUAUCAUAUUAUAUUCCACAGCAAAAAAUUUGGAUGUUGAUAUUUUAUAUAAGUUUUACAUGUUACCAACAAAAAGUCAAAAAUGUUAUGACAUAUGAAUUAACUAGUAUAGUGCUCGUGCUAACGUCGCGAUAACAUUUAUAUCUAUUCAAUUUGCCACGCUUCAAAGUGGAAAGAAGUAUCAAGAAUAUAUGAUAUGGUAAUGCGUAGGUAAAGGGAACACAGGAAUAAGGGAACAUCAACUUACAUGAUCUAGAUGAUAUGACACGAAAAAAAACAAUUGCUCUGACUAAGCUCCAAGCAUAUGGAACCAAAAGCAUACCCUAUUCGAGUUAUUCUGCAUCAAAGAGCGAAGUUUUCAGAACUAUAUACUGGAUGGAAAUACUUUUGAAAUGAAAUAAUUGAAUAUAUAUAUAUAGAAUUGCACAAUUCAAAAAAAGUGUUAAGCAUAUAUAUCCACUUGAGGUCAUAUCACUGAGUACAUGGAUAGUACUAUUACUAAAAAAAUUUAUGCCCAUCUAUAUAAUAGAAAAAAUCUCAGACUAAGAAAUCAAUUUAUGAAUCUAUAGGUUUAUAUCGGUAACACCAUGGAGGAUCUAACAAAGUGCUAACAGGAUGAAGACAACAAGAUUGACCUUCAACCAAGUCCUAAGGGGCUCUACAAACUCCGAAAACUCCAUCUCAUCAAGUACCUUGAGGGCAUCAUCAAUGUUGAUGUUCUGCCUCUUUGAUUCCUUGCACAUAUCAUUGGUUGAUUAUACUGACACGGGAAGUUUGUUCUCCAGCUGCAUAAAUUAGGAGCCUCUAGAUUACAGUAUGCAAGACAUACACAUACAGCAAAAAUUUGUGUGUCCACCUCAGUUCCAUCAUUUGGAACACUGCAUUUCCAUGAACCAUAGUUUUGGAAGAACUUCCCAGCGGGGCAAGGCACUUUGCCCACACAGUAGAUAACUUCCCAUUCACAACUCACCAUUAAUCAAAUGGCUUGUCAAUCUAUUGGAAGAUACUAAUUAAUUUGCACAUAGAUGUAUCGAUCCAAUAUUUGCAACAUAAGUGAAAGGAUCUAAUUGGCCUAGAGGGGGGGUGAAUAGGCGUAUCUAAAACCUGAAACUCAAAACUCAAGUUACGGAAGUCAAAUGCCUGUCGGUACCACCGACAGUUUGGGCCGGCACUACUGGUGUCACACAGCCAGUACUACCGACGCAAACUGCUGGUACUACCGACUCCCUAAGACAGCUACGAAAUCAGAGUGUAAAGGGCUUAGAUUUCAGAUCUGAGUUUUACCCCCCUUUCCUAAGUGUAGGAGAGGAUGUUGUCGGAGUCUCCUUAACUAGGUCCUUCUCCACAACGUAGAUCGACCUUUGUUUACCUGUUGAAAAGUGAAGAGAGAGAGGAACACAAAGAACACAAACAAGGGUAGUCGAAGCUACCUCCACAGCGAGACAAGGUAUUUUUCCCGAGGUUCGGCAAUCUCCACUUAGGAGUUCCUACGUCCCCGUUGUUGAGGUGACCACGAAGGUCUGACCACUUAGGUCUCCUCCUCAAGCAACAACAAAGGUUAGCUUGAUGUUUCCACUAAGAAUCAAGGGGUAAUACAAACACUUCAGGGUGCCCUCACAGAUGAAUCAACACGGGCAACCACAAAGAACGCCUAGCCGGCUAGGGUUCCAAGAACCCAAGAGUAACAAAUACAAACCAAACCCGACAACACGAGGAACGGAGUGCUCAAGUUGCAGAUCGAAGCUCCCAACUCUCUAAUCUCACUUCUCUAGCUCGAAUCUCUCAAGAAAUGAAGUCUAGGAGCAAGAGGGAGAGAGAGUGGGUGAGACAAAGCUUGGAGACUGUUUUCUCAGAUGUGGAGUAGCUAGAAUAAGCAAGCCAACAGUUAGAAAAGAGAAGAGAGCUAUUUAUACUUGAGUACAGAACACCUGCCGGUACUACCGGUGCAACCACCGGUACCACCGGUGUCCUCAGAUCUAAACGUGAGAAGGCCGAGGAAGAUGCAAGAAAAAGACCUACCGGUACUACCGGCCUUGAGCCGGUACCACUAGCCAGCGCUGGUACCACCGGUGGAAGGCCGGUACCACCGGCAGUGCAAAUUCCCGCAAACGGCAGUUCUACGAGAAUUUGGCCUGCGGGUACUACCGGCGUUUCACCGGUACCACCAGCGGUAGCCGGUACCACCGGUCAAAGCCCGAUACUACCGGUAGUUCAUUUUCUCGCAAAACUCAGGAGAAGAACUGGCACUGCCGGUACCACCGGCCCUGAGGGCCGGUACUACCGGCUCACCCUGGCAGAGAAGAAACUUCCCAGAAGUUCGUGCGUGCAAGUGUGUCUCUCAAGCGCAAAACCUAAGUUGACCUGAGCACCUUUAUCCUCAUCUUACCAACUCAAUUUGCAUCCCUCUUGAUAGUGCGGCGUUUCCUAUAACUCAAACAAGAAAUAAAACUAGGUAGCUUCUUGAGUUGAAACGUCACUCAAAUGAAGAAGAUUUGGGAGUGCUCUGAUUCACCAAAUGUGUUUGUUUGAUUCCAUCAAUGAACUAACACCUAUAGAUACACUUGAUAGACAUGUUAGUUCCUAAUUUGAUUGUCAUUAAUUAUCAAAACCCACACCGGGGGCGAAUGCACUUACAAACUCCCCCUUUUUGGUAAUUGAUGACAACCAACUUAGGCUUAUAAAAGAUUGAAAGAAGUAGAGCUUUUGAAUUCCAAAAGUCAGGUUGGGCUCCCCCUUAAUGUAUGCACGGGAUUUGAAAUUUUAAAUCUUGAUUAAUAUCAAGAUGACAUACAUUAAGAUCAAGCUCCCCCUAAAUUUUGCAAUCCGUGGGGUGCCUAAAAGAGUGUGUGUGACAAGAAACAAACCGUGAUGCGUAUGACAAGAUAUAUCACAAAGAAUAAAAGAAGAAUUUGAAUGAUUAUGCAAGAACUAAAGAACUCACAAUAACCAUUCAAAAACAACAUUGCAUUAACAAAGGUCCAAAGAAGCUAACACAAGCAAAAUAUAAUAAAGAAAUAAAAGUGUUUAGCUUACAGUCAAUCAUCACACAAAAGUAGUUCUUGUUCACCACACAUAGUUCACCACUUAGAAAAGUUUAAGAAGGACACCAACAACUAACUUAUUACAUCAAAGAUAAGCCUAACACUCCCCCUUUGGCAGCAAGUGCCAAAAAGGGUAGGCUACGAGAAAGAGUCAAAGUACUACUCAUCAUCAUCAUCAAGGUCGUCGUCGUCGUCAUCGUAGUCGAUCAAGGUACGCAGCGGCCCCUUACCAUUAGGAUCAGUGAAGGUAGACUGCUCGUGAGGAGGUGCAGUAGAGGCAAAGGCCCUAGUGACAUCAUCCGCGGCUCCAAAGAUAUCCUGAUAAGCAAAGCCGGCCUCGGUGUCCUCCAUGGAGAACCCAGCAGGGAUCCCACCACCAUAGAAUGGAUCAAAAGCAGAGGGUGGAGGAGGAUCCUGCUGCUCCUCAUCCUCAUCAACAGAAGUCCAAUGUAUGUUGUCAUAUUCAUCAUAGGGGUCCUAGAACUCACGAAGAGGAGAGGACGGAGGAAGAGCUGCCUUCUCCUCAAGAUGACGGAGACGCUGAUCGGUCUUCUUCUGGCAAUAGCAAAAGUAGGAGAAGAACCGCUGCAGCGCAUGACGGGUAGGGCUGCGGCGACCACGACUGCUGUCCUGAGGAGGGACAACUUCCCCUUGAGCACCAUCAGCACCAGCAGGAGUAGCAGCAGCAGGACUGAGAGGAGGAGCACCCAAGUGCUUGGCACGAACCGGAGCAUGAACGCAUGGGUGCGAGAACUGUACUCCAGCAACUUGCUCAAUAAUAUGCAUCAGAUAAGGAGCAUAAGGCAAAUACUUGUGAGGGUCAACGGACGCAUCCACAAUCUUAUUCCACAUGAAGUCCGAGACACCAAAGCGGCCACCAUUAGCACCAAAGUGAGCCAAGAUCUUAGGAGCAUCGAGACGGAGGUGAAUAGAAUCUCCAAACUUGGGGUCAAUGGUGUAGCGUAUCAAGUUGUUCAGCACAUAGAAGAAAGGCUUCAGCUGAGUGGUCUUGAAAUCCGGAUGAGCUCCUAGCUUGUACAUUUCAGCAGCAUCAAGAUCAGCCUCAGAAAUCCCCUCGGCAAAGAUGGUAGACAGCCGGGGUGCAUCUCGAUCCAUAUGAUCAAAACCAAGCAAGCGAGAGAAGGUGAUAAAGUCAAGGCGAUAAUGAACACCUUAAGUCAUCCAAUGCAGCACCCUCGAAGCUUGAUCUACCCACAAUGUUGCCCAAAACUGAAAGAUGAUCCUUUCAUUCCAAUUCUUCUCAAGGGUCAUAAGGGGAAGGAUGCGCCAUUCUUUAAGCUUGUUAAUCAAAGCAUUGACCGCAGGAUGAUUGAAUUCUUGCAAGGACUUGACGACCACAUACUUGUGCUGAAAAAGUGGACCAUUCUUGCUGACUUUGCUGGCUUUGUAGAGGACGGACUCAUAGAAGUCAUUGUGAAAUUGAGACCAAAACCGCUCCUCAACUCCCGCAAACUUGAUGAACUUGUACGGGUUCUCGUUGCGCUGAUUUCUCAAGUCCACAAGGCGCUUCUUGUAAUCAAUAUCAAGCUGGGGCUGAGUGCCAGAGGGUAUAGAGGGCCUCCGGACAUGAGCAUUAAACUAAGGAUGCCAUGAGAGAGUCCGGCGAGCACCAACCUCACUAAGAUGCAGAGGCGAGCGACGAAGGACAUUGGGGUCCAUGGCUCAUCCUUCCUCUUGCACAGGAUCAGGCACGGCUUGGCUUCGAACUCUGGCCUGGUGAGAGAGGGGCGGACACAGGAUGGUGUGGGUGUGAAGAGGGGCAGGAAUGCCCUCAUCGCCGGUGGAAGCACCAGCCGCACCCUGACCACGGGAAGGAGUCCCUCGGCCACGCACUGCCCGUUACGCAGACCGACCACCGGCAUCACUGGAUCUAGGGCGAGCACCACGGGGAGGGUUCUUGUACUUCCCAGAGUCCAUGCUUGCAUCACCAAGAAGAAUGUAACACCCCAGUGUUAUGGUUGCAUCAAUCAUGUGCAUAGCAUGAGCAUCAUCAUCUACUCAAAGCAUAUCAUGAUCAUCAUCUAUCUUGAGCCAUGUCAUUCUAUGCAAAUAAGUGAUCUAAAUUGCUUAAAUAGGCUUCCUAUGCUUAUGUUUGAGUGAACCCUGCUUGUGUUUGUGCUCUAUGCGUUGGUAAUUAGUUUAUCUAUGCUUAACUUAACCUUGGGAACAAUGUUCAUGUUGAUCACUUCUCCAAAAUAAUCACUUAAGUCAUACUUAUGCUAUUGGGCCCUAGAAACCUCUUUUCUUUAGGCUUUUAAAAAGUGUUUCAUAAAAUGUUUGCAUGUCAAAACUUUCUACAUCAAAGUUGUAGAAAAUUUUAUAAGGAACAAAAGUUGUUUUAUGGCCAUCUCAUGAAAAUGAACACAAAUGUCUCAAAAUUGACCCACAAAGCAGAUUUGGGGCUGUUUCCAACACUUAGGAAAUUUUCUAAGUCCUGGAACGAAACCAGUUUGCUUGAUCGGUUUUGAAAACUCUAUAUCUCUCAAUCCAGGCCGAUCUGGCUUUUGCUCUAGUUGACAAUGUUGUAGAACUCGAUUGGAACUCCAACUUUGUCAACUGCAUCAUCUCCUGAUUCGCUCUGGUCCGAUUCAGAGCUGAGCUCGCCGUCGGGAACGCCCAGAGCGCCACCUGUCUGCCAGAUGGCGCCCGUACGCCGGCGAUGGCCCCGCUCGUCAGGUCGACGACAUUGGCAUGGACGCCACGGUGCCCCGCACUCACUCAGCACCCGUCCAUUCUCCUCCUCCUCUCUCACGCUCGCUCUGGCGGAAACGCCGUCGCCAUUGCCGCCGAGAGCUUCGCCAGCUCUUCGCGCCCUCGCCUCUGCAUCUCGCUUCGCGUCCGAGCGCCUCCAAGUCCACCUCGAGCUCCUCCAUCUUCUCCACCCAUCAGUUGGACGAGAUCUCCCCGAGGUGAGCGGCAUUUCUCAAGUUCUCUGUUGUCGGGUUCGCGGCUGUCGCGACACCGAUUCCGGCGAACCUCGCCGCUGCUCCACCCUUGCUUCCUUUCUUCUCUUUAGGUAGCGUUAGGUUCUGCUUAGGUCUUGACGUCAGUUCACGCCGCGCCAUUGCGGCUGAAACCUCACCGUCGCGCGGGAACACGGCCGCUGCACCGCCGUGCUCACCGCCGACGAGCACCUCGCACGUGAGCAGGCUCACCGGAGCCGUUAGGGUUAGGCGUUCCUACCUCGAAAGCUCCGCGCUGACUCACUGAUGUUGUAGCCACCCUUCCCUGACGCUCUACUGGUCGGAGAUGGCCGGCGUAAGCCUGGGUAGCUCCGCCGUGCCGCCAUGGCCGACGGCGACCCCUCUCCGUAGCCGAAACCCUAGCACCACCUACCUCCUUCGAUGCGGAAUCCCUCUAGGAGCACGAUGGUGCCCUUAGAUCCGCCGGAGAAGCUCACCGUCGGCGAGCAUUUGCCGGCGAAGGAGUCCUCUGUUCUCGCUGUCACUGACGCGCGGGUCCCGUCUGCCAGUGACUCAACGGUCACCCCCUUUCUUUUAUUCAAAUCUGGAUUUUUGGCUUUCUUGCAAAAAUCAUAUCUCCAGUUCUGGUGAUCCAAAAAUGGUGAAACCAAUUUUGUGGUAUUCCUUGAGAUGGCUAGUGUUUAAUAAAAAUAUAAAAUGAACCAUGUUUUCUGGAAAAAUAUUUAUUAAGAAUUUAUUCUUGCUAUUCAUGAAUAAAUUCAUAUCUCUGGUUAUACUGCUUAGUUUGCUCUACAAAUUUUAUGGUAGUCUCUGUGUGAUAAUAGAAUGCUAUGAUAAAUAUUUCAUGAUUUUUGGAGUACUGCAGCUUUAUUAUGUAAUUUAUGUUUGAGAUUUAGCUUGUUUCCUUGAGUAAAUCAUAUAAAAUAAUUGGUGCUUAUGCUAGUGCUCUACUUUGGUAGUAAACUUGUUUAUGGUAUUCAUAACAUGGAAAUAAUCUGAAAUCUGCUGUUUGAUACAAUAUAAGUCAUGAUCCCCAAUUUAUGAAAUAAACACCUUGUUACAUUUUAAAUGCAUAUCUUUAAUUUGGUAUGUGCAAUUGCUCUGAAAUUUUUAUGGUGAUGCUUUGAUGCUAUACUUGUGCUUCUGUAAUUUUUGUAGAGUUUUCUGAGCACUUUGACUAGUAUCUUGUAAUUAUGCUCCUAUCUAGAAUUAAUUAAUAAAUGCCUUGUUAAGUAAAUGUUUGGGGGUUAUCAUCUGGUGUUCUGGUUGUCUUAUGAUAUGCUUAUGCUCAUAAGCCAUAUGGUUGGUAUGGUUUAUGUGUUGGUUAUGUCAUCAUAUAAUUAAUUUGUGGGUUAAAAGCUGUUCUGGACAGCAAGGGAGUAAUUUAACUUUUGCUUAAUGAUAACUUGGUUUUCUGGGAAACUUGUCUAAAUCAAAGUUGUUGUAAACUUAUUGAAAUAGCUGUGGUUUAAAUUUGAGGUCAUUUGGCCAAGUAGUUUAAAAGUUAUAACUGUUCCAAGUUGGGUUCCAGAAAUAGGUACUCUCUGUUUUUCUAGGACAGAACCUGGAACUUUGUUUAAAUGACUUGUUUAAUUUAUGAAUCUUGCUGUAAUGUUUAAAGAUGAUUUGUAGACAAUUUCAUAAGCUUUCCAGAAUGUCUUCACUCAUGUCUGUUGGAUCUGCCUAGCACUAUUUGUGAUCUGUUUACUGAGCUAAUUCUGUUAUAUGUUGCUUGCUGUUAUAGUCUAUCAGGAUAGGUUUUGGGGCUAGGUUAACUUAUUAACUUGUGUGAACUUGUUAUAACUAUUGCUCCAUAAAUGAGUGUCCAGGGAGUCCAUUAUGUUAUCAAGCAUUCAUCUCUUAGCAUGUACACCUUUUUAUUCCUCGAGCAUGCAAUAGGUGCAUCGGACGCGACAGCCUCCUUCGAGCUGCAAGUGAACCCCGAAGGCCAGGAGGGCAGCCAGGAGGUGGAGGUCCAGCAAGUCGAACUCGAGGAGCCCGAAGAAGAAGUUGAGUGCCCAAAUCACGAGCCAGCUUCGUUCGUGAAAGGCAAGCCCCAGAGCAUUUUAAGCCUCCCUUUACUUUCGAAAGUUUAUUUAAUAUGUUAUAUCUAUUGCUGCAUUAAGUAUACGGGUUGUGAUGAAACCUUUGCUGCAUUUUACUCCAUCCUUGUCCAGAUAACUCACCACACUUUGGUUAUAGAGUUAUGAUCGAGUAGCAGCUUAGCCAUGCUUUAAGCGGUAGAAGUCGGGUGAUUUCCUCUCACUUGUGCGAUAUAGGGUUGUGUCGGAUCACGAUGGUCUAUAUGUGCUAUCAUGGAUGGAACCUGAUUAAUUUGACUUAAGCCGGGCGGAGUUUUGCAAGAUUGUAGUAACUCCGUCUGUGGCAGCUAAGGACCGACCGUUGUACGUCCUCUUGUCAUGUUGAACGCAUGCCUAACACUUAGUUGGCCGAAUAACUCGUUCCGACCGCGAAGCUGAGUAGUAUGACUCAGGCCGGAAGACUGGCAAGUAUAAGUGCGCACUACCGGAGGAAGUGCGGUGUGCGGGGGACCAUUGACGUAAGCCCAAAGGCAGGUGAGUUAAAAUUCCUGACCUCCCUGGCAGAGUGGUAGCCCUGGGAGUGCGGCGCCGAUCGGAGCCGCGAUUCCUGAGUUGUACCAAAGGUGACCCGUUGGCUCUCCGACGGGGGAUGCUUGGAUGAGUGCUAGGAAUAACCAUCCAGCUGGAUAGGAAUUCGAUUCGAAUCGCCGUCUCUCCCGGUUAGUGAGAACUUAACAGAGCAGCGGCAAACGUAGCAUUCACUAAUGAACUUGGUUUAUGAUAAUGAUGAUAGCAAAAAGAACAUAUGAUGAAUUUAAUAUGGUUAUUAUUGUUUGUAAUAAUCAAGUGAUGUGUUGUAGUACAGGUGCUAAUCUAGUGGUAGGAUGAUGAUGAAUAAAUAUGAUGCUCUCAAAAUAAUUUAGUUUUUAAUGAAAGCUUUUGGCAAACGAUGAGUCAACCAGCUCCACUUGAUAUUAGCCUUGCAUGAUCCUUGGUGUCUUUUAUGUUUUACUAGACGGGUAAGUCUAGCUGAGUACAUUCUCGUACUCAGGGUUUAUUCCCACCUGUUGCAGAUGACAUCUUUUAUGACGGCUUCUGCAAGACCUGUCUCCAUCCCGCUAGGGAUGAGGACUAACCGUUGGGCACGGUUCUCUAACAACCUCGUACCUGUUGCUUUUGGAAGGAUGAUGUAGACUCUGGCAGUAACUCAAACUUAUGAACUGAACUUUGGAGUGUGUGUGUAACUAUUUUGCUUCCGCUACUUCAAACAAGUGUUGUAAUAACGUAAUACUCCGAUGUGGUGCCGAUUCGACGGCAAUGUAUGACUUUGUAACAAUCGUUGUGUUGUGCUGAAUUUUUACGAUCUUGGUUUGUUGCAAGUUGGUUUGAAGUCCUUCGUGAUUUCAAUUGACUACCGGGAUUAUAUGGGCUCAAGUUUGGAAACUUGAUUGCUUGUCGAUCGUUUCUACACUUGAACUCUUAUAAUUUGGUCGGUUCUGUGACAGCUGGCAUCGGAGCAAGUUCGGCAUUAUAAAUGCAGCGUUUGUGUAUUUAAAAACAAAAGAGUUUUUAAAUAAAAUGGUGUAAAUCAAUAUUUAAGUUAUGCCAGUGGUCGAAUCUUCCUUGCCCACAUAAGGACUAUAGGUGGCUAUUUAAGUACUGACUUGGGGGUUUUUAUUUAUGCAUCUCCGGCAGUACUCAGGUAUGGAUGUGUGAUGACCGCACUAUGCUACCCUAUGGUCUAAUGGUGGAGGUAGCCUUCAUAUGUGAAUUAGUCACAUAUGUCGCUAGAUUUAAAUUAUGCAAUGUCGCACCUACGCUCUGGUAAGUGUGAGCUGUGAGAGCAUGAUCGUCCAAACGACGGUCUAGGGGAGUGUUCGCGGUGGUUUUCUGGAGUGGUUACAUGUGAAAACCAUGGAACCACGAAAGAAACUUAAUUGGGGAGCAUUUAAUUUCUCAGGUAGCUGUGGUGUCAUUGUUUGUGCAUGUUGGGCAUGUCCAAGCAAUGUGCACUUAGUUUACUCCUUUCUUGAGUGAUAUAUUGGGAACUGUUGGGCUGAAAUGAAGUUUUCUGCAAGUACUCUAACAGCGUACGUGUAAAUCGAUAGUUAUCGUAUCGAGAGACGAAUGUAUGCCACCGUAUAUCCGUUAGAAUAUUAAUUUUCUAAGUUUGUGAGGACGUACGGUUCGUGCAUGCAUCAUGUCGCAUUCAUACAUACAUUCUGUCUACUCCUUCCCUUACAAUGUCGUCCCUUUUAAUUAAAUAAAUAUUGCUUAAACUAAUCCUCUUUAUCCAUGGUAUUCCUAUUCCUUUCCACAGAUGGACGCACCCGCUUCACCCCGCCCCAGUGGCGCUUUCUUGAGCGAGUUUGGCACUCCUACCUUGCUCUGGAGAGUGUUACAGUCUGUCGGGUAUACUGAGCCACCUCAGUAUUCUUGGUGGGAGUUGGAGAGCACAGGAGGGAUACAGUGGUUUGCUGUGCAGGGAGUUGUCCCUCCACAUGGGGACAAGCCUGCAUGGAAAGGGUGGACUUGUAGCUCGGAUGGGCAGACUCCUUGGGAAGCAGCUCAGGUUGCAGCCCAGACUAUCCUGCUUGAUAUCUGUCAGAGGUGUGGCGAUGAGCUGACGGGAGGACUAGCGGCCUCCAUUCCCCGUGCUGACCCAGCAACAACGGAGUGGAAGCAGGCUGAUGGUUGUGCUUUGGUUCGAGGCAGGGGAGAGCGACCUAAGAGUUCUAGUCCUGCUAUGAGUGCUAUGAUGGCUAUGCUCAAGCUGAUCAGUCAGCGAGAGGACACCUAUGCACAGGUGAUGGUGGCUCUUCGCCAGGCUCAGGAGAUGCAAUGGAAGGCUGAAAAGCGUGCUCGCAAGUUUCGCAAGCAAGCUAGACUCCUAGAGCAAUCUUAGAAGGACCGCAAUGACUGGGAAGACAUUGCGGAGUACCGUAGGCAGCAGUGGGUGAAGGCCAUUAGGGAGAGGGAUCAUAAGCAAGAUCAGAUGGGUCAGUUAGCUAGAGAGAGGGAGACCAUACAGGAGCUCUUGGUGCAGAUCACUCGUGAGAGGGACACUGCACUCCGCGUGUCGGAAAACAGGCGCCGGGCAUGGGAGAUGCACCGAGUUCAGUCGCUUGAGCGGGAGAACUAUCUGCAGGAUCAGAUUGAGGCUGGUCUUGUGGAGAUUCACCGUCUCAACAACCUGCUACACCCUAUUCCUCAAUAUAUACCCGUGUAUCCAGAGGUGGGACCUCAGGUGAUUGUGGCCGAUGAUGAUGGUAUGGAGGUCGAUGGACCAGCAGCGGCUGCACCACCCCUGCACGAGGACGUGGAGGACUAGGAGCUUGAGCCGGUUAGCGACGAGGAUGGAGAAGCGAUCUUCGACGCUGACUCGAACGACGAGCCUGGAGUGUAGGGAGUAGUGGGUAGUGUUAUGUGAGAAUCUUUUGUAGUAUGCUAGUCAGCCGUGGUGCUUUUGUACCCAUGUUGUAAUCUGGAACUUUGACCUUGACUCAUGGCAUGUACUGUGAUGGGGUAAUAACUUUGUGGACCCAAUGUGUAAUCUUAACAUGUUCGUAUGUUAUGACGAUGUUUUCUGUUGUGGUGCAUAUUGCGGAUAUCUCUGUCAUGUGUUGGAUUGGUGAUGUUGUUUUGUGGAAUUGAAUUAUUGUGCCUUUCUGUAAAGCUAUUCUCUCGAAUACUUUCAGGCAUAAAUAUAAGUUCUUCUGCGGCAAAUCUUGUCAUCAUCAAUACUCACUGACUGUGUCUUUACAGAUGUCUCGUGGCACCCGAGGUGCGGAACAGCGUGCAAACAUGAAUCCACCCCCUCCUCCUCCACCACCAAAUCCUGCUAAGUUAAUGCAAAUGAUGGUGGAAAAUCAGAGGAUGCUCACUGAGACCAUCAAUCGGAUGGCGAAUCAGGGUGGUCGUAAUGCACAUGAAGGGCCAGCUCCUAACCAGUAUAGUAGCUUCAAGGACUUCAUGGAUACAAAGCCCCCACCUUUCAGAGAAGCCGAAGAACCCCUGCAAGCUGAAGAAUGGCUGAACACGGUGGAACAAAAGUUCCGCUUGCUUCGGUUGACUGAAGGUUUGAAGGCAGAGUAUGCAGCUCAUCAACUGCAAGGUCCGGCAGGCAUCUGGUGGAAUCAGUACCGGGAAGCUCUUCCAGCUGACACUGUGCUGGACUGGAAUCUUUUCCGUGAUGCUUUUAAAGGGCAUUUCAUUCCCCCUGGUGUCAUGGAGAUGAAGCAUACUGAGUUCAUGCAGUUAACCCAGGGUAACAAAACUUUGAAGGAGUAUUUGCAUGCUUUCAAUCAUUUGUCUAGGUAUGCUCCUGAGUUUGUGAACACUGAGGCGAAGAAGAUUGCUAGUUUCAAGCGGGGUUUGGGCCCCAAGUUGCUGAAGACUAUGGGCCACACUAAGUGUGCAACUUUCAAUGAGUUUGUCAGUGAUGCUCUCACUCAAGAGAACUAUAACACUGUGUAUACUGCGACCAAGACUCGCAAGAGGGCUUUUGAGGCCGGGGUAGGGUCAUCUCAGUCCAAGGCUCCAGUGGCAGCUAAGCCACCGUUCUGUGCUCCCACGCCUAACCAGCGGUAUCGCCCUCCGGUGAAGAAGAAUCAGGCAAAGACGGGUUUCCGCAAGGGGUACUCUAUUGCUCUUCCUAGGGGCAACACGGGUCCCAGCUAUGCCAAGACUCCACCUGCCAACCGUCCGUGCUGGAACUGCAAUCAGAUCGGGCAUUGGCAGAGCAACUGUCCUUACCCGCCAAAGAAGGGCAAUCAGGGGAACGUCCGUCAGGGGCGUGUUCACUACACAACUGUGGAAGCAAUCCCUGCUGGUGAGGUAGUCACGGCUGGUAAGUUUCUGGUUAACCAACGUGAUGCACUUGUGCUUUUUGAUUCAGGAGCAUCGCAUUCUUUUGUGAGUUCGGAAUUUGUGUCUAAGCAUAAUAUCAAGGCAAUUACGCUUGAUAAGGGCAGUUAUUGUAUUAGUGCUGCGGGAAAUGAUAUUUCCACCAAUCAAGUGGUUUUGGGGGCAACUCUGGAAAUAGGAGGCCGUCAAUUUCUUACUAACUUGGUUGUUCUACCUGGUGUGGGCAUAGAUGUAAUUCUGGGGAUGAAGUGGAUGAGUGGCAACGGAGUUCUUAUCGACACCACCACUCGUGUAGUGAUGUUGAAAGACCCGAAUACCAAGGAGGCAUUUCUAGUGCAACUCCCUCGUGAUAUUCAAAUCCGUAGCACUAUGAAUGCAGUUACAUCUAAGGCUAUUCAGGACAUUACGGUGGUGUGUGUGUUUCCGGAUGUAUUUCCUAAUGAUUUACCCGGGCUUCCUCCGGAUCGGGAUGUGGAGUUCAAAAUUGAGUUGAUCCCACGUACCGCUCCUAUCUCUAGAAGACCUUAUAGAAUGCCACCCAAUGAAUUAGCUGAGCUUAAGACCCAACUAAAUGAGUUGUUGAAGAAGGGUCUCAUCCGUCCUAGUUCGUCUCCAUGGGGUUGUCCGGUUAUCUUUGUGAAGAAGAAGGAUCAAUCUUUGCGCAUGUGUGUGGACUAUCGUCCCUUAAAUGCGGUAACCAUCAAGAACAAAUACCCUCUUCCUCGCAUUGAUAUCUUGUUUGAUCAGUUGUCUAAAGCUAAGGUAUUCUCCAAGAUCGAUUUGCGAUCAAGGUAUCAUCAGAUCAAGAUCCGUCCUGAAGAUGUACCUAAGACAGCUUUCUCGAUGAGGUAUGGGUUGUAUGAGUAUCUCGUCAUGUCCUUCGGUCUUACAAAUGCACCUGCUCACUUCAUGUAUCUCAUGAAUUCGGUGUUCAUGUUCGAAUUGGACAAGUUUGUGGUGGUCUUCAUUGAUGAUAUCUUGGUAUAUUCCUGCAAUGAAGAGUUGCAUGCAGAGCAUCUGCGUAUAGUGUUGUCACGUUUGCGCGAACAUCAGCUUUAUACUAAGUUUAGCAAAUGCGAGUUUUGGCUGAAGAAAGUACCUUUCUUAGGCCAUGUCUUAUCUGAAGAAGGUAUAUCGGUGGAUCCAGCCAAGGUGCAAGAAGUGCUGGAUUGGAAAGUUCCAACUUCGGUACACGAGGUUCGGAGUUUUCUUGGUCUGGCUGGAUAUUAUCGUCGAUUCAUUCCCGAAUUCUCAAAAAUAUCCAAGCCUAUGACUCGGCUACUUUAGAAAAAUGAGAAGUUUGUGUGGACGCCUGAAUGUGAAGAGGCAUUCCACAAGUUAAGGACAUUGCUGACAUCAGCUCCUGUUCUAGCUCAGCCUGAUAUCGAAAAGCCCUUUGAUGUCUUUUGUGACGCGUCAGGCAUCGGUCUUGGCUGCGUGUUGAUGCAGGAAGGUCGCAUUAUCGCGUAUGCCUCGCGCCAACUUCGAAAGCAUGAGGUCAAUUACCCUACUCAUGACUUAGAAUUGGCAGCAGUUGUUCAUGCUUUGAAAAUCUAGAGGCAUUAUAUUGCUGGGUAAUCUGUGUAAUAUCUACACCGAUCAUAAGAGCCUCAAGUAUAUCUUCACUCAACCUGAACCAAACAUGCGGCAGCGAAGGUGGCUUGAGUUGAUUAAAGAUUAUAAUCUACAAGUGCACUAUCAUCCGGGCAAGGCGAACGUGGUUGCGGAUGCCUUGAGUCGGAAAGUGCACUGUCACUCAAUCCAAGUGGAAGACCCGUUGUUGUCACAUCUUAUGCAUCCACUUGUGCUCAACCAGAUUUCUCUAGAGAGUACUCCUCGCAAUGGAGUUAUUGAAUUGCAGCAAACAGAUGUAGGCAUCUAUCAUAUAAAGAGGAAAAUGAAAGAAGAAGAAACCAAGCAUUUCCGAGUCAAUGAGAACGGAAUACUUUGGUUCAAGGAUCGGCUUGUGGUCCCAAAAGACCGUGAGCUGCGAAAUCAGAUCAUGUCGGAAGCUCAUUCAUCCAAAUUGUCUAUCCAUCCUGGUAGUAGCAAGAUGUAUCAGGAUUUGAAACCUCUGUUUUGGUGGACAAAGAUGAAAAAGGAGAUUGCUGCUUUUGUCGCUCGUUGUGACAAUUGUUGUCAUGUGAAGGCUGUUCACAUGAAAGCUGGUUUGCUUCAACCCUUGUCAAUUCCUGGUUGGAAAUGGGAAGAAGUCAGCAUGGAUUUCAUCGUUGGACUCCCAACUUCUGUUAAGGGUUACGACUCCAUCUGGGUGAUUGUAGAUCAUUUGACCAAGGUUGCUCGAUUUAUUCCAGUUCGAACUGACUAUCGUCCACAUUAAUAUGCAGAGUUGUAUUUCGAGCACAUUGUUCGUCAGUAUGGUGUGCCUCGAACUAUUGUAUCAGAUCGUGGACCACAGUUCACUGCUCGUUUUUGGGAAUGUCUGCAUGAGCAGAUUGGUACUCAUUUAGUCCGUAGCUCUGCUUAUCAUCCCCAAACGGCUGGUCAAACUGAACGGGUUAACCAAAUCCUAGAAGACAAUGUUGAGGGCAUGUGCUCUCUCUUCAAAAGGUUCUUGGGUUAAGUGGUUGCCGUUAGCUGAGUUCUCCUACAACAAUAGUUAUCAGGAGAGUAUGAAGAUGGCUCCAUUUGAAGCCCUGUACGGUCGAAAGUGUCGAACCCCGUUGAAUUGGGUAAAAGCCGGAGAGCGAAGGUAUUAUGGUAUCGAUUUCUUGAACGAAGUAGAGCAGAAAGUCCGUACCAUCCAGCAACAUCUGGAAGCUGCUCAAGCUCGUCAGAAAAGUUAUGCCGACAAAAGAAGGAAGCCGAUUGAGUUUUCAUUUGGCGGCCAUGUGUAUAUCAAGGUGUCUCCGAUGAAGGGCGUACAAAGGUUCGGAGUCAAGCGAAAGCUUUCACCUCGUUAUGUGGGACCUUAUCGGAUUCUCGAAAAGAAAAGGAAUGUGGCGUACAAAGUUCAACUCCCAGUUGCGCUUCGAGCUAUUUUCCCUGUUUUCCACGUAUCACAAUUGAAGGAGUGCCUUCGUGUACCGGAGGAACGAGUUGAAGUUCGAGAUAUCAAGUUGAAGUCAGACUUGGUGUAUGAAGAAUAACCCGUAGCGGUUCUUGAUCGCAAGGAACGGGAGACUUGUAAUCGUGUGGUUAAGUUCUACAAGGUGUUGUGGAGUAACCACGGGGAGGAAGAUGCCACUUGGGAGAUGGAGGAUUAUUUAAAAGAAGUUUACAAAACCUUCUUCGAAAAUCAGUAAGCUUUCAAAUCUCGGGACGAGAUUUUUGUAAGGGGGGAGGGCUGUAGCACCCCAGUGUUAUGGUUGCAUCAAUCAUGUUCAUAGCAUGAGCAUCAUCAUCUACUCAAAGCAUAUCAUGAUCAUCAUCUUUCUCGAGCCAUGUCAUUCUAUGCAAAUAAGUGAUCUAAAUUGCUUAAAUAGGCUUCCUAUGCUUAUGUUUGAGUGAACCAUGCUUGUGUUUGUGCUCUAUGCCUUGGUAAUUAGUUUAUCUAUGCUUAACUUAACCUUGGGAACAAUGUUCAUGUUGAUCACUUCUCCAAAAUAAUCACUUAAGUCAUACUUAUGCUAUUGGGCCCUAGAAACCUCUUUUCCUUAGGCUUUUAAAAAGUGUUUCAUAAAAUGUUUGCAUGUCAAAACUUUCUACAGCAACGUUGUAGCAAAUUUUAUAAGGAACAAAAGUUGUUUUAUGGCCAUCUCAUGCAAAUGAUCACAAAUAGCUCAAAAUUAACCCACAAGGCAGAUUUGGGGCUGUUUCCAACACUUAGGAAAUUUUCUAAGUCGUGGAACGAAACCAGUUUGCUUGAUCGGUUUUGAAAACUCUAUAUCUCUCAAUCCAGGCCGAUCUAGCUUUUGCUCUAGUUGACAAUGUUGUAGAACUCGAUUGGAACUCCAACUUUGUCAACUGCAUCAUCUCCUGAUUCGCUCUGGUUUGGGAGAUAAUCAUCAUCAAAGUUGCUCUCUCAGUCGGUGAUCGCGAGGUCCGAUUGAGAGCUGAGCUCGCCGUCGGGAACGCCCAGAGUGCCACCUGUCCGCCAGAUGGCGCCCGUAUGCCAGCGAUGGCCCCGCUCGUCAGGUCGACGGUGUUGGCAUGGACGCCACGGCGCCUCGCACUCACUUAGCGCCCGUCCAUUCUCCUCCUCCUCUCUCUCGCACUCGCUCUGGCGGAAACGCCGUCGCCAUUGCCGCCGAGAGCUUCGCCAGCUCUUUGCGCCCUCGCCUCCGCAUCUCGCUUCGCCUCCGAGCGCCUCCAAGUCCGCCUCGAGCUCCUCCAUCUUCUCCACCCAUCAGUUGGACGAGAUCUCCCUGAGGUGAGCGGCAUUUCUCAAGUUCUCCGUUGUCGGGUUCGCGGCCGUCACGACACCGAUUCCGGCGAACCUCGCCGCUGCUCCACCCUUGCUUCCUUUCUUCUCUUUAGGUAGCGUUAGGUUCUGCUUAGGUCUUGACGUCAGUUCACGCCGUGCCAUUGCAGCUGAAACCUCACCGUCGCGCGGGAACACGGCCGCUGCACCGCCGUGACUCUACGGUCCCGUCUGCCAGUGACUCUACGGUCACCCCCUUUCUUUUAUUCAAAUCUGGAUUUUUGGCUUUCUUGCAAAAAUCAUAUCUCUAGUUCUGGCGAUCCAAAAAUGGUGAAACCAAUUUUACGGUAUUCCUUGGGAUGGCUAGUUUUUAAUAAAAAUAUAAAAUGAACCAUGUUUUCUGGGAAAAUAUUUAUUAACAAUUUAAUCUUGUUAUUCAUGAAUAAAUUCAUAUCUCUGGUUAUACUGCUUAGUUUGCUCUGAAAAUUUUAUGGUAGUCUCUGUGUGAUACUAGAAUGCUAUGAUAAAUAUUUCAUGAUUUUUGGAGUAAUGCAGCUUUGUUAUGUAAUUUAUGUUUGAGAUUUAGCUUGUUUCCUUGAGUAAAUCAUAUAAAAUAAUUGGUGCUUAUGCUGGUGCUCUAGUUUGGUAGUACACUUGUUUAUGGUAUUCAUAACAUGUAAAUAAUCUGAAAUCUACUGUUUGAUACAAUAUAAGUCAUGAUCCACAAUUUAUGUAAUAAACACCUUGUUACAUGUUAAAUGCAUAUCUUUAAUUUGGUAUGUGCAAUUGCUCUGAAUGUUUUAUGGUGAUGCUUUGAUGCUAUACUUGUGCUUCUGUAAUUUUUGUAGAUUUUUCGGAGCACUUUGACUAGUAUCUUGUAAUUAUGCUCCUAUCUAGAAUUAAUUAAUAAAUGCCUUGUUAAGUAAAUGUUUGGGGGUUAUCAUCUGGUGUUCUGGUUGCCUUAUGAUAUGCUUGUGCUCAUAAGCCAUAUGGUUGGUAUGGUUUAUGUGUUGGUUAUGUCAUCAUAUAAUUAAUUAGUGGGUUAAAAGCUGUUCUGGACAGCAAGGGAGUAAUUUAACUUUUGCUUAAUGACAACUUGGUUUUCUGGGAAACUUGUCUAAAUCAAAGUUGUUGUAAACUUAUUGAACUAGCUGUGGUUUAAAUUUGAGGUCAUUUGGCCAAGUAGUUUAAAAGUUAUAACUGUUCCAAGUUGGGUUCCAGAAAUAGGUACUCUCUGUUUUUCUGGGACAGAACCUGUAACUUUGUUUAAAUGACUUGUUUAAUGUAUGAAUCUUGCUGUAAUGCUUAAAGAUGAUUUGUAGACAAUUUCAUAAGCUUUCCAGAAUGUCUUCACUCAUGUUUGUUGGAUCUGCCUAGCACUAGUUAUGAUCUGUUUACUGAGCUAAUUCUGUUAUAUGUUGCUUGCUGUUAUAGUCUAUCAGGAUAGGUUUUGGGGCUAGGUUAACUUGUUAACUUGUGUGAACUUGUUAUAACUAUUGCUCCGUAAAUGAGUGUCCAGUGAGUCCAUUAUGUUAUCAAGCAUUCAUCUCUUAGCAUGUACACCUUCUUAUUCCUUGAGCAUGCAAUAGGUGCAUCGGACGCGACAGCCUCCUUCGAGCUUCAAGUGAACCCCGAAGGCCAGGAGGGCAGCCAGGAGGUGGAGGUCCAGCAAGUCGGACUCGAGGAGCCCGAAGAAGAAGUUGAGUGCCCAAAUCACGAGCCAGCUUCGUUCGUGAAAGGCAAGCCCCGGAGCAUUUUAAGCCUCCCUUUACUUUCGAAAGUUUAUUUAAUAUGUUAUAUCUAUUGUUGCAUUAAGUAUAGGGGUUGUGAUGAAACCUUUGCUGCAUUUUAUUCCAUCUUUGUCCAGAUAACUCACCACACUUUGGUUAUAGAGUUAUGAUCGAGUAGCAGCUUAGCCAUGCUUUAAGCGGUAGAAGUCGGGUGAUUUCCUGUCGCCUGCGCGAUAUAGGGUUGUGUCGGAUCACGAUGGUCUAUAUGUGCUAUCGUGGAUGGAACCUGAUUAAUUUGACUUAAGCCGGGAGGAGUUUUGCAAGGUUGUAGUAACUCCGUCUGUGGCAGCUAAGGAACGACCGUUGUACGUCCUCUUGUCAUGUUGAACGCAUGCCUAACACUUAGUUGGCCGGAUAAUUCGUUCCGACCGUGAAGCUGAGUAGUAUGACUCAGGCCGGAAGACCGGCAAGUAUAAGUGCGCACUACCGGAGGAAGUGCGGUGUGCGGGGGACCAGUGGCGUAAGCCCAAAGGCAGGUGAGUUAAAAUUCCUGACCUCCCUGGCAGAGUGGUAGCCCUGGGAGUGCGGCGCUGAUCGGAGCCGCGAUUCAUGAGUUGUACCAAAGGUGACCCGUUGGCUCUCCGACGGGGGAUGCUUCGAUGAGUGCUAGGAAUAACCCUCCAGCUGGAUAGGAAUUCGAUUCGAAUCGCCGUCUCUCCCGGUUAGUGAGAACUUGACAGAGCAGCGGCAAACGUAGCAUUCACUAAUGAACUUGGUUCAUGAUAAUGAUGAUAGCAAAAAGAACAUAUGAUGAAUUUGUUAUUAUUGUUUGUAAUAAUCAAGUGAUGUGUUGUAGUACAGGUGCUAAUCUAGUGGUAGGAUGAUGAUGAAUAAAUAUGAUGCUCUCAAAAUAAUUUAGUUUUUAAUGAAAGCUUUUGGCAAACGAUGAGUCAACCAGCUCCACUUGAUAUUAGCCUUGCUUGAUCCUUGGUGUCUUUUAUGUUUUACUAGACAGGUAAGUCUAGCUGAGUACAUUCUCGUACUCAGGGUUUAUUCCCACCUGUUGCAGAUGACAUCUUUUAUGACGGCUUCUGCAAGACCUGUCUCCAUCCCGCUGGGGAUGAGGACUAACCGUUGGGCACGGUUCUCUAACAACCUCGUACCUGUUGCUUUUGGAAGGAUGAUGUAGACUCUGCCAGUAACUCAAACUUAUGAACUGAACUUUGGAAAGUGUGUGUGUAACUAUUUUGCUUCCGCUACUUCAAACAAGUGUUGUAAUAACGUAAUACUCCGAUGUGGUGCCGCUUCGACGGCAAUGUAUGACUUUGUAACAAUCGCUGUGUUGUGCUGAAUUAUUACGAUCUUGGUUUGUUGCAAGUUGGUUUGAAGUCCUUCGUGAUUUCAAUUGACUACCGGGAUUAUAUGGGCUCAAGUUUGGAAACUUGAUUGCUUGUCGAUCGUUUCUACACUUGAACUCUUAUAAUUUGGUCGGUUCUGUGACAGCUGGCAUCGGAGCACGUUCAGCAUUAUAAAUGCAGCGUUUGUGUAUUUAAAAACAAAAGAGUUUUUAAAUAAAAUGGUGUAAAUCAAUAUUUAAGUUAUGCCAGUGGUCGAAUCUUCCUUGCCCACAUAAGGACUAUAGGUGGCUAUUUAAGUACUGACUUGGGGGUUUUUAUUUAUGCAUCUCCGGCAGUACUCAGGUAUGGAUGUGUGAUGACUGCGCUAUGCUACCCUGUGGUCUAAUGGUGGAGGUAGCCUUCAUAUGUGAAUUAGUCACAUAUGUCGCUAGAUUUAAAUUAUGCAACGUCGCACCUACGCUCUGGUAAGUGCGAGCUGUGAGAGCAUGAUCGUCCAAACGGCGGUCUAGAGGAGUGUUCGCGGUGGUUUUCUGGAGUGGUUACAUGUCAAAACCAUGGAACCACGAAAGAAACUUAAUUGGGGAGCAUUUAAUUUCUCGGGUAGCUGUGGUGUCAUUGUUUGUGCAUGUUGGGCUUGUCCAAGCAAUGUGCACUUAGUUUACUGCUUUCUUGAGUGAUAUAUUGGGAACUGUUGGGCUGAAAUGAAGUUUUCUACAGGUACUCUAACAGCGUACGUGUAAAUCAAUAGUUAUCGUAUCUUGAGACGAAUGUAUGCCACCGUAUAUCCGUUAGAAUAUUAAUUUUCUAAGUUUGUGAGGACGUACGGUUCGUGCAUGCAUCAUGUCGCAUUCAUACAUACAUUCUGUCUACUCCUUCCCUUACAAUGUCAUCCCUUUUAAUUAAAUAAAUAUUGCUUAAACUAAUCCUCUUUAUCCAUGGUAUUCCUAUUCCUUUCCACAGAUGGACGCACCCGCUUCACCCCGCCCCAGUGACGCUUUCUUGAGCGAGUUUGGCACUCCUACCUUGCUCUGGAGAGUGUUACAGUCUGUCGGGUAUACUGAGCCACCUUAGUAUUCUUGGUGGGAGUUGGAGAGCACAGGAGGGAUACAGUGGUUUGCUAUGCAGGGAGUUGUCCCUCCACAUGGGGACAAGCCUGCAUGGACAGGGUGGACUUGUAGCUCGGAUGGGCAGACUCCUUGGGAAGCAGCUCAGGUUGCAGCCCAGACUAUCCUGCUCGAUAUCUGUCAGAGGUGUGGCAAUGAGCUGAUGGGAGGACUAGCGGCCUCCAUUCCCCGUGCUGACCCAGCAGCAACGGAGUGGAAGCAGGCUGAUGGUUGUGCUUUGGUUUGAGGCAGGGGAGAGCGAGCUGAGAGUUCUAGUCAUGCUAUGAGUGCUAUGAUGGUUGUGCUCAAGCUGAUCAGUCAGCGAGAGGAACCUAUGCACAGGUGAUGGUGGCUGUUCGCCAGGCUCAGGAGGUGCAACGGAAGGCUAAAAAGCAUGCUCGCAAGUUUCGCAAGCAAGCUAGACUCCUAGAGCAAGCUUAGAAGGACCGCAAUGACUGGGAAGACAUUGCGGAGUACUGUAGGCAGCAGUGGGUGAAGGCCAUUAGGGAGAGGGAUAAUAAGUAGGAUCAGAUGGGUCAGUUAGCUAGAGAGAGGGAGACCAUACAGGAGCUCUUGGUGCAGAUCACUCGUGAGAGGGACACUGCACUCCGCGUGUCGGAAAAUAGGCACCGGGCAUGGGAGAUGCACCGAGUUCAGUCGCUUGAGCGGGAGAACUAUCUGCAGGAUCAGAUUGAGGCUGGUCUUGUGGAGAUUCACCGUCUCAACAACCUGCUACACCCUAUUCCUCGUCCUAUACCCGUGUAUCCAGAGGUGGGACCUCUGGUGAUUGUGGCCGAUGAUGAUGGUAUGGAGGUCGAUGGACCAGCAGCGGCUGCACCACCCCUGCACGAGGAUGUGGAGGACAAGGAGCUUGAGCCGGUUAGCGACGAGGAUGGAGAGGCGAUCUUUGACGCUGACUCGGACGACGAGCCUGGAGUGUAGGGAGUAGUGGGUUGUGUUAUGUGAGAAUCUUUUGUAGUAUGCCAGUCAGCCGUGGUGCUUUUGUACCCAUGCAUGUUGUAAUCUGGAACUUUGACCUUGACUCAUGGCAUGUACUGUGACGGGGUAAUAACUUUGUGGACCCAAUGUGUAACCUUAACAUGUUCGUAUGUUAUGACGAUGUUUUCCGUUGUGGUGCAUAUUGCGGAUAUCUCUGUCAUGUGUUGGAUUGGUGAUGUUGUUUUGUGGAAUUGAAUUAUUGUGCCUUUCUGUAAAGCUAUUCUCUCGAAUACUUUCAGGCAUAAAUAUAAGUUCUUCUGCGGCAAAUCUUGUCAUCAUCAAUACUCACUGACUGUGUCUUUACAGAUGUCUCGUGGCACCCGAGGUGCGGAACAGUGUGCAAACAUGAAUCCACCCCCUCCUCCUCCACCACCAAAUCCUGCUGAGUUAAUGCAAAUGAUGGUGGAAAAUCAGAGGAUGCUCACUGAGACCAUCAAUCGGAUGGCAAAUCAGGGUGGUCGUAAUGCACAUGAAGGAUCAGCUCCUAACCAGUACUGUAGCUUCAAGGACUUCAUGGAUACAAAGCCCCCACCUUUCAGAGAAGCCAAAGAACCCCUACAAGCUGAAGAAUGGCUGAACACGGUGGAACAAAAGUUCCGCUUGCUUCGGUUGACUGAAGGUUUGAAGGCAGAGUAUGCAGCUCAUCAACUGCAAGGUCCGGUAGGCAUCUGGUGGAAUCAGUACCGGGAAGCUCUUCUGGCUGACACUGUGCUGGACUGGAAUCUUUUCCGUGAUGCUUUUAAAGGGCAUUUCAUUCCCCCUGGUGUCAUGGAGAUGAAGCAUACUGAGUUCAUGCAGUUAACCCAGGGUAACAAAACUUUGAAGGAGUAUUUGCAUGCUUUCAAUCAUUUGUCUAGGUAUGCUCCUGAGUUUGUGAACACUGAGGCGAAGAAGAUUGCUAGUUUCAAGCAGGGUUUGGGCCCCAAGUUGCUGAAGACUAUGGGCCACACUAAGUGUGCAACUUUCAAUGAGUUUGUCAGUGAUGCUCUCACUCAAGAGAACUAUAACACUGUGUAUACUGCGACCAAGACUCGCAAGAGGGCUUUUGAGGCCGGGGUAGGGUCAUCUCAGUCUAAGGCUCCAGUGGCAGCUAAGCCACCGUUCCGUGCUCCCACGCCUAACCAGCGGUAUCGCCCUCCGGUGAAGAAGAAUCAGGCGAAGACGGGUUUCCGCAAGGGGUACUCUAUUGCUCUUCCUAGGGGCAACACGGGUCCCAUCUAUGCCAAGACUCCACCUGCCAACCGUCCGUGCUGGAACUGCAAUCAGACCGGGCAUUGGCAGAGCAACUGUCCUUACCCGCCAAAGAAGGGCAAUCAGGAGAACGUCCGUCAGGGGCGUGUUCACUACACAACUGUGGAAGCAAUCCCUGCUGGUGAGGUAGUCACGGCUGGUAAGUUUCUGGUUAACCAACGUGAUGCACUUGUGCUUUUUGAUUCAGGAGCAUCGCAUUCUUUUGUGAGUUCUGAAUUUGUGUCUAAGCAUAAUAUCAAGGCAAUUACGCUUGAUAAGGGCAGUUAUUGUAUUAGUGCUGCGGGAAAUGAUAUUUCCACCAAUCAAGUGGUUUUGGGGGCAACUCUGGAAAUAGGAGGCUGUCAAUUUCUUACUGACUUGGUUGUUCUACCUGGUGUGGGCAUAGAUGUAAUUCUGGGGAUGAAGUGGAUGAGUGGCAACGGAGUUCUUAUCGACACCACCACUCGUGUAGUGAUGUUGAAAGACCCGAAUACCAAGGAGGCAUUUCUAGUGCAACUCCCUCGUGAUAUUCAAAUCCGUAGCACUGUGAAUGCAGUUACAUCUAAGGCUCUUCAGGACAUUCCGGUGGUUUGUGAGUUUCCGGAUGUAUUUCCUAAUGAUUUACCCGGGCUUCCUCCGGAUCGGGAUGUGGAGUUCAAAAUUGAGUUGAUCCCAGGUACCGCUCCUAUAUCUAGAAGACCUUAUAGAAUGCCACCCAAUGAAUUAGCUGAGCUUAAGACCCAACUAAAUGAGUUGUUGAAGAAGGGUCUCAUCCGUCCUAGUUCGUCUCCAUGGGGUUGUCCGGCUAUCUUUGUGAAGAAGAAGGAUCAAUCUUUGCGCAUGUGUGUGGACUAUCGUCCCUUAAAUGCGGUAACCAUCAAGAACAAAUACCCUCUUCCUCGCAUUGAUAUCUUGUUUGAUCAGUUGUCUAAAGCUAAGGUAUUCUCCAAGAUCGAUUUGCGAUCUGGGUAUCAUCAGAUCAAGAUCCGUCCUGAAGAUGUACCUAAGACAGCUUUCUCGACGAGGUAUGGGUUGUAUGAGUAUCUCGUCAUGUCCUUCGGUCUUACAAAUGCACCUGCUCACUUCAUGUAUCUCAUGAAUUCGGUGUUCAUGCCCGAAUUGGACAAGUUUGUGGUGGUCUUCAUUGAUGAUAUCUUGGUAUAUUCCUGCAAUGAAGAGGAGCAUGCAGAGCAUCUGCGUAUAGUGUUGUCACGUUUGCGCGAACAUCAGCUUUAUGCUAAGUUUAGCAAAUGUGAGUUUUGGCUGAAGAAAGUACCUUUCUUGGGCCAUGUCUUAUCUGAAGAAGGUAUAUCAGUGGAUCCAGCCAAGGUGCAAGAAGUGCUGGAUUGGAAAGUUCCAACUUCGGUACACGAGGUUCGGAGUUUUCUUCGUCUGGUUGGAUAUUAUCGUCGAUUCAUUCCAGAAUUCUCAAAAAUAUCCAAGCCUAUGACUCGGCUACUUCAGAAAAAUGAGAAGUUUGUGUGGACGCCUGAAUGUGAAGAGGCAUUCCACAAGUUAAGGACAUUGCUGACAUCAGCUCCUGUUCUAGCUCAGCCUGAUAUCGAAAAGCCCUUCGAUGUCUUUUGAGACGCGUCAGGCAUCGGUCUUGACUGCGUGUUGAUGCAGGAAGGUCGCGUUAUCAUGUAUGCCACGCGUCAACGUCGAAAGCAUGAGGUCAAUUACCCUACUCAUGACUUAGAAUUGGCAGCAGUUGUUCAUGCUUUGAAAAUCUGGAGGCAUUAUAUUGCUGGGUAAUCUGUGUAAUAUCUACACCGAUCAUAAGAGCCUCAAGUAUAUCUUCACUCAACCUGAACUAAACAUGCGGCAGCGAAGGUGGCUUGAGUUGAUUAAAGAUUAUAAUCUACAAGUGCACUAUCAUCCGAGCAAGGCGAACGUGGUUGCGGAUGCCUUGAGUCGGAAAGUGCACUGUCACUCAAUCCAAGUGGAAGACCCGUUGUUGUCACAUCUUAUGCAUCCACUUGUGCUCAACCAGAUUUAUUGAAUUGCAGCAAACAGAUGUAGGCAUCUAUCAUAUAAAGAGGAAAAUGAAAGAAGAAGAAACCAAGCAUUUUCGAGUCGAUGAGAACGGAAUACUUUGGUUCAAGGAUCGGCUUGUGGUCCCAAAAGACCAUGAGCUGCGAAAUCAGAUCUUGUCGGAAGCUCAUUCAUCCAAAUUGUCUAUCCAUCCUGGUAGUAGCAAGAUGUAUCAGGAUUUGAAACCUCUGUUUUGGUGGACAAAGAUGAAAAAGGAGAUUGCUGCUUUUGUCGCUCAUUGUGACAAUUGUUGUCGUGUGAAGGUUGUUCACAUGAAAGCUGGUUUGCUUCAACCCUUGUCAAUUCCUGGUUGGAAAUGGGAAGAAGUCAGCAUGGAUUUCAUCGUUGGACUCCCAACUUCUGUUAAGGGUUACGACUCCAUCUGGGUGAUUGUAGAUCGUUUGACCAAGGUUGCUCGAUUUAUUCCAGUUCCAACUGACUAUCGUCCACAUCAAUAUGCAGAGUUGUAUUUCAAGCACAUUGUUCGUCAGUAUGGUGUGCCUCGAACUAUUGUUUCAGAUCGUGGACCACAGUUCACUGCUCGUUUUUGGGAAUGUCUGCAUGAGCAGAUUGGUACUCAUUUAGUCCGUAGCUCUGCUUAUCAUCCCCAAACGGCUGGUCAAACUGAACGGGUUAACCAAAUCCUAGAAGACAUGUUGAGGGCAUGUGCUCUCUCUUCAAAAGGUUCUUGGGUUAAGUGGUUGCCGUUAGCUGAGUUCUCCUACAACAAUAGUUAUCAGGAGAGUAUCAAGAUGGCUCCAUUUGAAGCCCUGUACGGUCGAAAGUGUCGAACCCCGUUGAAUUGGGUAGAAGCCGGAGAGCGAAGGUAUUAUGGUAUCGAUUUCGUGAACGAAGGAGAGCAGAAAGUCCAUACCAUCCAGCAACAUCUGGAAGCUGCUCAAGCUCGUCAGAAAAGUUAUGCCGACAAAAGAAGGAAGCCGAUUGAGUUUUCAGUUGGCGACCAUGUGUAUAUCAAGGUGUCUCCGAUGAAGGGCGUACAAAGGUUCGGAGUCAAGCGAAAGCUUGCACCUCGUUAUGUGGGACCUUAUCGGAUUCUCGAAAAGAAAGGGAAUGUGGCGUACAAAGUUCAACUCCCAGUUGCGCUUCGAGCUAUUUUCCCUGUUUUCCACGUAUCACAAUUGAAGGAGUGCCUUCGUGUACCGGAGGAACGAGUUGAAGUUCGAGAUAUCAAGUUGAAGUCAGACUUGGUGUAUGAAGAAUAACCCGUAGCGGUUCUUGAUCGCAAGGAACGGGAGACUUGUAAUCGUGUGGUUAAGUUCUACAAGGUGUUGUGGAGUAACCACGGGGAGGAAGAUGCCACUUGGGAGAUGGAGGAUUAUUUAAAAGAAGUUUACAAAACCUUCUUCGAAAAUCAGUAAGCUUUCAAAUCUCGGGACGAGAUUUUUGUAAGGGGGGAGGGCUGUAGCACCCCAGUGUUAUGGUUGCAUCAAUCAUGUUCAUAGCAUGAGCAUCAUCAUCUACUCAAAGCAUAUCAUGAUCAUCAUCUAUCUUGAGCCAUGUCAUUCUAUGCAAAUAAGUGAUCUAAAUUGCUUAAAUAGGCUUCCUAUGCUUAUGUUUGAGUGAACCAUGCUUGUGUUUGUGCUCUAUGCCUUGGUAAUUAGUUUAUCUAUGCUUAACUUAACCUUGGGAACAAUGUUCAUGUUGAUCACUUCUCCAAAAUAAUCACUUAAGUCAUACUUAUGCUAUUGGGCCCUAGAAACCUCUUUUCCUUAGGCUUUUAAAAAGUGUUUCAUAAAAUAUUUGCAUGUCAAAACAUUCUACAGAAAAGUUGUAGAAAAUUUUAUAAGGAACAAAAGUUGUUUUAUGGCCAUCUCAUGAAAAUGAUCACAAAUAGCUCAAAAUUGACCCACAAGGCAGAUUUGGGGCGGUUACCAACACUUAGGAAAUUUUCUAAGUCCUGGAACGAAACCAGUUUGCUUGAUCGGUUUUGAAAACUCUAUAUCCCUCAAUCCAGGCCGAUCUGGCUUUUGCUCUAGUUGACAAUGUUGUAGAACUCGAUUGGAACUCCAACUUUGUCAACUGCAUCUUCUCCUGAUUCGCUCUGGUUUGGGAGAUAAUCAUCGUCAAAGUUACUCUAUCAGUCGGUGAUCGCGAGGUCCGAUUGAGAGCUGAGCUCGCCGUCGGGAACGCCCAGAGCGCCACCGGCGAUGGCCCCGCUCGUCAGGUCAACGGCAUUGGCAUGGAUGCCACAGUGCCCCGCACUCACUUAGCGCCCGUCCAUUCUCCUCCUCCUCUCUCUCGCGCUCGCUCUGUCGGAAACGUCGUCGCCAUUGCCGCCGAGAGCUUCGCCAGCUCUUCGUGCCCUCGCCUCUGCAUCUCGCUUCACCUCCGAGCGCCUCCAAGUCCGCCUCGAGCUCCUCCAUCUUCUCCACCCAUUAGUUGGAUGAGAUCUCCCCGAGGUGAGCGGCAUUUCUCAAGUUCUCCGUUGUCGGGUUCGCGGCCGUCGCGACACCGAUUCCGGCGAACCUCGCCGCUGCUCCACCCUUGCUUCCUUUCUUCUCUUUAGGUAGCGUUAGGUUCUGCUUAGGUCUUGACGUCGGUUCACGGCGCGCCAUUGCGGCUGAAACCUCACCGUUGCGCGGGAACACGGCCGCUGCACCGCCGUGCUCACCGCCGACGAGCACCUCGCACGUGAGCAGGCUCACCGGAGCCGUUAGGGUUAGGCGUUCCUACCUCGAAAGCUCCGCGCUGACUCACUGAUGCUGUAGCCACCCUUCCCCGACGCUCUACCGGUCGGAGAUGGCCAGCGUAAGCCGGGGUAGAUCCGCCGUGCCGCGCAUGGCCGACGGCGACCCCUCUCCGUAGCCGAAACCCUAGCACCACCUACCUCCUUCGAUGCGGAAUCCCUCCAGGAGCACGAUGGUGCCCUUGGAUCCGCCGGAGAAGCUCACCAUCGGCGAGCAUUUGCCGGCGAAGGAGUCCUCUGUUCUCGGUGUUGCUGACGCGCGGGUCCCGUCUGCCAGUGACUCAACGGUCACCCCCUUUCUUUUAUUCAAAUCUGGAUUUUUGGCUUUCUUGCAAAAAUCAUAUCUCUAGUUCUGGUGAUCCAAAAAUAGUGAAACCAAUUUUGUGGUAUUCCUUGAGAUGGCUAGUUUUUAAUAAAAAUAUAAAAUGAACCAUUUUUUCUGGGAAAAUAUUUAUUAACAAUUUAAUCUUGCUAUUCAUGAAUAAAUUCAUAUCUCUGGUUAUACGGCUUAGUUUGCUCUGAAAAUUCUAUGGUAGUCUCUGUGUGAUACUAGAAUGCUAUGAUAAAUAUUUUAUGAUUUUUGGAGUACUGCAGCUUUGUUAUGUAAUUUAUGUUUGAGAUUUAGCUUGUUUCCUUGAGUAAAUCAUAUAAAAUAAUUGGUGCUUAUGCUGGUGCUCUACUUUGGUAGUAAACUUAUUUAUGGUAUUCAUAACAUGUAAAUAAUCUGAAAUCUACUGUUUGAUACAAUAUAAGUCAUGAUCCCCAAUUUAUGAAAUAAACACCUUGUUACAUGUUAAAUGCAUAUCUUUAAUUUGGUAUGUACAAUUGCUCUGAAAUUGUUAUGGUGAUGCUUUGAUGCUAUACUUGUGCUUCUGUAAUUUUUGUAGAUUUUUCUGAGCACUUUGACUAGUAUCUUGUAAUUAUGCUCCUAUCUAGAAUUAAUUAAUAAAUACCUUGUUAAGUAAAUGUUUGGGGGUUAUCAUCUGGUGUUCUGGUUGUCUUAUGAUAUACUUGUGCUCAUAAGCCAUAUGGUUGGUAUGGUUUAUGUGUUGGUUAUGUCAUCAUAUAAUUAAUUAGUGGGUUAAAAGCUGUUCUGGACAGCAAGGGAGUAAUUUAACUUUUGCUUAAUGAUAACUUAGUUUUCUGGGAAACUUGUCUAAAUCAAAGUUGUUGUAAACUUAUUGAACUAGCUGUGGUUUAAAUUUGAGGUUAUUUGGCCAAGUAGUUUAAAAGUUAUAACUGUUCCAAAUUGGGUUCCAGAAAUAGGUACUCUCUGUUUUUCUGGGACAGAACCUGGAACUUUGUUUAAAUGACUUGUUUAAUAUAUGAAUCUUGCUGUAAUGCUUAAAGAUGAUUUGUAGACAAUUUCAUAAGCUUUCCAGAAUGUCUUCACUCAUAUUUGUUGGAUCUGCCUAGCACUAGUUAUGAUCUGUUUACUGAGCUAAUUCUGUUAUAUGUUGCUUGCUGUUAUAGUCUAUCAGGAUAGGUUUUGGGGCUAGGUUAACUUGUUAACUUGUGUGAACUUGUUAUAACUAUUGCUCCGUAAAUGAGUGUCCAGUGAGUCCAUUAUGUUAUCAAGCAUUCAUCUCUUAGCAUGUACACCUUCUUAUUCCUUGAGCAUGCAAUAGGUGCAUCGGACGCGACAGCCUCCUUCGAGCUGCAAGUGAACCCCGAAGGCCAUGAGGGCAGCCAGGAGGUGGAGGUCCAGCAAGUCGGACUCGAGGGGCCCGAAAAAGAAGUUGAGUGCCCAAAUCACGAGCCAGCUUCGUUCGUGAAAGGCAAGCCCCGGAGCAUUUUAAGCCUCCCUUUACUUUCGAAAGUUUAUUUAAUAUGUUAUAUCUAUUGCUGCAUUAAGUAUAGGGGUUGUCAUGAAACCUUUGCUGCAUUUUACUCCAUCCUUGUCCAGAUAACUCACCACACUUUGGUUAUAGAGUUAGGAUCGAGUAGCAGCUUAGCCAUGCUUUAAGCGGUAGAAGUCGGGUGAUUUCCUGUCACCUGCGCGAUAUAGGGUUGUGUCGGAUCACGAUGGUCUAUAUGUGCUAUCGUUGAUGGAACCUGAUUAAUUUGACUUAAGCCGGGCGGAGUUUUGCAAGGUUGUAGUAACUCCGUCUGUGGCAGCUAAGGACCGACCAUUGUACGUCCUCUUGUCAUGUUGAACGCAUGCCUAACACUUAGUUGGCCGGAUAACUCGUUCCGACCGCGAAGUAGAGUAGUAUGACUCAGGCCGGAAGACCGGCAAGUAUAAGUGCGCACUACCGGAGGAAGUGCGGUGUGCGGGGGACCAUUGGCGUAAGCCCAAAGGCAGGUGAGUUAAAAUUCCUGUCCUCCCUGGCAGAGUGGUAGCCCUGGGAGUGCGGCGCUGAUCGGAGCCACAAUUCCUGAGUUGUACCAAAGGUGACCCGUUGGCUCUCCGACGGGGGAUACUUGGGUGAGUGCUAGGAAUAACCCUUCAGCUGGAUAGGAAUUCGAUUCGAAUCGCCGUCUCUCCCGGUUAGUGAGAACUUGACAGAGCAGCGGCAAAUGUAGCAUUCACUAAUGAACUUGGUUCAUGAUAAUGAUGAUAGCAAAAAGAACAUAUGAUGAAUUUGAUAUGGUUAUUAUUGUUUGUAAUAAUCAAGUGAUGUGUUGUAGUACAGGUGCUAAUCUAGUGGUAGGAUGAUGAUGAAUAAAUAUGAUGCUCUCAAAAUAAUUUAGUUUUUAAUGAAAGCUUUUGGCAAACGAUGAGGCAACCAGCUCCACUUGAUAUUAGCCUUGCAUGAUCCUUGGUGUCUUUUAUGUUUUACUAGACGGCUAAGUCUAGCUGAGUACAUUCUCGUACUCAGGGUUUAUUCCCACCUGUUGCAGAUGACAUCUUUUAUGACGGCUUCUGCAAGACCUGUCUCCAUCCCCGCUAGGGAUGAGGACUAACCGUUGGGCACGGUUCUCUAACAACCUCGUACCUGUUGCUUUUGGAAGGAUGAUGUAGACUCUGGCAGUAACUCAAACUUAUGAACUGAACUUUGGAAAGUGUGUGUAACUAUUUUGCUUCCACUACUUCAAACAAGUGUUGUAAUAACGUAAUACUCCGAUGUGGUGCCGCUUCGACGGCAAUGUAUGACUUUGUAACAAUCGCUGUGUUGUGCUGAAUUAUUACGAUCUUGGUUUGUUGCAAGUUGGUUUGAAGUCCUUCGUGAUUUCAAUUGACUACCGGGAUUAUAUGGGCUCAAGUUUGGAAACUUGAUUGCUUGUCGAUUGUUUCUACACUUGAACUCUUAUAAUUUGGUCGGUUCUGUGACAAAGAAGGGCCGAAUCCACGCAAACCCGAGGGUCUUGGAGUCAACCAAGAGCCUCCACACGUCCCUCACGGCCGGGGCAAGGUCCUCCUCAAAGAUUGGGCGAAGAAGAUGGAGGAGCCGAGAGAUCGGGGCAAGAAAGCCGCCGCCGCUGGGAGAAGAGAAGAGAAGAAGGGGCGGGCGGGUGGGAACAGAUAAGGCAAAGAAAAUAACCACGGGUGACUUAAAUACCGCAGAAAAAAGCACUGCCGGUACUACCGGCUUCAAGGGCCGGUACCACCGGCGAGCCAGAGACCUGUGCGCGGAGUUCUACGGGAUUUUGGCCUGCCGGUGCUACCGGGCUUUGGCCGGUACCACCGGCUGGAGCCAGUACCACCGGGGCAGAGCGCCGGUACCACCGGCAGGACAGGGAAUCAGCGCAGAGGCGAACUUAGUGUGGCAAACUUAGAAACAAAUCAAGCAAGGCCAGAUUUCAUCAAAUCAUUACAAAACAAUGUCCAUGCUUGAGAUGUGAAAAAUAGAUUUUGAAAUAGCACUCAAUUUCUCAAAAAGUUUUGACCUUUCUAAUCAAUCAAGUAUGUGCAAGACAUCACGCCAUGUUACGAGAAUCAACGAUAUUUAGUUCACGCCUCAAAGCACAAAAUCUUGACUCAUCUAGAGGUUUAGUGAAGAUAUCGGCUAACUAGAAUUCGGUUCUCACAUGUUGCACAACGAUAUCUCCUUUGGAUUGGUGGUCUCUCAGGAAGUGAUGGCGAAUUUCUAUGUGCUUUGUUCUAGAGUGGUUUACAGGGUUAUCAGCUAGCUUGAUUGUCCCCUCAUUGUCACAUAAGAGGGGAAUCUUUCUUUGCUCACAACCAAAGUCUCUCAAGGUUUGCUUCAUCCAAAGCAGUUGGACACAGCAAGCGCCGGCCGCCACAUACUCGGCUUUAGCGGUGGAAAGGGCAAUGGAGUUUUGUUUCUUAGAACUCCAGGACACCAAAGACCUACCAAGGAAUUGGCAAGUCCCUGAUGUACUCUUUCGCUCUACCCUGCAACGGCAUAGUCCGAAUCGGAGUAGCCAAGUAGAGUGAAAGUGGAGCCCUUUGGGUACCAUAAGCCAAGAUUAGGAGUGAACACAAGAUAUCGAAAGAUUCUCUUAACAGCCAUAAGAUGGCAUUCUUUCGGACUAGCUUGAAAUCUUGCACACAUGCACACACUAAGCAUAAUAUCAGGCCUAGAUGCACAAAGGUAAAGCAAAGAUCCAAUCAUGGAGCGAUAUACCUUUUGAUCAAUGGCCUUGCCGUCUCCAUCAAGGUCAAGAUGUCCGGUUGUUGGCAUUGGUGUCUUUAUGGGUUUGGCCUUGUCCAUGUCAAACUUCUUUAGCAUGUCGGUGGUGUACUUGGUUUGACUUAUGAAUGUGCCGUCCUUGAGUUGCUUGAUUUGAAAUCCAAGGAAGUACGUCAACUCCCCCAUCAUGGACAUCUCGAACCUUUUGGUCAUGAUCCUACUAAAUUCCUCACUGAAGUCCGCAUUAGUACUACCAAAUAUAAUGUCAUCGACAUAUAUUUGGCACAUAAAAAUAUCUUGGGUGAGGCACUGCUGUUCUUGUUUGAAUGGGACCAUCAUCUUCAUCAUCAUGGUCUUGGUUGAUUGAAGAAUCUAGAUCUUGAACGUUUUGAUCUCCAUCUUGGUUUGGUUCUUGUGCUUGAGGUGGAUCUUGUCCAACUUGUUUUCUUGAGUCAAGACCUCUUCUUGAUGUGGAAGCAUCAUCAUGGGCAUUGGUUGACCCACGAUGCAAGUUUGGGUCACGAGAAAUUUGCAUGUGUGCAUCAUCAUCUUCUUCUUCAACGGGUUUCACUUCACCGGUAGCAAGCUUUAUGAUUACUUGGCGAGAUGGCUCUUCUUUACAUAAAAUUUCAGCAUUGACUUGCUCCUUUUGAGAGUCGUCGCUUUCAUCAAAAGUCACGUCUACCGCUAUUUCAAUUUGACCGGUGGUCUCAUUGAAAACACGAUAGCCAUGUUGAUUAGUAGCAUAAACAAGUAAAAAUCCUUCAUCAACCUUUGGUGCGAACUUAGAGCUUUUAGAUCUUUUAUUAAGUAUGAAACACUUGCAUCCAAAAACUCUAAAGUAAUCCACCUUAGGCUUUUUACCGGUUAGAAGUUCGUAGGCAGUUUUCUUUCUCAACUUGUGGAGGUAUAAGCGAUUGAUGGCGUGACAUGCCGUGUUAACGGCUUCUGCCCAAUAGUCCUUUUCGGAGAUCUUGUAUUCAUCCAACAUUACUCUCGCGGCUUCAAUGAGUGUUCGGUUCUUUCUUUCUACCACACCGUUUUGUUGUGGAGUAUAUGCAACCGAGAACUCAUGCUUGAUGCCUUCUUCAUCAAGGUAUGCUUCAAUGUUGGUGUUUCUAAAUUCAGUCCCGUUGUCGCUUCUCACUUUCUUGAUCUUCACUUCAAACUCAUUUUGAGCCCGCCUUGCAAACUUAUUGAAGAUCCCUUGAGUCUCACUUUUGUCCUUCAAAAAGAAUAACCAAGUGAAGCGAGAGAAGUCAUCAACAAUUACAAAACCAUAUUUGUUACCUCCAAUGCUUAUGUAAGCAUUAGGUCCGAACAAGUCCAUGUGAAGUAGCUCAAGAGGUCUUGAUGUAGUCACAAUGUUCUUCGCGGGAUGCUUAGCUCCAACUUGUUUUCCCGCUUGACAUGCACUGUAAAUUCUAUCUUUCUCAAAAGAAACAUUCGUUAGUCCAAGGAUGUGUUCACCCCUUUGAAGAUCGGCCAAGUUCCUCAUCCCAACAUGGGCUAGACGGCGAUGCCACAGCCAGCCCAUGCUAGAUUUUGCCACUAAACAAGUCUCGGACCCCACUCUACUAGCCGAAAUAUCAACUAGAUAGAGCUUGCCCUUUAGUUGACCCGUGAAAGCAAUAGAGGAAUCCGACCUUCUAGAGACUUCCACACCCUUAUCCGUAAAGAGACAAUUGUAACCUUUCUCACAAAGUUGUGAGACGGAUAACAAAUUAUAUCCCAACGAAUCCACAAGCAAAACAUUCGAAAUGGAAUUAUCAUUUGAAAUUGCAAUUUUACCUAAACCAAGGAUAUCUCCUUUACUAUUGUCACCAAAGACAAUCCUUUCACUUGUGAUUUGAUUCGGUUGAAAGGAAGUGAACAUGUUCUUCUCUCCGGUCAUGUGGUUGGUGCAUCCACUAUCAAGCACCCAACUUGGCCCACCGGAGGAAUAAACCUUGUCUCCUUUUGCCAUAAGACAUAUAGGAGUGUCAUCAUCGUCAUCGAAGAGAUUGGCGAAGAGCCUAGGCGAUGAGUGGGUGUCGGAGAUAAGUGCUGUAGAUGAGGCAAUGUUGGUGAAGAUCUUGGUUGGGGAGGAUCUUUCUUGUACGGCGAUGGCAGCUAUACUCUUCUUCUCAUUUUCAUCAUCAUCACUAUCGCUGUCUGAUUGCCAUUCUUGCCCGAGGUGAGCUUCCCCUUUCUUCUUGUCCUUGUACUUCUUGUCACUUUGCUUGUUGUACCUUGACUUCUUUCCUUUGUUGGGACAAUCAGCUGCAAGAUGGCCGGUGUCAGCACACUCAUAGCAAAACCUCUUUCUAUAUGGCUUGUUUCCUCCAUAUCUCCUCAUCUUAUCUUUCUUCAUUCUUAGAUAGUUCUUGUAGUUUCCCACUAGCAUAGCUUGUUCUUCAUCAAGAUCAUCAUCAUCUUUGUGCUUAUGCUCACAACAUCCUUUGUUGCAAUGACUUGAAUCACUUCCAUGUGAAGCUGUGAGUGCUAUGUUCUUUCUUUGAUUUAGGGCUUCUUUGGCUUCAUCAUCCAAGACUUCAUGGUGCAUCAACUUUGCUACCAUUUCUUGAGGAGUCAUAGUAUGAUAGUUGUCUUUCUCCAUGAUGACGGAUGCAAGCAUGUUGUUCCUUUGUCUAUACACUCUACAAAUCUUUCUUGCUGCAGAGUUAUCAUCCCAUGUUUUUGCUCCAAGUGCUCUAAUUUGAUUGAUCAAUGACAUAAACCUAUCAAACAUGACUUUUGUUGUUUCUCCCUCAAGUAUGCAAAAGUUCUCAAUCUUGCUUUGUAAGAGCUCAAUGUUUCCUACUCUUACACUUUUGUCUCCCUCAAAUGACACUUUCAAGGUGUCCCAAAUCUGCUUAGCAUUUACCAUACCAUUUACUUUGUUGUUGUCUUCCGGAGUAAGACAUUGCAGAAUCAAGGUAGCAGCUGUUGCAUUUAGGUGAAAGUCUCUCUCAUCUUCGGGAGUCCACUCACUUGAAUCUUGCGGUGGAUUCACUCCAAUGUCCACUACUUUCCAGCAUCUUGCGGCAAUGAGAUGCAACUUCAUUCUAUGAGCCCAAUGGGUGUACCUUAUACCAUCAAAUGGAGGUGGCUUUCCAGGAUUGAUCAUCGGCAAUGUUGGAUUCUUGCUUGAACUGCUAUAAUCAAACCCAGUGUUGUUGUAGGUCUUUGACCCUUUGCUAUCAUCUUCAUUUCCACCUUCGCUAUCCGACUCAUGAUUCCUUUUACUUAGGAGUUCUUUCAUCUUUUCUAGCUCUUCUUGCAUCUUCUAGAUCUGCUCUUUCUGUUGCAGCUGCAAGGAUGCUGUGAUCUGUGCUGUGAUUUGCUCAACGAUUUGUUGUUGAGUUGUUGGAUCCAUCUUGGCCAAUGUUGCUCCUCACGCGGUGAAGCGUUUGUACGAGGAACCUUGCUCUGAUACCAAUUGAAAGGAUCUAAUUGGCCUAGAGAGGGGGUGAAUAGGCGUAUCUAAAACCUGAAACUCAAAACUCAAGUUGCGGAAGUCAAAUGCCUGUCGGUACCACCGAUAGUUUGGGCCGGUACUACUGGUGUCACACAGCCAGUACUACCGACGCAAACUGCUGGUAUUACCGACUCCCUAAGACAGCUACGAAAUCAGAGUGUAAAGGGCUUAGAUUUCAGAUCUGAGUUUUACCCCACUUUCCUAAGUGUAGGAGAGGAUGUUGUUGGAGUCUCCUUAACUAGGUCCUUCUCCACAACGUAGAUUGACCUUUGUUUACCUAUUGAAAAGUGAAGAGAGAGAGGAACACAAAGAACACAAACAAGGGUAGUCGAAGCUACCUCCACAGCGAGACAAGGUAUUUUUCCCGAGGUUUGCCAAUCUCCACUUAGGAGUUCCUACGUCUCUGUUGUUGAGGUGACCACGAAGGUCUGACCACUUAGGUCUCCUCCUCAAGCAACCACAAAGGUUAGCUUGAUGUUUCCACUAAGAAUCAAGGGGUAAUACAAACACUUCGGGGUGCCCUCACAGAUGAAUCAACACGGGCAACCACGAAGAACGCCUAGCCGGCUAGGGUUCGAAGAACCCAAGAGUAACAAAUACAAACCAAACAGGCAAGACGAGGAACGGAGUGCUCAAGUUGCAGAUCGAAGCUCCCAACUCUCUAAUCUCAAUUCUCUAGCUCGAAUCUCUCAAGAAAUGAAGUCUAGGAGCAAGAGGGAGAGAGAGUGGGUGAGACAAAGCUUGGAGACUGUUUUCUCAGAUGUGGAGUAGCUAGAAUAAGCAAGUCAACGGUUAGAAAAGAGGAGAGAGCAAUUUAUACUUGAGUACAGAACACCUGUCGGUACUACCGGUGCAACCACCGGUGUCCUCAGAUCUAAACGUGAGAAGGCCGAGGAAGAUGCGAGAAAAAGACCUACCGGUACUACCGGCCUUGAGCCGGUACCACCGGCCAGCGCCGGUACCACCGGUGGAAGGCCGGUACCACCGACAGUGCAAAUUCCCGCAAACGGCAGUUCUGCGAGAAUUUGGCCUGCCGGUACUACCGGCGUUUCACCGGUACCAACCACCGGCCCUGAGGGCCGGUACUACCGGCUCACCCUGGCAGAGAAGAAACUUCCCAGAAGUUCGUGCGUGCAAGUGUGUCUCUCAAGCGCAAAACCUAAGUUGACCUGAGCACCUUUAUCCUCAUCUUACCAACUCAAUUUGCAUCCCUCUUGAUAGUGCGGUGUUUCCUAUAACUCAAACAAGAAAUAAAACUAGGUAGCUUCUUGAGUUGAAACGUCGCUCAAAUGAAGAAGAUUUGGGAGUGCUGUGAUUCACCAAAUGUGUUUGUUUGAUUCCAUCAAUGAACUAACACCUGUAGAUUACACUUGAUAGACAUGUUAGUUCCUAAUUUGAUUGUCAUUAAUUAUGAAAACCCACACCGGGGGCGAAUGCAAUUACAAUAAGUCAACUGAAUUAAGUUCAAAAUAUUUUAGCUAGGAACAAAUUAAUUACAUCCAACAAUAUUUGCAAUGGAACCAUUCAAACAUGCAAAUGAAAUCAACCAAAAGACAGUUUGCUCUUUGCUGCAUAAGACUUAGCAUUUACAACUUAGUUGGUUACUAUUUAGCACUCAACAUAUGCUUGAUGCAAAUAAGCAUAUGACUGGAAAAUCAUUUUUAGUGAAAUUGACUUAAAUCUCUUCAAAAACGGAAGAAAACAUGUCUUGCCGCAGAAAAAAAAUUUGUUGCACCUGAAACUUUCUGUUCACGGAAAAAAAACUCUCCAUGUCGAAUGAUUUCUAUUCAUGAAACAAAGGCUUUUCGCAGGUAGCACAAGUUAGCAUUACCCACUUACACAAAUUAUGAGGCUAUUCAAUACAGUUGGCUAAUCAUUUUCUGCAUUAUGAUAAUAUAGGCAACCUGUUUGAAUGGCUCAGUUCCUUGGGCUAAAUAGCCAUUGUCCCUGUCCUCCUAGGUGAUUCGGUGAUACUCUGUAGAACAUAGAUGAAUGGACAUUAGUACAGCUGAGAAUAAGCAGCGGGAAAAAAUGUUGCGAGUUCACUGAUUUUUUUUACAUGCUAAAGAAAAAAAUGUUGUGAGAGCUUUGAUACUGAAGAAGCUUUUUUUUUUCUCGAAAACGCAGGAGAGCUGCGCUUCAUUAUAUUAAGAAGAGAAUAAAGGGCAAGAGCCCAUACAACACCACACAAACCCACACACACACACCCACACAAAUAGACUCUAGGAUUACAUUCGAGCCGGAGACACCAAAACAUAAGACGACCACGACUGAGCUAGACACUCUAACUACCAGGGAGGAGGGCAGCCAAGAAAGAAAGCCCUCGAGCCCCAGCCAUAGACCACAGGUGGCGUUCCUCACCAGCCAAGAUGAGCGCUUUGGCAAGGUUCGGGGCCGCUCCAUCAAAAACACAACUAUUACGAUGGUUCCAAAUAGUCCAAGCUCCAAGAAUGAUAAGUGAAUUGACUUCUUGCCUCUUCAAUCCGACCUCGGAGAUGCUGCUAGCAUCAUCCCACCAAGCAUGGAAGGAUAGAUCAGGAGAUUGAGGGGACAAGUUUUGGAGACCGACUUGUCGGAAUAGAAAGAACCAGAAUUCUCUUGCAAACACACAAUUCACAAGGAGAUGGUCAAUAGUCUCCUCUUCUUGGUCACAAAGAGGACAGCACUCAGGAUGAGGCAAUCCACGACGUGCGAGUCGAUCAGCUGUCCAGCACGCGUUGUGCGCGACCAACCAUAAAAAGAAGCGAGACUUGGGUGGAGCCCAAGAUUUCCAGAUUCUUUCCCAUGGUCCAAAAAGAGUAGACCCCAAAAAAACCAUCAUAUGCCGACUUAGCCGAGUAUAUUCCAUUAGAAGAGAGCCUCCACAUAUGUCUAUCCUCAACCUCAGGCUGCAGCUGAAAGUCCAUCAAAACAUCACAUAAUUGAAGAAAUUCCACCAACACACCGACUGUACGGGCUCCCUGAAUGUCUGAAAUCCAAGCCUGGGAAAAGAGGGCGUCCCGGACCGAGCGCCGUUUGACCCUCCUUUUGGAAACAGCCGCAAAAAGACGAGGUGCAAGGUCAGCAAUGCAUUGCCCAUGGAGCCACCGGCCCGACCAGAAAAGAGUAUUUGCACCCUCUCCAAUUUCAGAAGCAACUGCCACAGAGAAGAAGUCUCUCACUUGGUCAGGCAACUGAAUUGGGAGAGCAGCCCAAGGACGAUGAGGCUCUGUUUUCUGUAGCCAAGCCCAUCUCAUGCGGAGAGACCAGCCAAGAGUUUUAAGUUCUGAAAUUCCCAGGCCUCCAAGCUCUGGUGGGCGACAAACCUUGAUCCAGGCCACAAGACAUACGAGGAAACCACUUCGAAUUUUGUCCACCGCUUUGAUAGCCCAUGGAGGAAAAUCAAAGGCCAUAGCCAAGUAAACAAUCAUUCCGGUGAGAACAGAUUGAACCUGUACUCUCCUACGAGCCCUUGUCAUUAGAUCAGCCUUCCAGCCAGGGAGCUGAUCUGCUAUGCGGUCGAUGAUGGGCUGCACUUGUUCUUUAGUUAGUUUUCUUAGAGAAAGGGGCACACCCAAAUACUUGCUUGGGAAAUCAGAGAGUGGGCAGGGCAGCGAGUUUUGUAUGGUACCAAGUUCCAACUCACCACAUCUGAUUGGCAGCACACUACUUUUUUGCAAAUUUGUCAUCAGCCCAGAAGCCUCUCCAAAUAAAUUUAGGAUGUCCAUAACUAUAGAAAUAUCACAGGUCUCCGGGCGAAGGAAUAGAGCAACAUCAUCAGCAUAAAUAGAAAUGCGGUGCUGCAAGACUCUUGUUGACAGGGGCAACAAAAGGUCUUCAUUGGCGGCUUUAGUAAUCAUAUGUCCCAAAACAUCCAUGACCAAGAUGAAGAGCAUGGGAGAAAGGGGGUCACCUUGCCGUAAUCCUCGCCGGUGUUGGAUGUGAUCACCAGGCACCCCAUUAACAAUAAUUUGGGUGGAAGACGUGGAGAGCAGCCCGCUGAUGAUGUCUCUCCAAAUCUGCCCAAAACCAAGCUGUUGCAUAACCUCUAGAAGAAAGGGCCAAGACACAGAGUCAAAGGCCUUGGAUAUAUCAAGUUUGAGAAGAAUCCGAGGUUGCUUUUGUUGGUGAAGAAGUCGUGCCGUCUGCUGAACCAUCAUGAAAUUGUGUUGUAUGAAAAGCCCUUUAAUGAAGGCACUUUGAAUAGGAGAGACCAUUUGUUGCAGCUGAACAGCGAGACGGUUUGCCAGCAUUUUUGUGAUUAAUUUGGCAAAACUAUGCACCAGACUUAUGGGUCGAAAAUCCUUAGGUUGGUCAGCACCAUCUUUUUUAGGGAGGAGAGUGAUAUACACCGAGUUGAGAAUGCCAAAGUUCACAAACUUUCUGUUCCAAACAGCAGAAACUGCUGCCAUAAUAUCGUCCUUUAUGAUGGACCAGCACGUCUUAUAAAAACAUCCCGUGAAGCCAUCAGGACAGGGAGCUUUAUUUGAGGGUAAAUUUUUAAUUGUGUUCCAUACUUCUUCUUCACUAAAAGGGAGUUCGAGAUCAGCUAGAUCAAGAGAAUUGAUUCCCAACUCACCUAAGUUUAUGGUGCACUCCCUGGCCGUAAACUGACCCAAGAGAUUUUCAUAAAAAUCAUCAAUAGCUGCUGCCUUAUCUUCAUGGCUGGUGCAAAUCUGAUCACCCACAACAAUUUUUCCAAUAAAAUUCUUCCUUUUCCGGUGACGAGCAUGAAGGUGGAAGAGCUUCGUAUUUGCAUCACCAUCACGGAGCCAGUUGAUCCUUGAGCGCAGCCGAGCAAUAGUUCGCUGGAGGGAGGCUAGAGCAAGGCUAUGCUUUUUUAGAUUGUUUUUAAGCCAUAGCUCCCCAGGGGAUAACUGACGGUUAUCUUGGGCAAUCUCAAACUGGUGAAGAAUUUCCCUAGCCAAAGCAAGCUGGAACUUCACAAGACCAACCACUCUGUCACUCCAACUCUGUAAUCCUUUUGUUACAGCUUUAAAUUUCUUAUCCAAGGUUAUGAAGGGGCAGCGACCCACAGGAAUAGCGGCCCAGGCUGAAGAGACGGCUUCCUGAAAGCCAUCAAGCUUGGGCCAAAAAGAUUCAAAAUGAAAUCUGCGACGACCUGGAAUAUUACCCCGAAGGCCAAGUAAAAGAGGGCAAUGGUCAGAACAUUCCGAAGCCCAACUCUGCAGCAAACAUUUAGAAAAUUUGUCCUCCCAGUCCACAGUACAUAGAACCCUGUCCAACCUCACAAGAUUAGGGGAAUCCUGUUGGUUAGACCAUGUAAAUUUGCGGCCAUGCAAUGGAAUCUCCUUGAGAGCAAGAUCAUUGAUAAACCUUCUGAAUUGACCCAUCAUGGCCCUGUUGAGAUUGGCAUUGUUCUUGUCUUCAUCCUUGUAUAUUAGAUUGUCACCAGCAAUCAUCCAUGGCCCCUGACAUGCUGCCCGAAUGUCACGCAGUUCCUGCAGGAAUUGAACUUUUUCCUCAUUACCUUGAGGCCCAUAGACACAUGUCAGCCACCAAGCUUGCCCACCAUCAGGCGCAAACUGAAUUGUUAUGCUGUGAUUAUCAAUCCUCUGAACUCCUGAAACACCGAUGCGACGUCUCCACGCAAUCAGCGAGCCCCCACUAGCACCAGCAGAGGGGAUAGCAGCGAAAUCAGAGAAAUCAGAUCCUAGAGCUGAAAGAAUAACCCUUCUAGUCAUGCCAGUAAUUUUAGUUUUCUGAACACAGACGAUAUCUGACCGAGAAGAGUCAACAAGAGAGCGCAGGGAAUUUUGUCUAGAGGAAGAGUUCAGGCCCCUUACAUUCCAAAUCAGAAUUUUAGAAGGAUCCAUUAAUGAAAAAAAUUAAUAAGACGACCACAAAGAGUACAUCUGUCAGCUUAGGCAAGCACCUCAUCUUCCUCACCCUCACCAAAAUCCUCAGGGAGGGACCAGUUGAAGAGAGCAGACAGAGCCCGGAUAUGGAAAUCAGAGAGUGGAUGCUGGAAUAGCUUCGCAUACUCACUAAGGGCCUGCUGGUCAAUACCUUCAUUCUCUUCUAUGAGCUCUAGAUUUCUCAUUACCUUCUUCUUUGUUCUUCUUUCCAAGUCGUUAAUGUCAAAUUCCACCGUCGCACCAGCAAGGCGCCGGCUACGCCGUGGGGUGGCACCUGGUGGGAGUGUCUUGCUUCUGCGCUUGUUGACCGGGACAGCAAGGAGGCCUGAUGUACGUCGAGUAAGCUUGUCGAUGAAGGUCAUCCUAGCAUCAGGAAGGGGAGGCGGGCUCUCGGCUGCAGACGGGAUUGCGAAUCAGCCACCCCGUCAUGCAACGAAGAGGGGCCUCCCACCCCCACCAUGGGAGUAGAAGAGUUGGCCCCCUGGACCUGCGAUGAGGCUACCCGAGCGGGCACUCCUUCCACAGCGACCGGUGAGGCCACCACAGGUCCAUCUGGCCCAUACGCGUGAAGGCAACGGCGUCGCCUGGAGUAUACUUGCAGUGGCUUCACUGCAGCCUUGGGCGCGCGUGCUGGUGUCUCGGGCAGCAGCGGAGAGGCGACCAGCAGGUUGGACUCCGAUAUGGGGGAGAAGGGAGAUUGAGGUGAGGCCGGUUCCACCGUUGCCUCGACCGGAUGGAAGACGAGAGGAGAGCGUGGUGAGGCCGGAAGCACCGUAGCCCCACCAAAGCCCACCUCAACAUCACCACAGGAAGACUUCAGGUCCGGGUCAGCAUCAGGAUAGUCCUCCGACCUCGGCCCACCACCGGCCCGAGGGAGGACCAGGUCCUUUUCCAUUAGAAAGCGCUCUGCCUCGUCCGAAGAGAAGGCGGCGGCAACGGCAAUUGACGGGCCUCCGCCAACCAGCGUCUUCGGGGUGGAAACAUCAGUCAGCUUUACACCAUCGGCAACAGAGGAGUUAAUGCAGCGGAGCUCAUCGCUUGGGAGCUCGAGAGGAACCACGCAGGCUGCUUGGGAAUCGCAGACCGGCUCCAGAAAGGUUGUGGCCGUGUCCCUUCGCCUGUGGCCAGGCCCACGCCCAGCUCCACCAAUGUUGGACAUGCCAGCGCCGGACGCGCUAGGGCCAUCAGCAGCCGGACCCAGGCCGGAUGGAUGUGGGGGAGAAGGGGAAUGCAUCCGGCGCCGUCGACGUGCAGAGGCAUCCUGAUCUUCGCUAUCCCCGGGCGGAGGAGGUGGGCUAGCAGUAGAACCACCAGGCUGAAUACGAACAGAGAAACGAAUGUCAAUGUCAUACUCGAGCACACGCUUCACCGGAGGAUCCUCCAUUGCAGCGACCGGCGGCUCAGUGACCCACAACUUUCUGGAACGAGGCAAUAGGUUGGGGUCUGAGCACCAUGCAGAGCACCGAAAGACUGACAAAUCCACCAAGCUGAUAGUGUCCUGGUGCACCUGCUGAAUCCAGGCAUGAGGGCUCAGCAAAUGUUCCACCGUUCAGGUCUCCCACACAUGGCUAGGAAUGUUAUGAAGCUCGACAUCAAUCAACCAUGGCAGAACCUUUCCAGAUGCACCGAUUAGUCUGCUCCACUUCUUGCACAACAAGCUGAAAUUGGAGGCACAAAGCGGCUGACGGAGACCAACCAGACGCUCCACCAAACUAAGGUUGGGUAGGACAAGUAGAUAGCUUGAUGCAGAGGCUCGACGAAGGACUAAGGAGCCUGCAGCGACGUCCAAUCGGGCAGCGAUCGCCGCCUCUAGCAUGUUUGCCUCAGUGAGGGGUUGAUCACCAAUGACUGUCACAAUCACAGCAUGUGCGAGAUCAUCCUCAGCCCUUGCAAUGGCAUCCGUCCAGUUGAUGAUGCAAGGAAAGUGUUGCUCAGAAGCUGCAGGAUUCAUGGGAGCCGCAACAAAGGAUGCUUCAGGCAAAACAUCAGCCGCAGGGGGGGAAACGGAGUGCCCUUGGGUAGUACGUUGAUGGCGGUGCGGACGUCGGCGCCGACGCCGCCCCCAAGAAUCUGAUCCAUCUACAGGGCGCCCCUAUGGCACCACGGCCGUGCCAGCUGCGCCCCAACCUCUGCCCGCCGGCAAGGACCGUUGCGGGCGGGGAGCGUCGACCGCCACCGGGAUAGGAGAAACACGCCGCCACACAGAGAAACGCCUUGGUGGAGGGGCAGGGACCUGCGCCUUCGCAGCAUCCUCAGCUACGCCACUCGUCCUUCUCGCCGGAGAAAACCGUUGCGGGGAGGAAUUGACAUCCGGCAUCGGCACGCCACUCAUCUGUCCCGCCCGAGAAGACCGUUGCGGGAAGGAGUCGUCAGUCGGCGUUGGGUUCACAGAGAUGCGCCGCCAGACAGCGACACACCUCGGCGGACGUGCAGCGCGAGCCGACCGAGGACACUCGUAGGAUCGAUGCCCCAGGGACUUGCAGCGGAAGCACCGGGUUCUUUGGCGGCACUGGGCAGCGGCGUGCGCGGAGGAGAAGCAGUUGAAGCACCUGCCCAAAAGGUCGGCGGGGACAGGGCGUCGGGGAGGACAAGCGGCACACUGGCGCCGGCGCCGAGCACUACGCGACUCGAACACCUGCCACCCGUCCGCGCGACCACGCGGGACAGCAGGACGCCGCUGGCCGCAGAGGAUAAUUUUGGGGGCGGCCCGGGCCACAGGGUUGGCCGCCACCACGUCGCCUCCAGCUCCAGCAGCCGACCCAGCCGCAGAGGCUUUCGUCGGGGCAGAAAGCGAUGCCGGAGCCGAAGGAGAGAUGACGACGUCACGGUAAGAUGGGGAGCCGCCAGAAUCCGAGUCUUCGCUCCAGCGCUCGUGCUUAGACCGACCACGAGCAGACUGCUCCGCAGGGAAGGACGAGGGGGGGGGUAGGGGGGGACCCGACGUCUCAAGGGAGCUGGAGGAGGUGGCCGCCGGGUUCGGAGUGAACGUCGGCGUGGGUUUCGGGGGAGGCGAGACGUCGGGAGGGGAGGGGGCGGGAGACGAAGCCAUCGUUUUUUUGAUACUGAAGAAGCUCACUCUGUAUAGUGUUGUGUUGUGGUAUUGAUCAAAUCUGCAUGCACCAGGACCCUGUAGCUAAGCUUUGAACUGAUACUCCUGCUUGUGGUAGUCUGAUUGGCAAAGAAACUCUUAGAAACAACUUAUUUGAGAAAAUAAGACCUGAUCCAAGUAGAAAUUUGUUGUUUAAAACAUAGAUCACUUUCACGCUGAAAUUUGUUAUUUAAAACAUAGAUCACUUUCACUCUGAAAAUAUAAUCUUUAUGAACAGACUAAACUUGUUUGAUGACCAUAGUACUAAAAGAGUUGAUACCGACUAUUAGCAACUUUAUGCUUGCUGAUGAUAUUCAUUAAUGCAGACUCUAUAAACAAAGAAAGAUCGCAUGUGCUUGAAAAAAUGAAAUUAAGACCUCAUUAUGACAAUAGUAGAGCAAACCUUCCAAGUGGUUUCCCCGUGCCUGCAAGAAACACAAAAUAUCAAAUUUUGUCUGUAGACAUGCAACCAAAUUAAUUGUCAAGAGGAGUUCACGUAAUAAUACAAACAUUUAUAUGCGGUAUGUGUUAUCCGAUACAAAUUCAAUGUUAGGAAUGAGGAACAAAAGAACAUAUGUCUCCCAUACUGUAGUCAACGUUAGUAAAAAUAAUCAGUACAAGAUCAGCUCACUUUGCACAACCACCAGAAUAUAUAAUGUGUCAGAACUCCGAUGAGGAUGAUGAACACACGUGAACACAAAACUGGACACAGUUAUUUGGGGCUGCAAAGCGGCAGCUUUUCUUGGUUGAUUGCUAUUGCUAUAUAAAGAGAAUUACAUGGAAAGUUUUACAAGGUCACUGAGGACCAAAUCCGGCAUGUUCGUGAUUGAAUGAUUGCCAUCACAACCAUCCUGGGACAUGCCGCAAUCUCUUGAAAGAGAAAGCAAAAAAUGGCGCUAGACGCCUCUACUUACUAUCUUUAGCAUGCUCAGGGCUCAUCUAACAAUCUCCUCCUGAGUCCUAGAGCAUCUACACUAAACUCUUCAUGCCGAUCCCAUCGCGAAGAUCCUGAAACCUACUGCGAUCAAGUGCCUUCGUCAGAAUGUCACUCAGUUGCAGUUCAGUGCCAACAAACUCCACGUCGAUCAGCUUCCUGUCGCAGCACUCCCGGAUGAAAUGAAAUUUCACGUCUAUGUGCUUACUCCGGUCAUGGUGCACAGGAUUCUUCAUGAGUGCAAUGGCGGUCUUGUUGUCCACUCUAAGUUUGGGCACCACGAUCGCUCCUCCAGUGAGCUCGGCCAGCAACCGUGCCAGCCACACACCUUCACAUGCUGCUCCUGCAGCUGCGAUGUAUUCAGCUUCACAGGACGACAACGCGACCACUCUUUGCUUGGCCGACUGCCAUGCAAUCGGUCCGCCGGCGAGAAAGAAGAUGAGGCCACUGGUGCUCUUCCGAUCGUUGACAUCACCUGCCAAGUCACUGUCGGAGUAGCCCAGUAAGUGCGGUGGCGUCUUCUUCUUUCCUCCGGGAUGAUAGUGCAAUGCCCAGUGGACAGUCCCCGCGACGUAGCGGAGCACCUGCUUGAUUGCAGCGAGAUGCUCUUGACGAGGUGACUCUAUGAACCUGCUGAGGUAACCCACCGAGUAUGCCAAGUCCGGCCUAGAGUUGCACAAAUACCUCAGGCUGCCGAUCAAGCUGUGAUACUCGGUGGCGUCCACGCUUGGCGUCGACCCUUCUUUCAGUAGCUUCAGCUUUGUCUCCAUGGGCGUCGCACUUGGGUUGCACCCCGCUAGCCCGGCCUUCUCAAGAAUUUUUGUGGCGUAGGCGGUCUGGUGGAGUGUGAUGCCUCGAGCUCUCUGCGUUACCUCCAGCCCGAGAUAGUAAGACAGGAGCCCGAGGUCACUCAUGCGGAACGUGUUCUUCAUCUGUUCCUUGAAUUUUGUCACGGCGGCUGCAUCACCUCCUGUGAUUAUCAGGUCGUCGACGUAGACGCCUAGGAUCAGCCAUGAUUGUCCUUCUCCACGGGUGUACAUCCCAUGUUCGUCAAUACAGCGAUGAAAGCCGAGCGCCAACAGUGAGGCGUCGAGCUUUUGGUUCCAUGCUCGCGGGGCCUGACGAAGGCCAUAGAGGGCCUUGUGGAGCCGAAGAACCUUGUGCUUGUGCCUGUCAUCGAUGAAACCGGGGGGUUGCUGGACGUAUACCUCUUCCUGCAGGUCACCGUUCAAGAACGCGGACUUCACGUCCAUGUGGUGAACGCCCCAGCCAUGGUGAGCUGCGAUGGCCAGGAGCAGGCGCACGGACUCCAGUCGAGCCACUGGAGCGAAAACCUCAUCAAAGUCGACCCCGGGACGUUGGACGUAGCCUUUAGCGACGAGACGCGCUUUGUACUUGACGAUGUUGCCGUUCUCGUCGCACUUCACUUUGUACACCCAUUUCAGGCCGAUGGCUUGAUGCCCGCGCGGGAGCUCGACCAUCGACCACGUCUUGUUGUCGGUAAUUGACUUCAGCUCCUCCUCCAUCGCAGUAACCCAGUUAGGAUCACCGUCGGCUUCCUUCAAGCCUUUCGGCUCCUCCACACUGACGGCGUGCAGCUCAGCCUCUUCAGUGUCAUGCUCAAUCCGCCCAGGCACGGUGUUUGUGCCAAGGAUAUUGUCGAGCUUGCGGUACCGGUGUUCCAGGCCCUCGUCGUCGUCGGCGUCGAGGUUAGGAUCACUCCUCAGGGGCGUCGCAAACUCGAUCUGCUUGCCCACGGAGACACUUGGUGGGGCGGUCACAGGUGAGGUGGCGCCCAGGGCAGCUGGUCCAGAUACUGGAGCGUGCGACGUCGAGGAUGGAACGGGCGACGUCAAGGACGCAGCGGCCGGUUCUGUGACUGGAGUAGACGAUGUUGAGGCUAGACCAGAUGUUGAGGACGCAGCCUGGGCGCGUCGAAGGUCAUACUCCUCGAAGGUGAACGCCACCACGUCAACCCCUGAUGCAGCGCUGCCCCAGUCCCACCGUGUGUCCACGUCGAACACGGCAUCACAGGAGACGUGCAUGCGCUCUGUGGUUGGGUCGAAGAAGCGGAACGCCUUGGAGCCGUUCUCGUAGCCAAUGAAGACGACCUUUUGCCCGCGAUCGUCGAGCUUGCUGAGGUAUGGCUAGAGCUGCUUGAUGUAGGCGACGCAGCCGAACACUUUGAGGAAGUGCACCGGCGGCUUCUUGCCGUACCACGCCUGGUACGGUGUCAUCCCGUCGAGCGCGUUGGUUGGCGCCCGGGUCAGUAGGAAGACGGCGGUGUGCACAGCUUCGCCCCAGAAGUACCCUGGCAUGCCUUGAGCACGCAGGAUGCUUCUCGCCGUGCUCACGACCAUUUGAUUUCGGUGCUCAACAACACCGUUUUGUUGCGGUGUGUACAGCGCCUAGUGGUGUCGCUGGAUGCCUUCACCUGCACAGUACUCCCCAAACUGUACCGACAUGAACUCACCCCCAUUGUCGGUGCGGAGCACUUUGAGCUUCUUCCCGGUUUCACGCUCGACGCGCGCCUGGAAGUUCAUGAUCGCCGCUGGUGCGUCCGCCUUGGAGCGAAGUAGCGUGAGCCACAUGAAUCGGCUCAUGUCGUCGACAAGUAGCAGGAAGUAGAGGUUCCCAGCUGGCGUCGAUGGAGAGAUUGGCCCGCACAAGUCUCCAUGAACCAGCUCAAGCUCCUCCUGAGCUCGAAAUUUGCUGGCCUGUGGAAAGAGGUUCCGCUUCUGCUUUGCCAGCACACAGUCUUCACAAACUUGAUCGACACGGUCGAUCAUCGGCAGCCCCUUCACCAUCUCUCCUCAUCCCAGCUUCCGCAAUGACUGGAAAUUCAGGUGUCCAUACCUUUCAUGCCAGCGCCAGGCAAUGUCCAUGACACGGGCAGUCAAACAGACGGGCGCAGUGAUGGUCAUGUCGAGGUAGUAGAGUCGGCCUAGUGAGCGCUGCACCUCGGCGAGCAGCUGGCGUUGUAGGUCGUAGAUGCGCAGUAUGCCGCCCUCAAUAUCGACCUUGAAGCCGUCCUGGUCCAUUUGCCCAAGACUCACAAUGUUGGUGGUGAGUCUUGGUAUGUAGUAGACGCCGUCGAGACGACGGUGUUCACCGUUCUUGCAGGCGAACAGGACGGUGCCCUUGCCCUCGAUGUUGACCACCGAGCCGUCGCCGAAUUUCACCGUGUCGGUGACGCUGGUGUUCAGCUCGGCGAACACAGAACGUGACCCCGUCAUGUGGUUAGUCGCCCCGGUGUCAAGGACCCAACGACGAGGCACCACGGUGUCCUCUUCCUGUUCAAGGUGGAGAAGCACCUUUGGCUCGACGAUGUGCACCCGCGCCUGCGCUCCAACAACAGAAGACGACUUGCUGUGGGGGUAGUGCUGUGUACAUGGCGCAGUUACCUCGUCAUCCACGGCGAUGUACAUGAGGGCCCAUUCCUCAUCCUCCUCAGCUUGCGCGACGUGAGCCGCGCCUUGCUUCUUCUUGCUGCGGCAGUCAUUGGUCAAGUGACCUUUCCGGCCGCAGGUCAUGCAACGAUCGCCAGGAGGUGGGCGACCGCCGGUGGCAUUUCCGGAUCCCCUAGGUUGCCCGUCACGUGACGACGAGUUCCCAGCGCUGUGCCCACGGCCACGCCCGCCGCGCUUGCCGUGGCUGCUGGAGCCGCCACUGCCGCCGGAGCUCUCCUGCUCGCGGCGCGCCUUGCGACGUGCCUCCCAGUCUUCUUCGCACAGCAUCAGGCGGCCCAUGGCAUCUGUGACCUCCUUAGGCUUCGCUCGUUCCUCGAACACACGCAGCCGGCCGAUGACCUCGUCGAUCGUCACCACCUUCAGAUCGAGGAACAUCUCCAGGGAGACUGCGGCUUGAGUCAGCCGCUCGGGAACCACCUGCAAAAGCUUUUUCACCACCUCGGCGUCAGUGAUGUUGUCGCCGAGAGUGCGCAGGUUGGUGGCGAGCGUGGUGAUGCGGAUGCCGAAGUCGUUGACAGUCUCCCCAUCCUUGAAGGUGAGAGCCCCGAACUCACCACGGAGCUGCUGCGCGCUUGCGUCGCACGCGCGCUCGUCGCCAAUCCGUAGAUUCUUGACCGCCCCCCAGGCCUCCUUCACGGUGCCCUUGGCGGCGAGGGUGCCCCAGAGCUCGGGUGGAACCGAGCGUAGGAGCCCGGCCAUCGCUUGCCGGUCGUCGUGGUACUCUUCUUCAUCGGGAUCGUCGGCGAUGCCGACGUUGACGGCGUCCCAGACACGCAAGGUUUGGAAAUUUACCUCCAUGACCAUAGCCCAUUCCGGAUAGUUUGUCCGGUUUAACAUUGGUCAUGUGACGUUCGCCGACGGCCGCUCGAUGAUGCGCUCUACGACUCGUGAGCCAGAGCGUUGGCGGCUAUUGGACCGGCCACGGCGGCGCCGCGGCGAACGUGACGGCUUGGGCUUCAUCUCACCGUCGUUGUCGUCUGUCGGCUUCUUGUCAGAAGGUGACCGUGACGCCAUGACGACGGUGGAACUUGGCUCUGGUACCAAAUGUCAUAACUCCGAUGAGGAUGAUGAACACACGUGAACACAAAACUGGACACAGUUAUUUGGGGCUGCAAAGCGGCAGCUUUUCUUGGUUGAUUGCUAUUGCUAUAUAAAGAGAAUUACAUGGAAAGUUUUACAAGGUCACUGAGGACCAAAUACGAUAUGUUCGUGAUUGAAUGAUUGCCAUCCCAACCAUCGUGGGACAUGCCGCAAUCUCUUGAAAGAGAAAGCAAAAAAUGGCGCUAGACGCCUCUACUUACUAUCUUUAGCAUGCUCAGGGCUCAUCUAACAUAAUGAUGGUUAUUCCAAUCUGCACCUUCAGGCCAAUAAGAUGCAAAUUUAAACAACCGAAUGUGAUAUAUGGGUCAUAUGGGUUAUAUCAAGAUGUAGUCGUAUAGAAACAACUUAUUCACUUGAGUUGAAAAUCAAACCCAUGGCCACAUAACAAAACAAAGUUUUACGGCUAGUGAAUUCUUGUAUACAGAGGUAAAAGAGGUAAAGACAACUAACAAAUAUAUUAUGGCAGGCAUUAAAUCUAAGAAAAAUCAGUGUUAAACACCACAGCUGUCGCAAUUGUUCUCUAUGGCUAAAACUCAUAAUACUUGCUGCUCGGCUGGACUUGCUUGAACAACUAAACUUUUUAUUUCUUAAAAAAUAAUCUUCACUGGUCUGAACCCUUUUUGUGACUUACCAUGUCUGAGAAAUUUUUAAGAUAUUGGGAGCGACUUUUUCCCUUUUAUAUUCAGUAAUACCACAACCCUUAAGAAAUAUUUAGGUACUGAUGCUUUCAUCUCAAGUCAUACUGCUACAUUAAUUUAGCUUAUGCUCAUCUCAGAAAAAUAUGAAUCGAACACAAAGACAGGAAAUACAAAUGUCCUGAGGCAAGGCAAACACACAGACUGGAGAAAGCAGAUUGGAGAACAUAGAGACAGGAGAAGCAUCUGAUCCAUGUAAUCAGCUAAUCAAGGAAACAGAGAAAUAAUAUGAAUGCAUAAUAUAUGAACUCACGAGAACAAGAGAUGGGAAUUUGAAAGGAUCCCAAAGGAGGGGAAAUAACUAACCACUUGAACUGCACGAAGGACCACCACACAUCAGGAGUAGCCAUCGCUGCCGAUUGGGAUCUUAUAGCCAUCAGCACUGCACAUCUACGACCGGCUAUCAUUAUUCUGCUGCCGGCAGCACGAUGCUUAUCAGAGCCGCGGCCGCUGAUUCGAGGACCACCACUAGCCAUUGGCGCCAUGCCCCAUACCUGAUCCAAUUAACCAAACAAUGGAUGGAUUCAUGGAUCAGUGUUGGUGGAUGUUCGAACUGAUGGUUAAAAGAUCAAGACGUAAGAGGAAGAAGAGGGAUUUCAGCCUAGAAGAUGCAGAUGUGACUUUGAGGAGGAAUCUUGAAGAUGCUGUGCACAGACGCUUCCGCUGCUUCCUCUUUGUUGCAUCCGGGUGCCAUGUCGCAGGCGCUGGUGUCCCAGGGUCGCCCACGAAUGCGCGGUACUCCACGGCAGCCGCAUAGAAGCAGGUCUCCUCCUCGUCCUUCGCGUCAAUCUCCUCGUCACACGGAUUGAGGGUGUGAUUGGUUGCCCCGACCGGGUCAUUCAAAGGUCCAUCCCGCACGGUUUGGUGCAGUUGGCCUGUGUUUGGUUUCCCUACUGGUAUCCUUUUCGUGUAUGGCUUUGUUCCUCUCUCCCCCUCCAUCCCGGCCGCCUCCAUCUUCUCGAUUCGAGCUUCCCACUCUAGCAGGGACGAUGCGGUGCAGCCAUGGUACAGAGGCCCAUGUGUCAUACACUUAAAACUCUCAUCCAUGCAUGCAACCAAACAAGAUCCUACCUUGUACGGAACCAACAACAAAAACAACCAAACACGAUUAGGUGUAUAGUUUCAGCAUGCAUCUCACCAUUCUGGACCGGCUCUCCAUCCCGGCUCCCCGUAACCAAAGCAACCAAUCACCCCCUGAGUGACGCAGGACCGGUUGCAGGGGUUGGCAGAUCCAGGCCGCACCGACCUCUUGGCCGGAGGUGCUCUGGCUAGCGACGGAAGGCACGGGCAGUGUCACCACGCCGCUCGGCCAGUACGGUUGCGGCCUGGCACAAGUGGGUGCCGGGCAGCGGGAGGGCAACGCCGUCUGGGCUUUGCGAGACAAGAGCAGAUUGAGUGUCGUUUCUUUUCCUUUUUUUAGUCCGUGUUUGCAGCUUUCGAUCUCUUUUUUGAAAAGGCAGCUUUCGAACUCUGCUCGUGUGGGAGCGAUCGAAGCCGCGUUGUGUGGUGUGGUGUGAUGAGGCGGAGGGCACGCGCGGGGUGGAUGUGUGAGAAGCAUGGCUUCCCACGUCUGAUCGUGACCAUUGGAUUUGGAUUGGAUGUAUUAUUAGCUUUUGAUUUUAAUAGAGAUGAAUUUCUACAUAUAUUUUUGUAGGUGCACAAUGGUUAGAGCCUCUUAGUGAGGGAUGUUUUAUUGGGUGAACCAAGUACAAUUUAAGUGUGAUUUUCUUUUUUUUUACAAAACAACACUACUACGCACAUAAUUCAGUAUUUGAUAUCGCAUAUAGAACCAUUGGAAAGGUAACUGCAGAUGCCAAAGCAAUUGAGUGCUGCUAAUAAUCACACAAACUGAGUAUGGGAUAUUCAAAGUGUGCGGCGUCAGCCAGUUAAUAAGUACUCUCUCUAUCCUAAAUUGUAAGUCAUUUCAAAAAUGUUGGAGUUAAAGCAUCUCAACUCUGACCAAAAUUAUAGAAAAAAUUACAAUGAUUUAGAAGAUCAAAUAGGCAUAAUAUAAAAAUAUAAUUAAUGAGCAAUGUAAUGAUACUAAGUUGACACCAUAAAUAUUAUUAUCUUACCAUAUAAAUUUGGUCGAACUUAAGAUAGUUAGAUAGUUUAACUCUCUAAGAUUCUUAAAAUGACUUAUAAUUUAGGAUGGAGGGAGUAGCACUUUGGCAGGACAACAGGGCUAUCUUUGUCCUUCCAUUAUCCCUAACGCCAAGCAAAGAAGCAUGCUUUCGCUUUAGUUAGCAAAAGCACAGAGAUUACAGAGCCAGGGGCAAAGCUAGAUGGAGCUAAGCGGUGUGGUGACUACACCGGACGCUUAGCUUGUUGCAGAUCUGCGACGAGCUAGCACUUAUUUCUUGUUCUUGCCUUCAUCCGCAACAUUUCUGCUGUGGUACCAGCGCAGGACAUGCUGGACGCCGAGGUACGUAUCAACAUUCCUCUUCCUCGUCUUAAUACCUGUUCACUAUGUUUAACUUUGCCGAUACUAAGGAAAACGUUUAGCAACAGUGAUACAUAUACAUCUACUCUUUUUGAUGAAUCAGCACUUCAUAAAUCUCAUAGACUACAGUCUAAAUAUGGAAGUUAUGAGGUGGGGACGCAUUAGAUUGCCAACCGUUGAAAACCAAAGCAAUCCAACAUCAAAGCCUGAAUCCACAUAACUGAUGCCUACAAAUUGGUCCACAAGAACAAUAUGAAUUGAAACAAACGUAGGAGCAAAUAAAUAAAGAAAAAAAUCCUCAGUUUUUCAUCUAAUUGUAGAUGAAACAAACUUCGAAAACAAUCCCACACACACUAUGGGGGUGUUUGGGACUGCUCUGCUCCAUAUUUUUUAGCUCCGCUCCACAUUUUUUAGCCAAACAGUUUCAGCUCCACGCACUCAGCUCGAGAAAAAAUAGUGGAGUUGUGAGAGCACCUAAAGAGG
rnacentral:lncRNA from 1 species